GGUCGUCAAGAGGAAGGUCGUGGUAUCCAAGAGCUUGGAACCUUGGAAGAUCUUAAAGGCUCCUUGGAGAUCAGAAAUCUUGAAUUAGUAAAUGGCAAAGAUGAUGCUGAACUGGCGAACCUAUCUAAAAAGCCAAAUCUGCAUCGGUUGGUAUUUGAGUGGGGCAAUAGGAUCGAGAAAGUGAUAAUUGUGAUGAAGAUGUGUUGGAAGGCCUCCAACCUCACCCAAAUUUAAAAGAGUUACAAAUUUUGAAGUUCAUGGGUGAUCAGUUUCCACAAUGGUUCAUGAAUUUGACAUUGACAUCACUGGUGGAGUUGCGGGUGGAGGAUUGCACAAGAUGCAGAAAGCUCCCAGCACUAGGACAGCUGUCAUUCCUAAAAAAUCUCUCCCUUGAAAGCAUGAAAAAUUUGGAAGAGUGGAAGGACGCACACGAAAUGAUGUCAACCGCAGGUGAAGUAAAUGUCAUGGAUGUGUUUCCCGUGCUGGAAACGUUGUCUAUUAGUGAUUGCCCCCAGCUAACUCCAAGUUGUUUCCCAAGUCUUGAUGUAUUGGAAAUCAGAGGGAAUUGCCACGUUUUGCUGGCAGAAAAGGUUUUGAGCAAUAUAGCCAAUCUCUCGUCCCUUCAAUUAAGGGGUGGUCUUAGUCAACCCAUAGAGUCUCUAGAAUUAGUGAGACGACCAGAGAGCAGCUUGAGUAUUGAUGGCUGUAACAGUCUACUCACUGACACGCUUGAGCGACUCUGUCUUUUUCCAACUCUUCAGCGUGUAGAAUUGGUGUCUGCCAAUAAUAUAACAACAUUAAGAGGAAUGAGUUGCGCCGCUUGUCUUGAGAGAUUGGCAGUCUAUGCUUGUAAGAAUUUACGGGAGUUGCCAGAAGCUCUUUAUCAAUUUCAAGCUUUAGAGCACUUGGAGAUACGGGGUUGCUCGAGAAUUGAUUCAUUUGGAUAUCCAAAUCCUAAAAAUUCAUUUGGACAGAAAGGCCUCCUUAAGUCUCUUGAGCGAUUUACUGUCGUUGAGUGCGAUGCAUUGACAAGGUUACCAGCGGAGAUGUUCGAGUCGUGUACGUCUCUCCGAAAGCUGAAGUUGUCCGAUUGCCGCAGUCUGGUCUCCUUUCCCCUUGAUUUGCGACGAACCCCUUCUCUCGAGAGCUUCAAAUUAUUCGACUGUCCCAACUUGAUUGCUGAGAUGCCUAGUGGAUUUGGCUAUCUUACCAGCUUAAGGGAAGUGAAGAUUGGUCCCUUCUCAGAUGACUCAGUAAUCGAAUUUGAUUGGGCUGGAUUAGCAUCUUCAUCAUCACUCCAACACGUGUCUUUGAAUGGAAUGCCUGACACGAAAUCUCUGCCACAUCAGCUUCAAGACUUGACUACCAUCACAUCACUGUCUCUAAAUGACUUCAGAGCAAUCGAAGCCUUACCAGAUUGGCUUGGGAACCUUGCGUCUCUUGAAGUCCUACGCCUGUGGGGUUGCAAAAAGCUUGAAUAUUUACCCUCCGUAGAUGCCAUGGAACGCCUCAAAUUAAGACGUCUGGAAAUUAGUCUUUGUCCUCUAUUAGCCCAAAGAUGCACUCCUGAAAGCGGCUCCGAGUGGCCCAAGAUCUCUAAUAUUCCGGAGCGUGAUAUUAUUGUUCCGGUAAGAUCUCAUCUCAAAAUUUUAAUUAAUUGCUUCUCAUUCUUAUUGGAUCAUCUUAUUCUACCCGUAUUUGUCCCUCACUCUUUUUCUCUGUAAAUAUCUAUUCCUCUACUUCUUCUGGCAAAAGAUUACUCUCUCUUCAAUUUUUAAGCUAAUUCAUGUCAUUAUAACAUGCAUAUAAGAGUUUCCAAAAAAUUUGAAAAAUUACUAAAAAUAGGAAAACACCAUAACCAUACAUUAGUAUUGUGGAAUUAGUAUUGUUGAAUACCUACACCUGUAAUCAUAUGGAAAAGUCUGAAGUAACGAUAGUUAUGGUAACGAAACUGUUUUUACCUGAUAUAACAGAUAAAAAUACUUUUAGCGACCAUUUGAUUACCUGUUGUACUGGUCAUUUAAAUAAAAUAGUACCUCAAAUUUUGGUUAGUAAGUUUUACAUAAAAAAUAGUAAGUUAACUCAAUAAAUUAGUAACUUUUAUGCCUCAAAAAGUAAAUUUGAAUAAAUAUGGAACUUACUUUUUUUUAAAGUAAAUUACUACUCUAUAUCUGAAAAUUAGCUUUUGGAGAGUAAGUUUAGUUCAAGUAAUAGUAAGUUUUUAUAGAUUAAUAGUAAAUAUUAUUGAUAGAAUAGUAAAUUUGGUUAAUCAUCAAAACUUACUAGUUUGUGACAGAAAUUUACUAUUUUACUUAAAGAAACUUAUAUGAAACAAGUAUUAGGAAGUUUAUUUGAAAUAAUGCUAAGAUUUUUUUAUUAAUAAUUGAAACUUAGUAUUAUAGUUAGUAAUUACUCGUAAUGUAAAUAUAUGAUACACAAUUAUAUGUAUCAUUUAUAAAUGUUAUAUGUUUUAAGCUUUUUAAAUAUACUAUGAAACUUUUUUUUUUUUGCAUAUGACCUUAUAAAAUAUGUAAGAAUAAUUUGUCAUAUUAUAAAUUUUGAAUUAUUUUUGAAUUUGUGAAAAGUUAGAAAGAUUGGAUGACAGUAACAACAAAUCUUUCGAGUUAUAUAUAGAAUUGCACUUAUCUGUACAUCACCAUAUUUUCUAUAGAUGAAUUUUAUGUAAACUGUUAAAAUUAUGAAUUCAUGAACGACUAAAUCUGACUACUUUAUGGCAUAUAUUAGUCUAAAGGACUAAAAAAUUACUGUAAUCAUGUGCACGUUGAUUGUUGAAUUGAAAUUUCCUUUAUUACUAGUACAAGUUAUUCUAAUCAAAGCAAAAUAAAAUAAAACAUCUUUUCCUAUUGUUUGCAGUAGUUAUGUUUAAUAGAAAAUUAUAAAAACAUUUUUACAAUACAUAAUUUCUCCUAAAAUUAGUAACAUUUUCCAUGACCUCUAACCUUGUCAAUAAUACUAACCACCGAUAUGUAGAUAAUCUUAAAAGCAAAAGCCAUCAAUAUGACAAAAAAGAAUGUUUUCAUGCUGAACAAAAAAAAAUUGCGAUUCUAUAUAGAAUCGAAGAAAUUCAUCAUGAACAAGAAUGAAUUACAAAGUUAUCACAUUUCUAAUUUCAUGUGCAUCUAGAAUUUCACGCAGCAUUAGUUUAGAAGAACUUUCCUUUUUCACACUAAGGAACCAAUCCCAAUCUCUACGUCUCUUUUAUUUUUUUUCUUUAACUAUUAAAUGGGGCCAAAGUUGUUAGCAAUAAAAUACUAAAUAAAUUUAAUUCCAUUUCAAACUCUAGUUAAUUGUAUACUAAUAUUUUACACCACAAUCAAUUGAGCACCAAUUUUUCUUUUUUUUUAAGUAGCUAUUAUUUAUUUUAUUACUUAGAUUAAAUAUUUACAUAUAAAAUAAUAGCAAUAAAAUGCCAAUCCUUGGAUCAAUGGUUAAUAAAACUAAUUUUGCAUUGAUAAAAAUUAGUCUACAGAAUGAAAAGUCAAUGGCAACAAUUGCUAAAAUAUAGCAAUUUUUAAUUAUGGGAAAAUAAACAACUAAGUUCCCAAAAUAUUUCACUUUUAUUGUUUAAAAAAUCUCAACUUGUUGACUAAAUUCAAAAUAAUUCUAUUGUCAAAAAUAUUUUUUUCUCAAAUUAACUUUCAUGAUUAGAUGUGAGAUACAAAUAUGGUAAAUAUCCCUCAUACGUAUGUCAUGGAUAUUUCAGACUUUUAGGAAAAAAAAAUUUGUUCUUAAAAUAACAUUAUAUCAUAGUGUACUAAUUAUUUUAGGACCAUUUUAUACGUGAACUAAAUUUAGUUUAAAUUAUACAAUAGAUUAUAUAUGCAUGUGAUUUUCAUUUAUAAUUAUUGGAUCCUAUUCUUAUGAACAAUCUCCAAAGGAAAAAAAAAUGCAGAUCAUACUGAUUUCCUUAUAUUAAUUGUUAUACUAAUUUUGUCAUUAUUAUUAUUAUAUUAUUUCUCAUUUUGUUUAGACUCUUACUCUUAUUAUUUCUUAUGUCUUAGAUGUAAAUUUAUUAAAAUUUUAUCAUCUUAUUAUAGUCAUAGGUGUUAAAUUAUAAAAAUUUUGAUAUAUAAACAAGUAAUAUUCUAUAUAUAACUAGGAAGAUUUGUUGUUAUUGUUAUCCAAACUUUCAAACUUUUCAAAAAUUGAAAAUGAUUAAAAACUUAUAAUACGACAAAAUUUUAUUACAUAUUUUACAAGAUUAUGUGAAAAGUCAAACUAUUUUUCAUAGUAUUUUAAAAUAUAAAAUUUUUUUUAAAAUUAUACCUAUAAUCAUGUAUUAUACAGGUAUAUUAUGAGUACUUACUAACUAAGGCACUAAGAAUUAAUCAUUAAUAAAACAUCUUAUCGUUAUUUCAAAUAAAUUUUCUAAUACUAGUUUGAAAUAUGUUUUAAAGUAAAAUAGUACAUGUGUCCCAUAAAUCAGUAAGUUUUGAUUAUUAAUCAAUUUUACCAUGUUAUCAGUAAGAAUUACUAUUUAUGUAUAAAAACUUACUAUUACUUGAAUUAAACUUACUCUCUAAAAAGUAACUUUGGGAUAUAAAAUAGUAAUUUAUUUAUUUAAAAAGUAAGUUUAAUAUUUAUUCCAAUUUACCUUUUGUAGUAUAAAAGUUACCAAUUUAUUACUGUUAACUUACUAUUUCAGAUGGGAAACUUACUUUUUUAUUUUUAAGUGUUAUCCUAUUUAGGUGAUAGGUCUAUCAAAUAAUCAAAUGGUCGCUAAAAGUAAAUCAAAAUAAAUCGAAAAUGGUCAUAUAAGUGUUAUCCUAUUUACGUCUCAAAAAGUAAAUCGAAAUAAAAAUGAAAGUUACUUUGUUUAAAAAUAAAUUACUACUCUAUAUUCGAAACUUAUUUUUUAGAGAGUAAGUUUAGUUCAAGUAAUAGUAAGUUUUUAUAGAUUAAUAGUAAAUCUUGUUGAUAGAAUAGUAAAUUUGGUUAAUCAUCAAAACUUACUAGUUUGUGGCAUAAAUUUACUAUUUUACUUAAAGAAACUUAUAUGAAACAAGUAUUAGGAAGUUUAUUUAAAAUAAUGCUAAGAUUUUUUUAUUAAUAAUUGAAACUUAAUAUUAUAGUUAGUAAUUGUUGGUAACGUAAAUGUAUAAUACAUGAUUGUAUGUAUCAUUCAUAAAUGUUAUGUGUUUUAAGCAUUUUAAUAAAUGUAUGUAUCAUUUAUAAAUGUUAUGUGUUUUAAUAAAUUUAUUUUCUAGGUCACAAGUAUAAAAGUUAAAGUUGUACUAAUGUAGCAUAAUCUUUGAAAAUUAUAGUAAAUUUACCCAUAUAUUAAGUUUUGUGAGUUUCAAAUAUAUUUUGUAUCAUUUACAAUAUGGAUUUAUAUGCACAUUUUUAUCAAAAUUAUUUUUAAUUCGCAAAUAGUAUGUAAAUUAUUAUAAAAUGUCAUUUUAUAAUAAUCAUAAAUUUAUAGGUGAAUGGUCUAUAAACUGCUAAAAUUGUCAAUUUAUAAAUGAGUAAAUCAUACUACUUUAUGGCAUAUAUCAGUCUGAUCAACUAAAAAAUAUUAACUUAAUUAAGUGCACGUUGGUUGUUGAUUUGAAAGUUGUACCCUUGUCACUAUUUCGUUAUUACUACCACAAGUUUUUCUAUUCAAAGUAAAACAAAAUAAAAAAUCUAUUUCUUUUUAUAUGCAAUAUUUAUGUUUAGUAAAAAAUUAAUAUACCAUGAUUACAUUUCAUAAUUUCUAAUGAAAUUAGUAACAUUUUCUAAAUAAAUUGGAAUAGUUUGUAAAACAUGUUAUUUUUUUUACCAAUACAAUCAAAAGAAAUUUGCACUCUUAAAAAGCAAAUGGGAAGAAAUGACGAUGGCAUAAGUAUAAAUGUAAACAACAAUAUACAUAUCACACCAUGAGUUUAGGUUUGAUUUGUUCAAAACAUUAGUAAUUUAUUUGUUAGUAGAUAUAAAAUGCUACAUAUGAAAAAUACAAUUUCAUAUAUACUAACCAUUAAUAGAAUAUAGUUUGAACACGAUCAAUUGAGCUCAUAUUUCAUUUGUUUAGUUAUCAUUUAUUAAUUUCAUGAAGUCAUCUGAAGUGGAACAAAUGAGUAAAUGAUAACCUUCAGGAUUAAUAAAUGAGUAGCUCGAAAACCAGAGGGUAUUGAAGUUUGAUUCUGCAUUUCCAUUUUAAACUGGAAAGGCUGAAGACUUUUUUUUUUUUAACAGGAACAUGCAACGUUGAUAUCAAUUACAUUUUGAGCUUAAACAAUCCACAGGACUUGAAUCUUUCUAAAUUGUACAGAAGGGACAAUCCCUUCUAAAACCAUCAAAGCCUGCAUUACAAUUCAUCAAAAUAUUCCAUGGUCUGAUUUGUCAUUAAUCCUUGUUGACAACUGCUGCCGCAAAUUCUUGGUGUCAAGAUUCCCCAGUUGCAAUUGUUUGGUUCUCACGGCAUUGUUGUGGGCUCCACCUAGUGAUUGUCCUUUCUUCAACAAUGUAACAAUGUUACAUUCUCUCCACAUUUAUCAAUAUUAACAAGCAACAAUGUCUUUGCAACACUGCCACAAAGUCAAGUGUGCAAUGAUAAUCAGACCAAACCAUCAAACGCCCAUUUGUUUCACCAUUGUUAUCAGACAAAAACAAUCACAGCAUACUCUGAAUGCACCAAAGAUGGAUGAUGCUGGUAGGCGAUAAAGUCCACACCAUACUGUGAUCAUGAUCUAACCACCCAAUUCUUCAUCCACUACAACAAAAAUGGCUUUUCCUGACAUAUCUGUAAGGACACUUGUUGGUUUGUGUCAUUAUAACACUCCUAUCAUGACACUUAUUAGCAAUUCAAUAAUAUAUAGUCUAAUUUUUUUAUUUUAUUAGAUAUAAAAAUAAUAAUGUGCCUUUAGACUAUCUAACAUGACACUUGAGAAAAUGUGAGAUAUACCAAAAAAAAAAAGACACUAAACGGCAUCGUUUGAUUUUGGCGGAAGAUUCAUUCGCUCUAAAACACUCAAAAUUUUCAUUCUGCCGGCCAAAACACUUACUCAAAACACUUGCUCAAAAUUUUCAUUUUCCAGCUUCACCAUUUCCAGCCCCCUCUCUCUGUCUCUCUAUCUCUCUGUUGUCAGAUUCCGAUGUAGUUGGUGGAAAAAUGGGUAGCAGCCAAGCAGCAGUUUCCAUAAAGCUUCAACCGUGGCUCCCUCAGGCAGCUAACAGCAGCAUCAGCAACAAAAUCUCUCUCGAAGGAAACCCACUUUCAGGUCAUCAUCUUCUUUUCUCAAAUUCGGCUCAACAAAUUUCUCCCCCGACUUGAAUAGUUUAUCGAGAAUUGUCUUUCAAGUCCAAUCUCAAUUUGCCCUUUUGGCAAACUUCCUGGUUCAUUGGCUUACUUUUACUAAUGGCAAUCUCGUUUUUCGGUCUCGCCAUUUUCCUUUUUCUUACCCUUGACUCCGAUUUCACCUCUUCCCCCGUCUCUACAGCUUCCGAAGGUGUCUAGGUAAGCCAAAAGCCCACUUACUACUUCAAAUUCGUGGUUUUUGCGUUCCUGUAGUUGCACAGAUAUGCAGUGCAUCUUUGUGUGUGUGUGUGUGUUUUUCCCCUAUUUGUUGAAAUUGUACGCGGAACGUUGUUUUAUAGUUAUUUUUGGCUCAAAAUUUUGACCAAGUUUGUGCUAUUAUAGGCAUGUGAUGGUUAUAAAUUAUAGCGCUUCAGAAGUUUAUAAGCUAAAAGAGGACAGGGAAAGAGGAAAUGGAGUUGUUUGUGUAGAAUUAGUAAUAGCCUUCGACAUGUUUGAUGAAAUGCCUCGAUAAUCUUUGUUGAAAAUCUAGUUGGUGUCAGUUAAAAUUUGCUAUUUGGAUUUUUUAAAGAGCUGAUUUAUGAAUUAAAUUUGAUUUUUUUUCCUGUUUUAUAGUUUGAGGUUUCUGUUGUGUGGCGAAAAUAAAAAAUGGUGUAUGAUGCUUUGAGUUCUAAUAGUUGUAUAAUGGGGCUUUGUGCUAAGUCAUUCUUAUUUUGUUCGGCAUUGUGAUUUUGGUAAAUUACUUAUGGGUCAGUGAUCAUGUAGUUGACGAUUACUUAUGGCUGGUGCACACCUUUUUGUACAGUACAUUACCGGUUUAAGCCUAGCUACCAAAAGCAGCAUUCUGUGGACAAUAUCUUGUUCUGUGGUGCAAGAACAAGCUGUGGUAGAUGGCUUUUUCUUCCUUUAACUGAUGCUAAUCUUUUUGUAGUCUUUUAACUGAUACUGUUCUUUACAAUAUAUCCCAUUUAGCUAAUGAGUUUAAGAUGAAAAUAUAAAUAAAGUUCAAAGUAUUAUUCUCAUUAGCUGGACAAAAAUGUAACAUCUAGUCCUCUUAUUCAGCUUAUUGGGUUGCAAGUGUUACGUUCAUGAGAAUUACAGACUCAUGACACUGCGUUGCCACUAUUCACCAGUCUAUAUGAUUUUGAGAAAAUCAAGGAUUAAACAAUAAACAAACCCCAUCAACAAAUCAACCAAUUAGAAGGGUGAUUUUGAUAUCUAGCUACUGGGAACUUUUGAAAAGUACUGUGAAAAAUCAGCUUGUGCCUGUCUGACCAAGUGUUCAUCUUCCCACUGGUCUCUGUAUGUCUCAGGCUGAGACCUCUUUCUCAUGGAAGUUUCAACAUACAUCUGCUUUCUCCAUUAUUCAGUCGGCAGACAACCACACUGAGCAGCCAACCAAUCGUCAUAUUCGAACUGGCGAUAUAAAACAACGCAUCAGUUGAGUUGGGCAGAAAUUAAAAACUCUAGACUAGGUCCAUGGAAAAGCAAGUGCAAAGAGGGUCACACUGGUGAAAGAUGACAAUGAAGAGCUGCAGCGAAAUCAAAUCAGCAGGAGGUGAGCAUUUUCUACUUGAUAACCAGCCAUGUUAUGAGUAUACCGCUUUGGAGUGCCAGAUGCUUCCAUUGAUGAGUAGAAAGCUUGAAUAUCAGCCAUCAUCUCCUUGGGAGAAGGAAGUGAAAGCCGACCACACAGAGUACUAGCUAUCCACUUGCUCUGAAAUUCAAACAAGGGGAAAGGUACAACCUAGCAGUCAAAGGGAAAAAAAAUCGCUUUUAUCAAUUAAAUGCAUUAUCAACCAGAACAGUUCAUAAACUGAGAACAUGGAAUAUUUACAAAAGACCUUCCACGGCAACCCAACGAAUGAAAGCCAUGGCGUUAAAGCUGGAGGAAAAAUAUGCUUGUAAAGUGGCCCCACACGGUUAUCAUCCACAGCUACAAUGCCAUUAAUUUCAAGGAACGGAAAGUGAUAUUUGUACCUUAAAGAACAUGAAUAAUGAUUUAUUGCAAAUCGUCAACUAGAAUGGCCAGUUAAUGGACCUUUUUUGAAGUCAUUAUGAUCUCAUCGCAUGAAAUAAUUUUACCUUUCUUUGUUAUUUGAUUGUUGCCUAUGAACAUUUUGUGUGCUUCCAGUUAAUUGAUCUUUAGGAGAGUCAUUCUAGAUUUAUUGUCCCAUAACAAUCUUUAGCUAAUAUAUUAUGGUUUUCUUUUGGGUUGGCAGACCACACUUUUGGAUUACAUCAGGAAAAGCAAGGUAUGAAUCGAUUAUUUUUAUUGAUGUUCACGUUGAGGUACAUUAUUUGUAAUGCCAUUAUCAUUUGAUGACUUUAGAAGAAGUACCUUAUUCUGUCUUAUGUUAUGAUACUUGAAUAGCUGGGAACUAAAUCUUAGACAACCUACUGUAGGUGACAGCAUCUGAAGCAGGUGGAAUUACUCAAGGCAUGGGGGCAUACAAGGUACAAGUACCUUUUGAUGGCAAGCCACAGACUGGUGUUUUCCUUGACACCCCUGGACAUGAGGUAAUUAAUGAUGUAGCACUGGUUCUAACUUUUAACUGCUUAUUCAUGCAAGUUUUUUUCUUUUUUUAAAUUUUUAUGUCAAAUGCUCUCUUGGAGAUUUUGCAGACAUAUCUUAAAAGGCCUUUGUCAAGAUGAAUUAUCUAACAUAACUGUAAAAAUGGUUGGAUAGGCAUUUGGAGCAAUGAGAGCUUGUGGAGCCAGAGUAACAAACAUUGCUGUUAUUGUAGUUGCUACUGAUGAUGGAAUUCGACCUCAAACAGAAGAGGCCAUUGCUCAUGCCAAAGCAGCUGGAGUGCGAAUUGUUAUUGCUAUAAACAAAGUGCGCUUGCAUUUAUUCUGAGAUUUUCCACUGUGUGUUGGCUUGUAUAUCAUUUAGUCUCAUUUGCAUUUUGCUUUUGAUGUAUGAAACAUGAUGACAAAUCUCCUCUUGCUUAUGGGAGUUGGCAUUUUCAGUUCUCAUAAUCACGAUACUGCUCAAGUUUGAUGUUUCUAGAUUUUUGCAUCAUAGCAUAUUAUCUUAUAUGCAUUCUGUUCUUUGGGAUAAUUUUAAAAGUCCUUUGGGUUUCUGAUUGACAGAAUGUAUAGCAGGGAGCACUACCUGCAGGUUGCUUCUAUCUUAAAAAAAAAAAAAAACUCCUGACAAUUAAAAGUGUCAGCAUAGAAUUCGAUAUUUUAAUAUUGUAUUAUACCUAUCCUGACACUUUCAAUUAUCAAGAAAAGGGAUUUUGUUGGCAGAUGGAAUGUUAUAACAGCAUAGUUUUCUUGACAUGUUGAAUAGUAUGAGUCUAUCCCCACAUUGGAAGGGACAACACUCGCCCUAGGUGUGAGGAUAGAUAAAGUGUCAAGUUAAAUUAUCUAUACUGCAUUUUUAAAUGUCGUUAAAGCCAUUUUUGUUGUAGUGGAAGAUGAGAAUAAGAUUUGAAUAAAUUCGUAACAUUUUCCUUUUUGGACAUCAUGUACAUCCACAACUCUUCACUAUCAAUUUCACAAUUAUUUUCGUUGACAAUUUUGAUGCAUUUUAGGACAUAGAAGAGGUAAAAAGCUUCCUCCAGACCUAAUUGGAACACUGCUUAUCCUCUCUCAGCUGUGACUACCGGGCGGCCAAACAAGCUCGACUAAGUAGAUCAGUUUGUUUGGCAUCUGCUUGGAAGAGUACGCUCUGACUUUUGAAGACUUAGGAAGCCUUCUUUGAACGUAUAUUGAUCACCAGUAAAUACAAAGCCACAUGCUUUGACUUUUCUGAAACCAGGAUAUAUAUAUAUAUAUAUAAAUAUAUAUAUAUAUAUAUAUAUACAUAUAUGCUUAAAAGCGUCCCAUUAAGGCUUUCUUAACUACAACUUCACCAAAGAAGCAUCUAGAACAGACACUGCAUUUAUUAGCCGAACACAUUGUAUCCCCAUUUGACGAAAGUGUAUCCCGAAAGCUUAUUGCUAUGGAAUUCAGAUCGAGUGUCUUCUUGUAUGCAUAAUAGUUGAAUUUCAUCAGAAGAUAAUUUGUCAAGCCGAUCAAUAAUGGUUCUCCAACUUAUACCACCACCAUGCUUGGGCGAUUUGUUAGAUAACUGUACUAGCUCAUCUACAUGAACUGUCAUUUCUUCAUUUCAGCAUGAUGCUAGAAGCUAUCAUAUCAAAAAAGCUAUCAUGUCAACAUAUGUGUUGCUGUAUGCUUUCUGAGAUUUUAACUUAAAUUCUUUGUAGUACAUAUGAAAUAUUGCAAACUUUGGACUCCUACGCAAUCCAUACUCAGCUGAUCAUACCUAAAGAUUGCAAUCCUACGCAACCCAUACCCAAAGAUUGCUGAAAGUUAUCUCAAAUUGCAUCCCUGUUUCAUAUGUAAAAGUUUAAAAUUAAUAAACACGGAUUUAAAUGAUUUAUUUAAUAGUUUUUUCAUCUGAUUUUUCUUUUAGUCUUGAAGAAAUAGAAAUUACCGAACAAAUUUGUGCAGUCAACUUGUCCUCUUAAAUUAUGCAUAAGAUCGAACUUUUGUAUGCCUAAUGAACACUACAUAGUUAGAAGUUAAAAGCUGUUGCAUUUGACAAAAAAUUACUCUAUUUGGGUCGGUGGUUUGAAUUCAAUAAAGCAUUCAGUUGAAUGGAUUUGGUGGAUUUGGAAGUUAAAAGGCUUGUUGCUUUGUGCUUUUAACCCCGUACAGGCAUCAAUCAUAUAAACAAAUUUCUUUUUGACAUUUUAGCAAACAGCUUAUAUGCAUUCCAGAAUUAACUGCUUUCCCAUAAAUGCCGACACCUACUAUGUUUCACAUACAGGGUCUAAGUCAUUUCCCAUACAUUUUUCAAGUUGACAAUCAAAUCAAAUGAAAGAUAAACAAAUUAAAGCAAUAUAAUGAAGCGAUUUUCAAGAAACAUGAUAGUCUAACCUUUUGGCGGUUAUUUUUUAUCCGCUCUCUUGCUUGAUACCACCACCCAACCUUAAUAAAAUUCUCAACCUUUUUGCUGGGUCUGCAUAUGCCCGAUCGAUCAGGAAAUAGAGAUGGAAAGUGUGGACUGAAAAAUUUUGCAAGGAAAAAAUUUCUAUUCCAUCAUGUCCUGAGGUGAGAAAAUAAAAAGAAGGCAACCAACUUUGGAGAGGCAAAACCGUUUCAGAAAUCGGUGUUUUUUACUUAAGUAUGGAAAUUUUUUACUUUUAGUAUUAGUAAGUUUAAUUUAAACAAAAGUAAAUUUUGUCAAAUAAUAAGUAAAUUAAAUUACUCAAAGUGUAAAUUUGUAUUUCUGACUAAAACUUAUCUUUUAGGCACAUACUUACUAGUUUUAAUUAAAAACUUACUAAAGUUAAUAUUAAUUAGUUUAAUAUAAUAUUGGGUAAAUUACAUUUUACCCUCCCGUGGUUUUCGCAAAAGCCACAUAACCCCCCUAUGAUUGUAAAAGCUAUACAUAAACCCUCUAUGAUUUGGGUUAAAGUGUCAAAUAGACGGAAACUACCUAUCGUGACGAUUUGUGGGCGAAAUGUCUAAAUUACCCUAAUAUAAAUACAAAAAAGGCAACAACGAACACGGCCUGGGCUUUCCUUUCCUUUCAUUACUUCUUUCUUCGCGUCCGCAACAGUCAAAGUGGUGGAAGGCCCACCAGAGUCAAAGGCAGAGCUUUCUGCACCUCUCUUCAAGAGAUAGGAUUCCGGUUUCCGCAUCUUUCUUUCUCCCAUGCUUUUUCGUUGGUCAACUACCAAAAAAAACGAUUUCUGAAACCAGAGCUCUAGUCAUGGUUUCAUGCUGUAUGGGAGCUGCUGAUUGUCCCUGUCUAGGCCCCCACCAGUGAUUCCAUACUGCCUUUCUCCAUUGUUACCUCCGCUGCCAUGACCAGUACUACUGCUGCCAUAUCUUAAGCCAGGGCCCCUGCACCAGCCCCUACCGUAGCCAUAGCUGCUGCCCCAACUCCCUUGCCUGCUGCUUGCACCAGGACCAUAGCUACCACCAUUCCAUCCAUCACCAUUACUGCCGCCAUCUGGACCAUAUUUACCGCCUGGACCACCAUCUCCACCCUAUCCGACCCACCACCAUUACCACCUACAGAGCCAAAUCUACUGCCGUCACUGCUGCCUCCGCUUCCAGCCCCAUAACCACCACCAUUACCAUCUACAGAGCCAUAUCCAUUGCCGUCAUUGAAAGAGAUAAGGAGCACAGAUCUAGGCUUUAUUGGAUCUGUUAAAGUGAUCAAGGGUAAUAUGGGAACGUUUCUUACUGUUACCAGUAGUACAAGCGCGUGUAAGACACGAAUCGUCACGAUGGAUGUUUUCCGUCUAUUUGACACUUUAACCCAAAUCAUAGAGGGUUUAUGUAUAGCUUUUACAAUCAUAGGGGGGUUAUGUGGUUUUUGCGAAAACCACAAGGGGGUAAAAUGUAAUUUGCCCUAUAAUAUUUAAAGAGUCGCUAAAAAACUUAAUCUGUCACUAAAGGUAAUAGAAACCUAUAAUAGUAGGUUUCCCUAAUAUCGUUAUCAUAACUAUAGGCACUGUAGCAUUGUCCGUAAUCAUAUAUAGUCACUAAUUAUUUAAAUACAGUAAUGCUGCUAUAACCAUACACCUGUAGCAUUGAUAGUAAAUGAUUUUAGCAUCGAGUAUACCUUCCAUUCCUAUUUUAUUGACAUUAAAACUUAAGUAUAAGAUCAAAACCAUCAUAUAACACAGUAAGAAUCCCAAUACACGAAAGAAGUAGUAGUGUUUUGCUGUUAUACCUAAAUUUCAACAGUUAAUUUUCUUUUUUCGCUUAUUUUCAAUUAUAUUCCUAAAAUUCAUUUUAACAUACAUUAACUUAUCCAAAUAAUUGUAACAUACUUUCUAAAUUAAAACUUAGAUAAAAACAACUAACAUUAUACAUACAACAAAUAAUUAUCAAUCUGAUACAACUACUUAUAUUGUUAAGAAUAUGUAAAAUAAAUUUGCAAAUCACAUGACUAAUAUACUCUAUUCUAAAUCUAGAAAAAAAUCAUAAAUUAGAACUAAAAUCAUUAGCAAUUACAAAUAAAUAAAGAAAUUCAUACAAAUAAAUUAACAAAUCUUUUCUGAAAUAGCCAAUAUGUACUUCUGAGGUUUCGGCCGAACCAAAGUAGUGUCGGAAAGAAACACAUUCAAAAGUUGAAUUGAUUCGUUGAAAGCCCAUAGAAUUUGGAUGUCGAAUUGAUAUCUUUAAAAACCAUGUGAUUUUUACCGCUAGCAUUUAACGGGUGGAUAUGUUCUUAAUAUUCACUGUUAUCUCUCUGUAAGACUCUGAAUUAUGAUUGCCGUAAAAUUAGCUCAAUGUCCAUUCAGUUGAAAUUGUUUGCAGAGGAACUAGGCUGCUGUUAAAACUAUAAAUUCUUAUCAUCUUUUAAAUUUUUAAAAUUCAGAUACUAUAACACUGAAAAGCUAUUGACAUCCAUUACCUAUUUCUUUCUACAAACGGUUAUCCUUUUCUGAUUUUUGUUUGGUCCAAAGAUUUUAGUCAGUCAGGAGAAAUCAGUCGGCUAAAAGAAGUUAAUAAGAGAAUUUAUGAAUGCUAGUACAUGAAUAUAAAUUUUGUAUUUUUUUCUUCAGAUUAGUUUGCCAAACUCUAGUUUAGAACAUCAUUGUAUAAAGAGACGAAAGAGUAUCAUCUUACUCUUCCUUUAACAUUUGGUUAAACAUUUAGCUUUGAUAAUCACUUUAUUUUCAGAAAGAAUCACAAGGACAAUUUAUGCAAAUUCGAUUGACUUUUGCUACCAUUACUUCCUUCUGGGUUUGUUAAUGCUCUGUUUUUUAGCCUUUCAUUUUUGGUUAUCUAGUAGAUUGGUGAUUUUUCCAUCCUAUUUGCAUAAGGACUUGCUCAUGAUAAAAUAUUUAUAGAAAUAUCUAUUUUAGCAUUUUAGACAAAUGUCUCAUGGGCUAUGUUGGCACAUGUACAAAGCAGUGAUUUCCAAGCAAAAAUGUAUGGAUGGUGAUGUGGUAGACAAUUGUUCUCUUAAGGAGUGAAGAUCAAUCUUCUAGGAAGCAAUAGGUGACAGAGUAGAUGAAGAGGUAUGUAGUCUCAAUGAAUUAAAUUUGAAGGCCUACGAUGUUUCUGUUGCUGUUGCCUUAACUUCAAAUGAAUCACAUACAAAAGCUAUGCUCUGAAUUUAGUAUGCGUUUUUUAUGGCUGAACCGAUGUAAUUCUGCUUAAUAUUUGCUCUUUAGAAAUUUUUGUAAUACAUUCUUCAUAAGUUUUGAUGGUUCAACGUGGCUAACAUGGUGGUGUUUUUUUCCUGAAUCUAUUUAGGAAGCAGACAUCAUCUCGUUGGAAAAAGAACAACAUGGUUCCCUGUCGUUUUUGUGAGAAUGUCAAAAGGAAGAAAUUACUGUCACUCGGCAGGCAAGUUUCGCAGAUGAAGAUGGUCAUCAAUUAUAGUUAUUUUGCUCAUUAAUUUGCACUAGCAUUGAUGGAGGCCUCUCAAACAUCAUGCAGAAAAACUGAAAGUGUUAUGGUUCUGUAGUGCUCGGAAUGCAGAAAUGAAGGUAAUGAUUUGGCUAAACUUGUACAAUAGUUCUGACAUACUAAGCUUCCAAAAGCUUAGGUAUCACACACAUUAGUUAAUAUUCAUGGGAGCCACCCCAAGUCAAAGCCGCAAUAUGACUAUGUAACAAUCUCAUUGAAUAUUGUCCACGAAAUUGGAAAACAAACUUUUCUGUAUGCCUAUAUAGAUAGGCACUAUAUUGUUGUAGAAAUUAUGGAAACUUUUCUCUGCCAAAUAUUUCUUCCAACAAGAUAUCAAGAGUCUUUUGCUUAAACUCUCCAUAGUUCUUCGUUUCUCAUUCCCUCAAAAAAAAAAUUUCUGUUGGUGUUUCAAUUAGUCAAUUUCUAGUCGGUUUUUCAAUCUUGCAUGCACAGUCUGUCAAUCUCUAUCAUAUGCCAAGCAUGUUCAUGUUUUGCUUUUGAAGUCAAUUUAGUUCUCUAAUCAGUAUAGUGCUUGACGGCAUCGUCAUUUGACCAAAUCUAGUUCGCUUUAUCUAGUUCAUCAGUACUAUACUGUUAUUUGUCCACUCCUUUGUGUAUAUUUUUGGUUAUUUGUCAUCUCCAAUGGCUCAAGAUGAUGUUUCUCAAACCUAUUUAUAUUAUUCUUGAUGGCACUAACUAUUCUCAUUGGGUCCAAGCAUUCCAAAAUUUUAUCACUAUCCUUGUUGCUGUUGAAGGAGAAUCUUCUGAAAAAUUUAACACUCGUUUCAAAGAAUGGGACAGUGAUAAAUUUGACUUACCAAUACCUCUGUGCCUGCCAUUAAUCGCCUUUUUCAGCGAUUUGAUAUUGCAAAGGUAGUUUGGGACUUCUUAACUGAUCGUUACACUGCUAUCGAUCUCUCUCGAUAGUACCAACUUUUCCUUCGAUUGCAAGCCAUGAAACAACAGUUUGGUCAAUCUGUUUAGGAUAUCUACUUCGACAUGGUCUGUUUUAGGGAUGAGAUUGCUGAAUCAGAACCCUGCUGGAACUACCCCAAUAAAGCAAAAAAAUUCUAUACCUACCGUGAUUCUCAUUGCGUUAUUUUGUUUUCUUAUGGCCUUACUUGACGAGUUUGACUCCACUUGGACUGCUAUUCUCAAUAGAAAGCCAUUGCCUUCCUUUAUGCUGUUCUUAAGAACUUGAUAUGUGAAGAGGAGGAGAAACGGUGUUUCCUUUUAGCUAUGACUGAUUAGGUUAACUCAAGAAUCCCAUACUCGUAGUUUUCUAGCACAUUGGCAACCUCCUUCAGAGGGCUUCAUCAAAGUUAAUUUUGAUGGAGCAGUUUUCAAAGAGUUGAAUGCUGUAGGUUUGGAUAUUGUCAUUCAUGAUCACUUGGGUGUAUUUCUUGCGGGUUCUUCCAGUUAUCGCAAAGGCACUUGCAUGUGAAGAAGCCUUUUCAUUUGUUGUUGGUAUUAGGAGUUCUCGAGUACCUUUUGGAGGUGACUGUAGCUCAAUUAUUCAAGCAGUAUUAUCUGAGUAUAAUCUGAUUCCAAGGACCUUUCUUCUACUAGUGUGAUUUUGGACGAAGUUAGAUUACUGAUUAUUCAAUUUCAAGAAUUGAAAUUGCUGUUGAUACAUAGAACUUGCAAUCAAUCAAGUCAUGUUUUUAAUAAAACAAGCUAGAUUGGUAGGAAAUUCUAAUUGGAAUUUUCCUUCUCAUUUUUUGUAUCCUGCCUUAAUGGCAGACUGCUUCAAUUAAUGAAAUCUUUGCGCUUUUUAUAUGUGUAUAUAUAUAUAUAUAUAUAUAUAUAUAUAUCUAUAUCUAUAUCUAUAUAAAAGAGAGGUAACUCAAGAGUUAAAUUUAAUUAGGAUUGUUAUUGUGAUAGUUUAAAAAAGAUGCGUGUCAACACAUUAAAAUGUGUAACAUGAUAUUUCACUUGCAUGCACCAGAGUACCCUAGAAAUGGCAGCAAGACAAUUUUUCUAUGCUCUGGUUCCGUCACCCUACACCACUCCCCUCAUGGGUGAAAGUAUGUUUAAUUACUUGAAUCCAACAGUUCAAUUUACUAGUACUGCUUCUAUUACUAAUACUAAUAGUUUAACUUCAAUGCCACUCACCCUCAGUUUAGCAAUAUUACCACUACUAAAUGUUAGUGCUACUGAUAGUCUAUAACAAAUAUCAUUAUUGUAUAUAAAGUAUGAAUCUUAAUAUUAGGGAGUGUAAGUGUAAAUACUUUUUAAUUUUAGUUUUUGUUAUCUCUAAAUUACCCUUAUGCCUUUUAAUUAGAAUUAUUGCAUUUUAAUGUGGCAUUAAUUAAAAGAAAUAAAACACUUCAAUUGAUUACAUCUUAAUAGUAUUGAUAAUUAUAAUUAAAAAUUGCCCAUUAAAAACUAUUUACCUAUUCUUGGACUCCAUCUCCAAUUAUUAUACGUAUCAAAAUUUCUUAAUUGGAGCACGAAAAAUUUCUCAUUAGUAAGUAGUUGAGAUUGUUAAAAAAAACCAAUUUAAAAAAAUAGAUACUCUCUUAAAAAUAGAGAAAUAUACAAGGAGAAGAGAACCCCUAUUCAUAUGUAUAUCUUCAUACAAAUAUCACGAGUAUUUACAAUUAUGCACUUUUUAACAAUAUGAAGAAUUUUUCAUGUUGCACCCAAUGGAAUUUCAAUAUACAAAAAAUGACGAUAUCUUUACAACUGAAAUAGCAGUAUUAAACUAGAAAAAAGAAAUCUGAAAGAGCACCAUACAAACCACUAUUAUGAAAUAAAAAGAUUUAAAAUUAAGUAAAUUUCAUUUAUGGUGACAAUUGUAAUUAGACAGAUUUAGUGCAUUCCAAUAAUUGAUAAUAAUGAUAGCGGUUAUGGAUUAAAUAUUGGCAAUUAAAAAAUAAAACACUACAAUAUACCAAAAAAAACUAAUAUUAAAAUUGUUAAUUAGCCACAAUUCUCAUUCCAAUUCCAUGAUCAUCAAAAAAACUGAUACUAGAACCAAAACUAUUGUGCUCAUAUGAAAAAAGUAGACUUUUUGCUCUUGCUUCGCAUUGGAUGUUUUGCUAAAAAUAUGAAUAAAAGAAAAGAAAGUAGAAAAGCUCCAACUAUCUCUAUCUAUAAAAUUUUAAUUGUCAGAGCGUACAAACAAAAAAAACUUUACAUGGUAGAUCAUUUAUACUCCAUUUUUGACAAAAAUAGAACUAACAUAAUACAAAAAAUUCAAAUUACAUGUAUGUUUAUUUUUCUAACUUAAUUAUAUUCUUUGUAUAUAAAAAAUUGUGAUGAUUGUGGUUUAUAUGCAAUAGAACCAUGAAUAUACAAUAAUUUUGAUAAAACAUAAUAUUAUCAAUAUUUGAUAUGUUAGAAUUCAAGCUAUAAAUCAAAAAGUGUUUGCUUCAUAAUUCCAAAUUCAAUCCUAAGGGACAUGUCAACUACAUUGAAAUGUUUUCUAUCUCUUUUCAUUUAAUAAAAUUUUUAAAAGUAACUAGUUUAAAAAAAAUAACACAAAAAUAUUAUAUUAUGACGUUGAUGAUCAAAAUUUUAUAAAAAAAUGUUUAGUAUCCAAAGAAUAAUAUAUUUUAAAAUAUUACAAUCACGUGUAAAGCACGUGAACUAUUACUAGUAUGACUAAAAGAAAAGAUAAAAAUAACAUCUAGAUUGUUUUUAACUAUAAGCAGAUAGAAAACAUCAGAGCUGCGGAUAAUUCAUGUUCUUAUGCUUCAAUUUAAGCAUGAUUGGCUUCUAAUAGUGUACAAAAUAAGUUAAACUCAAUUUCCAUAUGCACCAUCUUUGUCUCAAAUCUAGUACAGUUAUUCUUGCAGGACAGAGCAUGCCAAGAAACCUUUUUGGCUUUUUGUUGUUGUGUGCAUAUAUAGCAGAACUGUAGCCGCAUCAUUUAUUGGUAAAAUAAAACCAAUGGUAAAAGGAAGCCACGUAAAUCAAGAAGGCCAAGUAAGAAAGAGAUGAAAAUGUAUAUUAGUUGAUUAGGCAUCAAAAUGAAGUCCCAGUAACAUCUUCAGCCCUACUUGCUCCUAAUAACUGUGAGACCUUCAAACAGAUAAAAAUAACCUAGACGAAAGGCAAAGGUCCCUCUCCAACUUGACAAUUUCUUCUCAACAGCAAGUAAAAAUGCAGAUUUGAGAACUCAUACAUAUACUCAGGAUGGACGGAGCAAACUUUUUUUUUUUUUGGGGAAGAAAUAACAAUCAAAAAUCAAUUCAAUCAGCAAAAAGGUGAGAACAACAUUAAUUAUGAUGGAAUCUGUUUGAAUGCAAAUUUAAGCAUGAGUAUAUUCUGAUCUUUAAUGUAGCAACUGCUUCUGGGAUGCUGAAAGAGAUUGCAAUUCCAGGUGGAUGAAUUUAUGAGCAUCUAAUCAGAACAGCAUUCUUCUACCAGAAUUUUGCAAUCCGCAUAGCUUCUUUUAUAUGACAUUAUUCUCUUUGCAAGUUGAAGGCUUUGUCAAAGCUUCAUCUUCUUUAAUGCUCCUCUAUUCUGCAGAAGAUACUCAACAAGCGUACAUUCAUAUGCCUUCUAAUCAAAUUCUACGAGUUAUGUUUCCUAGACAACACAGCUGUUGUUGAAGGACGUCAUGCCAACACAGCUGUCGUUGAAGGAAAAUUAAGCUGACAGAUAUAAUUUAAGGAAUUCUAACGAUAAAACUAUUCAUCAGCAUAAUUCACUAGAGUUAAGACAAGCUUUUUGAGGUUAGGGGCACUCUCAAAUAUGGUUCGGGGAUAUUUUGAGGUUAGAGUUGAGACAAGACUCCGAUAAUUUGGCUGAUUCCAUGCAUUGCAGAUUUGAAUCAGCCGAGUCAGAGCGAGUCGCUGCGAAUAUGAAAUUAUCCACGAUUCUGGAAUCAGUACCAUACCAGUCUCUUCCGUUCCGGUGACUCGGCCAAGAUGGCUAACCAUGCUCUCAAUGAAUCUUGGCAUCACUUUCCAGGAUUGGAUGCGGUCAAUGUUCCUAUUGCUGACGGCUUUCAGUCCAAGAUGAUCAAAUUGUUGAAAGUUGGCAAAGAACAGCUGGAAUUAUACAGAGCCUCCAGGCACAUGAGAACGUAGUAAUCAGAAUAAUGUACUACUUGUAUUUGAGUAUUUGAAUGUCCAUUUAUUCUAGCCAAAGUUGGAAAAAGAAAAAGUACCUCCAACAUCGGUUCUUUUACACAGGGCCAUUCCACUCUGCGCACCCUAUCCAAAAGCUCGAAAAAAUCCCGACUUUUUGAUGCUGGAUGGACCGAGCCACUUAAUAUUUCGGCUACAAGAGAUUCCAACUCCUGAUUAAAGUUUAAGGUUUGGGGCAUGGCAGCAACAAACCAGAUGUUUAAGGUUUGUGGCAUUUGUAGUAACUUGAUGAUUUUUGUCACCUCUCCAAACUUGAUAGUCCAACUCUCCAGCUUGUUGGACUCCAGAAGAACAUUGGUACCCAGAAUUCCGAAAAACUUCAGUACCUGUUUUUUCAUGCAAGGAUUAAAACUUCAACAAUUUCAAUCUGCAUGCUCCUACCAUCAGGGUUCAAACUGUCACAAACCUCCAAAAGCGCAAUCUAGCUCUAGUUCUUCAAGAACAGGACAACCAUUAAUAAGUCAGGCAAAGGAGCCAUUAUCUGCUAACCUGAGUCCUAUAAAAUGCAGUACCUCAAAGAUUUGCUAACAAACUGAACCGGAGACUAAUAAAUGCACGUCUGGCAAGUCUAGUUUCAGAGAUAUUAGUGUUACGCGCGUAAAACAGGUCCUAUGGACAGAAUCUAGCUCUAGUUCUUCAAGAACGGGACAACCCUUAAGUAAGUCUGGUGAGGAACCAUUCAAAUUGAAGUUGUAAGUUUAAAUACUAUUACAACAGCGAUCUUGAUCAAGAAAUUCCAGAUGAACUAAGUGCCAGUAUAAAGAAAGGUAGCUGGAUUAAAGAAGGGCUGAAAGGGACUUUUGCGGUAAAGAAUUCAAACAUUUACCCACUUGGGCAAAUGCCCUGAUGAUCCAAGUUGUGAAGUUUGAUUUCAGAGAAGCCAAAGUUUUUUGAGCGUUGUUGUAGUUGGGGAAAUCAUCAGCAUCCUCCAUUUAUCGUCAUCAUCAUCUGAUUCUUACUUAGCUCUUCCUUCUCACUGAUUGUGUGGGUAAAUUCUUGUUCUGCCUUCUGGGGAUGUUAAUUGAGGUGAAGAUAUGCAGCUGGCAAAUUCUUCCUCCUCCUGUUUUCACUCUGUUUUCUUAUUUUGUUUUCAGGGACUUUGCAGAGGUAGUCUGAAUUACAUCAUCAUUUUGCCAUAGCAAUUCAUACCUCUCUUGAAUCAAUGGGCAUAUACAAGUGUUAUGAUUCUAAUAUCCAAUUUUCUAACUUUUCGGUAAUAUUUAGUUUCAUCUUCUUGUGGUAUACCAUAAAACAUGAUAGAUUAAUCAUUAAAAUUUGCCACCCCUAUUUCUCCUUGUUCAGACUACCUAAUCAUGCCAUAAAGCAAUUAUAACUUCACCAAAUAAUUCCUUGAUUAUGUUUAUUUUCCGAGCAUUACUGCUUCGUGAAAGGGGCAACAAAAUCCAAAUGAAGCAUUACUGCUCAAUCAUGUUACUUAUAACCAUCCAACCACCAGAAGCCCUUAAGGCUUGUAGGGUGGGAGAUAAGGAUUCAAACUUUGCCUCUCCCACCAAUUGUCACAUUACGUGACUCUUUAAAAAAUUUAGACGGAUGUAGUAUACACGUCUGAUUCAAUGGUGGAUCAUCACCUGUCAGUUCCCCUCAUUGACUCAAUUGAACCUCACUUAAAAUAAAGGUAGAAGUAGGUGUAGGGUAAACUUUUGCCGACUGUCGAAAAAAAAAUUACUUAUAACCAUCUAUCCAAGGGAUCUGACCGUGAACCAUAGUCCACGCUGUUUCUAAACUUUUUCCAUACAAAUGAGAUUUGAGCUGAAAGAAUCAUAUGAUGAUCCCAAGCCAUGUCAGAAGGGGCAGGCAUCCCUUUCCUGUUCCAAAAAAAUAAAAACACCGUGCCAUGCCUCCUUGCUUUCUUGGUUAAUCCCAACUGCAAUUGCUAGUUCUGAUCCAAUAAACAGGCCUGCUUUCAUCUUUCACAUGAUAAAUAAUUGCAGUGCAAAAGAAAAGAAAACAACCCAAGCGCACUGAAGAAGAUGAACUUGCAAAAAUUUAAGCAAGAGCAAAAAGAAGCCGGUUAUGAUGUGGCAGUCUUUAGUCAUAGUACAUGGAUUAUUUGAAACAAUAUUUCCAGCAUCUCAAAUAAAGUGAACCUCAAUAUAUAUGCGCUGAGCAAGAUGUUUGAAACCCCAUCAUCAUCAAAUGCCUAAUUCUAAAGUUUGUGAUCCAGCUUGGUACAACAAUUAUGUCAGUCUGCUGCUUUUCAAAAAUAGUUUCUUGAUUCUGGUGCAAUCUCUAAAUCAGUGAAGUGAUCAAGAGAAAGAGUAACAAGCUUUGGUUGUGGAAGAAAAAGUGGCUCUCGUAUGUUGGCGAGUGGACAACCAAGAGCCAGAGGAGGAAAAAGAAAUUAGGGAGUGGGAACAAAGGAAGUAAAUGAUUAAUGAUGAUUGGAUGAAGUGAUAAAUAAAAAGAGUUGUUAGUUGGGGUGUGAAAGAAGAGGGGUCAUCGGUUGUGAAAGGAAAUGGGGGACCAGAGGAGUAAAUGGAACUUGAGGAGUGGGGACCAAAAGUAAUGACCGAUAAAAUUGGUACUUGGCCUAUUAGGGGGAAAAUGGGGACCAGAAAAAGAAAGUAAAUGAUAUAAAUUUUGUAACCCAUUCUUUCACAUUUUUUCUAAAAAAAUUUCUGGAGCACUUUUAAAAUUAUAUCAAAAUUAUAGAACUAUUAUAGGAAUUUAAGGGGGGCAGUAGGGCCCAUGCCCCCAGUGCCCCCCUUUAAAUCCGCCCCUGUUCUAUAAACACUUAUGUUUCCCAUGGUCAGCUGACAGUAAAUUAUACAGCAUCACUAGGUUUAAAGUUUAAGGAAUCUAAUGACAAAGCCGGGGCACAUCAAAAUUCAUAUGGAUCAUUUCAUACCUACAACAGUAGCAGCCUCGCCAAAACCAAGGGAAUCCCUAAAGAACUCAACACUUUGAUCGUACGAGGCAAGCAUUCCCAUGUUAAGUGCCAUAGUCCUCACAACAGUAGGGCCAGCACCUUUCCAGAGUGCCAAAACUCCUUCAUCGGCAGUAAUACGAUAAAGUGCAUGAAAUGCAUUUUUGUAAUUGCGCCUCUGGGCUGCAGGCAACGUAGCGUCAGCUUGCAUACGAAUGAGUGACAAGUCUGCAGGACUGCCAACACAUGCUCCAAUUGCUCCGGCUGUCCGCACAAAGCUUUCUGAUAAAGAGGUAAAGGCUUGCCAUCAUUUGCCUCAAGUGCUUUGUUAGUCAAAAUCCUGUUAUAUAAAAGGAAAGGGUGACAAAUAAGCAUUGCAAAUCAAGUAAGCUUUCCAAGCAUUAACGCAUCACCUAUCCAAAAGAAUCUUGUUCUGAAGCAAAAUGUAAGGGCAUAGCUUAGUUUUCAGUUUCCAAGUUCCCCAUCCAAACCAUGCAAUAGUGAAAAUAGCAAAUAAACUGAAGAAAGACAAGAAAGUGCUUCUUCAUCCCAGAAUUUCAGUUACAUAUCAGGAAUGCAAUUAACAACAGAGAAAGAAAUUGACAGGCAAAACUGCAAAAUCCAAAUUCAGCCCUGAUUACAUAGAAACUAAGACAAUGCAUGGGCUACGACCCUAGAAUGCAAUGCAGGUCCGUGACUGCAUGACUUCAGCCACACACUAAAAUAUUUGUGUUUACAUCAUCCCUGUGAAAAACGAGGCCGACUUUUUACACAAGGGCAUGGGAAAGAAAUGAAUAACAGUUUUUUCUGCUACUUUAGGUCAUUACAAGUGAACAGAAAAAGGAAAGGAUGUUUAACAAUAGGACAGAGGAAGUGGCAUUGUUGAGGUUUCAAGCCAUCACAAUUAUCAUUACUGCAAACUGUAAGUGCUGCCUGGACCCUAAUAUCCAAUUCCCCCACCCACCAACAUGCUCAUUCGUUUUGAAUGGAAACUUCUUCCGGGAAGCUAUCCCAGCACUUUUAACCGAGUUAAUAGCAAGUGAUCAAAAUAUAUUUAGUAUAAAAUAACCCAGAAAGCUAAAGGGUAUAGGUAAAAAGAGAAUGUUCUUAUUAAAAUUUCACUAAUAAUGCUAUCUUUUCCUCUUCCAUUAACAUGUACCAAAACAGCCGCUCAAACAAGAAUAGUAGCAUUCACUAACGCAUAACUGAUGCAGGAAAAUUUUAGGAUUAACAAUAAAAUGAUAACAAAAUGUGGUUAAAAAACAGUUACAAGGCCAGAAAAUUCAAUAUUCUGUGAUGUUUAUCAGACCUCUUUAAUCUCAAGGAAGCAUUGAUAGAGCCGUUAUUUGGCACGUUUUGCAUUGUCAUCUUUCUAAUUUUGGCUAUUCAUGGUGCUAAGAAAGGAAAUUUCACUCAUAUUUGAUAUUUGUGUGAAUUGUAGGUGGUAGCAUUAAAAUGAUAUCGCGGGGUAAAUUUUCAGAAGACUUUUCAUUUCAGAGCGUGGCCACGCCUUAAAAGGAGGACGAAACCAAAGCCGAACUGCGGUCCACGUGAACCCGAAGCGUGGGAUCAGAACUCUGGAGACAAAGCUUUGCUCCAGGCCUUUGUUCCAGACGUCUUUUUCUUUUCUACGUCUCUUGUGCGGCAGAUAUAAAAAGCGAAACAAGGAAGAUUCAAGGGGCAUCUAUUUUUGAGGCUUAGUUUUCUUUUCCUAGGUUUGUCAGCAGUCAGCCGCUUUUGACUGGGGGCUUUUGGCAUUCUUCAGCCGCAACUUAGACUAGUUUAGGAGUUCACCUUUUCAAUCUUUUGCUGUAGACGCCUUUGACGUUCGCUUUUGAUUUGCUACAAUUUUCCAUCUCUUUUAUCCUUUUUCUUGACUCUGCUCCAGGAGCGACGGAAUAUAAGGAAAUGAACCAAGGGAAUUUCCCAUUUGUUCCUUAGUUAAUUCACAUCGCUCCGCUCCUUGGAAUUAAUUGUUUGGAUGUUUGCGUGGAUGAAAUCAAUUAAAUCGCGUGAGCUUGGCAUGAUGAGGAGCGGCUAAUUUUUCCUCUACCCAAAGGGUGACGCGAGGGCGCGGUCCAUAAUAUCUGUGAGAUCUAAUCAAGCUUUCAUUAUUUCUUCCAAUUCGUUAUUAUUCGUGCGUUUUCUGAAUUAAUUGUUCAUGGGUAUUUGAUUAAUCGAAUAUCAACGGCCGGGUAUUUGAUUUAAUUUAAUAGCCUACUGCCACGUUAAUUAAAUAGAAUCCGUAAUUGUUCAUUUAGUUAACACCCCGUGGCAACCACCAUAAUUGGUUUUAUGAUGGGGAAACGCAGGAUCUAACUUAAAUAAACCCUCUUAGCGUGUUUAUUGGUUAGGGUUGGGUUCUUCUAGUUUUAAUGCAAUUGGGUAAUUAAAUUCCUAUGGUCGUACCUAGGGUUGUUAUCUGGUUAGGGAAACAGUCAAUGGUCGUACCUUGACUGUCGAAAAGGUAAGGAAGAACUGGUUGUCAGAGCUUAUUGAUAACUAUAACCAACCUAGUGAUGAAUGGGUGAAAUAUCUUUGCAUCGAUGAUCAGUUAAUUGGACCGUGCCUGAGCAGUUGAUCCUUUGGGUGGAAUCUUAUUAAUUGCUAUUUUUAGUGAAUUGUGCUUUGUGAGUUAGUUCUGAAUUUAGCUCGCUUUAUUUUUUUUUAUUUUACUUUUAUUUUAUUUAUUUAUCUCCCAUUGAAAAUCCCCCAAUUUUGUUCUACUAAUUUAGAAAGAAAUAAUUUCCUACCCGCUCCCUGUGGAAUCGACCCUACUUGCCAUUGUACGCGAAAUUAAUAUUUUUAUAGACAAAUCCGGUAUAUCGGAUUAAGCAAACUCUUCGGGAACAGGGUGAAUCAAGUAACCCAUUGCACACCUAGGGUCCCUGCUCCAGUAUUUGGAUUUGUUCUAUAAUUAUUUAAUUGGGAUGGUAAUUAGGACUUUUUAGUAAUUAUUAUUGCACAGGUUCGGCACCUGUCAAUUUUUGGCGCCGUUGCCGGGGAGCUGGCGUUUGGAUUAUUUGUUUCUUUUCAAAUUCAGUUUUUGUUUUAUUUUUAUUUUAUUCUAUUCUUCUUGGUAUUUUUGCUAGUUUAUGCCCCGUUCUUCUCGCACAGGUGAACUAGUAUACGACCCUGAGGUUGAGAAGGCAGCGCGUAGGCGGAGGCAAGAGACCAAGAGGCAAAAAGAAGGGCACUUACUUGCUGCAAACGAGUCAUCGGAAGACGAAGUAAGCAUGGCCAACACCCAAACAUUGAGGGAGCUGGCCGCCCCGGAGCUGACUCACCAGCCCUUAUGCAUCACAUUCCCUAUUUUGGCUGAGAAUACUGCUUUCGAACUGAAGUCAGGGUUGAUUCACCUCCUACCUUCUUUCCAUGGUCUCUCUGGCGAAGAACCCCACAAACAUGUCAAGGAGUUCGAGGUAGUUUGCUCUAGCAUGAAACCUCCUGGGGUCACUGAAGAGCAGAUAAGACUUAGAGCUUUCCCCUUCUCUCUCAAGAAUGCAGCUAAAGAUUGGCUGUACUACCUUCCAGCAGGUAGUAUUACCACAUGGGCGCAGUUGAAAAAGAAGCUUUUUGGAAAAAUUCUUCCCUGCAUCCCGGGCUGCGAGUUUGAGGAAGGAAAUCUGUAACAUUAAACAGUAUCCCGGGAAUCCUUGUAUGACUAUUGGGAAAGGUUUAACAAGUUGUGCACUAGAUGCCCGCAGCAUCAAAUUAGUGAACAACUGUUAAUCCAAUACUUCUAUGAAGGACUCAAAUCAACUGAUAGGAGUAUCAUAGAUGCUGCAAGCGGGGGAGCGUUGGCAAAUAAGACCCCGAGGGAAGCAUGGCUGCUCAUUGAGUCGAUGGCGGAGAAUUCUCAACAGUUUGGCUUCCGUGAGACUAACCCUACCCGUAGGGUCAACGAGGUGGAGACGUCAUCUAUUCAGCAACAAUUGUCGGAACUAACAUCCGUUGUUCGACAAUUAGUGGUGGGAAAUAUGCCCCAAGUAAAGGCCUGUGGAAUCUGCACAAAUAUGGGUCACCAUACUGACUCAUGCCCUAUGUUGCAAGAGGAUGGGGCCGAACAAGUGAACAUGGCUGGAGGCGUGCCCGCGCCUCGUAGGCAGUACGAUCCAUACUCCAACACGUACAAUCCGGGUUGGAGAGAUCACCCCAAUCUCAGCUAUGGUAGUAGGCCACAAAAUGCAUUCUCCAAUCGGCUUCCAGGAUUUCAGCAACCUUGGCAACAUAAUUCUCAACCCUCGUCCUCAAGCUCAGGGAGUUCUUUGGAAGAAAUUGUCAAGAGUUUGGCCACGACUACCACUCAACUCGUCACGACCACCACUCGGCUCCAGCAGGAGACUAGGUCCUUAGUUGCAAGUACUACUCAGUUUCAACAGGACACCAAAGCAGGCAUGAAAGAUAUGGAGACUCGCAUGAGUCAAAUGGCAACUGCCAUUAAUCGCCUGGAGUCCCACGUCUUUGGGAAAUUGCCAUCGCAACCUGAGCUAAACCCCAGAAAUGUAAGUGCCAUGACAUUAAGGAGUGGCAAGAAGGUGGAGGGAUCUAAGUUGACGAUUUCGAAAAGCAAAAGUGAGGAGCAGAUAGAAAAGGGAAUUGAAGAGGAAGGGCGCAUUCGCGAAGAGCCUAAGGUAACAUCUAUUCCUUCGAUCCCUAUUAAAUCUAAUAUAGCUCCUUUUCCUUGCAGGUUGGAAAAGACAAAGAGGGCAGAAAAGGAAAAAGAAAUCCUGGAUGUGUUCCGCAAAGUUCAAGUAAACAUCCCCCUAUUGGACGCGAUCAAGCAGGUACCCAAGUACGCAAAGUUCUUGAAAGACUUGUGCGUUAACAAAAGAAAGCUAAGGGUGAUGAAAGAGUGAUGGUAGGAGAGAAUGUAUCAGCUGUACUUCAAAGGAAACUCCCACCCAAAUGCGGAGAUCCAGGUAUGUUUGCUAUCCCCUGUAAGAUUGGUCAUUCUAGUAUCAAAAAUGCCAUGAUAGAUUUAGGGGCUUCUAUUAAUGUGAUGCCUAAGUCAAUCUAUGAUUCCCUAAAUUUAGGACCUUUAAAAGAAACGGGGAUAAUAAUUCAAUUGGCUGAUCGUACAUGUGCUUAUCCGGAUGGGAUAGUUGAGGAUGUUUUAGUGCAAGUAGAUGGAUUAAUUUUUCCUACUGAUUUUUAUGUGCUUUACAUGGAUGAUAGAAGUGCCCCAAAUCCAUCACCCAUUAUAUUAGGAAGACCAUUUUUGAGUACUGCCCAGACUAAAAUUGAUAUUAGUAAGGGUACUCUCACGAUGGAAUUUGAUGGAGAAAUAGUCCAUUUUAAUAUUUUUGAUACAAUGAAACAUCCUGUUAACUCUCAUUCUGUGUUUGCUAUAUAUACCACUGAUCCCUCUGUGCAAGAAUUCUCUAAGUUUGCUUGUAGGGGUAAAUUCAAGGUUGCUGCGAACAAGUCCUAUAGGAUGAAAGCAAUUCAUGAGGUAAAAAUGGAGAGAAAAUUUAGGAAAAAAAUUGCACUCAAUGGCCAUGUGGAUCCUGGAGGAGGGCCACCAAUUACAAGGAAAAUUCAAUUACAUCCAGACUAAAGAGUGGUGCUAUGUCUAGCCAAAGACAUUAAAGAAAGGCGCUGCUUGGGAGGCAACCCAAGGCUUCUUUUGUUUUAGUUUUCUUAUAUUUUUGAAGUUUUUGUUAAGUGUUAGUGUCAUUUAGUGGGUUGUUAUUUUGUGACAGGAAGUUGGCAGCUAGGCAUGCCCACGCUAGGUCAUCACACCUAAGGAAUGGAGUUUUCGAAUUGACGGUCAGACGACUAUAACUUCUAAGGCGUGCCCACGCCUUCCAAUCCAUCCGAAAAAGAAACUUCAGUCUUCUCCUCUCCGUUGGGUUGCGUCCGUCGCCACCACACCACCUUGUGCACGCAGCCGCUCUUACCUCCUCCGCCUUAGUGUCUCACUUUCUCUCCCCGGUGGUCAGGGAAGUUUCUUUUCUUUCCCCUAAUAUUUCAUUUGUCUUUUCUACAUUGAGGACAAUGUAGGUUUUAGGUGUGGGGGGAUUAGUGGCUUCCAUUAUUUCCUUUUUCUUUGUUACUCAAACAAAAAAAAAACAAAAAACAAAAACAAAAAAAACAAAAAAAAAUGAAAAAAAAAAUGAAUGAAAACAAUGUAGUUAGGCGGCUUUUUGGCUAUUUCUAUGCUUGUUAGUAUUAGGGCAUGUUGCUGUGAUGAAUGACACAAUCAAAGUGAGUGGGUAUGUGGUCGAAUAUACUAGCUGUGCAUUUUGUUUCCCUUGGCAGUGUCGUUGAAUGUUGAAUAUGCUGGAAUUGACCCAUUCUUGUAACUUUUGGGGGAGCUUUUGAGCCUUAUAUGAGCACAUUAUUCUUGUUUGCUCUAUUUUUGUUUGAUUGAGUGGGUAUCACACAUGGUAUUGGCAUUCUAGAACUUGCUAGUUUAUACAUGUCAAGGCCACAUUUUUGUUGAAUUAGAUGCAUUUGAAAUGAUAAGGGCAUUUAGGAUUUAACCCUCUUUAGCUAUCUAAAAAAAAAUCAAACCCUCAUCUUAUCUCCCAAUAGUGAACCAAUUUGAGAUUUAGUCCUUCGUUUCUGGUUGAUAUCCGUGUUUAUUAACCCAAAACCUCUUUAAACUUUCUUGUUUACCCCUGUGUUGUCAAGAGAUGCCUGAAUUCCAUCAUUUGUGCAAAUGACAGGUGCCGAACCUGUGCAAUAAUAAAUACCUACUCGAGAAAAAUAUAGAUUUUGUAUAUAGCGGUGAGCAGGGUCGAAUCCACAGGGACUGGGGAUAAUUCGUUUCUUCUAGAGUCCAAGGUAUGGGGGGUUUUGGAUUAAAUGCUAACUAAAUAAAUUAACUGCAGAAAAAUAAUUGAUUAAGAGAAAUAAUUAAGGGAAAACUCUAGCCAAGGGUACACUUCAGAAGUGGUUCAGGCACUGAUCAUUGAUUCACAGAUAAUUCCACAUUUAUUAAUAGACCAGUUAUAGUUGUCAUGCACGCGAUAAACAACCAACCUUUCCUUAAUUUCUCGAUAGUUAAGGUACGACCGUUAACUAUUUCUCUAACCCAAAAACAACCCUAGGUACGACCGUAGGAUUUAAUUUCUAGAUUGCAUUAAUAAUUAGAAAGGCCCAAUCCUAACUAACAAACACGUUACGAGGGUUUGUUUAAGUUAGAUCGUAUGCUCCCCUGACAUAAACCCAAUUACGCCAGUUGCUACUGAGAUAAAGAUAACGAACAAUUACGGAUUCAAUUAUCCCUAUUUAGCAAAAUAGCCUAUGUGAAUAAUUAAAUAUUGCGCAUCUAUUCAAUCACUCACACGAGCUAUAGCAAUUAAAAGCAGGAAACAUAUAAAUACCAAUAAAUUAAGGAAGCAAUUAAAAUAAAUUAGAUCUCACAGUAAUUGUUGAACCAAAUCUUCAGUUGUCCCCUUGACUUGAAUUAAGAGGUUAGUUCUCCAUUAAUGGAGAACAACCAUGCGAAAGAGCUAAGAAAAGAAAACUAAAACUAUGCUAAAAACCUAAACUAAAAAACUAUUCAAUCCCCCAACCUUCUGCACGUUUCUCCCUUUUUAAAGCCAAAAGAAAGUCUAAUGCUUUCCUCCUUUUCCGUGGUCCCCGCACGAAUUGAGAGUUAAAGUCCAAGAAGGAAACUCUUCCACAAGGUGGGGCCCAUCCGAAUUGCUCUUGAUUUUAAGCCUCUGUACGUUCCUAAUGACUAAGGCUUCUUAUCUCGCUGGUCCACCAAAAUUGAGAGUCCAAAUGCUCCAAAGAAGGUCCUGCGCCAUUCCUUGUAUCAUGUUUACUCUUGGUAGGACUCCUAGUCAGCAAAAAGGUAAAUGGAAAUCCGGUCCUUCUUAGCAAUGUGGGCCAAGUCUGUGGAGUAUUUAGAAGUCUCCAUAUUCUCCAAAAAGUACCUUCUUUUUUGUAGUUUUCUACUCUAUUCCCUGAAAUUGAGUCCAAUACCAAAUAUAAGUAAAUAUUAAUAAUUAAAACAAUAUUUGGCAAGGAUAAAGGGGAAAAUUAGCAAUAAAAUAACCAACAAUUAACACCCUAUCAAUUCCCCCCACACCUAAAUCAUGCUUGUCCUCAAGCAUAAGAAUAGCAAUUGAACACCAAAAUUUGACUAUGGCUAUUGCUCUAACUAUCAUAUUGCCAAGAUACCCAGAAAAACAUAUAUCAAGCAUCACAGUUAAGAUCCAAGAAAAACCACUCCGGUUAGCUUCUCAACCACCAACUCCUCCAAUUUAAAGCAAACUAAUCUAAGAAAAAGGAAUGGUUGCUCACAUUUAUCAGUAAAUGGUCCAACUAUUAACCAAAAUCUCAACAUUAAGUCCAUAAUUCGGCAAGCUGACUUUUAUUACACACUAACACAACCUUCCCUUUUUUUCAUUUUUUUUUUGUAGCAAAAGACUUAGUCGCUAGCCAUUUGAGCUUUUUGACGCGAACUCCAACAUUGGCCAGAUGAAGGAGCCCGGUUACUCAGCUUCUAUCGCCACGUGACCACGUACUCAUAGCAAUUACUACUUUUUGACGCGAGAAUCAACACUUUUAGGUGAAGAUCCCCGGUUACUCAGUAGUAACUACUAGCGGAGUACAGUCAACUCUUAUUUAUAACCAAAUAACACAAUAUCUAAAAACAACACAUGAAUAACAGCAGCCAGCCUCAAAUUUCCAAACAUGAAGAACUAGAAUUAAUAAUUGGACCAAUUCACAAGAAAAAUGCCAAUAAUCAUUCCCUAUACCUAGAAAAGUUAACUAAAAAUUAGAAAAGUCAAGUAAUUAUUGAUAUUCACCAAAAAGAUGUUCCUGAACUCAACCACCUUAACUCAAUACCUUUUUAUCAAUAAACUUGGCAAUAGCAGAAUUAGAAACAACGAUCCAACAUCAAACUUGGUAUUCAAAUAAGAACUGACCACUAGAAAGAAAAAGAAAAGAAAAUAAAUGAAAGAUAGGCAAAAACUAACUAAAAAUAAAGGACAAGCCCCUAGAAACUACAAACAAAAAAAUACUAGCAUCCCAACUGAUCUCCCCCCCACACCUAAAUGACACAUUGCCCUCAAUGUGAUAAUGUAAAAGCAGAAGGAAGGAGAGGGGCAACGGUACUUCCCUGAAGUCAUCAAAAUAGGGGCGGUUUAGGUGGAAAUACGCGGCCAGGUUCUUAGGGAUUGGAGCCACCUGGUUGGCGAUAUGCAUUACUCGCUCAUCCACUGGGCAUCAGCAGCCAUCGGUGGGAGAGGCCACUUAGCAAAUUCAAAACAAUAACAAUUUAAUAGCCAGUGGUGCCUCCCUCGUAGACAACCCAAUCAACAAAAUGCACAACCCAGGCACCUAGAGACUUACAAUAUCCCAACAAUACAGCAAUUUCAAUCAAUACUCACUGGUGGCCCCAGUUGGGUCAAAUGCAGGAACAAUGUAGUCCAAACUCGCAACAAAUGCUCUAAAGAUUUAGCAAUUGAAAUCAAUAGGUAAAAUACUCCCAGCAAGUCAAUUAGACGCCACCAACAGCAAUAAGCAAUGGAAGUGGCACAGUAGCCUUCCAAUUCAACAAACAAAUGAAGAAAAUACCCAACCAAAGGCACUUCAAGGGACGCAAGACAGAAAUCAGCAAAGUAGAACUCAAGUGAUACCAAAAAUAACCUCGACAAAGCAGUGAAUUCAACCAAUUUGAAUACGUAGAAUACGGUCAGAAAUGCCUCCCAAAGAUCAACAGAGAGCGACAAAACUUGCCACCCAAAAUCUGUCCAAAUGGCUCCAAUUGGAUAAGAAAUUACACAAUCAACCAACCGAAAUUAGCAAAUGAGCCAAGAAACCGUCAAAACCAGCAAUAGUAGUUCAAAUUUUGGACUACAACUAAAUCAAAAUGUUUGGCAGUUUUCGAUCAAGUAGCCCACCAACUAGAACCAAGUGGCAACAAAUGUAGUUAUAAUACCCCAACCAGUACCACUGGUGCAUCCCUCAGAUAAUGAAGCAACAUAAACGGCCACCCCAAUCAAGAAAAUGGAAACUUCAGGCACCUAAGGACUAGGCGAAAAUCUCAACAAAGCAGCUAUUACAAACAAUAAGCAAUGGUGGUCCGAAUAUUAGUCAAUGCAGAAAUCAUGCAACUCAAAAUCUCGGCAAGUGCUCCAAUGAGCUUAGCAAUUGAAAUCACAAAACUGAAUACUCCCCAAACAAGGUACUUAGAGUCAACCAAUGGCAAUACUAAUUCAACAAACCAACCAGAAAAUUACUCAACUAAGGGUGCAAUAGAGGUCUCAAGCAGCCAAAACCCCCAAAUAAUGCCCAACAAUUCGAUCAAUACCAGAAAAUCACCCCAAACAAUGUAACAGUUAAACUCCACGGGCUAGGGACGUCCAACCAGUUUUACUCGAACCAACUAGGAGCAGUGCGAGUGACUAAACAACGCAACAAAUUUCAGCAAUUGGACACAAACCCACCCAAAAUCUCAACAACUGUCUCCAAUUGGACAGUUAAAACCCAGUUAAACCCAAAAUUAGCAAAUGACCCAAGAAACCAGCAAUUCCAGCAACUAAUGGUAAGAAUCGAGAGACAGUUCAGGCACCAAAACUCAAGAAUCGAAUAGGCAGUCCAGCACAGAGGAUUAAGAAAUGGAAAGCAACACUGCAACCAGUACCACUGGUGCACAGACAGGAAAGAAUUAAAUUCAAUGGCAGUAACACAACCGCAAGAACUUAAACUUUAAAAUUAAUCAACCAGUACCACUGGUGAGUCACAGGGAAAAAUUAAUCAACCGGCCAAAAAUUCAAAUAAUAGCAGAAAAUAUCCCCACUAUGUCAGCAAUUAAACCCAACUCUGUUCAAAAUUUACCCUAGAAAAUGCCCAAAUUAUCACCUUCGUUUAUCCAUCAAGAAAUUCAACCACAACUUUCAGAGAGUGAAACUAAUUUGGGGAAGAAUUCAAUACCUCCACCUGUCAAAGAAAUUUGACAGGUGGCUUGCGCUGUGUGGACUGGCGGUGGAGCUUGGAGGUGCAGAGGUGGAGCUGGCUGGAGGGCGGCGCGGGUUGAAGCUGGGGCGCGACGGAGGAGGUGCACGUGAGGCGGAUGAGCUGGGGUUGAGGUGACGUGCGGCAGAGAGAGGGAGAAAUAGGCGGGGCUCGUGGGCUGUCGCGAUGGCAGCGGCGAGUGGCGAGCUGAGGCGGCGGCUUCUCGCGCAGGUGAAGGGCUGAAGAGCUGGUGGUGAGGCGCAGCUGGUCAGUGAAGAGAGGCGCAGCGAGCUCCUGGUGGCGGUGGAGGCGCGCGAGCUCAGGAGGAGCUGCGCGUGAUGGGGAAGGGAGCCGCGGCGUGCGGCGGACGAAGCUGGAGGAGGCGCACGGUGAUGGAGCAGGCCGUGGGUGGGGUGCGGCGAGCUAAGCUGAGGGGCGGCGCUCCUGGAAGGUGAGAGUGGAGGAGAGACGCGGCUUGGCCGCGAGCUGAUGGCGUGCGAUCUGAUGGCAUGGAGCAUGGAGGCUGCGGCUGAAGUAGAAAAGGACAGGGGGAAAGGGAAAGCAGCGGGAAGAAGGAAGAAAGAAAAAGAAGAAGAAAGAAAGAAAGAAAAGAAAAGAAAGAAGAAAAGAAGAAAAAGAAAAUAAAAUGUUUUUUUUUUAACUAGUCUUACCGAAAUUCUCCAAAAAUUGAAAUUGCUUUUGUAAAAAAAAUUUUUUCUCUUUUUUUUUUUUUUUUAGAAUAAGGAGCCUCUGGCCUAGGCGUGGGCACGUCUAACUGCUAUAGAGUCCAUAGAUCCUGAAUGAAAAUUCCUUUCCUCAAGCGUGACCACCUGGUGUGGGCGCGUCUAACUGCUAUAGAGUCCGCAGAUCCUGAACAAAAAUUCCUUUCCCUCAGGCGUGACUACCUGGCGUGGGCAGGUCUAACUGCUAUAGAGUCCGCAGAACCUGCACGAAAAUUUCUUCCCCUCAGGCGUGACCACCUGGCGAGGGCACGUCUAACUGUUAGCUUCCUGCCACAAAAGCAACAAAUCACUAAAUGCAACUAACACUUAACAAAAAUUCCAAAAAGCAUAAGAAAACUAAAAUAAAGAGUCUUGGGUUGCCUCCCAAGCAGCGCCUUUCUUUAAUGUCUUUGGCUAGACAUUGCCAUAUUUAUUCACGGAGAAUAAAAUCUUGUGACUCGUUUCAGUGCUUCAUCCUCUAUAUAAUCCUGAUAGCCCUCGUAAAUAGAGUAAUUCUUGAGCACACGAGAUACGGGCUUCUAUGGACUAGUAAAUGGCGCCAAACAAGUCAACGAUAAUUUGCAUUCUCCACUCUCUCCUCCAUCACACGCCUUUAUCGGUUCAAGAUAUUUGACCAUCGUAGCUCUUAACUUAUUCCUGUCAUGAAACUCAAAAUCGUCUGGUAUGAUAAAAUCAAUCUCACUAACAGGAAUUAAAGAAUAUGAGUCAGGAAAAUAUUGAUCAAGAAAUGGAGGAGAUGUCACCGCAUUUGGAGAUUGUUCACUGGAUUCAUUCACUUGAACCAUUUGAUGUUGGGUCUCAUGUCUUGCACUUCAACUUCCUUUUCAACUGUAAUUUUAGAUCCUUCUUUUUGAGAUUCUCGCAGCACCAUGUCAUUCGUCAGGAUAAUUGCACUCUCAUCUUCCUCAUGGUCGAUAAUAGUUUGUGAGGGCAAUUCUUCACUUUGAGAAACCAAUCGAUUUAUUCUGGAUGUCAAUAGACAUAGUUGAUCUGCCAGAUAAUUCAUUGCAUCCUUCAUCAUCCCAUUCCUCAUUUGUGUCUCCUGUUGGAAUUGGUAUGUAUUAGUAGUUAUUGGUUCAACUAUCUCUUCAAGAGACAUACCUGACAUAGAUGACGAUUCUUGAGACUCAUACUGCUGAAAAUUCAUUGGCCCCGUUGUAUAAUUAUAAUUGGAGUUAUCCCACCCUCCUUGAUCAUACCCGUAUGGAUUAGGGUUAUACCACGUUUGAGACCAGGGUGAAAAAUCUCCAUAAUUAUUGAGUGGGACACUCAGAUUAUCUUGAUAUUCGGGGCACAUACUGGUUGAAUGAUCCCUGGCAUAACAAAUUUUACAGGUUGCAGCAGCCAUUCUUUUUCUAAUAGAGUUUACUGCCUCUGCAUGUGCAAACUUAGAAAAAAAACUAGUUUCAUCGCCUUCCCCGGAAACAAAAUCCAGUCUAUCACCAAAAUACGGAGUGUUAGAAGCCAUAAACUAUAUAUAAAAAAAAUAAGAGAAAAAUAAAUUAAAAAAAUUAAAAAAAAUGAACUUAAAAAGAAACAAAUUAAUCUGGCACCAGUCCCCGGCAACGGCGCCAAAAAUUGACAGGUGCCGAACCUGUGCAAUAAUAAAUACCUACUCGAGAAAAAUAUAGAUUUUGUAUAUAGCGGUGAGCAGGGUCGAAUCCACAGGGAAUGGGGAUAAUUCGUUUCUUCUAGAGUCCAAGGUAUGGGGGGUUUUGGAUUAAAUGCUAACUAAAUAAAUUAACUGCAGAAAAUAAUUGAUUAAGAGAAAUAAUUAAGGGAAAACUCUAGCCAAGGGUACACUUCAGAAGUGGUUCAGGCACUGAUCAUUGAUUCACAGAUAAUUCCACAUUUAUUAAUAGACCAGUUAUAGUUGUCAUGCACGCGAUAAACAACCAACCUUUCCUUAAUUUCUCGAUAGUUAAGGUACGACCGUUAACUAUUUCUCUAACCAAAAAACAACCCUAGGUACGACCGUAGGAUUUAAUUUCUAGAUUGCAUUAAUAAUUAGAAAGGCCCAAUUCUAACUAACAAACACGCUACGAGGGUUUGUUUAAGUUAGAUCAUAUGCUCUCCUGACAUAAACCCAAUUACGCCAGUUGCUACUGAGAUAAAGAUAACGAACAAUUACGGAUUCAAUUAUCCCUAUUUAGCAAAAUAGCCUAUGUGAAUAAUUAAAUAUUGCGCAUCUAUUCAAUCACUCACACGAGCUAUAGCAAUUAAAAGCAGGAAACAUAUAAAUACCAAUAAAUUAAGGAAGCAAUUAAAAUAAAUUAGAUCUCACAGUAAUUGUUGAACCAAAUCUUCAGUUGUCCCCUUGACUUGAAUUAAGAGGUUAGUUCUCCAUUAAUGGAGAACAACCAUGCGAAAGAGCUAAGAAAAGAAAACUAAAACUAUACUAAAAACCUAAACUAAAAAACUAUUCAAUCCCCCAACCUUCUGCACGUUUCUCCCUUUUUAAAGCCAAAAGAAAGUCUAAUGCUUUCCCCCUUUUCCGUGGUCCCCGCACGAAUUGAGAGUUAAAGUCCAAAAAGGAAACUCUUCCACAAGGUGGGGCCCAUCCGAAUUGCUUCUUGAUUUUAAGCCUCUGUACGUUCCUAAUGACUAAGGCUUCUUAUCUCGCUGGUCCCACCAAAAUUGAGAGUCCAAAUGCUCCAAAGAAGGUCCUGCGCCAUUCCUUGUAUCAUGUUUACUCUUGGUAGGACUCCUAGUCAGCAAAAAGGUAAAUGGAAACCCGGUCCUUCUUAGCAAUGUGGGCCAAGUCUGUGGAGUAUUUAGAAGUCUCCAUAUUCUCCAAAAAGUACCUCCUUUUUUGUAGUUUUCUGCUCUAUUCCCUGAAAUUGAGUCCAAUACCAAAUAUAAGUAAAUAUUAAUAAUUAAAACAAUAUUUGGCAAGGAUAAAGGGGAAAAUUAGCAAUAAAAUAACCAACAAUUAACACCCUAUCAGCAAAGCAAACAAAAUUGGGGUUGCAAGUACUGUUAGAUUCGGAGCUAUAUGAUGCUAUCCUUGUAUAAAGGAGGGGAAAUUGGAAAAAGGCCACUGACCAGAGGACUUUGGAUCACGAGGCGUGCCCACGCUUUACAGGACUUUUGCCCCUUAAAAAAAAAAGGAAAAAAAAAAAACCUGAAGAGACCUCAUGACCAGAGGACUAUGGGCUACAAGGCGUGCCCACGCCUUGCGAGCAGCCGCAAAAAAAAAAAACAAAAAAACAAAAAAAUUUGGGGCACUUGUACAGGGUGUACAGCAAAUGGAAACUGCCCUGCUUGUGAAAUUUCCCCGGUAAAGCACUGUGGUUAUGGGUGGGUUUCGGACAUUCUCUUGACACUUUACCCCUAUCUAUACCUUCUUAACUCGCCUUUCACUUGAGCCCCAUUACAACCCUAUUAAAGUCCCUUUGAUUUAUGUGUUUAGUUCACUUUUAAGUGGUGGAGAUGUGAUAAAUGUGCAAGCCUAUGGUAAUGGCAUUCCGUGAUGUUGAAUUGAGCGUUCCUAGUAUUCAUAUAUAUUCUUUGAAUUACAACAUGUCCGGUGUGUUCUACCUUGGUGAUAUUGUCAGGGACCCUAGAUGCUUGUGUUAGUAUAGACUAGACUACUACAUGACCUCUGCUCUCUUGGUUGUACUUCUGAGCUCCGAAAUGCUUGAGGCAAGCAUUGUCUAGGUGUGGGGGGAUUUGAUAGAGCCGUUAUUUGGCACGUUUUGCAUUGUCAUCUUGUUCUAAUUUUGGCUAUUCAUGGUGCUAAGAAAGGGAAUUUCACUCAUAUUUGAUAUUUGUGUGAAUUGUAGGUGGUUAGCAUUAAAAUGAUAUCGCGGGGUAAAUUUUCAGAAGACUUUUCAUUUCAGAGCGUGGCCAGCGCCUUAAAAGGAGGAUGAAACCGAAAGCCGGACUGCGGUCCACGUGAACCCGAAGCGUGGGAUCAGAACUCUGGAGACAAAGCUUUGCUCCAGGCCUUUGUUCCAGACGUCUUUUUCUUUUCUACGUCUCUUGUGCGGCGGAUAUAAAAAGCGAAAACAAGGAAGAUUCAAGGGGCAUCUAUUUUUGAGGCUUAGUUUUCUUUUCCUAGGUUUGUCAGCAGUCAGCCGCUUUUGACUGGGGGCUUUUGGCAUUCUUCAGCCGCAACUUAGACUAGUUUAGGAGUUCACCUUUUCAAUCUUUUGCUGUAGACGCCUUUGACGUUCGCUUUUGAUUUGCUACAAUUUUCCAUCGCUUUUAUCCUUUUUCUUGACUCUGCUCCAGGAGCGACGGAAUAUAAGGAAAUGAACCAAGGGAAUUUCCCAUUUGUUCCUUAGUUAAUUCACAUCGCUCCGCUCCUUGGAAUUAAUUGUUUGGAUGUUUGCGUGGAUGAAAUCAAUUAAAUCGCGUGAGCUUGGCAUGAUGAGGAGCAGCUAAUUUUCUCCUCUACCCAAAGGGUGACGUGAGGCGCGGUCCAUAAUAUCUGUGAGAUCUAAUCAAGCUUUCAUUAUUUCUUCCAAUUCGUUAUUAUUCGUGCGUUUUCUGAAUUAAUUGUUCAUGGGUAUUUGAUUAAUCGAAUAUCAACGGCCGGGUAUUUGAUUUAAUUUAAUAGCCUACUGCCACGUUAAUUAAAUAGAAUCCGUAAUUGUUCAUUUAGUUAACACCCCGUGGCAACCACCAUAAUUGGUUUUAUGAUGGGGAAACGCAGGAUCUAGCUUAAAUAAACCCUCUUAGCGUGUGUUAUUGGUUAGGGUUGGGUUCUUCUAGCUUUAAUGCAAUUGGGUAAUUAAAUUCCUAUGGUCGUACCUAGGGUUGUUAUCUGGUUAGGGAAGCAAUCAAUGGUCGUACCUUGACUGUCGAAAAGGUAAGGAAGAACUGGUUGUCAGAGCUUAUUGAUAACUAUAACCAACCUAGUGAUGAAUGGGUGAAAUAUCUUUGCAUCGAUGAUCAUUUAAUUGGACCGUGCCUGAGCAGUUGAUCCUUUGGGUGGAAUCUUAUUAAUUGCUAUUUUUAGUGAAUUGUGCUUUGUGAGUUAGUUCUGAAUUUAGUUCGCUUUAUUUUUUUUAUUUUACUUUUAUUUUAUUUAUUUAUCUCCCAUUGAAAAUCCCCCAAUUUUGUUCUACUAAUUUGGAAAGAAAUAAUUUCCUACCCGCUCCCUGUAGAAUCGACCCUACUUGCCAUUGUACGCGAAAUUAAUAUUUUUAUAGACAAAUCCGGUAUAUCGGAUUAAGCAAACUCUUCGGGAACAGGAUGAAUCAAGUAACCCAUUGCACACCUAGGGUCCCUGCUCCAGUAAUUGGAUUUGUUCUAUAAUUAUUUAAUUGAGGUGGUAAUUAGAACUUUUUAGUAAUUAUUAUUGCACAGGUUCGGCACCUGUCAAGAAUCCUGAUUUACGUACUUGACAUUGCAACCACAAUAAAUGAUAAAUGACAUGGACAAAGAAAGAGGCCAGUACAAACGCACUCAAAGCAAGCAAGUACUAAAGCCAUCAAAAGCCGGAACAAAAAAUUGAAUACACGCAACAUAAUAAGAAUAAAAUCGACAUUGACCAAGUUUGGUCUUUAAAAAAUCAUUCAUCAAAGAUAAAAUGAUCCCUCUUCACAACAAUACUCACCUGAAAGAUCCAAGUCUGGCAUUUGUGUAUGUGGCUUGUCUAAGCAACCCAGCACUCAAACCCUGCUCAGAAUUUCAGGAUGACAUGAAUAAGUGAUGCAUAAGUUCCCAAAAAAGUUCCUUGAUGGAAGCACAAAAGACAUGCGUAACAGUCCAGAAAAAAAAAAAGAGCAGCCACAUUUUGAACUGACAAAACAGAGAGUUUGGGGAAGAAUCAUUAGCAAGGAUCAAGCCAAAUAUUUACCCAAAAAAAAAAAUGAAAGCUCAAAAUGAAUCUUGUAUAACAUAUGAGAGCCUGUAAGCCUACUCAAUAGUGCCUAUGGACAAUGGAACAACAGCUCCAUACAGAAUGAAAGCGACUGCAUGUAUUUAAAAUCUCUUAACUAAUCCUAAUAAAACAAUUAUUCAUACUACUUUUGGAUUUGAGGAUUAAAGAGAGUGCAAUUCCAAACGAAGAAAAACUGUGUCUUCUUCAAUUUGUCUUUUUAAGAGACUGACACUGUCUAAAUUGAAAUUUAUUUUGAUUAUAACAUUUGCCCGUGUGGAUAUACUUUCCUAAUAUUAUUAGAAAGUUUGCUCCAGUAUUUUAUACGAUUUGACUUUUGGUAAUCUGAUAAUCCAAUGAAGCUUGUUCCUGUUUACAUGUCCAAUAAAUAAACAUGCUUGCCAUUCUCCUUAGUUUUACUGCUCUUUUUCUUUGUAAGAAUAGUCAAAUUAAUUGUUUCAAAUCUUAAAGAUAUGGAACAGCAGAGUGAGACGAUGCAGCAUGAACAAAGCAGAGGUUCUAUGUAUUCAUUUGUUACAACUGCUGUCUUCUUUUUCACCACAUGUGUGUUUUUUAUGGCUAGAGCCUAUUGUUGUAUAAGAAAUGUUCAGAAAAUGUACUACAUUUAUCUGCCAUAUGCGAAAUUAUGUACAAGAUCUUCAAAUUCCCAGGCUAUGGGCCUGAUGUGGAAAUUGCUAAAGUUAAUUGCUUUUUAAUAUUCAUUUGUAUGAGAAGUUUUAAAUUAAUAGCUUGUGUUUGCAGAAGUUUAUGUCGAAGAAAAAUCUUUCAGUUACCUUUAUAAUGAGGAUGACAUUGUUGUUCUUAAGGAGUAAGUCCUAACUUAUGGUCUUGAUUCUGAGCUGUUGAUCAUCUUCUGAAUUUAUUCGAAGGCUUGAUGAUUAUUUGUAAUUAUGCAGGCCUGAGACAUAUGCACAAAUUAAUGUUCCAAAGCACUUGUUUGGUGAAUCUCUUCCAUACCUCCAGGGUAAAAAUGUCACAUGUUUUAUUUAUUUAGUUCCUUUUUCCUGUUCUACAUUGCAGAUAUUGUAGAAAUUUGUGUGUGCCAAAGGAAUGUUUAAAUUUUGGAUGAAAUGGCAGCUAACUUAUUUGAUUGACAUGCUUAAUGAUUAGAAAAUACACUUCAUGGACCUCAUGGAAUGCAGAUGAUAUGAAAGUUAAGCUGCAACUUUACGAUGAGAAGCCGAUGUCUGUGUCAAUUCCUCCGAAAGUGACAUGUACUGUUGCUGAGGCACAAGUUCCAAUAAACGGGUCUACAGCAACUCCUCAAUAUGUUUAUCACUUUUUAGAUUGUAGGCCGAAAAGAACCUCAACAUGUAGUAUUCAUAUUUGUCCAGAACCUAACCAGGCAUAGUUUGUAUAGGUGCUCCUGCUCUAAUGCUCUUUACAUCUCAUCUAUCUUGUUCAGAUUAAGUUGCUAUGCAAUAUCUCUGGUCCUCCUUUGGUUGUCAUUUUUCUGUCAUUGCAUUGCAACUUAAAUAGCUUGCAGCUGUGUCUUCAAGUGGUUGUGCUUGCUUGAUACUUGUAAGGAUUUUGUCUCAUCUGUAAGACUUCUGAAUGCUUUGACACAAAAUCUAGUAUCCCUCAAGAAUUUUAGUUUACCUCAAGUUUUUCGUGUUUGAAGUUGGUGUACAUAUUUAAACAAAUGUAUAGCUCUUGCAUAGUUUAAAAUUUCUCACACAAUUUUUCAGCAAAAGCAAAAUUUUGCUGGUGUUUCUUUGCAUUUCUGUACUUCAGCAAAAUUUUCUGUUGCAUGAAUAUGCUCCCGUCCAUAGUGUGUUCAUGUUUGUCGGACUACAAUUGAUCUUCCAGUGGUUUAAUGCCAGCAUGUUUUGUAUCAGUAAAGACGACUUCUAAGAGUGUGAGGUAUCAAUAUCUUUGGAUUUCUCUUAAAUGCUAAAAUUAGGAAAUGAAAAGGGCGUAAGUUGAGAACUGGAAAAGAAAUUUCUACUGUAUAGUCUGGUAAAGGCUUUGCAUAAUUGGAAAGGGUUCCUUCUUGUUAAGACCAUGUAUUACUUAUAGGAGAUGGCCGGUUGGUUUACAUGCAAUUGGUAUGUUUAUUAUUUAUGAAACUAAAUUUGUGAUUUUGUUGCUGAGAGGGUACGGCGCUGGUAUGUUGAAUCAGCAAAAUCAGUAACACAUGAGAGCAAGAGAUACAGUCAGGGAGAGUCUCUUUUGUUGAAUUGGUUGCAGUGACUAAUAUGUCCUCUGAAUAUGAAAUGACUUUGGUGGAUAUAAAUCUUCUUUUAAGUACUACCAAAGGAAUGAAAGUUUUAGACCAACAACUAAGUCUUUGGCACUAUGAGAUUUGUUCAGAAAGUCAAGCUUGCUAAUCUCCUAGUUCUGCUUCUUCCUUCUCUAAUUCUGAGUUCCUAGUUUCUCAUAAUUUUUCACUUUUACAGGUAUAAGAAGGUUAAGCUGGACAAUGGUCUCACAGUUCAGGUGAGUUGAUCGUGUUCUCACCUAUGAUUCAUGAUUCUUUUCUAGACAUUAUUACUCUGUAGCCGCUACCAGAUGUGAUAAAUUGCCAUUAUGUUAACCUAGCAAACGUGAUGCAGAACCAACAAUAAACAAAUUUGUCUUGUGAUGUUUAAAUGGAUGGAUGCACUGUUGUAAAUUGCAAUUUGAGACCGAUUUUCCUGUUAAACAAUUUCUGAAUGAGAUUACUGGACCAGAAACCGGGGAAACCAUGUGAAAGAAUGAGGUGAAGAAAUGUGUUGACAAGUAAUAAUCUGUGGAUCUUGGCUUUUUACUUGUGAGUGACUACAUUCGUGUGAAUGUGAUGGACACCACAUUCGUCAUGACUUCGGCCCAAUAAUGGAACCAAGCAAGCAUUUUGGACAAUGUUGAAAAAUUGAUGGAAAGUAAUUGAAGUUGGUAUUUAGAGCUUUUCUUAUAGAUUGCAUCCUUAAAAAGGUAUAGUGAAGGUUUGCAUAUAAUCAUGUCCACUAUAGAUGGUCCCUUUUUUGGUUUUGGGGAGGAGGUAACAAGUGAGAGAAAAUAUGUAGAAUACUUGCUUAGAAUGAAAUAUUUGGAACGUAAUUGUGCUAUUGUUUUACUGGAGUGUUCUGCCUAAAAGACGAAAUAUCCUAGAGAGACUUGUGUUUGGCAAGGAAGAGUUUAGUCUCCUCAAAUUUAUUUAUGUUUAAACCUGAUUGACAAUACCUGUGAAAAGAAGAGAGAAAGGAUGUACUCGUGAAAGAAACUUCUGGGGUCGUCCUUAGGAUCCUAGGAUUACAUUUGGUAAGGAACUACUGAGAUAGUCAUAGCUAAAACAGUUAUAGUAGAAAAGGGGUGGGCAAGAACUCUGGGGCCAAGAUCUUGGAAACUCUAUGCUCUUUUGGAGGAGAUGUGAAGGCAAAAAGCCGCCCUAGCAAAAGGAAAAGUACAGAGUUGCUUCAAGCAGUUCCUGUUUUUUUUCCUCUGCAUUUUUACUCAGUUAUCGCAUGCUUAUUGCAUUGUUUGUUUUGGUAAUACUGACACUUGGUGUUGGUUUACUUGGAGUUUUGCCUAAUACAUGUAAUUGGGCUGAUUUAUAAGAAGAAUCUUGUCCGUGACUUGGCAUAUUCUAGGGAUUGGUGAAGGGGAAGCAUUGUAUUAUUUUCUUAGUGUUCUACACAAAUAAAUUUGACAAGGAUUUCCGUAAUUGUUCAUAUUUUUUAUGUUGCCACUUGCAACCCAGAAUUGUUUUGAUAAAACUUAGCAUGUGGUGGCACUGUCAAAGUAAAUGAAUAGAUUGUUUUCUUACUCUUUUUAUGUACCCCCGUUUCUGUAGGUACCAUCUUACGUGUUAGCUGGGAGAAGAUAAUUAUCAAUACUGCCGAUAAUUCUUUCAUAAGCAGGUGAGUGUAAUGUGUGAUUCUUUUCCAUGAGAAAUUGAAACAUACGUCAUUCGCUACAUUUCCUGGUCGUCUUGGCAUCCCAAUACAUGGUUUUAGGAAUUUCUUAUUUCCUGUUAAGCUUAGUGCACGUUGACAUCUCUAUUCUUGUCACCUUUUGGUAAAUACCUAAUAGAUUGGGUUCAAUUCAGAUGCUUUCCAACUCAAGCUGCCUCAUUGGUUUCAUUUUUCCUGCUUUUUGUGGCUAUAUGUUAAUCCAUUCUAUUUCAGGAUCUUAAUAUCGUGUGGUGUCUUUUAUUUUGUGCAUUACAGAAUUUUGACUUUGCAAAUAUCCAAAAUGUACGUCUGACAGCACAUUUUCGUGUUGUUUCGCAGGGCUUAAUCUGGGCCCUUUUGAAUGCUCUGGAGUUUAUCGUUCAGGAUGUACCUUUUCUGCAGACACUCAUUAUAUAGGAUUAGUCCAAAUUUUGUCACUAUAGGUUAUGAAUGGGUUGAUGAGAAACAAGUGUUCAUUUCGGGGUUACUGCAUAUGCAAUAUUUCUUUUCAGUGAGAAUGUUUUACAUUUUGCAUAUUUAUGAGAAUCCCACAUUUUGCAUAUAUUUGCCCAGUGGUUUUGGGAAAAGAAUUCAGCAGUGACAAGAAUAGAAAAGGAAGCAUCUACUUGUAAUGUAACCCAUCUACCAAGGCCUAAGGGUAGCUGCAAAAUUGGACAGGCCAUUCAGGACAGGGACAACCAUGCCCCAUGGACUACCAUCUUCAAUGUGCUGCUCUACUGCAAAUAACAAUUGCAGAUGAUAAACGAGGUCUUAAAUGUGGCAGAUGAUAUAAAUCCACAACCAACCUCUUCAGACAGUUAAUUUCCUUCCAUCAUUCACAGACUAUUUCAGGGGGAAAAAAGAAUAAAGUACAUGAUAGGCCACAUCAUCUGAGACCAGAGAAGCUCUUAACUCCAUUAGCAAAACAGUACUUUAAAGUUAAAAAAAGAGAUGAAGACCAAGCUUGUAGAAGACUAGGAAACAUUCAGCAUUAUCCCAUUUCUCCUCUUCAAGAGCUCAAAGGUUUUAAGAUCGGAUUGGGAGAUUCCAGGACACCCCCGUGUCGAAAAAAAAAAUGCAUGUAUAGUAUAGUGCAGCAUUUCGACAUACAUAUACUUUAUUUUGCCAUCUUUUAGAUGAUGUUGUUGACGGUAUGAUGGUGUUGACGGUACAUGCAUGUGCCGCAGAUUUGACAAACCUCGCUAAUGUUGCAUUUUUUUUUAGUAAAACAUAUUACUUGACCUCUGAAAGAGAAGGUCGCGGAAAGCCUGUUAUCUUUUGGCUUUAGAUGGAAAUAUGGUCCUAUACUAUACAAUGGGAAUAAGCCAGCAAUAAUAUCGAGUAAUCCCCAUUUUAUUUUAUGAAGAAGAAUGGGAUCCCACUAGACAAAAUCUUAUCCAAAUAAAGAAGUUUGUAUCCGUGGAAAUAGACAUUCUGCAUGAACACAAUAAUAUAUAGCUCAAGAUGGCAUUAGUACAGCAAGUUUUAGUUUACACUAAAUUUUCCGGUGAAAUUGUUCAGUUUUUUAUUUAACUUCCUUACAAAGCAGGAUAAAAUAAUUACCAGUUGGACUAAUCUAAAGCUACCAUACUACUAGCAAACAUGCCAAGUGUUUCUGUCGUCUCCUAAUCUACAAAGCAGGACAAAAUAAUUGCCGUUGUCUCCUAAUCUCCAUCCCAUCAAGCGUAGCACCUUUGAGUUUUGGCAAGGAAUAAUCCAAAGUUGGAAGAUUCAAGUCCAGAUCGAAGCGGCCGGUUAACUUUGAGAUCAACUAUGGUGUUGGAAGAGAAUAUUCUUAUUCUUUGGGGAGAAAAACGGUUACCAACUGCGCCCAUGAGAGAAAUGUCAAGCUUCUGGACUCCACAUUCAAGUCCUGCAAUUAUCAACGACUCAAUUUCCAACCCAAACACUCCAAGAAAGAGAGAAGCGUCGAGUCGAGAAUUCCCCAUUUCUGACUCUGAGGAGAAUAACUCUCAGGCCAAAGUUUAUAAACUUGGUGAAGCGCACAUGUUCAAGAGAAGCGUCGGAGUACUCUUGGUCACAUUCAUCGUGAAACGCGGGUAAAGAUCCCCGGUACUGAAGGUCGAUAUUAGGAACUGAAGCAAAAAUGUACCGCCAUCUGGUGGAUAGAACUGAGGUGGCCGCUAAUUUUGUGGGGCGAUAUGACAAAAUGUGGCAGAGAACAGCAUCAGGAAGACCACUAAUCCUAUCAACCAUUCUUGAUUGUCUUCGGACUCUCAACCAACUCUCUUAUACAGACAAUAAUGUGGGAACUGAGUGAAAUGCCUUUGAUGAAUUAGCCGGUUGCGUUGAGUUUAGUUGAGAACUGAGAUGCCAAUCAUAAAUGCUACUACUACUAUUUUUCUUCCAAAAUCUUUACUAGAUCUCUUGGAAUCCCUUUAUCUUCCAUCUGAGGAAAUGGAGAUUUGCUUCGUUAAUAGUAAUUUACCUGAUGCAUGGCACACUUAAUUAGCCUUUCGGUUUUUCCCAGGAUUACAGAUGCAUGCGUCUCUAGAAUUGUACUUUAACAACAACAGUUACGUUGUAGACUUGUAGUACUAAUUAUAGACGUGGAGAAGCCUUAGAAAAGGAGAAAUCUACUGAGACACGAAAAAGAUAAAGAACAGAAUAUCUUCGUCAAAGAAAAAGAAAAAGAAAAAAGAACACAGAAUGUCACCCCGAGCUACCAAUUCCCUCAAUAAGCAAUUUCUUGGUGAUUAACAAAAAUGGAUUGAAAAGCUCUGCGUUAAUAUUUAGACUAAUUGUUUAAAACUUAAGGGUUUAAUCAGAACAACAGCAGUGGCAAAAGUCACAAUCACAACGUCCUCAGCAACACCCAGUGUCACAACAGUAACCAGUACCAAAACAGUCAUAACCAAAACAGCAACUGCAAUCACAAAUACAAUCACAUCCCUGUCCACAGCAGCCACCACCACCGGCUUUGUCAGUUUCCUGCUGCUUCUUGUUCUUGGUCUUUCGCCCCAUGAAUGGACAACAUGGAAAGUGAUACAGCAGUUAUUUGGCACAUUUUGCAUUGUCAUCUUGUUCUAAUUUUGGCUAUUCAUGGUGCUAAGAAAGGAAAUUUCACUCAUAUUUGAUAUUUGUGUGAAUUGUAGGUGGUUAGCAUUAAAAAUGAUAUCUUGAGGUGAAUUUCCAGAAGACUUCUCAUUUUAGGGCGUGGCCACGCCUUAGAAGGUGGACGAAACCGAAAGACGGACCAUGAUCCAUGUGAACCCGAAGCACGGGAUUGGAACCUUGAAACAAAAGUUGUGGGCCUCCUAACCCUUUGAAGACUACUGGCGGCUACAAAAGGCGAAAGAGACCAAAAGAAAAGGGAUUCACAUUUUUAAAUUAGGAAUUAGAUAGCUUUAGUUUUCUUUUUCCCUAGCCGUCAGACGUUGUAGACUCUGCUUUUGCUUUUUGGCUUUCACGUUUUUUAUUCUUUUGCUUUGGCUUUGGCUCUGUACAAUUUUCGUUGGCCUUUGCGUUGUACUUCGCUUCAGUACGAACAUUAACGCAGAGACAAGGAAGACGUUUUCUUUUCUUUCUUUCGUCAUUACUCCAUCGUUCCAAUUUCGCUGAUGACUGUGCGGAUGAAAUUAACCAACCCACGCAAAAUUGACACGAUGAGGAGCGGCUAAUUUAGUCCUCUACCCAAAGGUCGACGCGAGGGCGCGGUCCAUAAAAUCUGUGAGAUCUAAUCGAAUCUUCAUUAUUUCUUCCAAGUUAUUGCUAUUCGUGCGUUUCCUGAAUUAAUUGUUCAUGGUAUUUGAUUAAUUGAAUAUCAACGGUCGGGUAUUUGAUUUAAUUUAAUAGCCUACUGCCACGUUAAUUAAAUAGAAUCCGUAAUUGUUCAUUUAGUUGACACCCCGUGGCGACCACCAUAAUUGGCUUUAUGAUGGGAAAAUGCAAGAUCAAAUUUAAAUAAACACUCUUAGCGUGUUUAUUGGUUAGGGUUGGGUUCUUCUAGCUUUAAUGCAAUUGGAUAAUUAAAUUCCUACGGUCGUACCUAGGGUUGUUAUCUGGUUAGGGAAGCAGUCAAUGGUCGUACCUUGACUGUCGAAAAGGUAAGGAAGAACUGGUUGUCAGAGCUUAUUGAUAACUAUAACCAACCUAGUGACGAAUGGAUGAAAUAUCUGUGCAUCGAUGAUCAUUUAAUUGGACCGUGUCUGAACAGUUGAUCAUUUGGGUAGAACUUUUAUUAAUUGCUAUUUUUAGUAAAUUGUGCUUUGUGAGUUAGUUUUGAAUUUUGUUUGUUUUAUUUUUAUUUUUAUUUUCCUCCCAUCAAAAACCCCACAUACUCUGAACUCUAGAAGAAACGAAUUAUCCCCAGUCCCUGUGGAUUCGACCCUACUCACCGCUAUAUACAAAAAUCUGUAUUUUUCUCGAGUAGGUAUUUAUUAUUGUACAGGUUCGGCACCUGUCAAUUUUGGCGCCGCUGCCGGGGACUGGUGCCUGAUUAAUUUGUUUCUUUUUGAGUUCAUUUUUUUUAUUUUUCUCUUUUUUUUUUUUGUAUAUAUUUUAUGGCUGCUAACAUUCCGUAUUUUGGUGAUAGACUGGAUUUUAAUUUUACAAGGGGUUAUGAGACUCAUACUUUUUCUAAUGAUCAAUGGGCUGUUGCAAAUUGUGGAGCUUAUUUUGCUUCGAAUUAUUCACCCAACAUAUGCCCUGCAUUUCAAGAUGGUCGAAGUACUCCAAUCGAUACUUUUGGAGAUUUUCCACCUCAAUAUCAAACGUGGUAUGACCCUUAUUCAAACGGGUAUGAGCAAGGAUGGUGGGAUGAUUCCACUUUUAAUUAUGAACAAAGGCCAAUAGAUUUUCAACAGCUAGAGUCUCAAGGACCGUCAUCCAUGUCAGGUAUGUCUCUUGAAGAAAUAGUUGAAUUAAUAGCUACUAACACAUAUCAAAUUCAACAGGAGACAUAUCAAAUUCAACAGGAGACACAUCAAAUUCAACGGGAGACACGUCAAUUUCAACAGGAGACAACAGGUUGAUUAAAGAGAUGGAAGAUGGAAGGCGUGAAUCGGCAUCUACAAUGAGCAAAUUGAUUUCUCCAUUUUGUGAAGAAUUGCCCUCAGCGAUUAUUAUCGACCAUGAAGAAGAUGAGAGUAUAAUUAUCCUGACAAAUGACAUGGAACUGCAAGAGUCUCAUGAAGAAAAAUCUAAAGAUGCAGUUGAAAAGGGAAUUCAAAUACAAGAAAAGGAACCCCAAUAUCAAAUUGUUCAAGUGGAUGAAUCCAGUGAACAAUCUCCAAAUGCGGUGACACCUCCCCCAUUCCUUAAUCAAUAUUCUCCUGACUCUUAUUCUUUAAUUCCUGUUAGUGAGAUUGAUUUUAUUAUAUCAGAAAAUUUUGAGUUUCAUGACAGGAAUGAGUUAAGAGUCACGAUGGCAAAAUAUCUCGAACCAAUAAGUGCUCGUGAUGGAGGAAUGAGUGAAGAUUUAAGGUCAUCACUUAUUUGUUUGGCGCCAACUACUAAUCCAUGGAAGACCGUAGCUCGUGGAGUCAAGAAUUACUCUAUCUACGAGGGCUAUCAGGAUUACAUAGGAGAUGAAGCACUGAAACGAGCUACACGAUUUUAUCCUCCGUGAAUAAACAUGACGAUGUCUAGCCAAAGACAUUAAAGAAAGGCGCUGCUUGGGAGGCAACCCAAGGAUUCUUUUGUUUUAGUUUUCUUAUAUUUUUGGAAUUUUUAUUAAGUGUUAGUGUCAUUUAGUGGAUUGUUGUUUUGUGGCAGGAAGCUGGCAGUUGGACAUACCACUCUAGUUGAUCAUGCCUAAGGAAUGAAGCUUUGGAAUUGAUGGUCAGAAGACUCUAGCUUCCAAGGCAUGCCCACGCCUUCCAACCCUUCCGAAAACGAAACUUCAGUCUUCUCCUUCCUGUUGGUGUUGCGUCCAUCGCCGCCACUCCACAUUGUGCACGCAGCCGUCUCCCCUCCUCCGCCUUAGUGUCUCACUUUCCCUCCCCAGUGGUCAGGGAAGUUUCUUUUCUUUUCUCCUAAUACUUCAUUUGUCUUUUCUACAUUGAGGACAAUGUAGGUUUUAGGCGUGGGGAGUGGCUUCCAUUAUUUCUUUUUGCUUUGUUACUCAAAAAAAAAUGAAAAAAAAAUGAAACAAAUGGAAAAAAUGAAAAGAAAACAUUGUAGUUAGUCGGCUUUUUGUUUAUUUCUAUGCUUGUUAAUAUUGGAGCAUGUUGCUGUGAUAAAUGACACAAUCAAGAUGCGUGGUAUGUGGGUAAAUAUACUAGCUAUGCAUUUCGUUUUCCCUUGGCAGUGUUGUUGAGUGUUGAAUACGCUGGACUUGACCCAUUUUUGAAACUUUUGGGAGCUUUUGAGCCUUAUAUGAGCACAUUAUUCUUGUUUGCUCUAUUUUUGUUUGAUUGAGUGGGUAUCACACAUGGUAUUGGCAUUCUAGAACUUGCUAAUUUAUACAUGUCGAGACCACAUUUUUUUGAAUUGGAUGCAUUUGAAAUGAUAAGGGCAUUUAGGAUUUAAUCCUCUUUAGCUAUCUAAAAACCAAGCCCUCAUCUUAUCUCCAAUAGUGAACCAAUUUGAGCUUUUAUCUCUCUCUUUGUUUGUUAGCCGUAUUGGAUAAUCCAUGACCCUUUUUAGACUCUUUUGUCCAACCUUGUGUCAUUAAGCGAUGUCUGAAAUUCAUUACUUGUGCAAGGUAAAUAAAUCUGUGGUGGCAAGUGUUGUAAAAAAGAUGCUGGAUGGUGCUGUUUCUGUAUAUCUGAGAUCGAAAGAAAAGCCAAGAAAAAAAAGAAAGAAAGAAAAGAAGGAAAAAAAAAGGAGAGAAAUCGGCAAAAAGCUGGUGAGCAGAAGACUCUGUCUUCCAGGGCGUGCCCACGCCUUGCUAGACGUCCUCUCCAAAAAAAAAAAAAAAAAAAAGGAGAAGGAAAAAGAGGAACGAGUUUCGACACUUGCACAAUGAAAACAGCAAAUGGAAACGCCCUACUUGAGAACCUACCCCGAUAAAGCAUUGUGGUUAUGUAGUGGAUAUCGGACAUUCUCUUGACACAUACACCCUAUUUUUACCUUCUUAUCCCGCCUUUUACCUAAAUCUCAUUACAACCCUAUUAAAGUCCCUUUGAUUUGUGUAUUUAGUUCACUUUCGAGUGGUGGAGAUGUGAUAAAUGUGCAAACUUAUAGUAAUGUCAUUCCAUGAUGUUGAUUUGAGCGUUUCUAGUAUUCAUACACUUUCUUGGAGGUAACGAGUAUUACUGGUCAUAUUCUUUUUGGACUCCUACCUAUCCAGUAUGUUCUAAUCUUGGUGACAUUGUCAGGGACCUUAGAUGCUUGUGUUAGUAUAGACAACUCCAUAACCUCUGCUCUCUUGGUUGUACUUCUGAGCUCCGAAAUGCUUGAGGGCAAGCAUUGUCUAGGUGUGGGCGGAUUUGAUAGAGCAGUUAUUUGGCACAUUUUGCAUUGGCGUCUUGUUCUAAUUUUGGCUAUUCAUGGUGCUAAGAAAGGAAAUUUCACUCAUAUUUGAUAUUUGUGUGAAUUGUAGGUGGUUAGCAUUAAAAAUGAUAUCUUGAGGUGAAUUUCCAGAAGACUUCUCAUUUCAGGGCGUGGCCACGCCUUAGAAGGUGGACGAAACCGAAAGACGGACCAUGGUCCAUGUGAACCCGAAGCACGGGAUUGGAACCUUGAAACAAAAGUUGUGGGCCUCCUAACCCUUUGAAGACUACCGGCAGCUACAAAAGGCGAAAGAGACCAAAAGAAAAGGGGAUUCACGUUUUUAAAUUAGGAAUUAGAUAGCUUUAGUUUUCUUUUUCCCUAGCCGUCAGACGUUGUAGACUCUGCUUUUGCUUUUUGGCUUUCACGUUUUUUAUUCUUUUGCUUUGGCUUUGGCUCUGUACAAUUUUCGUUGGCCUUUGCAUUGUACUUCGGCUUCAGUACGAACAUUAACGCAGAGACAAGGAAGACGUUUUCUUUUCUUUCUUUCGUCAUUACUCCAUCGUUCCAAUUUCGCUGAUGACUGUGCGGAUGAAAUCAACCAACCCACGCAAAAUUGACACGAUGAGGAGCGGCUAAUUUAGUCCUCUACCCAAAGGUCGACGCGAGGGCGCGGUCCAUAAAAUCUGUGAGAUCUAAUCGAAUCUUCAUUAUUUCUUCCAAGUUAUUGCUAUUCGUGCGUUUCCUGAAUUAAUUGUUCAUGGGUAUUUGAUUAAUUGAAUAUCAACGGCCGGGUAUUUGAUUUAAUUUAAUAGCCUACUGCCACGUUAAUUAAAUAGAAUCCGUAAUUGUUCAUUUAGUUGACACCCGUGGCGACCACCAUAAUUGGCUUUAUGAUGGGGAAAUGCAAGAUCUAAUUUAAAUAAACACUUUUAGCGUGUUUAUUGGUUAGGGUUGGGUUCUUCUAGCUUUAAUGUAAUUGGAUAAUUAAAUUCCUACGGUCGUACCUAGGGUUGUUAUCUGGUUAGGGAAGCAGUCAAUGGUCGUACCUUGACUGUCGAAAAGGUAAGGAAGAACUGGUUGUCAGAGCUUAUUGAUAACUAUAACCAACCUAGUGACGAAUGGAUGAAAUAUCUGUGCAUCGAUGAUCAUUUAAUUGGACCGUGUCUGAACAGUUGAUCAUUUGGGUAGAACUUUUAUUAAUUGCUAUUUUUAGUAAAUUGUGCUUUGUGAGUUAGUUUUGAAUUUUGUUUGUUUUAUUUUUAUUUUUAUUUUCCUCCCAUCAAAAACCCCACAUACUCUGAACUCUAGAAGAAACGAAUUAUCCCCAGUCCCUGUGGAUUCGACCCUACUCACCGUUAUAUACAAAAAUCUGUAUUUUUCUCGAGUAGGUAUUUAUUAUUGCACAGGUUCGGCACCUGUCAGAAAGCAUAAGCAUGACACCGUCUUCUUCUUCUUGUUGACUCUCUAUGACAAUGUUAGAACAAAGCCCAGAUUUUUUUUUUCUUCUUAAGGAAUCAUCAAUUUUGUACUUACAUAACCUUGUAGUACCGUUUAUAUAACACUUUCUCCUGUAAAAUAAUUUCCUAUGUUAGUGUAAUAUUAGCAUCAAUUAGGAUCACAAAUUAAGAUAUUAUCUGGUAUUAUUGGAUAUCGUUGUAAGAAUUCUUAAGAUAUUAUCUGGUAUUAUUGGAUUAUCUGUAAGAAUUCACCUCAAAAUUUUAAUUAACUGCUUCUCAUUGGAUAUCGUUGUUCUUCACCAUCUUAUUUUAUCCACAUUUGUCCCUCACUCUUUUUCUCUAUAUAUAUAUAUAUAUAUAUAUAUAUAUAUCUGUUUCUCUAUUUCUUAUGGUGAAUAUUACUUUCUCUUUCAAUUUGUAAACUAAUUCUUGUCAUUAACAAAUUAGAGUUACAAGCAAAUUGAAAGACAAUAAAAUUAUGGAUUUCAUCUGCUUUUCUGAAUCAUCAAAAGGAUUAAUGAGCAAGGUAAAAUUCACUACUACAUGUGAACUUGCUGACUGUUUGCCCACAAAAUUCACUAACAUUGCAAGCGUAAACAUUCAGCUUCAAUGGGUAUGUUCUUAUAUUUUUGUCAUAGAUAUUUCCAAACAACAUUAAAACCAAUGAAAUAGCAAUUUGGGGAAAACGUUACAAUUUUUGUUUUUACCGCUGGUAUUUAAUAGAUGGAUAUGUUCUUAAUAUUCACUGUUAUCUCUCUGUAAGACUCCGCAUUAUGAUUGCCAUUAAAUUAGAUCAAUGUCGAUCAAGUUGAAAUUGUUUGCAGAGGAACUAGGCUGCUACUUUUCUGUUUUGUGAAUUGGAUUGAUAAUAUUAUCUCGUUGUAGGCCACAAGUGUCAGUGAAGCAGCAAGCAGUGAUAGUGCCGAAACAUUGUGAAAGGCUCAAAAGUGUGCUUAAGGCAGAGUCAGCCUGGAACCUCUAGAGCAUCUUAUUGCACUUUUCGCAUUCUCCAACUGCAACAUCAGGCUGUGGUUUCCCAUCAUUUUUGAAGAAAGAUGAGGAGGUAUGUGGGUUGGAAAUGACUCCACCCAACUUACUCGAAGUACAGGGGAAUUGGUCCAAGUUUGUUUAAGUCAUGUAAUUGGGCCUAAAUGUAGGGUGGUAUCUGCACUAGUAAGUGUUCUUUAUGGCUUAAUCGAUGGAAUUUAGCUUAAUUUUUGCUCUUUAGGAUUUUGAGUGAUAAAUUGUUGCAUUAGUCACCAGACCAAACCUUUCUAUGGCUCAUGUUUCUACACAAUGUCAUAACUGAAGCAGAACUGUGAUGUAAUAUUGUUAUUUUUUUUUCCAGAAUUUGUUUAGGAAGUAGAGUACAUGCUUUUUGGACAAAGAACACCAAGGUUCCCAUAUUGUUCUUAUGAGAAUGUCAAGAGGGAGGAGUUAUUUUCGCUUAUCAGUCAGGUUUUGAAGAUGGAAGGUAGUUAUCUGUGAGUUUGCCCACCAAAAUGCCAUAAAUUGCUCAGAAUGUGGAAAUGAAGGUAAAAAAUGCUGACUGCAUGUCUGUUGGCCUAUUUCAAUGGCUUUUUUUUUAUAUAUCUAUUUUCUGGAAGUAUUUAACAAAAUAAAUCAAAUAUUGAACCUUUUCUCCUUGUAGCAUGCUGAAAACAGAGUGGCUUGUGACAGGCUUGUAGAAAGUACUGGAGAGCUAUCAACGUGCAAGACUUGCUUGAAGAAAACUGGACUUACUGAUACUUAGUUCCAGAGGUGAGAAGAUUUGAUGGAAAGAAGUUAGACAUUGUAGACAACAUUGACGAUCAUUUGGACGACAUAAAUGAAGCAUGUGAUUGCAGUGUCAAUCAUUCAUUUGGGUGGAAACAGUUAAAGGAUUUGGUGCAAGAACCUCAUUUAAAGGGACUCAUGGUACAACUGUGCCAACAGUUAGUCAUUCCAGGCAUCAAGCCCAGCAUUGAAUUUGUUUUAGUAAAAUGAAUACCUUCGUGGUUCUUAACUAACUUAAUUAUUUUGACAUGUCUACUUCAAGAUAAAUAGUCACAAUCCAAAAAAUUGCAGUUUGAAUGACCAAUAAACAGGUUUUGUUAUUGUAGCAUUCUAUUUGUUAUGUUUUAGCUAAGAAAGACUAGCAAACCUAAAAAUAAAUUAUAAUUAUUAAGAAACUCCCUUGGAAUAUGUAACAUUUCAGAAGACUAAUGACGGUGGGGGAUCAAUGAUAAAUGUUUCACAUGAAGUUCUCCAAUAUGGUUUCACCUAAUUGGAGGUACUCUGCCUCAAGCAUCUGCUUGUUAGGCUAGAUGAGCAUGUUUCAGCACGCUCAUUCAAUGGAAGGUGAUAAGUAACUCUUAAGAAUUGAAGAAGAAGGAAAUUACUGACCAAUACUGAAAGGAUAUUGACAUCCAUUUCCUGCUUCUUUCUGAUAAUAGUUAUCCAUUUUUUAUUUUUGUUUGGCCCAAAGAGUUUAGUCUGUUGGGUGAAAUCAGUCGGCCAAAAGAAGUUAAUCAGAGAAUUUAUGAAUGCUAGUACAUAAAUAUAAAUUCUGUAUUCUUUCUUCUGAUUAUUUUGCCAAACUAGCUAGUUUGGGUUAUCAUUUUAGAAAGAGAGGAAAGAUUAUCAUCUUACUCCUCCUUUAACUUUUAGUUAAACAUUUUGCUUUGAUCAUGACUUUCUUUUCAGAAAGAAUCACAAGGACAAUUUAUGCAAAUUUGAUUGACUUUUGCUACCAUUACUUUUUUUUUUCGCUUUUUAGCCCUUCAUUUUUGGUUGUCUAGUAGACGGGUGAUUUUUCCAUUCCAACUUGCAUAAGGACUUUUUUGGCUCGUGGUAAAAUAUUUAUAGAAAUAUCCAUUUGAGCAUUUUCAAGAAAUGUCUUAUGGGCUAUGUUGUAACAUGUAGGAAGCAGUGGCUUCCAAGCAAAAAUGUAAUGGAUGGUGAUGUGGUAGGCAAUUGCUCACUUAAGGAGUGAUGAUCAGUCUUCUAGAAAGCAAUGUGCGACGGAGUAAAUGAAGAGGUAUGUAGUCUCAGUGGAUUAAAGGUCUACUACUUUGUGUUUUUGAUGUCUUAAUCGAUGCAUUUUUGCUGUUUAGGAAUUUUUGUAAUACAUUCUUCAUAAGUAUUGAAGGUUUGACAUGCCUAAUUUUACCCUUAAUAUUACUGCAAUGUAACAUGUGAUGAUUUUUUUUUUCCUGAAUCUGUUUGGGAAGCAGACUUCAUCUUUCCGCUACUAGUUGCUUAUAGAGAGAUCUUUGCUUAUUGUGAACUGUUAAUCGGAUAUCUAUGUCAAUAUUUAAGGCAAUCAGUGUCUAACAGGCUAUGUUGGAACACGUACAAUGCAACAGUUUCCGAGCUGUAGUGUAUGAAUGUAGUUUCGAUUGAUUAAAAGCUUGCUUCUCUUGAAGUUGGCAUGUCUUUCACAUACACAUGGAAGUGCCUGAGAAGUUUUCAUGUAUUUUGCAGGUUUCUUCUAAUUUGAUUUGCUUCAGACAGAGGAAAGCAUAUCAAGGAACCAAUUUGCCGCUGAGACUAGUAGCCAAUUUGGUUGAUCUCGGUUCCAUUCCAUUAUAAGCUCUCUGGAUUCCUCUACUUGUCAAUCGCAUGAACAUAGAUCUCAUAUCAUUGGAAGCAUUGAAAGUGAGAGGAUGAGAAGGCAAGAACAUUGGAAGCUAGUUGCUGGAUUGUAGGCGUGAAAAAGUCCUUCAAUUCACAUUUCUAUUAUUUGUUGCUAUACUAAAGUUUUGCUCUAUAGUACCGUAUCCCAAAACUUCAGUUUAACUAUAUUAAAAGUGUCGUACACAUGGCUGGCUAGAGUGCAUGUAUUACUUUAGCUUGGGUUACCGAGAGAAAGAACAUUGCAACAGAUACUUGAGAAAAUGAAAAGAGCUUGUCCCUUUAUUUGUAAGGGGUAGGCAGGAUGUGGGGAGUGGUUGGGAGGGUGAAAAAUAAUUUUAAAAAAGUGAAAAUGAAUAAGAAAAUAAAAAGCUUUUGUGGAUAAACUAUACUACCUAUAUUAUACUACUCUAACUAAUAAACUAAGGAAAUUCUAUUGAAGAUUACAUUUUUUGUAGAGUUUCUCUAACCUUUCAAAGUUGUAAAAACAUUUCCAAAGGAUACUAUUUAUAGACGAAUUCAAGGUCAAAAAGUGUUGUUAAAGUCGAUGUGAAAUGUUCCUUGAAAUUCCCAAAUAAUGUUCCCACAAGUUCCUUGCAUCUCUUUUAUAGCUGUGGCCGAAAUUCUUAUCUACCAUAGAGUUGGAAAGUAGUGUGAAACUAGAAGAAGUUGCAGAGCAAGUUGUAGAAAACAGAAGAGAAUACAUAACCUCGGGAAUACACGACUUACGGUCACGUAUUCACAGCUCGCAUUUUCACUUCUGUGUAUUUAGUACCAAUUCAACUGAUUUUUUAUAAUGAUAGAGGCCGAACUAGCUCUUGUAGAAAAUAUAACAGUUGUAGCCCUUCGAGUUAGUUUUCCAAUACCUCAAGAAUCAUCCAAUAUGGAGUUCUGUGGACCAAUAAAUGACCAAAAUAUCUUGGACUGGUCAGACCUCUAUUUCAGAUUUCAACCAUGAAAAUGCACUUCUAUAUUUAGACUUUUUGACUAGUAAAACAACUGAACUGGACUUCGAUUCUCAUAUCAAUUAUAUAUAUAUAUAUAUAUAUAUAUAUAUAUAUAUAUAUCUUAGCUUCAAAAUGAUAUACAGAUCACCUUAAUCCGUUGCUUGUAACUCAAGAUAUUGCCAAAAUACCAUAAGGUGUCAAAGCUAUUUUCACUUGCAUUUUUCUCUUUAAGUAUUUUGCACUUCAUGUCUAUUUUAAAUCACUUCAAAUCAUCAUUAAACAUCCAAAUAUCUUCUUAAUUCAUGCCAUUUGAUAAUUGAAUUUUUAAACCUAUAAAAAUAUCAAGUUUUUACCAUUAAAAUCUAUAGAAAUGCAAUUUUUACCACUUAAACCUUAAAAAGGCAUAUUUUCACUAGAAACUUAAUUCAUCAGCUAUAAAAGUAAAUAAAACACAUUUAAAACAGGUAAAAUAUAUACUUAUUAAACAUCAUAUAACUCAAAACUUGCUCAUUUGCAACAUUAUUAUCUGCAAACGGAGGAUUAUGGAACGUUGCUUAAACGUCAAGGAUUACUAGGACAAUAUAAUUCAAUUUUAAUCAGGAUUUCCCUAAUCUCAAAAGCGUUGCUUUCUUCUUAAUUUGAAACGAAACCCACUGAGUUUUGAUAAUUCUUAUAGUAUAGUAUAAUAUUUCCUUGACCCGUGCACAUGACGAGUUUAUAUUAUGAAGGAAACAGUUAAAGAAUUUACAUGAAAAGCAAAAGGUAAAAAGUUCAGGAGCGUGUCAUUUGUUAAGAACAUGUUAAAAAUAAAAAUGAAACCUUAUUAAUUUACCUUUGCCAGCAUAAGAUGAAUCUAAUUAAUUUUACUAUUAUGAAAUGUUUCAAUUCUAAACAUGCCUACAUACAAUCAGCAUCUCAUCUGGUACCAAUAAAAAAUAAAAAAAAUUCUUAAAUUACAUUUUACCCUUCUAUGGUUUAAUACUUUUCUAUAUAACCCUCUAAUGAUUACAAAAGUUAUAUAUAACUUUGCAUUCCAUAAAUAGAGUUGACUAAAAUGUCAAAAGUACCCUUAUGUAAAGUUGAAAACUAAUUAUUAAUUAUAGGGGAGUAUAUAUAUAUAUAUAUUAUUUAUUUAUUUAUUGAAAACCAUAAGGAAGUUAUGUAAUAAAUCACUAAAACAAUAAGAGGUUAAAGUGUCAUGCAUAUUAUAUUUACAUUUUAGUCACUUUAGUCAUGUUAAUUUCUAGACAAGGAUAAUCUCAAUACUUUCAUGGAUUCCAUUACAGAGGACUAUUUCUACCACUUGGACACUUUAAUCCAAAUUAUAAGGGGAUUAUGUAAAAUUUUUUAAACCAUAGGAAAAUUAUGUGGAAAAGAGGUAAACCACAAGGGGUAAAUGUAAUUUAUUCUAAAAGAAUUUUAGUAAACAAUUACAUUAUAGCCAUAUUCAUCCUGAAUCUCAUAUAAACAAAAAUAUUUAUUAUCAAAAUAUUAUUAAAGCAGAUUUCAUAUGUAAAUAGAAAUUUGAAACUAAAUCCCUACAUUAAAAUACAAUUUAAAAAUUGGGUAAAGCACUGAGUUUAUUGUUUUGACAUUGAGUUCAAAUUCAAAGCAUUUAGAGGAAAAGUUCAUAGUUUAAUCCAUAUUGGCCCUCAUAAUUGAAGAGGUAAAAUUUGAAUGUAAGAAAAAUUCCAUGGCCAGGAAUUCAUUUUUACAUUUUAACAAGUGAUUAGCAUUUCCUAUCACACAAAACCAGAAAGAAGAAUAAAUUGAUCAUCAUAGUUAUAAGUUGACAGGUUGUCAAGGUUGUGCAAUAAUAAAACCUAUUCAAACUAAAAGUAAUUUCUGUAGAUAGUGGUGAGCAGGGUCAAAUCCACAUGGACUGGGUGUAACUGUUUCUUUUCAAAUUCACAGUAAUACGGGGGGUGUUUUUGUAUCAAGGGGUGACAAUUAAAGCAAUUCAACUAAAAGUAAAAUAGUAAAAAUUAAAUAGCCAACUAAAAAUUAAAUAACAAUUUACUAAAAUCAAAUGAGUGAUAAUUAAGGAUCUAGUCAAGAAAUAACUUCAGCAAUGGUUCACCUAAUUGAUCAUCGAUACAAAGCCAAUUCCAAUUAUUUACUAAUAAAUAGGUCAUAACUGCCAAACAAGCGAUGACAGUCAACCCUCCUUACUGUGUCGGUGAUUAAGGUACGUCUGUUAACCACUACUCUAAUUGAGAAAUAAUCUUCGGUAAAUCCGUAAGAUUUAAUUCCCCAAUUGCCUUACAUAUUAGAGGAGCCCUAUUCUAACCAAAUAACACACUACCAGGUUAUUUUAGAUUAGCCUGCGUAUCCCCCUGACACGAACAUAAUCGUGCCAGUUGUCACUAUUUCAAGGCAAUUAAACAAUUACGGAUUUAAAUACCCUAAUUGACAAUCGAUUACCAAAUUAACUAAUUAUCCGGAUCCAAGAUAAUCAAUUAAUUGAACAAUUAUAAACUCUGUAGCCAGGAAAUAUGCGAAUACCAAUAAAUAACAAAAAAAAUAAAAUUAAAUCGAUCUCACAAUUUUUAGAUAAACUAAAGCCUCCGUUGUCCCUUGACUAGAGUGAGAAAAUUAGCUCAUGUUUGAUGAACAAAAUCCACGAGAAAUUAAAGCAACAUUAGCGGCCAUUGGCCUCGUUCGUGAGAACUCAAUUUGUUCGAUUGAAUAAGGAGAAACCAGCAACUACAAACAAUGAUUCAAUUCCUCGUAAGGCUCCUGACAUCGGCAGGAGAACUCCACUAUCAAAAGCUAAGAAGGAAAAGUCCCCACUAGAUGACGAAGAUGGAAAAGUCAAAGAAAACUAAGCUAAGUAGUCCUAAUCCUCCGCAAUUCCAAUUCCUAUCUAAUACUACAUUACUACUUUGCAGCGGCAUCCAGCCUGAAGAGACCCACGAAGACUAGCCCUUCGUUCUUUUUCUUUUGUUGUCCUCCGCAAAUUACCAAAAAGGACUUGCAUCUCCCUUAUUUCAAAAAUGCCCUGGGAUAAGUUCUAUUAUGUGGACUCCUCUUCUGUUAAAUUGACACUUGUUAAUUUCCCUUUUAUUCUUGUCAAAUAUUAUUUUAAUUAUUAAUAUUUACUCAUAUUUGGUAUUGGACCCAAUUUCAGGAAGUGAAGCAGAAAACUAUAAAAAAUGAGAGACUUUUUGUAGAAAAUUGAGACUCCUAAAAGCUCAAUAGACCUGGCCCACAAGGAGAGGAAGAAACGGAAUGGCUGAUGAAGAAUUAAUUGGUACUAAGGGCUCUACUAGCAAUAGCAAAUGGGAAGAGAGGAAACAUUGAGUAGGGCCUUGCCCUUUGGUACCCUUUGUUGACUUAUGCGGCGGGGACCACGGAGAAUAGGGAAGGAAUUAGUCAUUUGGCUUUAAAAGAGCAACAAACGUACACAGAAGCUCUUAUCACUAGUUUUAGGGAGUUAGCUUUUUAGCAUAGUUUAGUUUGUCUUUUUUUCUUCUUUGCCGUCUCUUCUAGGAGGAGGACGAAGACAUAGCUUGUUUUCAAUAAUUACUUCUGCACUUUUGCAUGGGAUUUCCUCCAUGAAGAUGAAUUAAAUCCCUUCGUCUAGUCGAGGAACAACGGAGGACUUGGUUCUACUAAAUUUGUGAGAUCGAAUUAGUUUUUAUUUAUUUCCAUUAUUCACUGGUAUUCGUCUAUCUUCUGCUUUAUGUUCAUAUGGUUGUUUUAUUAUUCGAUUAUCCAGGGCCCGGAUUCUAGAUUAAUUCAAUAACCUGAAGCCAAUUAGGGUAGUUAAAUCCGUAAUUGUUUAAUUAUUCUAAACUGGUGGCAACUGGCAUGAUUGGGUUUGUGUCAGGGAGAUAGGCAGGCUAACUUAAAGAGACCCUCGUAGCGUGUUGAUUGGUUAGAAUUAGGCUCUUCUAAUUAUUCAUGCAAUUAGGGAAUUGAACUUCUAUGGUCGUACCUAGGGUUAUUUCUUGGUUAGGGAAAUAGUUAACGGUCGUACCUUAACUAUCGAGAAAUUAAGGAAAGACUGGUUGUUCAUCGCGUGCAUGACAACUAUAACCAAUCUAUUAAUGAAUAAUUGAAUUAUUCUUGCAUCGAUGAUCAGUUGCAUGGAUCGUGUCUGAAAAGUUGUACCUUUGGCUAGAGUCAUAUUGGUUAUUAAUUAAUUUCUAUUAGUUGUUUUAUUAGUUAGUUAAUUAGUUAUUUAUAUUCUCCAAAAACCCUCCAUACUUCGGACUCUAAAAGAAAUAAAUUAUCCCUAGUCCCUGUGGAUUCGACCCUGCUUAUCACUAUCUACAGAAAUUAUAUUUUUGUUUGAGCAGGUAUUUAUUAUUGCACAGGUUCGGCACCAUAGAAUUUUUGUGCAUUAUUUAAGAUAGGUCUUCCAGAAUUUACAAUAAAAGUAAUGUAACCGUAACAUAAUUAGUCAUAAAGGAAGCCAAAAAAAAUUUUAAGAAUUAAUUGGCAAUGAGAAAUAAUACUAACUAGUAAUAUGAAAAGUAUAAAUUAAGUACUGAAACUAUGAGUUAUGUUACUAAGUAAAUUAAGACUAGAUAAAUUUGAGGCAUUUGUCUCAUUAGGUCUCUCAAUGAGUUCCGUUACCAUGUAAAUUAUAUAACGAGAAUGCUAGUUCACUUUACAUCAACUUAAGGGCUUAAGUCAAAGCUAUGGCACCAGAAUUAUAGCUAUUACCCUCAUCUCAUAGCAAGAUUAUCGUUUUCUUUUCAGGUCAGUCAAUUUAAAAUUUCCAUUUAUCUUUAUUAGAUACAAAAAUUUUGUCAUUUUCAUAUUCGAGUCCUUAUGGAGGAUUCAAGGCUCAAAUUUUAACUAAUGCCUGCUGCUCUAGCUCUCUCGAAGAGUACUCCUAUUUUGUAACUGAUACGCUAAGUCGUUAAGAAGGUUCUUACAUUAAGUUAUAAGAAUGAAAUAAACAAAAGAAUUUUUUAGCAAGAAGUGAAUACCAUUCUAAUAAGUACUAAUUAACUACACUUAUAUUGGUUAUUAGGGAAAUGAAAGUAAAUAAAAUAUAUGGGAAAUUGAUAGCACAUAAAAAGUAGAAAAUAGCACAUAAAAAGGUAAUAAUCUCUUUUGUGCCUAAUAAUCAUUAAGCUUGGAAGUUACGUUAUUAAGAAAGUUCAAUAAAAGACGUCUGCGAAAUGCUGAGAUGAACUCACAAAGGAAACUUAAUUAGCUUGAGUGAAGUUAAAGUCUAUUAAUAGAGAAGCAAAAUUAGUAGGAUUUAACUAAUGCUAAGAGACAAUCCAGAAUUGAUGACCACGGAUUAAUUACUAACUAAUCAAUGGUAAAAAGAAUUUACAUGUGAUGAAAUUCAAAGUUAUAUAAUUCACUUCUGUAAUUAGUGUCACAAUUUAUGGUCAUAAAUUCUUGGAAGUUAUUGAACGUGGAUUACAAGCUUUUCAACUAAUGAUGGUCAUAAGUAAGAAGAUUUAACUAAUAAAAGAGCUUAUUAUUCGAAAUAGAAUUACGAUGAGUUGUCUAAUAGAACUAGUUUUUCUAUUUCUUCCAUUCUUGGUGACUUAUUUUCUGGGCAUUCGCCAUGCUCCCGUGUGCCCCGGAAUUAUUAGCCACGAGUCCAAAUGUGUCUUCUUCAAAUUGAAAUUCAUAUUCAUGAUAGAUCCCAGUGAAAUCAUUGAAUUUUAACAAUUGAACAACAAAUUUUGUACAAAAUACUAAACACUUUCGUAUAUCAAUUUUUUGUAUGGUAAUUACAAUAUUGAUACCCCCAUUUUCUUUUUUGUUUUUCCAUUUUUGCUACAACAAACAAAUUGUAAUCGUACAAUGAGAAUGGGUGGACUAUUUCCUAACAAAGUAUGUCAACAGCGUUCUGUUUCUUUGGACUUAGAUGUCUUCAACUUUCAUCCCAAAUACAAACCUAAUGCUUUGAAUAGAUGUUCUUUGCAUGGUAGAUCACUAUGAUUUUUCAUGUUAUUUGAAUUGAAUUUGUUAGUGUUUAUGCAGUUGUUCCAUGUGAAGUGAGCUGUAUGUAUUUCUAGCUUGAAUAAAUAUAUAUACAAUGUAUAUAGAGCUGUAAAACGAAUGGGCGGCUUGUGAGCCUAGUUCAGCUCGGAUCAUACUGAUACAAGCUCGAGUUCAGUUCAUUUGUUCAAUUAAAUGAGUUGACCUCAAACAUCAAAUUAGACACGUUUUUUAAAUAAGCCAAUCCAAACUCAUUUUUUAAAUAGGUCGUUUAAGUUCGUCUAGGCUCGUUUGCAAAUUUAUUCAAGCUAGUAUUACUAAUUUUUCUUAGUAAUUAUGUAGAUUUGCCUUGCCAUGAUUUUUUAAGAUUUGGUUUUAUUUAAAUAUUGGGAAUCUUCUUAUAUUUGGUGAAAAUUUUUUAUUCAAUAGGCAAAUGAAAUUGGUUAUAUUUUUUGAAUUGCAAAGUUGUAUAUGAUAUUUAAACACAUUUAAAAUUUUUUUAGUUUGAACUUACUCAUUUAUGUCAUAUAAGUCAAGUUCAAGUUUAGACUCAAGUUCGAAUUUGGAAUAAUUCUAAUGAGCUGAGUUUGAACACAAAAUUUGGCCCAUUACAUACACGAGCUAAGUCGAACCUAGCUUAGCUCGAUUAUUUAAUGAGCCAAGUUUGAACACCAAAAUUUCGACUCAAUUUAGUUCGUUUACAGCUCUAAAUUUAUAUGAACUUGUUGCAUUCUUUUGAGUGUUAUUUUCUUCUAAAGAUCCAACACAUUUUUUAUUUCUGGCUAGCUAUUUAUUUUCAACAAUUCAAAAUUCGUUGGUGAAAAUGAUAUGGUUCUUUCUUUGCAGUAUUUAUUAUUGUUAUUAAUGUUUUGAUUGAAUAUAAUGCAACACAAAGCCUAACCAAUGAGGGUUUUCUUCCCUAUUAAUCUUAUGAAUGGCAUAUUCGUUAUAGAUAUAUUGAAUUUAAAUGCGGCAGGCUUAAAUAUGGGAGUUUUUCAUUUUUAUUACCGAGAUUAUUGAAUUGAUGGGAAAUGAAUCAUUUACUUAAUUAAUAUCACAAUUGGGAUACAAUAACUCCAAUUAUUACACAAAAGAACUUUUUUUUCUUUUUUAAAUAGAAAAUGUAAAUGAAGUUACUAAAGUAAAUAUAAAUCUUUCUGAGAGUAGGCAGAAUAAAACUUGGGGAUAAUUUUCGAAUCUUUCCUUGAGGUUUCUGACAAUUUCACUCGACUCUUCUCAGGUUUAAAAAUUAUACUUACCCCUCUUGGCAUAGUCAAAUAUCAUUGAUGCCCUCCACUUGGUAGACAAUUUUAAAUUUAAGGCAAUAAAUUUUAAAAAAUCCAUUUUUCUAUCUCUUAUCUAUUUUCGCUCCUCUUUUUUCUAAUUAAUAUAACCGCUUUUUAUUAUCUUCAAUUUUAUGGAUAUUAGCAAAUUGAAAUCACAAAAUCACAGAGAGAGAGAGAGAGAGAGAGAGCAGAGUAUGUGUCAAAUUAGAAGGAGAUAAAGAGACUCGUAGUGAUACAAAAAUAAAUAAUGAAAUUGAUGAAAUUAGAAGAACUAAAGAUGUAAAUUUGUCAUAUUUUGUUUGUUGUCAAGAAAAUCUUUUAUAAAAUGCCAAUAAUUACAUAAGGUUUCUUUCAUUGGAUUAGAAAUUUUUUAUUAUAUUUUUAGUAUAAAGAUAGAGUUUAUUCUCUAUUUUUGAAAUAUUAAUUUUUUUAAGAGGGAGAACUACAUAAAUAGUCCCUCACAUAUUGCAAAUGUGAAAAUUUAGUCCCUCAGAUCGAAAAUGAUCGAUUUUAGUCCUUAAUAAAUAAAAAAAGAUCAAUUUAAAUCCCUUUUCACUGUUCCGAGCAAAUUUUGCCCGGAAUGUCUCACGCGCACAUUACGUGCCCAACUUUUAAAGGGUAAAAAGGCCAAAUCACUUAUCUGUUAACCAAAAUGUAAGAGACAAGGGUUCCCAAAAUUCUUCUUCUCCUUCAUUUCAACCAAACCCAAAAUCUAAGCUUCAUCUCCAUGGCGGAACCACCAACCUGUAAUUGCGGUGCACCGGAGAGAAUGAAGACAUCGUGGACAACUGAAAAUCUAGGAAAGAGGUUCUAUGGUGGACAUGCCAAAGUUCUGAGCUUCAGCUGCUUCACACCAUCAAAGCAUGGUUCAAGGAUCCACUAAGGUCUUUCUCCAAUUGGAAUUCUUCUCUAUCCUUUUGUCAACGGCAUGGAGUUUCUUGCGAUAGCUUGUCUCGCAUCAACAAAAUAGAGCUCUCAGGGAAGAAUUUAUCUGGAAGUGUUCCAAAGGCUGUUUUCCAGUUGCAACAUGUUGAAACCAUCAAUCUUUCAAAUAAUCAGUUCUCUGGUUCAAUUCCAGGCAAUUUGUCUUCUUGUUUGUCGCUUAAACAUCUCAAUUUAAGCAACAAUAACUUUACAGGGCCACUUCCCAAAGGCUCAAUUCCGUUUCUUGAGACCUACGAUCUAUCAAACAAUAUGCGUUCACGGGCAAUCCCAGAAAACAUCGGACUUCUAUCAAGAUAAGAGAACUUGAUUUUGGUGGGAAUGUUUCGGAAGAAAGAAUUCCAAAGUCCAUCACAAAUUUGACAAGCUGUCAAGUCUUGACCUUGGCCUCUAACCAAUUGGUUGGGGAAAUUCCACCAGAAUUAGGCCUCAUGGAGAAUUUGACAUGGAUGUAUUUGGGGUACAACAAUUUCUCUGGUGGAAUUCCAACAAAAUUUGGUGAAUUAACCUUUUUACAUCAUCUGGAUCUUGUCAACAGCAAUCUCACAGGUGAAAUUCCAUCAUCUUUGGGUAACCUCAUCAAUCUUCAAUACCUCUUUCUCUACCUCAAUAAACUCACUGGACCAAUUCCCAAAUCCAUUUUCGGGCUAAAAAGUUUAAUACCGCUUGAUCUAAGUGAUAACUUUUUGUCAGGAGAAAUCCCUGAAGAUAUAUUUAAAUUGCAGAUCUUGGGUUGAGAGGAAUCGCAGAAGGAAGAUAACGCUUGCAAAUGGAGGUUUGCACUCAACAUUGCAACUUUAGUCCCUUCCAUUUUGGUCAACAGAUAAGUGGUUUGGCAUUUUUACCCUUUAAAAGUAAGGCACGUGAUGUGCGCGUGAGACAUUCUGAGCAAAAUUUGCUCGGAAUAGUGAAAAGGGAGUUAAAUUGAUCCUUUUUUAUUUAUUAAGGACUAAAAUCAAUCAUUUUCGAUCUGAGGGACUAAAUUUUCACAUUUGCAAUAUGUGAGGGACUAUUUGUGCAGUUCUCCCUUUUUAAGACCAUAGGAGAGUUACAAUGGCUGUUCUAGGUCAGACUAACUUGUAUUAAAAAGAUAUUUGAGCAUUGAUAUUUAACUUUGGUAUGCAAUUGGUUGUCAAUGGUGUUUGUGUGUGUGUUUUCUUCUUCUUCUUCUUUUUUUGUGGCAAGCAUUGAUACUAUAUAUGCAAUUUAAAAUUUUUUGGAUGGCUAUUUGGUUUUAGAAAUUAUGUUUGAAUGAUUGUUAGGGAUUAGACUUAUUAAUUUACGCAAAGUGUGGAAGAAAAUAAUUGAGUAUACUAUAUUUUUCUUUCUUAGUUUUGUACAAAAGGGUCAUUUAGGAUUUUUGUGAGAAAAUCUAUCUUGUUGGACCUGCAUUGUUACAAAACAUUAAAAGGAGAGGACAUAUAUAUAAUUUUUAAAAUGUAAGGGGAGCUCUCUAUAAUUGUCAAAAACCUCAAGGAAGGUUUGUGAAAUUAUCCCGUUGUCCCUAAAACUUGGGGGUACACUAAACCAUGUACUUGAAUCAUAUUCAAGUGACAUAGUACUUUUAGCAAGGAGAUGAGCAGCCAAAGUAAGACGUCUAGGAAUCCAGCAAACAUUCCAAUUUGUAAAACCUCGUUUAAGAGUCAAAAUAUUACUCCCUCCCUUUUUUUCUCUGUUUUGAAACUCGGACCGGACCGGCCGGUCGAACCGGUUGAACCGGGAACCGGCCAGGUAGCCGGUCCGAGUCAAAUUUAAAAACCGGAAAAUUAAAAACCCGGUCAAAGCCGGUCAAAAACCGGGUUUGACCGGGUAAAAACCGGUUUUUCCGGUUCAACAGUAAUUUUUUUAAAAAAAAAAAUUCAAACUUUUUAAUAUUAUGUUUUGACCCCCUAAAUUGUUAAAACUUAUUGAUAUACCUCAAAUAUUUGAUACUUUAUAAAUAUUGUCCUAAAAUUUGAUGUUAUUUUUCAAUUAAAUUCAUAAUUUUAAUUCUAAACUUGUUAAUAUUUAUUAAAUAAUAUAAAUUGCUACUUGAUUGUUCUAAUUUCUUUGUAUUUUUUUGUUAAAUAUAUUUGAAAUAUUAAAUAUAUAUGAAUAUACCUUUAUUAAUAUCAAUAUAUUAUUAGAUAUUAUAUAUAUAAUAUUUUAAUUUUUAAAUAAUUUUUAUUUAUGACGUCAUCCGGUUCGACCCCUAUCGACCCCCGGUCGAACCCAUUGACCCCUGACCCCUGACCUCGGCCGAGUCGCUAUCCGGUCCGGUUCUGAAAACAUAGCUUUUUUUACAACUGACGUUUAAGAAACUUACUCUUAAGUACUUUUAUCUGUCGUUGUAUUAUUCCCAUGCAGCAUUAAUUAUUUUUUCACAAUUUUACCCUUUUAUCUCUCUUUUCCAAUACAGGGUUCUUAAUUUGGUGGGAGUUAGUUUGCAUGCUUUUGGCCUAGUAAAACAGCACCAUUUAAUACUCUAGUGAGAGAAAAUAUGGGUGAAUUGGACAAUUAAUGAGGGUAUAAAAGGAAAGUAAUGUAUAGAUUUAAACAAUGAAAAACUUUUCUUAAUUGGUGUGCAAAACCUUAAACGUCAGUUAUAAAAAAAAGGAGGGAGUAUCAAUUAAGACUCCAAAGCUGUUGGUUAUCUUCAGCACAUCACCUUCAAUUACAACUCGGUGCAAAAACAUCAGUUGUCAAAACCCCAAUAUUCUUAUGUGAAAAACCAGCAAUAAAUUGACCAUGAUCAUUCCAUGGUGCCACACCUAUCCCAGAACAAUGAUUUUGCAAGGAAAUUGCCCCAUCAAAAUUUGCCUCACAGAAAUUCUAUGGACGUUUUUGCCACUAGGUGAUUUUGACAACCUUGUUGAUGAAGGUGCUAAGUUUGUAGAGAUUGAGAAAGCUUCCUGAAAUUGCUGAAGUACUUUAGAGGGCUGGGUAGCAAGACUAAUAGGGUCCUUAAAAGAACUCUCAAAGACCACACAAUUUCGAUUGUUCCAAAGAGUCAUAUUCAUCACAAUUAACCGGGAUUUUGGACAGUCAUUUUUUGCUGAAAAAUUGCAUCGUUUUUCGUGAGCCUAUUUUUCUAUUACCUUUUUUCCUCACAUACAUCAAAUCGCUACAGUAAUUUUUUUACAAAAAAUCCAAGAAAAUGCAAUCCAAACAAGACAGUGUCCAAACCUAGAUCGCAAUAAUACAGUUCAAGAAAAUAUGAUUCAUAUUAUCUUCAGGUGCUACACAAAAUGAACACAUGGGAUAAACAGAGAAACCACAACUUUUAAGAUUGGAAUUUGUUGGUAGAAUGUCUUUGUAUGCCCUCCAAACAGAAGCUUUGAUGUUGUUGGGAAUGUUUAGCGAUUCCAAUGGUUAUUAUAAGUGUCACUGCUCCCAGAAUGUAGGUUUCUCCAACACGAAGUUGGUUGCUUGAUGAGAUGGUAAGCACUGUUCUAGGGAAAACAACCAAAAAGCUUUCGUCUUGCCAGUUGUUGGUUAAUUUAUAAAUGCGAAAUUGGAGCCUCAAACAACGAACCGACAAGUAAAGCGUAAUUAAAGUUUAAGGUCUCAACUCUCAACUCUCAAUGAUAUUACAAAUUAAACAAAGUAAACACAAGUUUCAAGAUUUCAAAUAAGAUUUUUAAAUGCGUGGUAAAACAACAUGAACUCCAUGUAAAAGAUAACUCCAAUUUUCUUUUUUUUUUUUUCUAUCCUAUGUAUUUUUUAUUUCAAUAAAACUAGCAAAUACAUCAUAAUUUUCAUCCUGCUAGUUGUUGCAUUCAUUUAUAGAUGCAAAAUCAGAGCCUCAAAGAAUAAAUGGCUUGAUUAAGCUCUAUUAGGAAACUAUGAAUAGUUUCGACAUAUUGUGUUGCCUUUUCAAAGUAUUCAUGUGUUGCAAUCUUCUAAAAAUUAUUGAGGGCUAGAACCCACUGAAUGUCUCAUAAAUAGUGUCUCCAUAAGCAAAUGUAUUUUCUUAUGGCCAAUAUUUGCGAUCAAUUAAUCACCAUUGUCUCCAUAGCGCUUUUUUGCUUUUCAUUCUCAUAAAACGUUAACAGUUACCGGUGCAUUUGUUAGUGGAACAGGUAAGGAAUCUAAAUAAAGUGGGUUGGCCCUUAAAAAAUGAAUGGUAAACGGGGAUUUAACUCGUGAUACGAAUUACAGAUCAUGUAUUCACAUCCAAACACUAUUCAAGAUAACUUCUUUAAAGCCAAAUGUAACAGAUAAAAUCAUUUAUCCAAACAAACUCAUUGAUAUCAAUGAUCUUUUUUUUUUUCCUAAAAUCUAACAAAAAAUUUUCAGUUACCCAUCAUUUUGAAAAUUUCAAAAUAAAUAUUAAAUAAUAAGUAUAAUAUUUAAAAAUAAAAAUUGAAUAAUAAGUAAAAUAUUUACAAAAAAAAAUUAAAUAAUUUGUAAGAUUUGAUUAGGCUUGACGAGUACUCAAGCAUAGUAUUUUCACUUGCACCUGUACUUUUUUCACCCUUAUAAUCUAACACCCGUCUCUUGCACAACUAAUGUGGGAGUCCAAAUAGAAAUGGGAAAAAAUAAAUCAAAAUAACGAGUCUUAGCAAAUUUCUACAUCAAAUAUGAAUAAAAAAAAGCCUAAGUUUUAACUCUAAUAAUAAAUCUUAUGUAACAUAAACAAAAACUAAGUUGCAAUUUUCAAUAAAACAUUGGCAACAAGUCUAUAAAUCUAAAAUUGUAAAGGUCAAACAACUAUUUUUAAUUGUGAUGGAGAUUUGUAUUAAUAUUUAGGAAAUUUCUUUUGUUUUAUAUCUUAUGAUUAACUUUGAAAUGAAACAGAAAAAUAUGACUUUGUUAUACAAAAAUUAAUUACUGGAUUACGAGGUGGGCAAAAAAUUCGGUAAUAUACCUCAAACAUUUUAAAAUUUUGAGUAGACAUAGAUGAUCUAAUUACUAAGAUGAACAUUUUAAUAUUUUUUGUAUUGCAAAUGAUUAUUACUUAUUAGUUUUAGGGUCUAUCUAACCAAAGAUGUAAUAUCGGUAUUAAAUUUUUAGAAAGAUAAGAUUAAUUAGGAAUAGUAUAUAAAUACAAGCGAGGGUAAUAAUUAUUAGUGUACUUAUGUACAAGGUAGAUAGGUGAAAUUUAGGUGUAUUAAAUGAGUGCCCAUUGGACACCGUCCGUUAAAAAAAAUCUUAGUUUUAUUGGCCAAUUUUUGCAAGUACUAAUUUGGAAAUCACUUAUGCAAUUAACAAAUCUAAUCCCUACGGCACCUUGCACAUUGCUAGACUUAUUUCAUCUAAAAGAAGGUACAUAGACAAUUCAAUGUUAUAGGAUACAGUAUUAUAGGAAACAUUUUGGUAGAAGCUUGUCUUUGUGGAGUGGAAGUUUAUCUUAUUAGCUCUUUACUUUAUUUUGGUUUAGUGUAAUUAACCAUUUAUGUUUUAGGUAAAGUUUUUGGUUUUUUGCCAAGCAAGAGAAGUAUAAGAUUUAAGAAGUGAAAAAAGAACAGAGAGAUUUAAGAUUUUCAUGCACUGACGAUAUAUGUACUAACUGAUUUAGAUACAUAUCAUAUAGACAAAAAUUUAGUUCUAAAAUUCAAAUUGAGAUAAUACAGCAUGCAUUUAAAUUUAUCGAUAUAUAAAAAACCCAGGACCAAGAAUAUUAAAGUGAAAUGCGCGGAUUGUGAGUCAUGCAUGGGGUAAUUCAUGUACACUUUCGAUACAAUCAUUGUACAAUUUCAGCAUGAGCUCGUGUUGUAAUGGAUGUCAAGGUUAAUUUUUACCAUAAAUAGUCUCAAGCAAUUCGGCCAAAUAAUAAUUGAGACCUUUUAAAUCCGUUCAAGUUACUCCAUUUCAGCUUCAUUGGUCAAACGAUGCGACAGAAACAAGGAAUUUGUAUUAAUUCCCUUUUGUGAUCAGAUUAAAAAAAAUGCAUUGUUCAAGCUAUUCUUAGCCAACGUUUAUUCAUCACAAUUUUUUUUAACAUACUAGAAUUUUUUUUAAGGUCUCGAUUCUCAAUGAUAUUACAAAUUAAAUAAAGUUAAUUAAUAGAAGUUUCAAGAUUUCAUUGAUUAUUAUCUCCUUCAAAAAAUAAAAUUUCAAUCAACUUGACUUCACUGUGUGUCUCUAUUUGAACAAAGAAGCAAAAUAGAUAGUCUGCAAAAAAGAUGUGUGUUUUUGUCUAGUGAUGAUAAAAUAAGCUCAGUGGGCAAAAUGCAACUUAUCCUAAUUAUAUUCGAGUUUAGUGUAAUUGACUCUUUAGUUUGUUUCAAUUUGAUUGCGAGAAGCUGAAAAUAGUUUCUCGUCACUCCUGGGUGGAAAUUUACAUUCCUCUACUUACAACUUUUUCCACAAACAGGCCCCAGCAUUCAAAGAGAGAGGAUGAAGGCGCCAACAACAAGACAAUUCAAUUGAAAAUGCUAACCUACUUUGAGGGAUUGAGGAAUCACCCUGAAUGCCUUUCUAGCACAACUUUGAGAGAUGAUCAUAGUAUAUGAUUCCAAUUUUAGUUGUCGGUACGUAGUUGUGUCAAGAGUGUUCAGACAAAUCUCUUUGCACAUAUGUACGCAUAUAUAUGAAACUCCGUGCACUUAUGAAAAUAUAUAUAUAUAUAUAUACACACACAAGUAUGUAUGCAUAUAUGUAUAUAUACACAUAAGGAUAUACAUGUCAGUGGAAUAGGUAAGGAAUCCGAACAGUAGGUGGAAAUUUAACUCAUGAUAGUAAUUACUGAUUUUGUAUCCGCAUUCAAAUACCUUCCAAGAUUACUUAUUUUGAAGCCAAAUAUAUCAAAUAAAAUAAUUUAUCCAAACAAGCCUAUUGAGAUUAGCGAUCUUUUUAUCUUCUAAAAUCUUACAAAAAAAUUUUCAAUAGCCCAUCAUUUUGAGCAUUUCAAAAUAAAUAUUAAAUAAUAAGUAUAAUAUUUAAAAAAUAAAAAUUGCAUAAUUAGUCAAAUUCUAUUAGCCUUGGUGAGUACUUAAGCAUAGUAUUUUCAAGCUCGAGCUUGAUUUGCUACUCAAGUAUCUCGGUGCUUGACUCAACUCACUUGUAUCUAUACUUUUCCUCACCCAUAUAAUCUAAUACACAACUAAUAUGCGAUAAACACAAUAACUAAUAUGUACUUAGUCCAAACGGAAAUGGAAAAAAAUCAUAAAAUUCAGCCUUAGCAAUUUCUACAUCAAAUGUAAAUAAAAACACCUAAUUUUUAACUCUGAUGAUAAAUCCUAUUAACAUAAACAAAAAUUAAGUUGCAGUUUUCAACAAAACAUUGGUAGCAAGUUUAUAAAUCCAAACAUGUAAAGAUCAUAUAACUAAAUUUAAUUUUGAUGGAGGUUUUGUAUUAAUAUUUAGGAAAUUUCUUUUGUUCUAUCUCUUGUGAUUAAUUUUGAAAUAAAACAGAAGAAUCUAACUUUGUUACACAAAAAUCAAUCAAUGAACUAUGAGGUGGGCAACAACCUCAAACAUUUAAAACUUUGAGUAGACAGAAAAUCUAAUUACUAAGAUGACCAGUUUAAUAUUUUUUUUGUUGCAAACGAUGAUUAGUUUUAUUGCCCAAUUUUUGUAAUUACUUAUUUGGAAAUCACUUACACAAUUAACAAAUCUAAUCCCUACUGUACCCUCCCCGUUGUUGCACUUCUUUGAUCUAAAAGAUGGUACAUAAACAAUUCAAUAUUGUAAGAAAAAUAUUUGGGCAGAAGUUUGUCUUUGUAGAGUCGAAGUUUAUCUUGUUAGCUCUUUACUUUAUUGUGGUUUAAUGUAUAUAACCCUUUACAUUUUGGGUAAAGUUUUUUUUUUCACUGGCAGAGGAAGGGUGAGAUUUGAAAAGUAAGAAAAGAGUGUGUAGAUUUAAAGUUUUUAUAUAUUGAUAGUAUAUAUAUUAGCAGGUUUAGAUACAUAUUAUAUAAAUAAAAAUUUAAUUUUUAAAUUCAAAUUAAGAUAAUAUAAAAUGCGUCCAAGCCGGUCAAUAUAUACAUUUGCGACGUAAAAAAGAUUAAUCUUUACUUUAUUGUAACUUGAUUGCUAGAACAAUUUCCUGUCGCUCUUGUCUGGAUACUGUACUAGUAUUCGUACAAUCAUUUAGAAUAUUUUCCACACAACAGGACCCAGCAUUCAACGAAAGAAGAUGAAGACCCAGCACCAAUAAAUUCAAAUGAAAAUGCCAGGGAACUCCCAUGCAAUUGAAUAACAUUCAAUUUGCCAGCAAACCAUUUCAUCCUACCGCACCGAUUGUGCGGUCAUGCCGUCAUGCAUGGGGCAGUUCAUUUGCGCCUUCGACGCAAUGAAUGUACAAUUUCAGCAUGAGCUUAAGUUGUAAUGAUUAUGUAAACAAGUGUCAAGCUUAAUCUUCGUCAUAAAUUGUCUCAAAUAGUUAGACCUUAUAACAAUUGAGACCUUUUAAAUCCAUUCGACUUACUCAUUUUCAGCUUCCUUAGUCAAAAAAUUUAACAAAAACCUCUCUUGAGGUUUUUGACAAUUUAACCAAGCUCCUUUCAAAUUUAAGAAAUUACACUGACCUCCCUUGGUAUGAUAAUAUGACUAUAAUGUCCUUCUCUUAAUAGAUAAUUCACAAUAUGAUGCAAGGGUUAAAUAAAACCAAGAAAAAGAAACUCUAGCUCUUUUAUUAUCCACCAACAACCAUUCUUUCUUUCUUCAUUUCUCUCACUCUUGUAAUUAAUGAUUCUUUCUUCCUUUCUCCUUUUGCCUCUAUACCUUUCCUCUCCUCUUACCUCUUCUCUAUAUCCACAGCUCUAUUUAUCUUAAUGAUGACCUACCGUACCAUAACCAUCUUUGUUUACUUGCUAAAUAUGUCACUAUUUUACUUGCGGGAGCAGAUUUCAUUGUCAACUAAAGAGAAAUGAAUAUGCUUGCAGUGAUGAUAAUAAAAUAAAUAAUGCAAUUGAUAACUAAGAAGCAUGGAAGAGGAGGGAUUAGUGGGAAAAUUGUUGGAUUGAUUAUUAUCCUAAAAACUCGUGUAGGAUGUUAAUAAAUGCAUUUGAUUUUCUUUACUUGAUUAAUAUUGUUGGUUCUAGUUUUGUUAUGAAUGGCUUUACUCUAUUUUGCGAUGUUAAUAUAUAUUCCUAUGGAGGUCGGAGUAUUAUUCUACUGGUGGUUGUAGGGUGGAUUAUCUUUUGUUUUGUGACAGUGCUGGGUAUUAAAUUGAAGUUUAGAGGUUAUGAGUUUGCUUAUUGGUUGUCAAAAGAGAAUUGAUUUUUCAAAAAUAUUUAGGCGAAGAUGAUAUUACAAGACAAAGAUUAGGAUUUUUGAAGUUGCUGAAAUUCUUGAACUGUUCAAAGGGUUUGCUUGGUGGGUUUGUCGCAUGCUUGGAAAUCAUUAGAUUUGGCGUUAGAGUUUGAAGUGUUUGCUUAGUGAUGGUGUUGUUGCAAAUUUGGAAGAAAGUGUUGAGAAAACUAAUUUUCUUUUUUUUUUUAUAGAAUAAGAGUAGUUUAAGGUAUUUGAGGAAAAAUCUAGCCUGAUGGGUCUGUCUUGUUUAGGGAUGGCAACGGGGCGGGGUUGGGGCGGGGACCCCUCCCCCGCCCCCCGUCCCCCGCCCCGUCCCCGCCUCCUGCUCCUCCCGCCCCGCCCCGCCCCCGCCCGGCCUUGCCCCGCUUCCCCCGCGGGUGUCCCCGCGGGGUUAAUACAAUUUUAUUAUAUAAUUUUAUUAUAAUUAAAUUUUAAUAAAUAAUCAAGUACUAAAAUAUCAACACAUCACCAAAUUAUUAUUCAUCGUAAUUUUACAAUUGAAACUCAUAAAAACAAUCAAACAGAAGUUAUUUGAAUACAAUCCAAUAUGAUAAAAUAAAUAUAAUUAAAAUAAUCAAGUUUUCACUUUUAGUACAAAUGCAAUCACUAAUUCAUUAUUGUGUUUGUGCUUUUUUUUGAGAAAAAAGUGUUAUUCUAUUAAGUGUAAUUAGAAAUUUAGUAUAAAUGUAUUAGUAAAUUUAGUAUAACUAAUUAAUAAAUUUUAUUAGUAGACAUGUAUAAUUAUUCAUAUAAUUGAUAAUAUCAAUUAUAUUACAUAAACUAAUAUAUAUUAUAUAAUACAUCUAACUAAUAAUAUCAUUAUCAUAAGUUUAUAACUAAUUAACUUACAUAUUAUAUAUAAUUAUACAUAUAUUUAUAUAUAUAUAUAUAUAUAUUUUUUUUUUUUUUUGUUUUGCGGGUGGCGGGGCGGGGGUAUACUCCCCCACCCCCGCCGCCCCGCCCCCGCCCCAACCCCGGCCCCAGAGCCCCCGCGCGGGUACCCGCCCCCAUUGCCAUCCCUAGUCUUGUUACCUAAAUAGUAAAAGUAAGGGAACUAGAGGUAAUUUCUAAAAUUUGAGGGAAACUCUUUGCAACUGUUAGAUACUCAAGGUCAAGGGAGGUUUGUGAAAUUAUCCCUUCCUUUUAAACAUACUAGGAUGCAGAAUGGGAAUAGCCCACCAAUCCCUCGUGACAUUGGACUCAACAUUCUUGGUUGCGUAAAAUUUAAGGUCUUAAUUCUCAAUGAUAUUACAAAUUAACUAAAGUUAAUUAAUAGAAGUUUCAAGAAUUCAUUGAUUAUUAUCUCCUUCAAAAAAAAUAAAAUAAAAGUUCAAUUAAUUUGAGAUCACUUUGUGUCUCUAUUUUGAACCAAGAAGCAAAAUGGCUAGUGUGAAAAAAAGAUGCGUGUCUUUGUCUCAAGUGGGCAAAAUGCUGCUUAUCCCUAAUUACAUUCGAGUUUAGUGUAAUUGGCCCUUUAUUUUGUUUCAAUUUGAUUGCGAGGAGCUGAAAACACUUUGUUGCGAGGAUUUUUUUUCUCCACACAACGGGCCCCAGCAACAAGACGAUUCAAGUGAGAAUGCCAACCAACUUCCUCGAAAAUAAAUUUGAAAAUUUUUUUGCCAACAAACAACUGCCACUACACGGAUUGAGGGCUCAUGAUCUGUCACAUAAUUAUUGUUAUUUCUUGGCGUAUUGCUGGGUUGAUGCAUGAAUUACCAAACGGUUUAACAAAAACAAGGAAUGUGCAUUAAUGCCCCAUUUUUUUAAAAUUAGAUUACAAAAAUGGAUCGUUCCAGUUACUCUUUUUUGAAUAUAUUAGGAUGUAUGGUGGAAAUGGCAUACCAAGCACCGAUGAUUGAGGCUAUUUAUGUAAUGUUAACACUAAAGUUGUUAAUUUAAAAUAACGUUGAUAUUUAAAUAUAUCUGACAGGUGCCGAACCUGUGCAAUAAUAAAUACCUACUCGAGAAAAAUACAGAUUUUGCAUAUAGCGGUGAGUAGGGUCGAAUCCACAGGGACUGGGGAUAAUUCGUUUCUUCUAGAGUCCAGAGUAUGGGGGGUUUUGGAUUAUAUGCUAACUAAAUAAAUUAACUGCAGAAAAUAAUUAAUUCAAAGAAAUAAUUAAGGGAAAACUCUAGCCAAGGGUACAUUUCAGAAAUGGUUCAGGCACUGAUCAUUGAUUCACACAUAAUUCCACAUUUAUUAAUAGACCAGUUAUAGUUGUCAUGCACGCGAUAAACAACCAACCUUUCCUUAAUUUCUCGAUAGUUAAGGUACGACCGUUAACUAUUUCUCUAACCCAAAAACAACCCUAGGUACGACCGUAGGAUUUAAUUUCUAGAUUGCAUUAAUAAUUAGAAAGGCCCAAUCCUAACUAACAAACACGCUACGAGGGUUUUUUUAAGUUAGAUCGUAUGCUCCCUGACAUAAACCCAAUUACGCCAGUUGCUACUGAGAUAAAGAUAACGAACAAUUACGGAUUCAAUUAUCCCUAUUUAGCAAAAUAGCCUAUGUGAAUAAUUAAAUAUUGCGCAUCUAUUCAAUCACUCACACGAGCUAUAGCAAUUAAAAGCAGGAAACAUAUAAAUACCAAUAAAUUAAGGAAGCAAUUAAAAUAAAUUAGAUCUCACAGUAAUUGUUGAACCAAAUCUUCAGUUGUCCCCUUGACUAGAAUUAAGAUGUUAGUCCUCCAUUAAUGGAGAACAACCAUGCGAAAGAGCUAAGAGAAGAAAACUAAAAACUAAACUAAAAAAACCUAAAACUAGUGAUUGAUAAGAGUUCUCUGUACGUUUGUCUCCUUUUUAAAGCCAAAAAGAAGUCUAAUGCUAUCUCUAGUGGUCCCCACACCAAAUUCAAAGUCUUGUACGUUUCUUUUCCUAGAGUCCAAAUGACUCAUGCUUCUUAUCCGUGGUCCCCGCACAUGUGGACAAAACCUCCAAAGUACUUGUUGUUCCAAAUCUCUCUACGUUGCUUUCUUUGAAAAGCCCCAAAUGACUAAAUGCCUUGCACUAACUUGUGGUCCCCACCAAUUCAAGGACCCAAAGGUUGAAUCCCUUAGAAGUCUGCAUUUUUCCAUACAAGUCCCUCCUUUUUGGUAAUUUUCUGUUUCACUCCUGAAAUUGAUUCCAAAUACCAAAUAUGAGUAAAUAUCAGCAAUUAACACAAUAUUUGUCAGGGAUAGAAGGGGAAAUCAAUAAUAAAAUUACUAACAAAUUAUACCCUAUCAAUUCCCCCCACACCUGAAUCAUGCUUGCCCUCAAGCAUGGAACAACAAUUGAACACCAAAAUUCGACCAUGGCUGUUACUCCAACUACCGUAUUGCCAAGACACCAAGAAAAUCAUAUAUCAAGCGACACACGUCAAGAUCCAAGAAAAAUCACUCCGGUUAGCAUCUAAACUACCAACUCCUCCAAUUUCAAGCAAACUAAUCUAAGAAAAAGGAAUAGUUGCUCACAUUUAUCAGCAAAUGGUCCAACUAUUAAUCCAAAUCUCAACAAACCCAUAGAUCGGUAAGCUGACUUUAGACACACACUUACACAACCUUCACCUUUUUUAUCACGUUUUUCUAUUUUUCUCUUUUUUUCUUUUUUUUUUUUUUUUACUAUUUUUUUUCUUUUUCAAUAAUAACAAAAGACUUAGUUUCUAGCCAUUAGAGCCUUUUGACGCGAACUCCAACAUUUGAUAGAUGGAGGAGCCCGGUUACUCAGCUCCAAUCGCUACGAGACCAUGCACUCAUAGCAACUACUACCUUUUGACGCGAAAAUCAACACUUAAUCACUUUAGGUGAAGAUCCCCGGUUACUCAGUCAGUAGUAACACUACUAGUGAGUACUAGUCAACUCUAUUAUUUACAAUCAUAUAACACAACAACUAAAAAUAACAGCAGCCAGCCUCAAAUUCCAAACAUGGAGAACUAAAAUUAAUAAUUGGACCAAUUCACAUGAAGAAUGCCAACAAUCAUUCCCUAUCCUAGAAGAGUUAACCAAAAUUGGAAAAGUCAAGCAAGUAUUGAUAUUCACCAAAGAGAUGUUCCUGAACUCAACUACAUCAACUUGAUAUCCUUUUAUUACUAAAACUUGGCAAUAGCAGAAUUAGAAACAGCGAAUCCAGUAUCAAAACUUGGUAUUCAUAUAAAAACUGAUCACUAGUAAAAGUAAAAAGAAAAUAAACGAAAAAAUAGAACAAAUAACAACGAAAAUAAAGGAAAAAAAAACUAAAAACUGAACACCAGAAAUACAGCGUACCACAGCUCUCCCCCCACACCUAAAUCCGACACUGUCCUCAAUGGAGGUAAUAUAGCAAUUAAAGCGAAGAGAAAAACGAAACUUCCCUCUCAAGCGGCUACGGCAUAGGCGGGAACGGGGGAGUGAAGCAGACAUGGUGGAAGUACGCGGCCAGGUUCUUAGAGAUUGGAGCCACCUGGUUGGCGAUAUGCAUUACUUGCUCAUCCGCGUGGUGAACCUGAUCUCGGAAGUGGCGCCACUUAGCAUCAGAGGCCAUCGGUGGGAGAGGCCACUUAGCAAAUUCAAAACAAUAACAAUUUAAUAGCCACUGGUGCCUCCCUCGUAGACAACCCAAUCAACAAAAUGCACAACCUAGGCACCUAGAGACUAUACAAAUAUCCCAACAAUACAGCAAUUUGAAUGAAUAUGCACUGGGUCUCCCAUUCAGUCAAAAUAAGAUCAAGGGGCACGAUACAGAAACUAACAAAGCAGAACUAGGGGAAAGGGGAAAGCAGCGGGGAAGAAGGAAGAAAGAAAAAGAAGAAAGAAAGAAAGAAAGAAAAGAAAAAGAAGGAAAGAAAAAAGAAAAGAAAAAAAAAUAGUUUUUUGGGAUUUUUUUUUUUAGUUUAGAAUUUGAAUUUUCCAAAAUAAAAUCGCAGGUUACAAUGGAAAGUAUUUUUUUUUAUUUUUUUCUAAAAAAAAAAUUUUUUUUUUCAAUAAAGAGAAAUAUAAAAAUAUAAAAAUUUUUCUUUUGUCUUUGGGUCGUCAAACACCGCGUGGGCACGCCAAGAUUGACAAACGUCCACUGAUCUCAAGAGUCACAAACACCGCGUGGGCACGCCAAGAUUGCACUUCCUGCCACAGUGGAGAAAAAUAUGAAGAUCGAUUACUACUCAACUGAGAAACGAAAAACGAAAGAAAUGAACAACGAAAAAUAAUAAAAUCAAUAUUUGGGUUGCCUCCCAAAAAGCGCCUUUCUUUAAUGUCUUUGGCUAGACAUUAUUAUGUUUUUUUUUCAUGGAGGAUAAAAUCGUGUGGCUCGUCUCAAUGCUUCAUCUUCAAUGUGAUCCUGGUAAUCCUCAUAGAUGGAGUAAUCUUUGAACACACGAGCUACGGUCUUCCAUGGAGUAGUAGAUGGCGCCAAAUAAUCAAGCAGUGAUCUCAAUUCUUCAUCCACUCCUCCAUCAAGAGCACUCAACGGUUCAAGAUAUUUGACCAUAGAUACUCUUAACUCAUUCCUGCCAUGAGACUCAAGAACUUCCGGUAUAACAAAAUCAAUCUCAUUAACAGAAAUUGUAGAGUCAGAGUUAAGAAAAUGCGGGUUAGGGAAUGGAGAUAGUGUCACCACAUUUGAUGAUUCUUCACUGGAUUCUUUCACUUGAAUGGGUUGCGGUUGGGGUUCCAUUUCUUCCUUUUCGGCUUCUUUUUCAACUGCAUCUGUACAUCUCUCUUCUUGAAAAUCUUGCAGCUCCUCAUCACUAGUCAGGCGAAUUGCACUCUCAUUUUCAACAAUGGUUUUCGAGGGCAAUUCUUCAAAUUGAGAAGCCAGUCGAUUUAUUCUGAAUGUCAAUAGACACAUUUGAUCUUCCAGAUUACUCAUUGCCUCCUUCAUCAUCUCAUUUCUCCUUUGUGUCUCCUGUUGAAAUUGAUAUGUAUUAAUAGCUAUUGAUUCAACUAUUUCUUCAAGAGACAUACCUGACAUAGAUGACGAUUCUUGAGACUCAUACUGCUGAAAAUUCAUUGGCCCCGUUGUAUAAUUAUAAUCGGAGUUAUCCCACCAUUCUUGAUCAUACCCGUUUGGAUUAGGGUUAUACCACGUUUGAGACCAGGGUGAAAAAUCUCCAUAAUUAUUGAGGGGGACACUCAGAUUAUCUUGAUAUUCGGGGCACAUACCGGUUGAAUGAUCCCUGGCAUAACAAAUUUUACAGGUUGCAGCAGCCAUUCUUUCUCUAAUAGAGUUUAGUGCCUCUGAAUAUGCAAACUUAGCAAAAAAACUAGUCUCAUCGCCUUCCCCGGAAACAAGAUCCAGACUAUCACCAAAAUAUGGAGUGUUAGAAGCCAUAAACUAUAUAAAAAAAAUAUGAGAAAAAUAAAAAAAAAUAAAAAAUAAAAAAUAAAAACAAAAUGAACUAAAAAAGAAACAAAUUAAUCUGACACCAGUCCCCGGCAACGGCGCCAAAAAUUGACAGGUGCCGAACCUGUGCAAUAAUAAUUACCUACUCAAGAAAAAUACAGAUUUUGUAUAUAGCGGUGAGUAGGGUCGAAUCCACAGGGACUGGGGAUAAUUCGUUUCUUCUGGAGUCCAAAGUGUGGGGGGUUUUGGAUUAAAUGCUAACUAAAUAAAUUAACUGUAGAAAAUAAUUAAUUAAAAGAAAUAAUUGUGGAAACUCUAGCCAAGGGUACACAUCAGAAAUGGUUCAUGCAACUGAUCAUCGAUUCAAAUAUAAUUCCAACAUUUAUUAAUAGAUUAGUUAUAGUUGUCAUGCACGCGAUAAACAACCAACCUUUCCUUACUUUUUCGAUAGUUAAGGUACGACCGUUAACUAUUUCUCUAACCCAAAAACAACCCUAGGUACGACCGUAGGAUUUAAUUUCUAGAUUGCAUUAAUAAUUAGAAAGGCCCAAUCCUAACUAACAAACACGCUACGAGGGUUUGUUUAAGUUAGAUCGUAUGCUCCUCUGACAUAAACCCAAUUACGCCAGUUGCUACUGAGACAAAGAUAACGAACAAUUACGGAUUCAAUUAUCCCUAUUUAGCAAAAUAGCCUAUGUGAAUAAUUAAAUAUUGCGCAUCUAUUCAAUCACUCACACGAGUUAUAGCAAUUAAAAGCAGGAAACAUAUAAAUACCAAUAAAUUAAGGAAGCAAUUAAAAUCAAUUAGAUCUCACAGUAAUUGUUGAACCAAAUCUUCAGUUGUCCCCUUAACUAGAAUUAAGAGGUUAGUCCUCCAUUAAUGGAGAACAACCAUGCGAAAGAGCUAAGAGAAGAAAACUAAAAACUAAACUAAAAACCUAAAACUAGUGAUUGAUAAGAGUUCUCUGUACGUUUGUCUCCUUUUUAAAGCCAAAAGGAAGUCUAAUGCUAUCUCUAGUGGUCCCCACACCAAAUUCAAAGUCUUGUACGUUUCUUUUCCUAGAGUCCAAAUGACUCAUGCUUCUUAUCCGUGGUCUCCGCACAUGUGGACAAAUCCUCCAAAGUACUUGUUGUUCCAAAUCUCUCUACGUUGCUUUCUUUGAAAAGCCCCAAAUGACUAAAUGCCUUGCACUAACUUGUGGUCCCCACCAAUUCAAGGACCCAAAGGUUGAAUCCCUUAGAAGUCUGCAUUUUUCCAUACAAGUCCCUCCUUUUUGGUAAUUUUCUGUUUCACUCCUGAAAUUGAUUCCAAAUACCAAAUAUGAGUAAAUAUCAGCAAUUAACACAAUAUUUGUCAGGGAUAGAAGGGGAAAUCAAUAAUAAAAUUACUAACAAAUUAUACCCUAUCAUAAAUGGAAUUUCCAAGUAGAUUAAAUAUUAAUUUAAGAAUACAAAAAAAAAAUUCAUAAAGUUCUUCGGAUGGCUUUUGGAAAUUAAGUGUAGCUACGGUAAGAGGAAAUUCUUGGAGUCUCGUACUGUCAAGGCACGAAUCUAAACUUGAACUUCUUAAGUUUUGCUUUUGGAGAUGAUUCAUAGAGAUGAUUUCUAAACAAAGGUAUUAAGGAAUAUUUUCAACAAAAUCGAUGUUUGGCGUUUACUUCUGUACUUGUUGAAACAAUCUCAAUCUAAAUCGUUGUCGCUAAUGUAUAGAAUAUAAUGACUUCGUUUGCCUUGUAGUUUUAUGAAUUGGACUAUUUAGCUUUCAUGGCAAAAAUACAGAAUUUUAGUAAUAACAAUUCCGUUCCGACAAAUGGGAUUUUUGUCUAUAAUUUGGAGGUCACUUGUUUGAACGCAUUAACAAUACUAACACAAUCUGAUAAUCAAUAUUGCAAAUCGUGACUUAUGGGGUGAUAAAAAUUUUAACCCAAUUAUGGGCAAGUGAUGAGAAGUGUUGAAAAGGAUUCCUUAUUGACGUGAAUACUUUCUAACCCAAUUGCCCUUUUUUGUAGAGACUUGGACCGGAGUAAUCGUUUGAAAUACAUGUAUUUUCGCAGUGUCUCUGAGGAUCUUGGUCAUUGUAGUUUGUAAGUAUGUGUUAAAUCCAUUUUUGCUUUGUAUCAUGUUAUUUGUUGUGUAUCUGUUUCCUUGUUUUUUCUCAUGAAGGAACAGAUAAUAUAUCAAGGACAAAACCAUAUAACGGUUAGAACAUAGCUCUGAUGUUUGCAGUUAGGUUACUUUGUUCUCAUUUUCUCUCUAGGAUCUAUUACGAGGCAAAAACCCUGUUUGAUAAUUGAAUUUGGUAUUUAAACUUUAUCGAUUCAAAUUUUAAUAUGUUCGGAUAUGUUUAAUAACUAAAAAAUAUAAUAUUUGAAUUAAUUGAAUGACACUGAAUUUUUUAGACAAAACUUGCUCGCAAAAAUAAGUAAUAGACUAUUCAUUAUUAUUUAAUAUGACAUAAAUUCAAAUAUAUCAGAUUUAGUCAUUAUUUGAUAAUCCAAUUCAUCACUUAAAAUUAAUGGAUUCGGAUCUUAAUAUAUUUAAACACGUUUGAUAAUGAAAACUUGAACAUCUUAAUUCAUUGAGUGGCACUAAAUUUUGUAAGUAAAACUUGCUCCUAAAUAUAAGUAAUAAACUAUUCACUUAUCAUUUAAUGUGAUAUACACUCAAAAUAUAUGAUAUUUAGUAUUUAAUAAUUUAAUGGAUUCAGACUUUGGAUUUUAGGUUUCAAAUUUCAAUUUUUAGAUUUCAAUUUUAUCAAACGCACCCUUAGUACUUAACAGUUCAAUAACUUAAUGGAUUCAAACUUUAAAUUUCAGAUUUCAAUUUUAUCAAAUGCACCCAAAGUUGAAGAUGAAUAAGGUUGACUAGAUAAUAGAAUCCUCAAUUUUGAUCCCUUAGACAAAGUUAGUUUCUAAAAUGUUUGUUAGGCUGUAUUCUUCAUUCUAAAGGCUGUGUUCCAAGUUUAAACAUCCCAUGAAACCUGAUAGAUUCUUCAUUCUUUAUUUUUAUUUAUCUUUUUUUGGGAGAUUAUCAAAGAAAAAGAAGUAAUAAUGAAACUGAAAUUACUGUUCAGGAAAAAAACGUUACUAACUAUUUGUAGACAAUGAAAUUGUUGUUUAAAAUUUCAGUCAAGAUAAAAUAAAUUGGCCUUUGAUAGAUUAAAUUAAAUCAUAUUAAAUUUUGUCAAAUCCAGUAACUUUUGCCGUGACAAGUUAGGCCCAUGCCAUGUUGGUCUCAAUAUAAAGUUGUAAGGUCCAUUUAAAUUGAAGUGGAUUAAUUAAUUUAUUAAUUUAAAGUAGACUAUUGGGCAAAUGUGUUAUUAAAACCCAAAAUAAAUAGGUUUUGGGUUACGCAGGAAGAUUCUGGAGGAUUUCUUGAAGACCAAGUCUACAUAUUUUGGCUGUAAAUAGAACAUAUAUUGAAAUUCCUAAAUUGUGAAAUAAAAUUGUCUUAAAAACUCUCAAGAACUAAGAGAACUGAGAAAUCACAUAACAAUAAAUGUUUCAGGAGCUUCCAUUAAUGUAUUUCUCAUACAAUAUUUUGAAGCUCCAAAAUUAUUCAAAAUCUAGAUCUUCUUUCUCAAACGCUUCAAGGAUGAGCUAAUGAUAUAAUAUUUAUUUUCUGACCUCUAUGGUUUACUUUAAGGUAAGACGUAUUUUGUAUUUAAUUUCAAGUAGAAAAACCUAAAAAAUAAAAUAUUUGGAGUAUAAUGUAGAUGAAUUUUCCAAAUUAAAAUCUUACGUGUGAAGUCAAGUAUGAAAGCAAGCAGCAGAUCAGGCAAUUCUUUUGGAGCACUUGUAGGCAUAGUUAUUAAACCCGGCCCGGAAGGGAACCUAGCGAAAGAGGUGGGUGAACGGGUUACUGGUUCAACCAGUGGGUGAGUGGUUCAACCGGUGGGUCACGAAAUAUAUUUAAAUAUUAUGUUUCAUAAUUUUUGAUAUGAUUAAAACUAUAAUAAAUAAUGUCAUAGUAAAUGCUCAAUUAGUCUAAUUCAUUAUAGAAUCAUUAAUUCUUAUAAGAAUUAACAAAACCUAAAUUCAAUUAGUAAUCUAUCAAAUUUCAAGUAUAAAAUUUUAUCGAAGUAUAAUUAUCUAGUUUAUUUGUGAAUUAAAUGCAAAAGAUUAUUAGGAACGAUAUUUGCCUUUACAAUGGAUUGUGUGAUAUGUUAUUUUUUAAAUUUAUUUCAUAAUUUAUAGAGUUUGGGGAGUAAUAAAAUUAUUAAAAGAUUCCAAAUAAAUUAUGUUUUGAAAAAUUAAAAUAAGAAUGAAAGUCUAAUAUAUAAUAUAAAAAAGACAAAAUAAUCAACAAGUGAGCUGUUGGUGUAGUUGUUGUUGCGUUUCCUCAAAUACAAGAGGUCGCUGGUUCAAGGUAUUACCAUAGUUGUCAAAAUCGUGAUCCGGAUCGUAGGAUCGUACGUCGCAAAUCAUAUUAAUCUAUGCAGGAUCGCGUAGGAUCGUAGUAGGAUCGGUAGGAUCGUAGGAUCGAUCCUACAAUUUUUUGUAAAUUUGUGAACUACGAGGCUCCAUUUUGCAAGUAAAUGAAAAUAUUUGUGGUAUAUUUGUAAUUUAUCAAAGAAUUGCAGCCUUUAAUUGCAAUUAAGAGCUUUUGGUAGGAUCUACGAUCCGAUUCUGUGAAACUAAAAUCGAUCCUACGUAGGAUCCCGAUUUUACAAACCUCGUAUUACUCCAGCAUCUUCCAAACAUUUUUAACAUGCAAAUUGAGUUUUCCUACAAAACCGGGCGGUUUACCGAAUUGACCUUUUUAUAUUAUAUUUUUUUCUCCAGCAUCUUUUUUUCUAUUCUAUACACUUUUUAUUUCAAUAAAAUUAGCAAAUACAUGACAACUAAAUAAUUUUCAUCCCACCGGUUGUUACAUUCAUUUAUAGAGUCUCAAACAACAAAUUGACAAGUAAAGCCUGAUUGGGUGGUUGCUACAUUAUUGUACGUACAAUCAUUCAGAUUUUUUUUUCCCACAGAACGGCCCCAGCAUUCAAUGAGAGAUGGUGAAGGCUCCAGCAACAAGACAGUUCAAGUGAAAAAGCCAAGCAACUUCCAGGCAAAAACAAUUAAAAAACAAUUGCCAACAAAACACUGCCACUACACUGAUUGUGGGCUCAUAAUCUGUCAUAUAAUUAUUGCUAUAAGCAUGUGCUGGAAGCUAAGGUGAUGCAUGGGUUAACAAAAAACAAGGAAUGGGUACAAGAAUGCAUAAUUCGCGUGAUUGUUAGCCUAUGUUUAGGAUUCAUGAUACUGGACUCAAUAGUCUUGGCUGUGUAAACUUUAGAGCCAAUUUCUCAAUGAUAUUACAUAUUAAGUAAAGUAAAUAGAAGUCUCAAAAUUUCAUUGUCUUAAAACGUUUGAUAUAAUUCGAGAAUUGCGAUCACAAAAAAAAAAAAAAAAAAAAUCUCUGUAAUAAAAAUUUGUCGACUACUCGGAUUGCAAAAACCAUAUGUGAGUGUCUUUUUUGCCAUUCGUUUUGGGUGGACGACAACUGCGGUUUAAUUUUUUCCACAACAAAGGCCCCACAGCACUCUGAAGACCCAAGUCUUCUCUUAAUAGCCGUCUACUAUUCGUUUUGGCGAUUCCUUCCUUAUCUCAUCGCAGAAAGCAUCCCCAUCACCAUCAUCCAUAUCAGAACUCUUUCAUCCUAAUUCCAAUCCCAAGCAAGAAAAAAUGGUUGAUGCUGCUGUUAGAGCUACCAUUAAGGUUGGAUUGAACACGGUUGUUUCCCUUGCCGCUGAUCAUGUUAAUCUGGCUCUUGAAUUCCCAGAGGAGCUGGAGAGACUCAAAGAUUCUGCUGCAAUGAUCCGAGGCUUCUUGGCCGGUGCCGACAAGGACAUGCGUAGACCAGAGGUGCAAAUUUGGCUCGAGCAGCUGGAAGAUGAGGUUUUCAAAGCUGACAAUGUGCUGGACGAGCUCAACUAUGAAAAUCUUCGUCGGAAGGUGAAGUAUCAAAAUCAAAAUCAACUCACGAAGGUAUUCUUCUGCUUUUCAUUCUUUAAUGAAAUUGCUUUUCGUUGGAGGUUGGGUUCAACGAUCAGGGGGGUCAACGCGAACCUUGAAGGGAUCCAUGGGCGUGCCAGAGGUUUGAGUCUGGAGUGCAAGGGCCAAUCUGAAGAAGCAUCGGGAGCCACAGCAAACCGACAGACCGACUCUAUGAUUGUUCCAAGUGAUGUCAUUGGAAGACACGAGGAUGAAUCAAAAAUAGUUGACAAGUUGUUGACCCAAUCUAAAAGUGAUCGUAUUUCAGUUAUUUCCAUAACCGGCCCGCCAGGAUUAGGAAAAACAACUCUAGCUAAAGCCGUUUUCAACAAUCCACAGUUUGAUAAUCAUUUUGACAAAAAAAUUUGGGUUUGUGUGGCUAAACCGGUUAACAUCUUGCAGCUCUUCAAAAUGAUUCUAGAAACGUCAACAGGAAAAAAGGCUGAAGUGGAUAAUAGGCAAGUAAUAGUUAAAGGAAUUGAAACUGAACUUAAGGAAAAAAGAUAUUUGCUUGUUCUUGACGAUUUGUGGAAUCAUCAACAACUAUUGUUGGAUAACUUUUUCACCACAUUUAAGGCACUCGAAGCGAAGAAAGGGAGCUGGUGUCUUGUUACCACUCGUCUAGAACAUGUGGCAACUACUCUGUCUGGACUUCCGCAGAUCAAUUUUACUCGCCAUAAGCUAGCAAAGCUAUGCAGUGAUGGUUGCUGGUCCAUCAUUAAUAAAUGGGUAAAUGUAGGGGAAGAAGUACCAAAAGACAUAAAGGAGCAAGUUUUAGGAAGAUGUAAGGGUCUACCUCUGGCAGCAACGUUAAUUGGAGGUUUGUUAUCUAACAAGGGAAUAGAGGAUUGGCUAUCUAUUUUGAAGGAGAGCCUCUUGAAUGGAGAUCAGGGUGGGAUUGAGCAAAUAAUUAAGGUGAGUUUUGAUCAUCUGUCACCUGCACCGGUUAAGAAAUGCUUUGCAUAUUGCUCAAUUUUUGAUCAAGAUACUGACUUGGAACAAGAUCUACUAGUUGAGCUUUGGAUGGCUGAAGGCUUUCUUCAACCGGAUUCCCAAAAUCAAACGAUGGAGGGAAUGGGAUGUGAGUAUUUGAGAAUUUUGCUGCAAACUUCCUUAUUGGAAGAAGUAAGACGUUGGAGGGGAACUUGGUAUAAAAUGCAUGAUCUUGUGCAUGAUUUUGCAAAAUCAAUUUUGAAUCGUAACAGCCGCAAUCAGGACCGUUACCUUGCGGCAUCUGAAAGAAUGUUAGAAAACAUGAACGAAAAAGCAUCAGCAUCACUUCGCACAUUAUUUCUGGACGGUGGCAUAGCUGAUGAUAUGUUAUCAAAGUUCAAAUACUUACAUGUCCUAAAAUUGUUUGGAGAAGAUGUCAAAGAGUUGCCGACCUCCAUUGGCAAACUAAUACAUUUACACUUACUUGACAUAUCAGGUUCUAGCAUUAGAACUUUGCCAGAAUCUCUUUGCAAACUUUACUGUUUGCAAACACUGAGAAUUGACGCGCUUGAAAAAGGUUUUCCAAAGGAGAUGAGCAAUUUGAUUAGCAUGAGACAUCUUCACUAUUUUCAUGAUGAUACAAGAUGCAAAAUCAAUUUGAUUAGCAUGAGACACCUUCACUAUUUUCAUGAUGAUACAAGACGCAAAAUCCAAAUGCCAUCCGGGAUUGGACGAUGGACUUGUCUUCAAACAUUGGAGUUCUUUAACAUAGGUCGUCAAGAGGAAGGUCGUGGUAUCCAAGAGCUUGGAACCUUGGAAGAUCUUAAAGGCUCCUUGGAGAUCAGAAAUCUUGAAUUAGUAAAUGGCAAAGAUGAUGCUGAACUGGCGAACCUAUCUAAAAAGCCAAAUCUGUAUCGGUUGGUAUUUGAGUGGGGCAAUAGGGAUCGGGAAAGUAAUAAAUGCGAUGAAAAUGUGUUGGAAGGCCUCCAACCUCACCCAAAUUUAAAAGAGUUGCAUAUCCGGAAUUUUAGGGGUGAACAGAUUCCACAAUGGCUUGUGAACUCAUCAACAUUAGUGGAAUUGUACUUUGUCAAUUGCCAUGUUUUGCUGGCAGAAAAGGUUUUGAGCAAUAUAACCACACUCUCGUCCCUUAAAUUAAAUGGUGACUUAAAUCUCUUUGGUAAUCAACGCGUCGAGUCUCUAAAAUUAGUGAUACGACCAGAGAGCAGCUUGAGCGACUCUGUCUUUUUCCAACUCUUCAGCGUGUAGUAUUGGGGGAUGCCCAUAAUGUAACAACAUUAAGAGGAAUGAGUUGCGCCGCUUGUCUUAAGAGAUUGGAGAUAGACCGUUGCAAGAAUUUACGAGAGUUGCCAGAAGAUCUGUAUCAAUUUCAAGCUUUAGAGCACUUGGCGAUACGGGGUUGCCGGAGAAUUGAUUCAUUUGGAUAUCCAAAUCCUAAAAAUUCAUUUGGACAGAAAGGCCUCCUUAAGUCUCUUGAGCGAUUUACUGUCGAAAGGUGCGGUGCAUUAACAAGUUUGCCAGUGGAGAUGUUCGAGUCGUGUACGUCUCUCCGAAAGCUGAAUUUGUCCAAUUGCCGCAGUCUGGUCUCCUUUCCCCUUGAUUUGCGACGAACCCCUUCUCUUGAGAGCUUCUCAUUAUACUGGUGUGCCAACUUGAUUGCUGGGAUGCCUAGUGGAUUUGGCUAUCUUACCAGCUUAAGGGAAGUGCACAUUGGUCCCUUCUCAGAUUACUCAGUAAUCGAAUUUGAUUGGGCUGGAUUAGCAUCUUCAUCAUCACUCCGACACGUGUCUUUUCGUGGAACGCCUGAAUUGAAAUCUCUGCCACAUCAGCUUCAAGACUUGACUACCAUCACAUCACUGUCUCUACAUCUCUUCGGAGCAAUCGAGGCCUUACCAGAUUGGCUUGGGAACCUUGCGUCUCUUGAUGAGCUAAUCCUCCGUGGAUGCCCAAAGCUUGAAUAUUUACCCUCCGUAGAUGCCAUGGAACGCCUCAAAUUAAGACGUCUGGAAAUUGACGGUUGUCCUCUAUUAACCGGAGGAUGCACACCUGAAAGCGGCUCCGAGUGGCCCAAGAUCUCUAAUAUUUCAGAGCGUGAAAUUUAUUGAUCCGGUAAGAUCUCAUCUCAAAAUUUUAAUUAAUUCCUUCUCAUUAUUGGAUCAUCUUAUUCUACCCGUAUUUCUCCGGGUAUACCUUCCAUUCCUAUUUUAUUGACAUUAAAACUUAAGUAUAAGAUUAAAGCCAUCAUAUCUUAUAUAACACAGUAAGAAUCCCAAUACACGAAAGAAGUAGUAGUGUUUUGCUGUUAAUUUUCUUGUUUGCUUAUUUUCAAUUAUAUUCCUAAAAUGCAUUUUAACUUGAGUAACAGAAAUAUGUGAAACAAAUGAAUGACAAUUUUGGAACAUUAACUUAUCCAAAUAAUUGUAAUAUACUUUCUAAAUUAAAACUUAGAUAAAAACUACUAACAUUAUACAUACAACAAAUAAUUAUCAAUCUGAUACAACUACUUAUAUUGUUAAGAAUAUGUAAAAUAAAUUUGCAAAUCACAUGACUAAUAUACUCUAUUCUAAAUCUAGAAAAAAUCAUAAAUUAGAACUAAAAUCAUUAGCAAUUACAAAUAAAUAAAGAAAUUCAUACAAAUAAAUUAACAAAUCUUUUCUGAAAUAGCCAAUAUGUACUUCUGAGGUUUCGGCCGAACCAAAGUGGUGUCGGAAAGAAACACAUUCAAAAGUUGAAUUGAUAUCUUUAAAAGCCCACUACACUCAACAGCACUUGAAGGUGACAAUUUUUGGUUUUUACCGCUAGCAUUUAACGGGUGGAUAUGUUCUUAAUAUUCUCUCUGUAAGACUCUGAAUUAUGAUUGCCGUAAAAUUAGCUCAAUGUCGAUUAAGUUGAAAUUGUUUGCAGAGGAACUAGGCUGCUGCUAAAACUAUAAAUUCUUAUCAUCUUUUAAAAUUUUUGAAAUUCAGAUACUAUAACUAGCUACUUUUCUAUUUUGUGAAUUGGAUUGAUAAUAUUAUGGCCUUGUAGGCCACAAGUGUCAGUGAAGCAGCAAGCAGUGAUAGCGCCGAAACAUUGUGAAAGGCUCAAAAGUGUGCUUAAGGCAGAGUCGGCCUGGAACCUCUAGAGCAUCUUAUUGCACUUUUCGCAUUCUCUAACUGCAACAUCAGGUUGUGGUUUCGAAUCAUUUUUGAAGAAAGAUGAGGAGGUAUGUGGUUUGGAAAUGACUCCACCCAACUUACUCGAAGUACAGGGGAAUUGGUCCAGUUUGUAUCUGACAUAGAUGAUGAUUCUUGAGACUCAUACUGCUGAAAAUUCAUUGGCCCUGUUGUAUAAUUAUAACUGAAGUUAUCCCACCAUCCUUGAUCAUACCCGUUUGGAUUAGGGUUAUACCACGUUUGAGACCAGAGUGAAAAAUCUCCAUAAUUAUUGAGUGGGACACUCAGAUUAUCUUGAUAUUCGGGGCACAUACCGGUUGAAUGAUCCCUGGCAUAACAAAUUUUACAGGUUGCAGCAGCCAUUCUAUCUCUAAUAGAGUUUAGUGCCUCUGAAUAUGCAAACUUAGCAAAAAAACUAGCCUCAUUGCCUUCCCUGGAAACAAAAUCCAGUCUAUCACCAAAAUACGGAGUGUUAGAAGCCAUAAACUAUAAAAAAAAAAUAAGAGAAAAAUAAAUAAAAUAAAAUAAAAACACGAUGAACUCAAAAAGAAACAAAUAAUCUGGCACCAGUCCCCAGCAACGGCGCCAAAAAUUGACAGGGUGUCGAGCCUGUGCAAUAAUAAAUACCUGCUCAAAUAAAAUAUAAUUUCUAUAGAUAGUGAUAAGUAGGGUCGAAUCCACAGGGAUUGGGGAUAAUUUAUUUCUUUUAGAGUCCGAAGUAUGGGGGGUUUUUUUGGAAAAUAUAAAAUAACUAAUUAGCUAACUAAUAAAACAACUAAUAGAAAUAAAUAGAAAUUAAUCAAUAACCAAUAUGACUCUAGCCAAAGGUACAACUUUUCAGACACGGUCCAUGCAACUGAUCAUCGACGCAAAGAUAAUUCAAUUACUCAUUAAUAGAUUGGUUAUAGUUGCCAUACACGCGAUGAACAACCAACCUUUCCUUAAUUUCUCGAUAGUUAAGGUACGACCGUUAAUGAUAGAACCGUUAUUUGGCACGUUUUGCAGUGUUAUUUUGUCCUGAUUUUGGCUAUUUACUGUGCUAAGUACUGAGGUUUAACUUAUAUUUCAUAUUUGUACGAAUUAUAGGUGGUCGGCACUAAAAUGAUCUCUUGAGGCAAAUUUACAGAAGACCCUUUGUCUCAAAGCGUGGCCACGCUUUACAAGGUAGACGUUACCGAAAAGACGGACCGUGGUCCACGUGAACCCGAAGCGCUGGAUUAGAACCUUUAACAAAAAUUGUGGGCCUCCUAACCCUGGAAAGACGUCUCCUACGGCUGCUUCAAAUGAAAAAAGAAUAGGAAGGACCCACGAUGGCUGAUGAAGACUUCAGCUUUUAGUUUUUCUUGGGUUUUUUUUUGUCAGACGCUUUCCGUCGUUUUUGCUUCUUCUUCGGCAGCAAAUUAGAUAGCCAGAUUGACAUUGAAUCAAAAUAGUAGCUUUAGUUUUUCUUUUCCCAGGCGCUAGACGUCGCUUUCCUCUUUUGACUUUUAACUUUUCCGCUGGACAAUUCAUUCGUAGCUUUGGCUUUGUAAUUGGGACUCCAAAGCAGAGACGAAGGCAGGGCCUUUACUGUUGCUAUUGCAGUUAAUUCCCCUUUCCCAAUUCUUUGGCAAAUAAUUGAAUGAAUUCAAUUAAACCACGCGGGAUUGAAAUGAUGAGGAGCGGCUAAUUUUCCCCUCUACCCAAAGGUUGACGCAAGGGCGUGGUCUAUAAUAUCUGUGAGAUCCAAUCAAGCUUUCAUUAUUUCCUCCAAUUUGUUGCUAUUCGUGCGUUUUCUGAAUUAAUUGUUCAUGGGUAUUUUAUUAAUUGAAUAUCAACGGUCGGGUAUUUGAUUUAAUUUAAUAGCCUACUGCCACGUUAAUUAAAUAGAAUCCGUAAUUGUUCAUUUAGUUAAUACCCCGUGGCAACCACCAUAAUUGGCUUUAUGAUGGGGAAACGCAAGAUCUAAUUUAAAUAAACCCUCUCAGCGUGUUUAUUGGUUAGGGUUGGGUUCUUCUAGAUUUAAUGCAAUUGGGUAAUUAAAUUCCUACGGUCGUACCUAGGGUUGUUAUCUGAUUAGGGAAGCAGUCAAUGGUCGUAUCUUGACUGUCGAAAAGGUAAGGAAGAACUGGUUGUCAGAGCUUAUUGAUAACUAUAACCAACCUAGUGAUGAAUAGAUGAAAUAUCUUUGCAUCGAUGAUCAUUUAAUUGGACCGUGUCUGAGCAGUUGAUCCUUUGGGUAGAACUUUUAUUAAUUGCUAUUUUUAGUGAAUUGUGCUUUGUGAGUUAGUUUUGAAUUUAGUUCGCUUUAUUUUUAUUUUACUUUUAUUUUAUUUAUUUCUCUCCCAGUGAAAAUCCCCCAAUUUUGUUCUAUUGAUUUGGAAAGAAAUAAUUUCCUACCCGCUCCCUGUGGAAUCGACCCUACUUGCCAUUAUAUGCAAAAAUUAAUAUUUUUAUAGACAAAUCCGAUAUAUCGGAUCAAGCAAACUCUUCGGGAACAGGGUGAAUCAAGUAACCCAUUGCACACCUAGGGUCCCUGCUCCAGUACUUGGAUUUGUUUUAUAAUUAUUUAAUUGAGGUGGUAAUUAGAACUUUUUUUUUAGUAAUUAUUAUUGCACAGGUUCGGCACCUGUCAAUUUUUGGGGCCGUUGUCGGGGAGUUGGCGUUUGGAUUAUUUGUUUCUUUUUAAAUUCAAUUUUUAUUUUAUUUUAUUUUUCUUGGUAUUUUUGCUAGUUUAUGCCCCGUUCUUCUAGCAUAGGUGAAUUGAUAUACGAUCCUAAGGUUGAGAAGGCAGCGCGUAGGCGGAGGCAAGAGACCAAGAGACGAAAAGAAGGGCACUUAUUUGUUGCAAACGAGUCAGUAGAAGACGAAAUAAGCAUGGCCAACACCCAAACAUUAAGGGAGCUGGCUGCCCCGGAGUUGACUCACCAGCCCUUAUGCAUCACAUUCCCCACUUUGGCAGAGAAUACUGUUUUCGAACUGAAGUCAGGGCUGAUUCACCUCUUACCUUCUUUCCAUGGUCUCUCUGGCAAAGAACCCCACAAACAUGUCAAGGAGUUCGAGGUAGUUUGCUCUAGCAUGAAACCUCCUGGGGUCAUUGAAGAACAAAUAAGACUUAGAGCUUUCCCCUUCUCUCUCAAGGAUGCAGCAAAAGAUUGGCUAUACUACCUACCAGCGGGUAGUAUUACCACAUGGGCACAGUUAAAAAAGAAGUUUUUGGAAAAAUUCUUCCCUGCAUCCCGGGCUGCGAGUUUGAGGAAAGAGAUCUGCGGCAUUAAACAAUAUCCUGGUGAGUCCUUGUAUGAAUAUUGGGAAAGGUUUAACAAGUUGUGCACUAGAUACCCGCAGCAUCAAAUUAGUGAACAACUGUUAAUCUAAUACUUCUAUGAAGGGCUCCAAUCAACCGAUAGGAGUAUCAUUGACGCUGCGAGUGGGGGAGCACUUGCAAACAAGACACCGAGGGAAGCGUGGGAGUUCAUCGAAGCCAUGGCAGAGAACUCCCAGCAAUUUGGCUUCCGUGAGAGCAACCCUCCCCGUAGAGUCAACGAGGUAGAGACUUCAUCUAUACAGCAGCAACUGUCAGAAUUGACGUCUGUUGUUAGGCAAUUAGCCAUGAGAGACACACCGCGAGUGAAGGUGUGUGGAAUCUGUACUAACAUGGACCACUGCACGGACACGUGCCCCAUUUUGCAAGAGGACGGGACGGAACAGGUAAACAUGGCCGGAGGCGUGCCCACGCCCCGCAGACAGUACGACCCAUACUCCAAUACGUACGAUCCGGGCUGGAGGGACCAUUCCAAUCUCAGUUAUGGGAACAGGCAACAAAAUUCAUUUCCGAAUCGUCCACCAAGAUUCCACCAGCCAUGGCAACCAAAAUCUCAACCCUCGUCCUCCAAUUCAAGAAGCUCCCUGGAGGACCUAGUCAAAAGCCCAAAAAUUGACAGGUGCCGAACCUAUACAAUAAUAAUUACUAAAAAAAAAGUCCUAAUUACGACCUCAAUUAAAUAAUUAUAAAACAAAUCCAAGUACUGGAGCAGGGACCCUAGGUGUGCAAUGGGUUACUUGAUUCACCCUGUUCCCGAAGAGUUUGCUUGAUCCGAUAUAAUGGAUUUGUCUAUAAAAAUAUUAAUUUUUGCAUACAAUGGCAAGUAGGGUCGAUUCCAUAGGGAGCGGGUAGGAAAUUAUUUCUUUCCAAAUCAGUAGAACAAAAUUGGGGGAUUUUCACUGAGAGAGAAAUAAAUAAAAUAAAAGUAAAAUAAAAAUAAAGCGAACUAAAUUCAAAACUAACUCACAAAGCACAAUUCACUAAAAAUAGUAAUUAAUAAAAGUUCUACCCAAAGGAUCAACUGCUCAGGCACGGUCCAAUUAAAUGAUCAUCGAUGCAAAGAUAUUUCAUCUAUUCAUCACUUGGUUGGUUAUAGUUAUCAAUAAGCUCUGACAACCAGUUCUUCCUUACCUUUUCGACAGUCAAGGUACGACCGUUGACUGCUUUCCUAAUCAGAUAACAACCCUAGGUACGACCGUAGGAAUUUAAUUACCCAAUUGUAUUAAAACUAGAAGAACCCAACCCUAACCAAUAAACACGCUGAGAGGGUUUAUUUAAAUUAGAUCUUGCGUUUCCCCAUCAUAAAGUCAAUUAUGGUGGUUGCCACGGGGUGUUAACUAAAUGAACAAUUACGGAUUCUAUUUAAUUAACGUGGCAGUAGGCUAUUAAAUUAAAUCAAAUACCCGGCCGUUGAUAUUCAAUUAAUAAAAUACCCAUGAACAAUUAAUUCAGGAAACGCACGAAUAGCAACAAAUUGGAGGAAAUAAUGAAAGCUUGAUUGGAUCUCACAGAUAUUAUGGACCACGCCCUUGCGUCAACCUUUGGGUAGAAGGGGAAAUUAGCCGCUCCUCAUCGUUUCAAUCCCGCGUGAUUUAAUUGAAUUCAUUCAAUUAUUUGCCAAAGAAUUGGGAAAGGGGAAUUAACUGCAAUAGCAACAGUAAAGGCCCUGCCUUCGUCUCUGCUUCGGAGUCCCAAUUACAAAGCCAAAGCUACGGAUGAAUUGUCCAGCGGAAAAGUUGAAAGUCAAAAGAGGAAAGCGACGUCUAGCGCCUGGGAAAAGAAAAACUAAAGCUACUAUUUUGAUUCAAUGUCAAUCUGGCUAUCUAAUUUGCUGCCGAAAAAGAAGCAAAAACGACGGAAAGCGUCUGACAAAAAAAAACCCAAGAAAAACUAAAAGCUGAAGUCUUCAUCAGCCGUCGUGGGUCCUUCCUAUUCUUUUUUCAUUUGAAGCAGCCGCAGGAGACGUCUUUCCAGGGUUAGGAGGCCCACAAUUUUUGUUAAAGGUUCUAAUCCAGCGCUUCGGGUUCACGUGGACCACGGUCCGUCUUUUCGGUAACGUCUACCUUGUAAAGCGUGGCCACGCUCUGAGACGAAGGGUCUUCUGUAAAUUUGUCUCAAGAGAUCAUUUUAGUGCCGACCACCUAUAAUUCGUACAAAUAUGAAAUAAAAGUUAAACCUCAGUACUUAGCACAGUAAAUAGCCAAAAUCAGGACAAAAUAACAUUGCAAAACGUGCCAAAUAACGGCUUUAUCAAAUCCCCCCACACCUAGAUAAUGCUUGCCCUCAAGCAGUUCGGAGCUCAGAAGUACAACCAGGAGAGCAGAGGUCAUGCAGCAGUCUAUACUAACAUAAGCAUUUCAGAUCCCUAACAAUAUCGUCAAAAUUAGAACACACCGGACAGAUUGUAAUUUAAAGAAGAUAUAUGAAUACUAGGAACGCUCAAAUCAACAUCACAGAAUGUCAUUACCAUAGGCUUGCACAUUUAUCACAUCUCCACCACUCAAAAGUGAACUAAAUACAUAAUCAAAGGGACUUUAAUAGGGUUGUAAUGGGGCUUCGGGUGAAAGGCGAGUUAAGAAGGUGUAGAUAGGGGGUAAAGUGUCAAGAAAAUGUCCGAAAUUCACCAAUAACCACAGUGCCUUACCGGAGGGGUUCCACAAACAAGGCAGUUUUCAUUUGCUGUACACACUGUACAAGUGUCCCCAAUUUUUUUUCUCUUUCUCUCUUUUUUUUUUUUUUUUUGGAGAGAACUGCUCGCAAGGCGUGGGCACGCCUUGUAGCCCUCAGUCCUCUGGUCAAUGGCCUUUUUCCAAUUUCUCCCCCUUUUUACAAGGAUAACAUCAUACAGCUCCCAAUCUAACAGCACUUGCAACCCCAAAUUUUGUUUGCUUUGCACGAAUGAUGGAUUUCAGACAUCCCUUGACAACACAGGGAUAAACAAGAAAGUUUAAAGGGGUUUCGGGUUAACAAACACGGAUAACAACCAAAAGCGAAGGAUAAAGCUCAAAUUGGUUCACUAUUGGGAAACAAUAUGAAUGCAUGAUUUCCUUUCGAAAGCUCAAGGAGGGUCAAAUCCUAAAUGCCCUUAUCAUUUUGAAUGCAUAUAGUUCAACAUAAAUGUGGUCUUGACGUGUACAAAAUAGCAAGUUCUAGAAUGUUCAUACCAUGUGCGAUACCCACUCAAUCAAACAAGAAUAGAGCAAACAAGAAUAAUAUGCUCAAACAAGGCUCAAAAGCUCCCCAAAAGUUUCAAGAAUGGGUCAAUUCCAGCAUAUUCAACAUUCAACGACAUUGCUUAGGGAAACAAAAUGCAUAGCUAGCAUACUUGACCACAUAACCACUCACUUUGAUUGUGUCAUUCAUCAUAGCAACAUGCCCCAACACUUAACAAGCAUAGAAAUAACCAAAAAACCGACUAACUACCAUUUUUUUUUCAUCAUUUUGUUUUUUCAUGUUUUUUUCCCUUUUUUUUAUGAGUAACAAAGCAAAAAGAACUAAUGAAAAAGAGAAAGAACUAAUGAAAAAGAACUAAUGGAAGCCACUCCCCCCACACCUAAUACCUACAUUGUCCUCAAUGUAGAAUAGACAAAUAAAGUAUUUAGGAGGAAAGAAGAGAAACUUUCCUGACCACUGGGGAGGGAAAACGAGAUACUAAAGUGGAGGGGGGUGACGCGGGGUGAAUCCAAUGUGCGCGAAGAAGGCCGCCUGAUUCUCUGCCUGAAUGCGGGCGAAGACCUGGAGCGCCAUAAGACGGCCAUCUAUUCUCGACAGUUGGGUGUUGAGCUUAUCAACAGAAUCUUGGAGGUCCGGGUAGCAGGGGUCCCCAGCAAGAGGAGGAUGAGAGGAGGACGGACCCGCCUGAUCCGGAUGGGGUGGUGAGUCAGUGGAGGGUGCAGUGGGAGGCUCCCGAGGCUGCGGCCCGUCCUCACCAGGGAGCGUAAACUGGUAGACGUCUCCCGCCUUGAAAAUAACUCCCAUUCGCUCCAAACUUCACAAAUCAAGUGGCUCAAUUUCUCGAGCUAGGGUGAAGUUGUGCUCCUUGUCGAGGUCUAGCAAUCCCAAUCGGAUGGCCAAGUGGGUAAUGAGCGAGCCUAGGAUAAUCGGUUUACUGCGCUUGUGAAUGACUGACUCCAUUUGAGUGGCUACCCAACAUCCAAAAUUAACCUUAACAUUGUUGCGCAUGCACCAAAGGAAGUAGAAUUCUGCUUUGGUAAGGGUGCCGGAGGAAUCAUUCCGCCCCGAGAAAUUGUGAGCCAAGAACCUGUGGAUGACCUUCAAGACCGGAUUCUUCAGUUGAGAGGCCUUGGACUGACUCGGAUUAUAAACCUGCCGAUCCGUGGACCACUCCCUCCAGAUGUCGAUAUACUCAGUUUUGAACGGUCUGGUGUAGUUACAAGCACUAUUGAUAUAAGCUCCGGAUGCAACGGUAUCCUCACUGACAAACCCCAAAGUCAGAUUGAACUCAUUGAUGGAGAAAUUAUACUGUGUGCCUUUUAAUCUAAACUGAAUAAUCUCCGGCUCAUCCAAAGUGAUGUAUUCAUUCCUGAUAAACUCAAAAGAGCAGUAGAAUUCACAACAAAGCUCCUCAAACGUGGGGUAGUUAAUGCUCAGAUACUUUUUCCAGCCUAUCGCCGAGAACAACUGCUCAACCUCCCGUGCAAUUCGCAGAUGGUCCAGGGUUGGGGCAUGGAAGCACUUACAAGGGGCAAAAGGUCGAUGCACCAAGGUGUUAAACCGGUCCUGUUGGACCCUUGUAAGAUUAGUGAUCGGUUCCCCCCACUCCCCAGGAGACAUGGUGCUCUUAUUCAGGCCCAAACGGGACCAAAUGGGGGGUUGAACCGUGGCUCGUCUCUUACGCGGUUGGGAGCCAGACGGCCCAGCAGUGGUUGCCUUCUUAGGCGGCAUUUAGGCACCACAGGAAUAAUAAAUCAGCUCAGAGACAGCCAACCAACCACCAAAAGCAGAUAGGGGACCACAGUCAACAAAAAUUACUGAAUAUUCAGCAGCUCAACAACAAAAGGGGACACAAUUACCCCACCAAACAACGACCAGACAACAAACACCACCCAAUGCCCCACUGCCGUCAAUUAGCCGACAACAAUAAAGAAGACCGAUCCAACUCCCCUCAAAGCAAGAUAUCAGUCAAUAAAAAUCUACAAUCAGCGAGCUACUGCCCACUUGAACCAAAAUAUAAUUUCACCAGAGCCCACAGAUAUCCUAACAUAGAUAAUGAAUGAAAAGGCAGAUAUGACGGCUCUCACUUUCAGAUAACAAUCAAAUGGUCCCCCAACCAAAACCAACAAGUAAGUCAACCAGACAGGAGGCAAAAAUUCCCAAUCGAAGUCACCAAUCCAAAAUCCAGCGGCAAAAAUUGUAGUAGAAUAGAGUUACCCAAAUGCACAAGACCGUGGAGAUGACACACGGCAGUCGAGUGAGGCGCGCGAGAGGGGGGAGGUCACUCCGCUGCUGGACUGGGCAAACCGCGCGCGCUGUUCUGCUGGUCGAGUGGGGGCGCGCCUAGGGGAGAAGCUCGCGCGCGCAAGCUGGCACUGGGCUGUGCUUCACAGCUGUUGCGCCUGGCUGACUGCCUGGGUCGCGCGAGACAACUGCUGGCCUGCGCAGGGGAAUGCGGAGCGUGCGCGGGCUGGUGCUAGGCUCUCUGGGCGCGCGGGUGGCGCGCAGGCAGGAGGGUCGCGCGCGCGCUGGGCAUGGGAUAGAGCUGCUGGGUUGCGCACAGAUCUGGUGGUAGUGCGCUAAGGUCGGGCACUGAGUGGGGCUAGCGUCGCGCGCGGCUGGAGUUCUGGCACGAGCAGGCUCUGCACGCGCGCUGGGCGCGGGCUAUCGCGGGCGGCACCGCACGCGGGCUUCUGCGGUUGAGAGGGAGAGGGAGGCGCGCAGGUAGCGUGCCUCUGCUCGCUUGGGCGCAGGUGCGCUGGUGCUUGCGCAGGGGAAGGCGAAGCGCGCGCAACGAGGCACUGUGGAUCUGCUACGGCGGACGAGUCCUUGCGGACGGCAGCGGCGGCGGCGUGACCAAAACAGGGAGAAGAAGUGCAGCGUAGCCAAAAGAAAUUCGGAGGAAAGAGACCCAGACCAGUCAAAGAAGAAGGGAAAGUGGAAGAAGUAGGGUCUUGGUCAAAAAAUUUUUUUUUUUUUGACUUUCGCUAUCGGAGGGGUUGGAAGGCGUGGGCACGCCUUGGAGGAUAUGUUCUUCUGACCACGGCAUCUAAAUGCAGUCCAAACCAAUCUCUGUCAAGGCGUGGGCAUGCCUUGGGGCUGCUAGUCUCUAAUUUUCUCAGGGCACCUGGCGCACUAAACCCCUAUUCUUCUGUCCAUCACCACAAAAACAAUCAAAACCUUAAAAUAAAAUAGAAAAAUUGUAGAGUAAUGAAAAAUGACCACAACUAAUACUGGAAUCCUUGGGUUGCCUCCCAAGCAGCGCCUUUCUUUAACGUCUUUGGCUAGACAUGGCCUUUAACUGUUUAGACUUCACCAUCUGGAUUAUCAGAGAAUAGAACCUCCACUUGCUCACUAUUAUACCCUUCAUAAUAAGGCUUUAGACGGUGACCAUUGACUACGAACCUUUUUUCCGUCUUAAGACUUUGGAUUUCCGCUGCACCAUAAUAAGAAAUAUUAGUAACAACAAAUGAACCAAUCCAACGGGAACGCAACUUACCAGGAAAAAGCUUAAGUCUCGAGUGAUAAAGUAGGACUUUUUGCCCUAUGACAAACGACUUUCUCGACACUUGUUGGUCAUGAAAAAUUUUACUCUUCUCCUUAGAUAUUGCAGCGUUUUCAUAGGCUUCAUUCCUUAGCUCCUCCAACUCUUGUAAUUGGAGCUUCCUAUUUCCUCCGGCCUCCAUAAGGUCCAUAUUACACCGCUUAAGCGCCCAGAAUGCUCUGUGUUCAAAUUCCACCGGAAGGUGGCAAGGCUUCCCAAAAACUAAUCUAUAUGGGGACAUCCCAAUUGGUGUCUUAUAUGCAGUGCGGUAAGCCCAGAGAGCAUUUUCCAACUUCAGACUCCAGUCUUUCCUAUCAGGCCUCACCAUUUUCUCCAAGAUGGACUUAACUUCCCUAUUUGACACUUCGGCCUGACCAUUCGUCUGUGGAUGAUAUGGAGUGGACAUUUUGUGGAGCACACCAUACUUACGAAACAAUGCAGUGACUGUCUUAUUACAGAAAUGGGUGCCCCUGUCACUCACUAUAGCUCUCGGCAUUCCAAAACGGACAUUAGCCCGGGUGGCUUUUGUCUCCACCCAUUUAGAAACAUAGUCAACAGCAAGUAUAAUGUACAAGAAACCAAAAGACGAGGGGAAGGGACCCAUGAAAUCUAUACCCCAAACAUAAAAAAUCUCAACAAAUAAUAUGGGGGUUUGACUCAUUUUGUCUCUACGAGAGAUAUUCCCCACCCUUUGACACUUAUCACAAGAUUUGCAAAACAAAUAUGUAUCCUUAAACAGAGUAGGCCAAUAAAAACCACUUUCUAACACUUUACGAACUGUUCGCUUUGGCCCAAAGUGCCCUCCACAUGCAAAUGAAUGACAGAAAGUCAAAAUAGACUGAAACUCACCUGCACUUACACGCCUUCUUAUCACUUGGUCCGAGCAUUGCCUCCACAGGUACGGUUCAUCCCAAAUAUAGUGUUUGGCAUCACUCUUUAGCUUAUCUCUUUUAGCUUUUGACCACCCUAUCGGUAAUUGAUUUGUUACCAAAAAAUUGACAAUGUCAGCGUACCAAGGUAUUGACGAAUCAAUGGCCAAUAAUUGUUCCUCAGGAAAUGAGUCUCUUAACGGUAGAUCCGCUUGAUUUGUGAGCAACCGGCUCAAAUGAUCAGCCACCAAAUUCUCAACUCCGCUCUUAUCCCUGAUUUCUAGGUCGAACUCCUGCAGGAGCAAAAUCCACCUGAUCAGCCUUGGUUUAGCAUCUUUCUUCGCUAGCAAGUACCUCAAGGCUGCAUGAUCAGAGAAAACUAUUACUUUUGCACCCAAUAAAUAUGACCUAAAUUUUUCUAGUGCAAAAACAACAGCUAGUAAUUCUUUCUCCGUCGUGGAUUAAUUAAACAACAGCUAGCCAAAGGUACAACUUUUUAGACACGGGGCAUGCAACUGAUCAUCGACGCAAAGAUAAUUCAAUUACUCAUUAAUAGAUUGGUUAUAGUUGCCAUACACGCGAUGAACAACCAGCCUUUCCUUAAUUUCUCGAUAGUUAAGGUACGACCGUUAACUAUUUCUCUAACCAAGAAAUAACCCUAGGUACGACCAUAGGAUUUAAUUACUUGACUGCAUUAAUAAUUAGAAAAACCCAACCCUAACCAACAAACACGCUACGAGGGUUUGUUUAAGUUAGAUCAUACGUUUCCCUAACAUGAAACCAAUCACGCUAGUCGCCACUGGUAUUAAUCGAUAGAACAAUUACGGAUUCAAUCAAUUAAUAUGACAGUAGAUUAUUAGGUUAAUUCGAAUAUCGGGCCCUUAACAUUCAAAUAACAAAACAAUCUUAAACAAUUAAAUCAAGAAACGUACAAAUACCAAUAAAUAAAAGAAAUAAAUAAAAUAAUUAGAUCUCACAGAUGUUCGGAACCGAGUCCUCAAAUUGACCUUCGACUAGAUGAGAAACUUAGCCACGCCUCAUGAGAAAAUCUCCACGUAAUUUAAUUGAGGUCCAGGCCAUCAAAGGAACCAAGAAAGAAUAAAACUAAACUAUGCUAAAAACUAAGCUAAAACUAUUGAUCUCCAAAACCUCCUGUACGUUUGUCUUCUUAAAGCCAAAAGAAAUGACUCAAGUUAUCUAGUGGUCCCCACGGAUUAGAAGUCAAGGAGCAAAAGAAUUGGAGCCCUGCCGAAUUGCUUGUUUCCUAUUGCCAGUAGAGCUCUAAUCUCCUAAUCAGCAAGCAAAUGCAGUCCAUCUCUUCCUCUCCUUGUGGGCCAGGUCGAUGGAGCCUUCUUGAAGUCUCCCACUUAUGGAGCAAGUCCCUACUUUUUUGUAGUUUCUUGCUCCAAUCCCUGGAAUUAAGUCCAAAUACCAUAUAUAACCAAAUAUAAGUAGAUAUUAACAAUUAAAACAAUAUUUGGCAGGGACAAAGGGAAAAUUAAUAAUAAAAUAACUGACAAUUAAGACCCUAUCAAGCAUGGUAGCUGGUACUGGAGAGCUAUCAAGGUACAAGACUUGCUUGAAGAAAACUGGACGUGCUAAUUCUCAUGCUGUAAAUUCUAAAAUUCUGCGAGUUGGUAUUUAAUUAAACUCUUUCAAAAUUAGAUUUUUACAAUUCUUUUCUCAUCUUUUCUCUCUAGAAUUUUUCCACUCAAAAUCUCUUUCACCUCUCCCAUAGAAGAGAUCAAAUAUGGUCUUGCCCCAUCAUAAGGAACUUUCUUUCUAGUUUUUUAGUUUCUCUUAUUUAAAUAAAUUCUCUCCAAAAGUUUUUCAAUGAGAGAUUCUUCUCUUUUAAGAUCUUUUAGUGAGAUGCUUUUCUCUCCUAGAUUGUUUUCUUCUAAUGAGAGGCUUUUCUUUCUUAGAUUGUUUUAGUAAGAGUUUUAUCCUUUCCUGAAAUUUUUCUUGUGAGAGUUUUUUUAGUUUUAGUCUUUUUUUUUUUUUGUGAAAUUUGAGAUUUUGUAUAUCUAGGAUAUAGUUUCUUAGAUUUGCAAUUUUCUAUUAUUGUCAAAUUUAAAUUUCUCUUUGAACUUGAACUACUUUUAAUCAAAUCUAACUGUCAAAAGACAUCCACAAAUCAUGCACAUGGCAUGCACAGAUGUAUUGGUUAAAAAACUUUCACAAGGAAAAAUCAAUGAAAGAAUAAAACUCUCACUAUAAUAAUUUAUGAGAGAAUAAACUCUCACUAACUGAUCCUAGGAGAGAAAGAAUAUCUCAUUAGUGAAUCCUAGGAGAGAAUUUAUUCAAACAAGAGAAAAUUACAGAGAGGGUUCCCUCCCUUGGGGAAAGACCACAUUUGGUCCCUCUCUCAUGAGAGAGAUGGAGAUUUUGAGUGAAAGAAUCUAGAGAGAAGGAGGAGAAAAGAGUUUUAGAGGAGGGAUUAAAUUUUUUUUUCUCUAUUUCAUAUCCUAGAAAGGGAAACAGCGUGAUUGUUGCUGGAGUCCUUGAUAUUCCCAUGAUAUUGUGAGAUUUUGGGGUCGAACAUUCUGAAGAAAUCAUCGAUAAUACCAUCUCCAAAGUGAGGUCGAAUGAUGGGUUCAUAAGCAGCUCCUGGUUAUACACUUGCCACUGGUGUUUUUAUCGAAAGCGUAAUUCUUCCCAUAAUCGGCAGCCUCCACAUCAACCCAUUGCACUUCAAUGAUAUCCAAAUAUCCUAUCUUAAAUGCAUGAUUUUUCUCAAUUAUGGUCCUUAGUUCUUCCACAGAGGGCUGAUAAUGUGGAAGGUUGAAAUUGUCAACUGCUUUUUCCUCAAUAAGUCCCUGAUCAAUUACACUUCCUCCAUCAGUUGUCCAGCUAAUUAGUUCCAAAUACGUUUUCAUUAAUGAAAUUAAUCGUUAACGUUUCGAAACAAAGGAAAAAAAAAUAAAUUUUGCUGUGAUAUUUUCAUAAUUGUGUACCUCUGUAACCAUGUCAUUCAUUGUCAUCCCUAACAAAUCAUGAUAGUUAUAAGUAUAGGUGGCAAACUAUGUUUUCAGAACCGGACCGGAUAGCGACUCGGCCAAGGUCAGGGGUCAGGGGUCAAUGGGUUCGACCGGGGGUCGAUAGGGGUCGAACCGGAUGACGUCAUAAAUAAAAAUUAUUUAAAAAUUAAAAUAUUAUAUAUAUCAUAUCUAAUAAUAUAUUGAUAUUAAUAAAGGUAUAUUCAUAUAUAUUUGUUGUUUCAAAUAUAUUUAACAAGAAAAUACAAAGAAAUUAGAACAAUCAAGUAACAAUUUAUAUUAUUUAAUAAAUAUUAACAAGUUUAGAAUUAAAAUUAUGAAUUUAAUUGAAAAAUAACAUCAAAUUGUAGAACAAUAUUUAUAAAGUAUCAAAUAUUUGAGGUAUAUCAAUAAGUUUUAACAAUUUAGGGGGUCAAAACAUAAUAUUAUAAAGUUUGAAUUUUUUUUAAAAAAAUUACUGUUGAACCGGAAAAAUCGGUUUUUUCCCGGUCAAACCCGGUUUUUGACCGGCUUUGACCGGGUUUUAAAAUUUCCGGUUUUCUAAUAUGACUCGGACCGGCUACCUGGCCGAUUCCCGGUUCGACCGGCCGGUCCGGUCCGAGUUUUAAAACAGAGGUGGCAAACCAACCCACUUAACUAAAUUUACCCAUACCCGUCCAUGAAUAGAUGGGUAUGAGUAUCUUAAAAUUUUGUAGAUGGAUAUGAAUUAUAAAUGGAUAUUAUUGGGUAACCCAUCAAACCCAAUUAACCCAUUUAGAAUUCUCUUCCCCUAAGUCUCUUCUCUUCCCCCACCCAUUUUUUUUUUUCAAAUUUUUCAUUUUGUCAUGAUAUUAACUACUUUUGUUUCAUUAUUAUUAUUAUUUGUUGAUUUUAUCUUAUUAUUUUAUUUUCUCUUAGUUUGUUAACUUGCUCAUUUUUUAGCAUUACUAAUUUAUGAUAAGUUUUAGCCUCUUUUCUUAUCUUUCUAAAAUGAAAUUUUAAAUUUAUAUAUGAAAAAAAUGUUAGGGGUUAAAAAUUUUUGGAUUAAAUUUUUAUAUUAACUUUUAUAGUACUUAGUUCAAAUUUUUUUAUUCUUAUUAUUCAAUUAUUAAAUAAUAUCUAAUUUUGUGACAUAGAGUAUAAAUGGGAAAAAAUUGGUAAUUAGGCUUAUUGAGCAUUAUAAGUAAAUAUUUAAAAUUAAUAAUGGGUACAAAGAGAGGUAUAAAUUGAUAACUUAGUUUGCAAAAAUAAAUUUAAAUGAGUUUACAAAAAAUUAAAAUAAAUGGGUUAUAAAUGGGUAAUUGGGUUAUUCAAUUCAUUUUUUGACUUAUCCAUUUAUACCCAUCUAAUUAAAUGGGUAUAAAUGCGUUGACUCACUUAUAUCCAUUACUUAUUUUACCCAACCCAAACCCACCCAAGUCACCCAUUUUGACACCUCUAGUUAUAAGCAACAAGGUCCUCGUUGUUAGAUGACAAGGUGAGAAGUAAGCGUCGCCCAGACACCGUUUCAGCAGCACGGGCACUCUAAAAAGUUUGUAAAAUCUUUGUCAAACUGAUCCAAAUACGGGAGCAGGCACACUUCUAGGACUUGUUUUUCCUAUGUAAAUGUUGCCUUUGCUCAGUGGCAUGCCUUUCUGAGUCACCAGCCCUCUAGGAACCUGGAGCCAGGUAAGUAAAUUAGUCAAUAAUUUUUCAAAUUGACAGCAAGGAAUCAAUCACAUUAGUUUGUUUAACAUAAUUGGACGACUUAGUAAAACUUUUUAUAGAUUGAAACUAAAUUGAACAUCUUAAAAAAGUUAAAAGGGUAAUUUACCACUAAAUUACAGGAGGGGGGAAUCACUAUUUUAGUCCUUACAACUUCUUUAACUUGAACCAGUGUCAUCCUUCAUCUUCUAUUUGGCUGAAUUUAGAGCCAAUUGAAUCCUUGUACUUGGCACCACCAAUUAAAUUGUGUUUUGCUCAAAAUCUUCCGGCCAACAAAGGGUGAUUGAGGAACUUCAAGCCAAGGCCGUAUAAAACAAGCAAAGAAAAUUGAAAUUUGCAUUAUUAGAUUGGGAGGUAUACACAAAUUUGCAUUAGAUUGUGCAAUUGGAAAGUCACGAUGUCAGUGCUUCAAAGUCGCUCACGUGAUUUGGGAAUUUGGAAAUCUGGGAGUCAAGUGGCUGUCGUGACUGAAAAUGAAAUAUCAAUUAAGUUGUUUUUACAUAAUAUGAUAGAAAAUAGAAAAUAUUCUAAUUAAUUCUACCUGGAAAACUAUUUUGGGUAAAUAGUUUUGGCAGGACCUUUGAGAAUAUGAAGGCUGGUGAUGGAGGUUAGGUUGAGAGAUAAGGGCGAGAUCAUACAUUUUUAUUUUCUAUUUUGACGUCCAACUUUAUAGCUAAUGCAUGUUCUGUUCCCUGAAACAACGGAAAAUUUUUGUUUUUCCUCUUUUUAGUAAAAUACUUGGCUUGUGGUUCCUAAACUGCCCUUGUUUGGCUAGAGAUAUUGAGCAAAACAUAAUUCAAUUGGUGGGGUGCCGCUCUAAAAGUAUUCUAUUGGCAACAAAAUUCACAUUUUCAUCAUUAUCAUUAUCAUUAAUGUACGAUGAGUCUUGACAAUAGGGAGUGCAAGAAUGCAAGCAUAUUUUGAUUUUAGUUUUUGUUAUGGCUAAAUUGUCCUAAUGCCUUUUAAUUGGAGUUAUUACAUCCCUUUUAAUUACAGUUAUUGCAUUUCAAUGAUGACACUAAUUAGAGUUAUUGUUAUGCCUAAAUUACCCUCAUGCCUUCUGACAAAAAAAAAGGAAAAAUUAAUAGUUUCAAGAAAUUACAUCUCAAAAAUGUUGGUAAUUAAAAUUUAAAAUUGUCCAAUUACAACUACAUUCACCAAUCAUUUCCCUCAUCUCCAAUUAUUGUAUGUGUUAAAAUUAUAUCCAAUUAUUAUAUUGUUAUGCAUGAUAAUUAAAGUUAACUAUAUUUUAUAUACAUAUUGGUUUAGAAGAAAAUCAUGAUUAAUAAGAAGACAAAAAGUUAUAAACAAUUUAUAAGAAAAUAAAAGGUUAAACUGAUGAUUAAAUUCAUUAUGUCAUAUUGAUUAAGAAAACUCCCAAAAAAAGUUGUCUACAGCUACUGAAAUUAAUAAAGAUUUGUUGUAUCCAAAUCAGACUGUUUUAGAAUAUAUUUUGCUCACGUUUUAUUGCAUACAUGGCUUAACACAACAUAGAAAAUUUUCCCUUCUUACUAUUAUAAUCCAAAUAAAAAAUGCAACAACUUAGUUUAGAUACAAUAUUAUUCCAUUUUUAGAGUUUUGUAAUUGUAAUAUGCACAAUAAACUUUUAAUUAGUUUGUUAAUAUUAAACAUUUUGUACAACUAACAAUUGCUUAAUUUUGUUUAUUCUAUGGUUUCUUAGGCAAUAUUAUACCAACAACUUAACUUAAAUAUGAUAAUAUUCCAUUUUCAAAGUUUUUAUAACUGUAAAAUACACAAUAAACUUUUAAUUGCUCUGUAUACAAUAAACAUUUUGUACCACUAUCAAUUGUUUAAUUUUGUUCAUUAUACAGUUUCUUAGUUUAUAUUGUGCCAAUAAUCAAAGUUUUACAUAGAAAUUUAGUAUAUUAAAGGUUUUAUUUCUGGGAAAAAUAUAUUCACGUACAAAGCGUGUGAAUUAUUACUAGUUAAAUAAAAUAUGGGGGAUGAAAUUGGUUUAACGUAACAAAGAUGGUGGACUAAAUUAACAAAUUUCCCUUACACGAAUUCUUAAGUUCACUAAGACUUCCUUAAGCAAUAUAAGUUAGGUGAUAGUAUCUGCAGGUAAGGUCUAUAUGUGACCACUUCAGUUCGGUCAAAUUUUCAAAGUAAAAAAAAAAAAAAUUGGAAAUGAUGUAGCCCAAUUUGAACCAUAAAAAGCACUCUGUUGCAAUCUACUCAAGGGGAGGGGCAUCGGAUCCUUUUUUUACGUUAGCAAUUAUGAGACAUUCAUUGACCGGAAAGAAGAGAAUAAGGUCACAAGAUUGCCACACCUGAGACAGCCAGUGAAGACUAUAGCAAGAGUGUAUAAAAUGCAUGGAGUUGUCCGGAAAAAGUUUUCCAUGGAAUGACCCGGGCAUAGCUGCAAUGAAGCAUGACCCUGGACUGCGUUCGUAAUACUUCUCAAGUCUUUGAUAAAAAAAUUAGGCAAUUAUUGGAAAAUGGAAUUGAAAUCGUUGGACACUCGAUCAGUCAAGAAAACUUGUAUCCUAGGUAGCUCAAGAUAAAUUUUCGAGUCAUGGCAUUCUCUGUCGAUGUUCUCUAUGAUGUCUUGAAUCGCCAAAAGCGUAUUUGGCCCCUAUGCACAUCCCAGAUCUGUUAUGCUUAUGCACCCUGCUGCUGUUGGUAGGUUGGCUCUGCAAAACUCUUGGAUGCUUUGUUUGAGUUCACUGCUGACCUUCAUUGAUAUUAAUUUCUGAAUGCUAGAAAGUGAUUAGAGAGGUCUCCCUCAUACACAGGGCCGGGAGAAAGAGAUCAUUAAUUGACAUGUAUUAAGGGUCUUAUCGUAUCUCACUUACUUGAAAUGAUGAAUUUUUUCCAUAGCUCGCAUGGUCGUCCCCUCUUCUCAUGUGAAGAACUUGUUGCAGUUCCAUCUUUGCUACUCUUCUGCAAUUUGGAACCAUGGAUUGAACUUCUUCUCUAUGUGUGUACUUGUGUGUGUAGAUCAUGCCUUACUUAGAACCAUAAAACAAAGAACUAGGUCAAACACGAGGUUGUUGUAAAGGGACCCUUUCCUGAUUUAUAUCAUUUUUUACAAGUCUUAUUCUAGUAUAUUAGGUACCGAUCAAUAUUUUGUAAUUAACCUACUAAUCUCAAGGAGUAUCAAUUAAUCUGCUACAAUAAUUGGCGCCUAAACAGUUCUUUAUUCAUCAUGGCAACUUUCACAAGUAUGUUAGUUGACUCGUAACUUUCGCGAGGAUUAUUCGAUUAGAGAAUAGCUAGCUUAAUCCAGUUAAUUAAGAGCUUCUCUGGACCUUCUAUCCCGUGACAUCCUUCUGUUGGCCUUUCCCCUUCACUCCCUCCAGCCCGAAAGAGAAAUCAGAAUCUUCAAAGAGAAACUAAUUAAGCUGGUUUUGCUCCUUAAUUGUAUCCAACAUUAAUUGAUAGCCAAACUCUAAAAUGGAUAUAUCAAGAAAACUUCACCAAAUGAAAUGUUGUAAGAUGAGAAGAUUUGGAACAAACCUAUCCAGAUAGUCGCUAUUUUACCAUAAAGAAAUGGGUAAAUUACAUUUUACCCCCUAUGAUUUAACCUUUUUUACAUAACUCCCCUAUGGUUUCAAAAGCUAUACAUAACCCCCUCAUGGUUUGGAUUAAAGUGUGAAAGUAACGGAAAUAUUCACUCGUAACGGAAUUGAUCUGAGCAAGAUGCACAACAUGAUUUAUGGUUUCGAUCUUACUUUCCGUCAGUAUAUAUUGUAUAUCAGUCAAUAUAUCAGGAAUUGGAAUAGUUUUUUGCAGUAUCUGUGAUUGAACUCAGCUGCAGGAUUUUUGGAAGUUGGAUUUCUGGUAUAGUUUUCCAAAAUAAAACCAAUCAAAGUGAAGAGAUAGAAAUAGCUCUUGGUCCCAAGUUUAGGGAACCAACCUCAGAUUGGCAUACACAACUUCACCGCAUAUUAUGUGUUUUGCAUGGAGUCUUGGAAGUUGCUCCAACUUGAAAUUGAUCAAGGAAUAAGAUCGAAGUACAUAAAAGGCAGCAUCAUUUUCAUUUCCAGUGUCUCUUGACCUAAACCAGAUACCACAUUUUACGAGAUUUCUAUCAUUUUCAAUUGAAAGCCCCUGCAGAAUAAAUCAACUCAAACUGGAAAUGAAAUGCUUCUUGGCAUGGACUUUGUUCAAGCGGAGUUAGAAAAGUAUCACUUACUCCUUCAUUGCCUGCGUAAACUUAUGUACAAAAAUCAGUUUGGCAAUCUUUUUUGGAUCACAGUCAACUUGCCUAGAAAAGUGAGUUUAACAAGUUGAGUGAGCUCAUGCUCGCAAUUCCAUUUUUUUUCUCCUCUUUUCUUUUUUGAUUAAAGUAUUAGAUUAUUUUGUAAUUUUAUUUGCAUUGAUUAAUUUUGUUUUUUCAAAAAUACAAGGUUAAAUAAAAAUUGAUAAAGCCCCACCACCAUAAUAAUACUACUAUAUAUGAUCCACCAUGGCCUAGAUUUGUCCCAACCACAUUUUGGGUACAAAAUUUUUCCCGAUUAAUUAUUUGGUGUGGUAUGCAAAUAUGUGCUUGAUUUUCUCAUAUUGGGAUUCUUAAAACCCCAGCAAGUAGAACAUAUUGUUCUUUUUGGAUUUUGGUUGUAUUCAUUGGUCUGUACCUUUUUCUUGAGACUGAGCUGCUAUUUUUUUUUGUUAUCCUCUCGUGUUGGAUAGCAGAAACUAGAGCAAAUGCAUUAAAUUUUGCCAAUGAUUUGGUACACGUAAGGUCAAUCCGUGGUGCUACACUACGAAUACGCAUUCAAUUGUUCAUUCUGUUAAAUAUUCAGCUUAUAUGACAUAACCAUGAAAUUAGUACCUUCAUUAAAGGUCAUGAAUUGAUGCUUGGUUUUAUACUUUGUUGGCUAAACAAAGCCAAAAGAAGAUGAUGUUCCGUUCCAACUUCCUAGCAAGCAAGCAUGCAAGAAAGCAGAAAAGAGUCAGUCCAGAUGCCACUGCCAGUACUGUACUCACCAGUCAGUAGCCAUUUUCUCUGAGAUGGCGCCCCCCCCUUCCCUUUCCAAAUUCAGGUUCUCUGAAAUGUCUGACCAGCUUGUCUCUAGAGUUUCAAACAGUUCACAAAAAAGGAAAAAUCGAAGAUGGGGAAAAGCAUUUAGGAAUGGUGAUGGCUGGUGAUCAUCAUGCAGGCACAGAUGUUAAUGCAGAAUUUGUAUAUCCUAGGAUGGGAAUUGUUGCAAAUAUUCCUGAUGACAAUAGAAAUGGACAAGAUGUUCGAAGCUGCGGCUUUAAGGUUAAGAAUGAUCUGACUAUGAAAGAGUUUAAUCCAAUGACUGUGCAACCAUUCUGGAACUGUGCUACAUUAUCAGGGUAUGCAAUAGUUGAGUUCAACAAGAACUAGGCUGGAUUGUCUUGAGGCUAUGGCUUUUGAUUUUGGGUAAAAAGCAAAGAAUUGGCAAAUAUUGUGACAAGAAUUGGCUUCAAAUCGUGAUAGAAAUCACUUUCCUUUAGGCUUUAUUUGUCCGAUAUAAAGUGCAAUACCUUGGACAAAUAUCCUUCAGGAUAAGAUGAAAUUUUGUUUGUCUUAUACUCUUGCACAAAGCAAGACAAACCCUUUGUGAACUAAGGAGUGCUUUUGAGAGAGUAAGGAUAGUAGGAAAGUGAUUUUCUGCAGCAAACCACUCUCUACUUGAUCUCUUUAUAUAGGAAGAUUGUUUGGGAAACAAAAGAUCUCAUUAAACACUUGUAUGAACAGAUUCAAAGUAUUGUGUACACAUUCAUGCACUUUAAUUCAUGCAUCUCAUGAUCAUUAGAUCAAAACAUGAAUCUAUCCUUUCAUUCAAUAAUUCCCAUAUACAUGAAUACAUUCAUAAAUGAAUGUACAUUUUAGGAACAUUCACAAUACUAUACAUAUACCAAAAAUCAAUGAAUAUACAUUAAUUUCAUGUAUGUACAUCAUACAAAUUUUGAAAAGUUUCCAACAAUCCCCCGCCAUUUUCAAAAUUUAGAAAAUGGAUUUCUAAAAGGUCACCAAGUAAUCUGACACUCAUAUGCAUAAAUAAUGGUGUCUUUCGAUUGAACCACUAUCUUAGUGAAGGUUCUUUGAAAUCAAUCCUUCAAGAUGGUAGACAAGCUUUGAACCACUUGGACAUUGGACCAACCUCAUAAACACAUCACACACUGAGCAAUGCACAACCAUAAGUUCUUCAACGAUACAUUUUACGGCCUUGUAUCACUAUCCUUUCAUGAAUGUUUACAAAGUAAAGUCCUUAACUUUGUGGUUUGCCGAAAACCAACAUUCAUAUAGGCGACAUCUUAGUGCCCCCGCCAUAGAUAGCACUUUUAAGAUUCGUUAAGAGUCCAAUGACUCAUCCUUACAUUUGCACUGGCGAGAAUAACAUGCACUAUUCAACAUUGGGAUGACUAAACUUCACAUAGUGCACCAACCACUAGAAUGGUGUACUUUCACUCAUUGAAUUCAAGACUAGACGUUGUAUCUAGCGUUGAAUUGAGGUUCCACCAUUAGUGAUCAAGAAUUUUGGACUUUAAACCCAUCCCCCUUGAUGUCUUUGACACCAAAUUUCUUGAUAAUCCUUUUGUCAAAGGAUCACUUAAAUUUUCAUUUGAUCUCACAAAGUCAAUUGAUAUGACUCCAUUUGUAAUCAAAUCUUUGACAUAACUAUGUCUCAAACCGAUAUGUCUUGAUUUACCAUUAUACACUUGACUAUAUGCUUUAGCAAGUGUAGCUGCACUAUCACAAUGGAUUGAGAUAGGCGACAAAGGUGUUGGCCACAAUGGUAUAUCACAAAGUAAAUUACGUAGCCAUUCAGCUUCUUUACAGGCCGAAGCAAGUGCUACAAACUCUGCUGCCAUUGUUGAAUCGGUGAUACAAGUCUGUUUCUUAGAACCCCAAGAAAUUGCACCUCCACCAAGCAUAAAGAUCCAACCACUUGUCGACGAGUGAUCAUCUUUAUUGGUGAUCCAACUAGCAUCUAAAAAUCCUUCUAAAACUGAAGGAUAACCGGUAUAACAUAUACCAUAGUCCUUAGUGGCCUUUAAAUACUUUAAAAUUCUGGUUACACCUUGCCAAUGUAACCUACUAGGGUUGCUUGUAUAUCUGCUCAAUAUACCAACUGCAUAUGCAAUAUCAGGUCUAGUACAAGUCAUUGCAUACAUUAAACACCCUAUAACCUUGGCAUAUUCCAUUUGAGAUUUUGGAUCCCCCUCAUUUUUCACAAAAUUUAUUUUGGGAUCCAAUGGUGUUGAGACUGGAAUACAAUCACUUUGAUUGAAUUUGUUAAGAAUCUUUUCAAUAUAAUGUGUUUGAGACAACAUUAUAUUGUUAUCAUGUUUGAAGAUUCUCAUACCAAGAAUGACAUCUGCCUCACCCAUGUCUUUCAUGUCAAAUUUGCUUGAAAGCAAAGUUUUUGUGACUUCAACUUGUUCCAAGUCAGUCCCAAAAAUCAACAUGUCAUCAACAUAUAAACAAAUUAUGACACCUUUGCCAUCAUCAAACUUGCUAUAAAUACAUUUAUCAGAUUCAUUUAUUUUGAACCCACUAGCAAGAAUAACUUGGUCAAAUUUCUGAUGCCAUUGCUUCGGUGCUUGUUUUAGUCCAUAUAAAGACUUUACAAGUUUACACACCUUAUGCUCUUGACCAGGUAUCACAAACCCUUCGGGUUGCUCCAUAUAUAUUUUUUCAUCCAAAUCACCAUUCAAGAAUGCUGUUUUAACAUCCAUUUGGUGAACUAGAUUUUGGAUAGAAGCUAUAGCAAGUAGCACUCUAAUUGUAGCAAUUCUAGCUACUGGUGAAUAUGUGUCAAAAUAGUCCACACCAUACUUUUGUGUGAACCCUUUGGCAACCAACCUGGCCUUGAACUUAUCAAUAGUUCCGUCGAUCUUCAUUUUCUUCUUGAAGAUCCACUUACAACCAAUUGGUUUUGAACCAGGUGGUAAGUCUACUAAUUUCCAGGUUUUAUUACCCAUGAUUGAGUCCAUCUCAUCAUUAAUAGCUUCCUUCCAAAAGGGAGCAUCUUGUGAGUUCAUUGCUUCUUCAUAGGUCUUGGGAUCAGCCUCAAUAUUGAAGCAAUAUGAGAUUUGGUUGCUCACUGUAUCUCUAGUUCCUUCAACUAGAUACAUAUAAAAGUCCGAACCGAAGUCUUUUGACUUUCUAGCUCUUUUGCUCCUUCUCAAUUCAAUGGUUUCAUUUUCACCAUCUUUUGUCAAUUCACUUGAUUUUGGAAUAACAUCUUUUAUAGAGGUGAACCUAUUCUCUUCAAAAAUAGCAUCUCUAGACUCAAUUAUGGUAUUAACCGAAAUUGAAUCAUUAGGUUCAAUUACCAUGAACCUAUAUGCUUUGCUAUUUUGUGCAUAUCCUAAGAAUAUACACUCCACACCUCUUUCUCCCAAUUUCCUUUUUUGAGAUUCUGGGAGUUUUACAACAGCUCUACAACCCCAAACUUUCAAAUAGUUUAGGUUGGGCUUUCUUUUAUUCCAAAAUUCAUAAGGGGUUAUAGAACUCCUUUUAUUAGGAACUCUAUUUAGGAUAUGACAAGCCGUUAACAAGGCUUCACCCCAAAAUCCUUGACUUAAACCAGAUUUUGACAAAAGUGCAUUAACCAUUUCUGUCAAUACACGAUUUUUCCUUUCGGCUACACCAUUUUGUUGUGGUGUGUAAGGAGCAGUCACCUCAUAUUUUAUCCCAACAGACUCAAAAUAGGUAAUAUCAUAAUAUUCCCCACCUCUAUCUGUCCUUAGACAUUUGAUAAAGGAUUCACAAUGAAGUUCAACUUCUGAUUUGUAUGCCUUAAAUUUUUGCAAAGCUUCACCUUUUGAGUGUAACAAGAAAACAUGACAGUAUCUACUAUAAUCAUCAAUAAAAGUCACAAAGUACUUUUUACCACCCAAAGUAGGAGUACCAUGCAAAUCACAUACAUCACUAUGAAUAAGAUCCAAGAUUUUAGAUGAUCUUUCAACUUUAGGAAACGAAUUUCUUGUGAUUUUCGUUAGCAUGCAUGUAUUGCAUUUUCCUUCAAUCUUAUCACAAUAUGGCAGCAAAUCAAGUCUCAUCAUUUCAUGCAUUCUUUUGUAAUUAACAUGACCAAUCCUAUUAUGCCACAAUUCAAAAGAAGACUCAACCAAAUACGCAGAAAUAAUAUCACUCUUAUUAUUUCUAAUAGCAAGUACAUUCAACUUAAACAUCCCAUUGCAAAGAUAACCCUUGCCUACAAACAUACCACCUUUAGACAAAAUAAAUUUGUCAGACUCAAACACAAGUCUAAAGCCAAAUUUAUUUAACAGCCCAGCCGACACCAAGUUCUUCCUAACUUCCGGUACAUAAAACACAUUUGUCAAGGUUACAACAUUUCCGGAAGUAAAUUUUAAUUCUACUUCUCCAAUGCCUUGAACCGGAAUUGUAGCAGAAUUUCCCAUGUAAACAACGGUGCUUUCAUCCACCGGUUUCAUGGACUUGAAGAACGUUCUAUUGUUGCACACGUGUCGCGUAGCUCCAGAAUCAACCCACCAAGCAAAAUCAUCUUCAAUCAUAUUGAUUUCAGAUAUCAUUGCUACAAGAUUUUUGCUUGUGUUUUGGGAAGACUCUUGCUUCUUCUUCUUGUUUUGAAGAAUCUUGCACUCGGACUUGUAGUGUCCCUCUUUCUUGCAAUAGAAGCAUUGUCCCUUCUUUCUUUUCUUGGAUUGAUUUUUGGGUUGUUGGCCCUUCUUGCUUCCUUGAGACUUUUCAGUUUGCCUCUCUUCAAUCACAUGCACUUUUGAAGUAGAAUCUUUGUUCUCUUCAAGGAUUUGACUAUCUUUCUUUUCUUGCAUGCGAAUUUCCUCUUCUACUCGAAGAGAUUUAGCAAGAAUCUCAAGAGAGAUAUCCUCUUUCUUAUGUUUGAGGUCUCUUUUGAAAUCUUUCCAAGAAGGUGGUAACUUAUCUAUUAUAGAGCAAACAAUAAUGGCUUCAUCCAUGUGUAGAUUGUGUUGUGUGAAGUGAUUAAGAAGCCUUUCAAUCUCACUAAAUUGCUCCAUAACAGACUUAUUAUCUACCAUUUUAUAAUUAUUAAAAGACGAGACAAGAAACUUCUUACUUGUAGCAUCUUCUUGCAUGUACUUGGACUCCAAUCGAUCCCAAAGUUCCUUGGCGGUAGCAAUUGAAUGGUAGACAUCGAACAGGUUGUCACUCAUGGUAUUGAGGAUGUGACCACGGCAUAUUUCAUCGUCGUUCUCCCAUUUCUGACGGUUUCGGAUGUCUUCAAGAGUUUCUUCAUCGGGAUUGAUCAAUGGUUUUGGUGUGGUCAAAACAUAGACCACUUUGAGUGCAGUGAGAAGGAAACGAACACGUUUUUGCCAACGAAUGAAAUUCCCUCCAUCAAACCUCUCGAGCUUGACAAUAUUGGAUGCCAAAUCUUUCAAGGUACCGGCCAUUGUAGAGUAUAAAUAAAGCCUAAAGAUUUUUGGGUAAAAAGCAAAGAAUUGGCAAAUAUUGUGACAAGAAUUGGCUUCAAAUCGUGAUAGAAAUCACUUUUCUUUAGGCUUUAUUUGUCCGAUAUAAAGUGCAAUACCUUGGACAAAUAUCCUUCAGGAUAAGAUGAAAUUUUGUUUGUCUUAUACUCUUGCACAAAGCAAGACAAACCCUUUGUGAACUAAGGAGUGCUUUUGAGAGAGUAAGGAUAGUAGGAAAGUGAUUUUCUGCAGCAAACCACUCUCUACUUGACCUCUUUAUAUAGGAAGAUUGUUUGGGAAACAAAAGAUCUCAUUAAACACUUGUAUGAACAGAUUCAAAGUAUUGUGUACACAUUCAUGCACUUUAAUUCAUGCAUCUCAUGAUCAUUAGAUCAAAACAUGAAUCUAUCAUUUCAUUCAAUAAUUCCCAUAUACAUGAAUACAUUCAUAAAUGAAUGUACAUUUUAGGAACAUUCACAAUACUAUACAUAUACCAAAAAUCAAUGAAUAUACAUUAAUUUCAUGUAUGUACAUCAUACAAAUUUUGAAAAGUUUCCAACAGAGCUAGAAAGUCAAAAGACUUCGGUUCGAACUUUUAUAUGUAUCUAGUUGAAGGAACUAGAGAUACAGUGAGCAACCAAAUCUCAUAUUGCUUCAAUAUUGAGGCUGAUCCCAAGACCUAUGAAGAAGCAAUGAACUCACAAGAUGCUCCCUUUUGGAAGGAAGCUAUUAAUGAUGAGAUGGACUCAAUCAUGGGUAAUAAAACCUGGAAAUUAGUAGACUUACCACCUGGUUCAAAACCAAUUGGUUGUAAGUGGAUCUUCAAGAAGAAAAUGAAGAUCGACGGAACUAUUGAUAAGUUCAAGGCCAGGUUGGUUGCCAAAGGGUUCACACAAAAGUAUGGUGUGGACUAUUUUGACACAUAUUCACCAGUAGCUAGAAUUGCUACAAUUAGAGUGCUACUUGCUAUAGCUUCUAUCCAAAAUCUAGUCAUUCACCAAAUGGAUGUUAAAAUAGCAUUCUUGAAUGGUGAUUUGGAUGAAGAAGUAUAUAUGGAGCAACCCGAAGGGUUUGUGAUACCUGGUCAAGAGUAUAAGGUGUGUAAACUUGUAAAGUCUUUAUAUGGACUAAAACAAGCACCGAAGCAAUGGCAUCAGAAAUUUGACCAAGUUAUUCUUGCUAGUGGGUUCAAAAUAAAUGAAUCUGAUAAAUGUAUUUAUAGCAAGUUUGAUGAUGGCAAAGGUGUCAUAAUUUGUUUAUAUGUUGAUGACAUGUUGAUUUUUGGGACUGACUUGGAACAAGUUGAAGUCACAAAAACUUUGCUUUCAAGCAAAUUUGACAUGAAAGACAUGGGUGAGGCAGAUGUCAUUCUUGGUAUGAGAAUCUUCAAACAUGAUAACAAUAUAAUGUUGUCUCAAACACAUUAUAUUGAAAAGAUUCUUAACAAAUUCAAUCAAAGUGAUUGUAUUCCAGUCUCAACACCAUUGGAUCCCAAAAUAAAUUUUGUGAAAAAUGAGGGGGAUCCAAAAUCUCAAAUGGAAUAUGCCAAGGUUAUAGGGUGUUUAAUGUAUGCAAUGACUUGUACUAGACCUGAUAUUGCAUAUGCAGUUGGUAUAUUGAGCAGAUAUACAAGCAAUCCUGGUAGGUUACAUUGGCAAGGUGUAACCAGAAUUUUAAAGUAUUUAAAGGCCACUAAGGACUAUGGUAUAUGUUAUACCGGUUAUCCUUCAGUUUUAGAAGGAUUUUCAGAUGCUAGUUGGAUCACCAAUAAAGAUGAUCACUCGUCAACAAGUGGUUGGAUCUUUAUGCUUGGUGGUGGUGCAAUUUCUUGGGGUUCUAAGAAACAGACUUGUAUCACCGAUUCAACAAUGGCAGCAGAGUUUGUAGCACUUGCUUCGGCCUGUAAAGAAGCUGAAUGGCUACGUAAUUUGCUUUGUGAUAUACCAUUAUAGCCAACACCUUUGUCGCCUAUCUCAAUCCAUUGUGAUAGUGCAGCUACACUUGCUAAAGCAUAUAGUCAAGUGUAUAAUGGUAAAUCAAGACAUAUCGGUUUGAGACAUAAUUAUGUCAAAGAUUUGAUUACAAAUGGAGUCAUAUCAAUUGACUUUGUGAGAUCAAAUGAAAAUUUAAGUGAUCCUUUGACAAAAGGAUUAUCAAGAAAUUUGGUGUCAAAGACAUCAAGGGGGAUGGGUUUAAAGUCCAAAAUUCUUGAUCACUAAUAGUGGAACCUCAAUUCAAUGCUAGAUACAACGUCUGGUCCUGAAUUCAAUGAGUGAAAGUACAUCAUUCUAGUGGUUGGUGCACUAUAUUAAGUUUAGUCAUCCCAAUGUUGAAUAGUGCAUGUUAUUCUCGCCAGUGCAAAUGUAAGGAUGAGUCAUUGGACUCUUAACGAAUCUUAAAAGUGCUAUCUAUGGCGGGGGCACUAAGAUGUCGCCUAUAUGAAUGUUGGUUUUCGGCAAACCACAAAGUUAAGGACUUUACUUUGUAAACAUUCAUGAAAGGAUAGUGAUACAAGGCCGUAAAAUGUAUCGUUGAAGAACUUAUGGUUGUGCAUUGCUCAGUGUGUGAUGUGUUUAUGAGGUUGGUCCAAUGUCCAAGUGGUUCAAAGCUUGUCUACCAUCUUGAAGGAUUGAUUUCAAAGAACCUUCACUAAGAUAGUGGUUCAAUCGAAAGACACCAUUAUUUAUGCAUAUGAGUGUCAGAUUACUUGGUGACCUUUUAGAAAUCCAUUUUCUAAUUUUGAAAAUGGCGGGGGAUUGUUGGAAACUUUUCAAAAUUUGUAUGAUGUACAUACAUGUAAUUAAUGUAUAUUCAUUAAUUUUUGGUACAUGUAUAGUAUUGUGAAUGUUUCUAAAAUGUACAUUCAUUUAUGAAUGUAUUCAUGUAUAUGGGAAUUAUUGAAUGAAAGGAUAGAUUCAUGUUUUGAUCUAAUGAUCAUGAGAUGCAUGAAUUAAAGUGCAUGAAUGUGUACACAAUACUUUGAAUCUAUUCAUACACAAUACUUUGAAUCUAUUCAUAAUGGAUCUUUUGUUUCCCAAACAAUCUUCCUAUAUAAAGAGGUCAAGUAGAGAGUGGUUUGCUGCAGAAAAUCACUUUCCUACUAUCCUUACUCUCUCAAAAGCACUCCUUAGUUCACAAAGGGUUUGUCUUGCUUUGUGCAAGAGUUUAAGACAAACAAAACUUCAUCUUAUCCUAAAGGAUAUUUGUCCAAGGUUAUUGCACUUUAUAUCGGACAAAUAAAGCCUAAAGGAAAGUGAUUUCUAUCACGAUUUGAAGCCAAUUCUUGUCACAAUAUUUGCCAAUUCUUUGCUUUUUACCCAACAAUCUUUAGGCUUUAUUUAUACUCUACAAUGGCUGGUACCUUGAAAGAUUUGGCAUCCAAUAUUGUCAAGCUCGAGAGGUUUGAUGGAGGGAAUUUCAUUCGUUGGCAAAAACGUGUUCGUUUCCUUCUCACUGCACUCAAAGUGGUCUAUGUUUUGACCACACCAAAACCAUUGAUCAAUCCCGAUGAAGAAACUCUUGAAGACAUCCGAAACCGUCAGAAAUGGGAGAACGACGAUGAAAUAUGCCGUGGUCACAUCCUCAAUACCAUGAGUGACAACCUGUUCGAUGUCUACCAUUCAAUUGCUACCGCCAAGGAACUUUGGGAUCGAUUGGAGUCCAAGUACAUGCAAGAAGAUGCUACAAGUAAGAAGUUUCUUGUCUCGUCUUUUAAUAAUUAUAAAAUGGUAGAUAAUAAGUCUGUUAUGGAGCAAUUUAGUGAGAUUGAAAGGCUUCUUAAUCACUUCACACAACACAAUCUACACAUGGAUGAAGCCAUUAUUGUUUGCUCUAUAAUAGAUAAGUUACCACCUUCUUGGAAAGAUUUCAAAAGAGACCUCAAACAUAAGAAAGAGGAUAUCUCUCUUGAGAUUCUUGCUAAAUCUCUUCGAGUAGAAGAGGAAAUUCGCAUGCAAGAAAAGAAGGAUAGUCAAAUCCUUGAAGAGAACAAAGAUUCUACUUCAAAAGUGCAUGUGAUUGAAGAGAGGCAAACUGAAAAGUCUCAAGGAAGCAAGAAGGGCCAACAACCCAAGAAUCAAUCCAAGAAAAGAAAGAAGGGACAAUGCUUCUAUUGCAAGAAAGAGGGACACUACAAGUCCGAGUGCAAGAUUCUUCAAAACAAGAAGAAGAAGCAAGAGUCUUCCCAAAACACAAGCAAAAAUCUUGUAGCAAUGAUAUCUGAAAUCAAUAUGAUUGAAGAUGAUUUUGCUUGGUGGGUUGAUUCUGGAGCUACGCGACACGUGUGCAACAAUAGAACGUUCUUCAAGUCCAUGAAACCGGUGGAUGAAAGCACCGUUGUUUACAUGGGAAAUUCUGCUACAAUUCCGGUUCAAGGCAUUGGAGAAGUAGAAUUAAAAUUUACUUCCGGAAAUGUUGUAACCUUGACAAAUGUGUUUUAUGUACCGGAAGUUAGGAAGAACUUGGUGUCGGCUGGGCUGUUAAAUAAAUUUGGCUUUAGACUUGUGUUUGAGUCUGACAAAUUUAUUUUGUCUAAAGGUGGUAUGUUUGUAGGCAAGGGUUAUCUUUGCAAUGGGAUGUUUAAGUUGAAUGUACUUGCUAUUAGAAAUAAUAAGAGUGAUAUUAUUUCUGCGUAUUUGGUUGAGUCUUCUUUUGAAUUGUGGCAUAAUAGGAUUGGUCAUGUUAAUUACAAAAGAAUGCAUGAAAUGAUGAGACUUGAUUUGCUGCCAUAUUGUGAUAAGAUUGAAGGAAAAUGCAAUACAUGCAUGCUAACGAAAAUCACAAGAAAUUCGUUUCCUAAAGUUGAAAGAUCAUCUAAAAUCUUGGAUCUUAUUCAUAGUGAUGUAUGUGAUUUGCAUGGUACUCCUACUUUGGGUGGUAAAAAGUACUUUGUGACUUUUAUUGAUGAUUAUAGUAGAUACUGUCAUGUUUUCUUAUUACACUCAAAAGGUGAAGCUUUGCAAAAAUUUAAGGCAUACAAAUCAGAAGUUGAACUUCAUUGUGAAUCCUUUAUCAAAUGUCUAAGGACAGAUAGAGGUGGGGAAUAUUAUGAUAUUACCUAUUUUGAGUCUGUUGGGAUAAAACAUGAGGUGACUGCUCCUUACACACCACAACAAAAUGGUGUAGCCGAAAGGAAAAAUCGUGUAUUGACAGAAAUGGUUAAUGCACUUUUGUCAAAAUCUGGUUUAAGUCAAGGAUUUUGGGGUGAAGCCUUGUUAACGGCUUGUCAUAUCCUAAAUAGAGUUCCUAAUAAAAGGAGUUCUAUAACCCCUUAUGAAUUUUGGAAUAAAAGGAAGCCCAACCUAAACUAUUUGAAAGUUUGGGGUUGUAGAGCUGUUGUAAAACUCCCAGAAUCUCAAAAAAGGAAAUUGGGAGAAAGAGGUGUGGAGUGUAUAUUCUUAGGAUAUGCACAAAAUAGCAAAGCAUAUAGGUUCAUGGUAAUUGAACCUAAUGAUUCAAUUUCGGUUAAUACCAUAAUUGAGUCUAGAGAUGCUAUUUUUGAAGAGAAUAGGUUCACCUCUAUAAAAGAUGUUAUUCCAAAAUCAAGUGAAUUGACAAAAGAUGGUGAAAAUGAAACCAUUGAAUUGAGAAGGAGCAAAAGAGCUAGAAAGUCAAAAGACUUCGGUUCGGACUUUUAUAUGUAUCUAGUUGAAGGAACUAGAGAUACAGUGAGCAACCAAAUCUCAUAUUGCUUCAAUAUUGAGGCUGAUCCCAAGACCUAUGAAGAAGCAAUGAACUCACAAGAUGCUCCCUUUUGGAAGGAAGCUAUUAAUGAUGAGAUGGACUCAAUCAUGGGUAAUAAAACCUGGAAAUUAGUAGACUUACCACCUGGUUCAAAACCAAUUGGUUGUAAGUGGAUCUUCAAGAAGAAAAUGAAGAUCGACGGAACUAUUGAUAAGUUCAAGGCCAGGUUGGUUGCCAAAGGGUUCACACAAAAGUAUGGUGUGGACUAUUUUGACACAUAUUCACCAGUAGCUAGAAUUGCUACAAUUAGAGUGCUACUUGCUAUAGCUUCUAUCCAAAAUCUAGUCAUUCACCAAAUGGAUGUUAAAACAGCAUUCUUGAAUGGUGAUUUGGAUGAAGAAGUAUAUAUGGAGCAACCCGAAGGGUUUGUGAUACCUGGUCAAGAGCAUAAGGUGUGUAAACUUGUAAAGUCUUUAUAUGGACUAAAACAAGCACCGAAGCAAUGGCAUCAGAAAUUUGACCAAGUUAUUCUUGCUAGUGGGUUCAAAAUAAAUGAAUCUGAUAAAUGUAUUUAUAGCAAGUUUGAUGAUGGCAAAGGUGUCAUAAUUUGUUUAUAUGUUGAUGACAUGUUGAUUUUUGGGACUGACUUGGAACAAGUUGAAGUCACAAAAACUUUGCUUUCAAGCAAAUUUGACAUGAAAGACAUGGGUGAGGCAGAUGUCAUUCUUGGUAUGAGAAUCUUCAAACAUGAUAACAAUAUAAUGUUGUCUCAAACACAUUAUAUUGAAAAGAUUCUUAACAAAUUCAAUCAAAGUGAUUGUAUUCCAGCCUCAACACCAUUGGAUCCCAAAAUAAAUUUUGUGAAAAAUGAGGGGGAUCCAAAAUCUCAAAUGGAAUAUGCCAAGGUUAUAGGGUGUUUAAUGUAUGCAAUGACUUGUACUAGACCUGAUAUUGCAUAUGCAGUUGGUAUAUUGAGCAGAUAUACAAGCAACCCUAGUAGGUUACAUUGGCAAGGUGUAACCAGAAUUUUAAAGUAUUUAAAGGCCACUAAGGACUAUGGUAUAUGUUAUACCGGUUAUCCUUCAGUUUUAGAAGGAUUUUCAGAUGCUAGUUGGAUCACCAAUAAAGAUGAUCACUCGUCGACAAGUGGUUGGAUCUUUAUGCUUGGUGGAGGUGCAAUUUCUUGGGGUUCUAAGAAACAGACUUGUAUCACCGAUUCAACAAUGGCAGCAGAGUUUGUAGCACUUGCUUCGGCCUGUAAAGAAGCUGAAUGGCUACGUAAUUUACUUUGUGAUAUACCAUUGUGGCCAACACCUUUGUCGCCUAUCUCAAUCCAUUGUGAUAGUGCAGCUACACUUGCUAAAGCUUAUAGUCAAGUGUAUAAUGGUAAAUCAAGACAUAUCGGUUUGAGACAUAGUUAUGUCAAAGAUUUGAUUACAAAUGGAGUCAUAUCAAUUGACUUUGUGAGAUCAAAUGAAAAUUUGAGUGAUCCUUUGACAAAAGGGUUAUCAAGAAAUUUGGUGUCAAAUACAUCAAGGGGGAUGGGUUUAAAGUCCAAAAUUCUUGAUCACUAAUGGUGGAACCUCAAUUCAACGCUAGAUACAACGUCUAGUCUUGAAUUCAAUGAGUGAAAGUACACCAUUCUAGUGGUUGGUGCACUAUGUGAAGUUUAGACAUCCCAAUGUUGAAUAGUGCAUGUUAUUCUCGCCAGUGCAAAUGUAAGGAUGAGUCAUUGGACUCUUAACGAAUCUUAAAAGUGCUAUCUAUGGCGGGGGCACUAAGAUGUCGCCUAUAUGAAUGUUGGUUUUCGGCAAACCACAAAGUUAAGGACUUUACUUUGUAAACAUUCAUGAAAGGAUAGUGAUACAAGGCCGUAAAAUGUAUCGUUGAAGAACUUAUGGUUGUGCAUUGCUCAGUGUGUGAUGUGUUUAUGAGGUUGGUCCAAUGUCCAAGUGGUUCAAAGCUUGUCUACCAUCUUGAAGGAUUGAUUUCAAAGAACCUUCACUAAGAUAGUGGUUCAAUCGAAAGACACCAUUAUUUAUGCAUAUGAGUGUCAGAUUACUUGGUGACCUUUUAGAAAUCCAUUUUCUAAUUUUGAAAAUGGCGGGGGAUUGUUGGAAACUUUUCAAAAUUUGUAUGAUGUACAUACAUGUAAUUAAUGUAUAUUCAUUAAUUUUUGGUACAUGUAUAGUAUUGUGAAUGAUUCUAAAAUGUACAUUCAUUUAUGAAUGUAUUCAUGUAUAUGUGAAUUAUUGAAUGAAAGGAUAGAUUCAUGUUUUGAUCUAAUGAUCAUGAGAUGCAUGAAUUAAAGUGCAUGAAUGUGUACACAAUACUUUGAAUCUAUUCAUACACAAUACUUUGAAUCUAUUCAUACAAGUGUUUAAUGAGGUCUUUUGUUUCCCAAACAAAUCUUCCUAUAUAAAGAGGUCAAGUAGAGAGUGGUUUGCUGCAGAAAAUCACUUUCCUACUAUCCUUACUCUCUCAAAAGCACUCCUUAGUUCACAAAGGGUUUGUCUUGCUUUGUGCAAGAGUUUAAGACAAACAAAACUUCAUCUUAUCCUAAAGGAUAUUUGUCCAAGGUUAUUGCACUUUAUAUCGGACAAAUAAAGCCUAAAGGAAAGUGAUUUCUAUCACGAUUUGAAGCCAAUUCUGGUCACAAUAUUUGCCAAUUCUUUGCUUUUUACCCAACAAUCUUUAGGCUUUAUUUAUACUCUACAAUGGCUGGUACCUUGAAAGAUUUGGCAUCCAAUAUUGUCAAGCUCGAGAGGUUUGAUGGAGGGAAUUUCAUUCGUUGGCAAAAACGUGUUCGUUUCCUUCUCACUGCACUCAAAGUGGUCUAUGUUUUGACCACACCAAAACCAUUGAUCAAUCCCGAUGAAGAAACUCUUGAAGACAUCCGAAACCGUCAGAAAUGGGAGAACGACGAUGAAAUAUGCCGUGGUCACAUCCUCAAUACCAUGAGUGACAACCUGUUCGAUGUCUACCAUUCAAUUGCUACCGCCAAGGAACUUUGGGAUCGAUUGGAGUCCAAGUACAUGCAAGAAGAUGCUACAAGUAAGAAGUUUCUUGUCUCGUCUUUUAAUAAUUAUAAAAUGGUAGAUAAUAAGUCUGUUAUGGAGCAAUUUAGUGAGAUUGAAAGGCUUCUUAAUCACUUCACACAACACAAUCUACACAUGGAUGAAGCCAUUAUUGUUUGCUCUAUAAUAGAUAAGUUACCACCUUCUUGGAAAGAUUUCAAAAGAGACCUCAAACAUAAGAAAGAGGAUAUCUCUCUUGAGAUUCUUGCUAAAUCUCUUCGAGUAGAAGAGGAAAUUCGCAUGCAAGAAAAGAAGGAUAGUCAAAUCCUUGAAGAGAACAAAGAUUCUACUUCAAAAGUGCAUGUGAUUGAAGAGAGGCAAACUGAAAAGUCUCAAGGAAGCAAGAAGGGCCAACAACCCAAGAAUCAAUCCAAGAAAAGAAAGAAGGGACAAUGCUUCUAUUGCAAGAAAGAGGGACACUACAAGUCCGAGUGCAAGAUUCUUCAAAACAAGAAGAAGAAGCAAGAGUCUUCCCAAAACACAAGCAAAAAUCUUGUAGCAAUGAUAUCUGAAAUCAAUAUGAUUGAAGAUGAUUUUGCUUGGUGGGUUGAUUCUGGAGCUACGCGACACGUGUGCAACAAUAGAACGUUCUUCAAGUCCAUGAAACCGGUGGAUGAAAGCACCGUUGUUUACAUGGGAAAUUCUGCUACAAUUCCGGUUCAAGGCAUUGGAGAAGUAGAAUUAAAAUUUACUUCCGGAAAUGUUGUAACCUUGACAAAUGUGUUUUAUGUACCGGAAGUUAGGAAGAACUUGGUGUCGGCUGGGCUGUUAAAUAAAUUUGGCUUUAGACUUGUGUUUGAGUCUGACAAAUUUAUUUUGUCUAAAGGUGGUAUGUUUGUAGGCAAGGGUUAUCUUUGCAAUGGGAUGUUUAAGUUGAAUGUACUUGCUAUUAGAAAUAAUAAGAGUGAUAUUAUUUCUGCGUAUUUGGUUGAGUCUUCUUUUGAAUUGUGGCAUAAUAGGAUUGGUCAUGUUAAUUACAAAAGAAUGCAUGAAAUGAUGAGACUUGAUUUGCUGCCAUAUUGUGAUAAGAUUGAAGGAAAAUGCAAUACAUGCAUGCUAACGAAAAUCACAAGAAAUUCGUUUCCUAAAGUUGAAAGAUCAUCUAAAAUCUUGGAUCUUAUUCAUAGUGAUGUAUGUGAUUUGCAUGGUACUCCUACUUUGGGUGGUAAAAAGUACUUUGUGACUUUUAUUGAUGAUUAUAGUAGAUACUGUCAUGUUUUCUUAUUACACUCAAAAGGUGAAGCUUUGCAAAAAUUUAAGGCAUACAAAUCAGAAGUUGAACUUCAUUGUGAAUCCUUUAUCAAAUGUCUAAGGACAGAUAGAGGUGGGGAAUAUUAUGAUAUUACCUAUUUUGAGUCUGUUGGGAUAAAACAUGAGGUGACUGCUCCUUACACACCACAACAAAAUGGUGUAGCCGAAAGGAAAAAUCGUGUAUUGACAGAAAUGGUUAAUGCACUUUUGUCAAAAUCUGGUUUAAGUCAAGGAUUUUGGGGUGAAGCCUUGUUAACGGCUUGUCAUAUCCUAAAUAGAGUUCCUAAUAAAAGGAGUUCUAUAACCCCUUAUGAAUUUUGGAAUAAAAGGAAGCCCAACCUAAACUAUUUGAAAGUUUGGGGUUGUAGAGCUGUUGUAAAACUCCCAGAAUCUCAAAAAAGGAAAUUGGGAGAAAGAGGUGUGGAGUGUAUAUUCUUAGGAUAUGCACAAAAUAGCAAAGCAUAUAGGUUCAUGGUAAUUGAACCUAAUGAUUCAAUUUCGGUUAAUACCAUAAUUGAGUCUAGAGAUGCUAUUUUUGAAGAGAAUAGGUUCACCUCUAUAAAAGAUGUUAUUCCAAAAUCAAGUGAAUUGAUAAAAGAUGGUGAAAAUGAAACCAUUGAAUUGAGAAGGAGCAAAAGAGCUAGAAAGUCAAAAGACUUCGGUUCGGACUUUUAUAUGUAUCUAGUUGAAGGAACUAGAGAUACAGUGAGCAACCAAAUCUCAUAUUGCUUCAAUAUUGAGGCUGAUCCCAAGACCUAUGAAGAAGCAAUGAACUCACAAGAUGCUCCCUUUUGGAAGGAAGCUAUUAAUGAUGAGAUGGACUCAAUCAUGGGUAAUAAAACCUGGAAAUUAGUAGACUUACCACCUGGUUCAAAACCAAUUGGUUGUAAGUGGAUCUUCAAGAAGAAAAUGAAGAUCGACGGAACUAUUGAUAAGUUCAAGGCCAGGUUGGUUGCCAAAGGGUUCACACAAAAGUAUGGUGUGGACUAUUUUGACACAUAUUCACCAGUAGCUAGAAUUGCUACAAUUAGAGUGCUACUUGCUAUAGCUUCUAUCCAAAAUCUAGUCAUUCACCAAAUGGAUGUUAAAACAGCAUUCUUGAAUGGUGAUUUGGAUGAAGAAGUAUAUAUGGAGCAACCCGAAGGGUUUGUGAUACCUGGUCAAGAGCAUAAGGUGUGUAAACUUGUAAAGUCUUUAUAUGGACUAAAACAAGCACCGAAGCAAUGGCAUCAGAAAUUUGACCAAGUUAUUCUUGCUAGUGGGUUCAAAAUAAAUGAAUCUGAUAAAUGUAUUUAUAGCAAGUUUGAUGAUGGCAAAGGUGUCAUAAUUUGUUUAUAUGUUGAUGACAUGUUGAUUUUUGGGACUGACUUGGAACAAGUUGAAGUCACAAAAACUUUGCUUUCAAGCAAAUUUGACAUGAAAGACAUGGGUGAGGCAGAUGUCAUUCUUGGUAUGAGAAUCUUCAAACAUGAUAACAAUAUAAUGUUGUCUCAAACACAUUAUAUUGAAAAGAUUCUUAACAAAUUCAAUCAAAGUGAUUGUAUUCCAGUCUCAACACCAUUGGAUCCCAAAAUAAAUUUUGUGAAAAAUGAGGGGGAUCCAAAAUCUCAAAUGGAAUAUGCCAAGGUUAUAGGGUGUUUAAUGUAUGCAAUGACUUGUACUAGACCUGAUAUUGCAUAUGCAGUUGGUAUAUUGAGCAGAUAUACAAGCAAUCCUAGUAGGUUACAUUGGCAAGGUGUAACCAGAAUUUUAAAGUAUUUAAAGGCCACUAAGGACUAUGGUAUAUGUUAUACCGGUUAUCCUUCAGUUUUAGAAGGAUUUUCAGAUGCUAGUUGGAUCACCAAUAAAGAUGAUCACUCGUCGACAAGUGGUUGGAUCUUUAUGCUUGGUGGAGGUGCAAUUUCUUGGGGUUCUAAGAAACAGACUUGUAUCACCGAUUCAACAAUGGCAGCAGAGUUUGUAGCACUUGCUUCGGCCUGUAAAGAAGCUGAAUGGCUACGUAAUUUGCUUUGUGAUAUACAUUAUUGUGGCCAACACCUUUGUCGCCUAUCUCAAUCCAUUGUGAUAGUGCAGCUACACUUGCUAAAGCAUAUAGUCAAGUGUAUAAUGGUAAAUCAAGACAUAUCGGUUUGAGACAUAGUUAUGUCAAAGAUUUGAUUACAAAUGGAGUCAUAUCAAUUGACUUUGUGAGAUCAAAUGAAAAUUUAAGUGAUCCUUUGACAAAAGGAUUAUCAAGAAAUUUGGUGUCAAAGACAUCAAGGGGGAUGGGUUUAAAGUCCAAAAUUCUUGAUCACUAAUGGUGGAACCUCAAUUCAAUGCUAGAUACAACGUCUGGUCCUGAAUUCAAUGAGUGAAAGUACAUCAUUCUAGUGGUUGGUGCACUAUAUUAAGUUUAGUCAUCCCAAUGUUGAAUAGUGCAUGUUAUUCUCGCCAGUGCAAAUGUAAGGAUGAGUCAUUGGACUCUUAACGAAUCUUAAAAGUGCUAUCUAUGGCGGGGGCACUAAGAUGUCGCCUAUAUGAAUGUUGGUUUUCGGCAAACCACAAAGUUAAGGACUUUACUUUGUAAACAUUCAUGAAAGGAUAGUGAUACAAGGCCGUAAAAUGUAUCGUUGAAAAACUUAUGGUUGUGCAUUGCUCAGUGGGUGAUGUGUUUAUGAGGUUGGUCCAAUGUCCAAGUGGUUCAAAGCUUUUCUACCAUCUUGAAGGAUUGAUUUCAAAGAACCUUCACUAAGAUAGUGGUUCAAUCGAAAGACACCAUUAUUUAUGCAUAUGAGUGUCAGAUUAAUUGGUGACCUUUUUGAAAUCCAUUUUCUAAAUUUUGAAAAUGGCGGGGGAUUGUUGGAAACUUUUCAAAAUUUGUAUGAUGUACAUACAUGAAAUUAAUGUAUAUUCAUUGAUUUUUGGUACAUGUAGAGUAUUGUGAAUGGUUCUAAAAUGUACAUUCAUUUAUGAAUGUAUUCAUGUAUAUGGGAAUUAUUGAAUGAAAGGAUAGAUUCAUGUUUUGAUCUAAUGAUCAUGAGAUGCAUGAAUUAAAGUGCAUGAAUGUGUACACAAUACUUUGAAUCUAUUCAUACACAAUACUUUGAAUCUGGAGGUUUGAUGGAGGGAAUUUCAUUCGUUGGCAAAAACGUGUUCGUUUCCUUCUCACUGCACUCAAAGUGGUCUAUGUUUUGACAACACCAAAACCAUUGAUCAAUCCCGAUGAAGAAACUCUUGAAGACAUCCGAAACCGUCAGAAAUGGGAGAACGACGAUGAAAUAUGCCGUGGUCACAUCCUCAAUACCAUGAGUGACAACUUGUUCGAUGUCUACCAUUCAAUUGCUACCGCCAAGGAACUUUGGGAUCGAUUGGAGUCCAAGUACAUGCAAGAAGAUGCUACAAGUAAGAAGUUUCUUGUCUCGUCUUUUAAUAAUUAUAAAAUGGUAGAUAAUAAGUCUGUUAUGGAGCAAUUUAGUGAGAUUGAAAGGCUUCUUAAUCACUUCACACAACACAAUCUACACAUGGAUGAAGCCAUUAUUGUUUGCUCUAUAAUAGAUAAGUUACCACCUUCUUGGAAAGAUUUCAAAAGAGACCUCAAACAUAAGAAAGAGGAUAUCUUUCUUGAGAUUCUUGCUAAAUCUCUUCGAGUAGAAGAGGAAAUUCGCAUGCAAGAAAAGAAGGAUAGUCAAAUCCUUGAAAAGAACAAAGAUUCUACUUCAAAAGUGCAUGUGAUUGAAGAGAGGCAAACUGAAAAGUCUCAAGGAAGCAAGAAGGGCCAACAACCCAAGAAUCAAUCCAAGAAAAGAAAGAAGGGACAAUGCUUCUAUUGCAAGAAAGAGGGACACUACAAGUCCGAGUGCAAGAUUCUUCAAAACAAGAAGAAGAAGCAAGAGACUUCCCAAAACACAAGCAAAAAUCUUGUAGCAAUGAUAUCUGAAAUCAAUAUGAUUGAAGAUGAUUUUGCUUGGUGGGUUGAUUCUGGAGCUACGCGACAUGUGUGCAACAAUAGAACGUUCUUCAAGUCCACGAAACCGGUGGAUGAAAGCACCGUUGUUUACAUGGGAAAUUCUGCUACAAUUCCGGUUCAAGGCAUUGGAGAAGUAGAAUUAAAAUUUACUUCCGAAAAUGUUGUAACCUUGACAAAUGUGUUUUAUGUACCGGAAGUUAGGAAGAACUUGGUGUCGGCUGGGCUGUUAAAUAAAUUUGGCUUUAGACUUGUGUUUGAGUCUGACAAAUUUAUUUUGUCUAAAGGUGGUAUGUUUGUAGGCAAGGGUUAUCUUUGCAAUGGGAUGUUUAAGUUGAAUGUACUUGCUAUUAGAAAUAAUAAGAGUGAUAUUAUUUCUGCGUAUUUGGUUGAGUCUUCUUUUGAAUUGUGGCAUAAUAGGAUUGGUCAUGUUAAUUACAAAAGAAUGCAUGAAAUGAUGAGACUUGAUUUGCUGCCAUAUUGUGAUAAGAUUGAAGGAAAAUGCAAUACAUGCAUGCUAACGAAAAUCACAAGAAAUUCGUUUUCUAAAGUUGAAAGAUCAUCUAAAAUCUUGGAUCUUAUUCAUAGUGAUGUAUGUGAUUUGCAUGGUACUCCUACUUUGGGUGGUAAAAAGUACUUUGUGACUUUUAUUGAUGAUUAUAGUAGAUACUGUCAUGUUUUCUUGUUAUACUCAAAAGGUGAAGCUUUACAAAAAUUUAAGGCAUACAAAUCAGAAGUUGAACUUCAUUGUGAAUCCUUUAUCAAAUGUCUAAGGACAGAUAGAGGUGGGGAAUAUUAUGAUAUUACCUAUUUUGAGUCUGUUGGGAUAAAACAUGAGGUGACUGCUCCUUACACACCACAACAAAAUGGUGUAGUCGAAAGGAAAAAUCGUGUAUUGACAGAAAUGGUUAAUGCACUUUUGUCAAAAUCUGAUUUAAGUCAAGGAUUUUGGGGUGAAGCCUUGUUAACGGCUUGUCAUAUCCUAAAUAGAGUUCCUAAUAAAAGGAGUUCUAUAACCCCUUAUGAAUUUUGGAAUAAAAGGAAGCCCAACCUAAACUAUUUGAAAGUUUGGGGUUGUAGAGCUAUUGUAAAACUCCCAGAAUCUCAAAAAAGGAAAUUGGGAGAAAGAGGUGUGGAGUGUAUAUUCUUAGGAUAUGCACAAAAUAGCAAAGCAUAUAGGUUCAUGGUAAUUGAACCUAAUGAUUCAAUUUCGGUUAAUACCAUAAUUGAGUCUAGAGAUGCUAUUUUUGAAGAGAAUAGGUUCACCUCUAUAAAAGUUGUUAUUUCAAAAUCAAGUGAAUUGACAAAAGAUGGUGAAAAUGAAACCAUUGAAUUGAGAAGGAGCAAAAGAGCUAGAAAGUCAAAAGACUUCGGUUCGGACUUUUAUAUGUAUCUAGUUGAAGGAACUAGAGAUACAGUGAGCAACCAAAUCUCAUAUUGCUUCAAUAUUGAGGCUGAUCCCAAGACCUAUGAAGAAGCAAUGAACUCACAAGAUGCUCCCUUUUGGAAGGAAGCUAUUAAUGAUGAGAUGGACUCAAUCAUGGGUAAUAAAACCUGGAAAUUAGUAGACUUACCACCUGGUUCAAAACCAAUUGGUUGUAAGUGGAUCUUCAAGAAGAAAAUGAAGAUCGACGGAACUAUUGAUAAGUUCAAGGCCAGGUUGGUUGCCAAAGGGUUCACACAAAAGUAUGGUGUGGACUAUUUUGACACAUAUUCACCAGUAGCUAGAAUUGCUACAAUUAGAGUGCUACUUGCUAUAGCUUCUAUUCAAAAUCUAGUCAUUCACCAAAUGGAUGUUAAAACAGCAUUCUUGAAUGGUGAUUUGGAUGAAGAAGUAUAUAUGGAGCAACCCGAAGGGUUUGUGAUACCUGGUCAAGAGCAUAAGGUGUGUAAACUUAUAAAGUCUUUAUAUGGACUAAAACAAGCACCGAAGCAAUGGCAUCAGAAAUUUGACCAAGUUAUUCUUGCUAGUGGGUUCAAAAUAAAUGAAUCUGAUAAAUGUAUUUAUAGCAAGUUUGAUGAUGGCAAAGGUGUCAUAAUUUGUUUAUAUGUUGAUGACAUGUUGAUUUUUGGGACUGACUUGGAACAAGUUGAAGUCACAAAAACUUUGCUUUCAAGCAAAUUUGACAUGAAAGACAUGGGUGAGGCAGAUGUCAUUCUUGGUAUGAGAAUCUUCAAACAUGAUAACAAUAUAAUGUUGUCUCAAACACAUUAUAUUGAAAAGAUUCUUAACAAAUUCAAUCAAAGUGAUUGUAUUCCAGUCUCAACACCAUUGGAUCCCAAAAUAAAUUUUGUGAAAAAUGAGGGGGAUCCAAAAUCUCAAAUGGAAUAUGCCAAGGUUAUAGGGUGUUUAAUGUAUGCAAUGACUUGUACUAGACCUGAUAUUGCAUAUGCAGUUGGUAUAUUGAGCAGAUAUACAAGCAAUCCUGGUAGGUUACAUUGGCAAGGUGUAACCAGAAUUUUAAAGUAUUUAAAGGCCACUAAGGACUAUGGUAUAUGUUAUACCGGUUAUCCUUCAGUUUUAGAAGGAUUUUCAGAUGCUAGUUGGAUCACCAACUUAUGAAUUUUGGAAUAAAAGGAAGCCCAACCUAAACUAUUUGAAAGUUUGGGGUUGUAGAGCUGUUGUAAAACUCCCAGAACUCAAAAAAGGAAAUUGGGAGAAAGAGGUGUGGAGUGUAUAUUCUUAGGAUAUGCACAAAAUAGCAAAGCAUAUAGGUUCAUGGUAAUUGAACCUAAUGAUUCAAUUUCGGUUAAUACCAUAAUUGAGUCUAGAGAUGCUAUUUUUGAAGAGAAUAGGUUCACCUCUAUAAAAGAUGUUAUUCCAAAAUCAAGUGAAUUGACAAAAGAUGGUGAAAAUGAAACCAUUGAAUUGAGAAGGAGCAAAAGAGCUAGAAAGUCAAAAGACUUCGGUUCGGACUUUUAUAUGUAUCUAGUUGAAGGAACUAGAGAUACAGUGAGCAACCAAAUCUCAUAUUGCUUCAAUAUUGAGGCUGAUCCCAAGACCUAUGAAGAAGCAAUGAACUCACAAGAUGCUCCCUUUUGGAAGGAAGCUAUUAAUGAUGAGAUGGACUCAAUCAUGGGUAAUAAAACCUGGAAAUUAGUAGACUUACCACCUGGUUCAAAACCAAUUGGUUGUAAGUGGAUCUUCAAGAAGAAAAUGAAGAUCGACGGAACUAUUGAUAAGUUCAAGGCCAGGUUGGUUGCCAAAGGGUUCACACAAAAGUAUGGUGUGGACUAUUUUGACACAUAUUCACCAGUAGCUAGAAUUGCUACAAUUAGAGUGCUACUUGCUAUAGCUUCUAUCCAAAAUCUAGUCAUUCACCAAAUGGAUGUUAAAACAGCAUUCUUGAAUGGUGAUUUGGAUGAAGAAGUAUAUAUGGAGCAACCCGAAGGGUUUGUGAUACCUGGUCAAGAGCAUAAGGUGUGUAAACUUGUAAAGUCUUUAUAUGGACUAAAACAAGCACCGAAGCAAUGGCAUCAGAAAUUUGACCAAGUUAUUCUUGCUAGUGGGUUCAAAAUAAAUGAAUCUGAUAAAUGUAUUUAUAGCAAGUUUGAUGAUGGCAAAGGUGUCAUAAUUUGUUUAUAUGUUGAUGACAUGUUGAUUUUUGGGACUGACUUGGAACAAGUUGAAGUCACAAAAACUUUGCUUUCAAGCAAAUUUGACAUGAAAGACAUGGGUGAGGCAGAUGUCAUUCUUGGUAUGAGAAUCUUCAAACAUGAUAACAAUAUAAUGUUGUCUCAAACACAUUAUAUUGAAAAGAUUCUUAACAAAUUCAAUCAAAGUGAUUGUAUUCCAGCCUCAACACCAUUGGAUCCCAAAAUAAAUUUUGUGAAAAAUGAGGGGGAUCCAAAAUCUCAAAUGGAAUAUGCCAAGGUUAUAGGGUGUUUAAUGUAUGCAAUGACUUGUACUAGACCUGAUAUUGCAUAUGCAGUUGGUAUAUUGAGCAGAUAUACAAGCAACCUAGUAGGUUACAUUGGCAAGGUGUAACCAGAAUUUUAAAGUAUUUAAAGGCCACUAAGGACAAUUUAGUGAGAUUGAAAGGCUUCUUAAUCACUUCACACAACACAAUCUACACAUGGAUGAAGCCAUUAUUGUUUGCUCUAUAAUAGAUAAGUUACCACCUUCUUGGAAAGAUUUCAAAAGAGACCUCAAACAUAAGAAAGAGGAUAUCUCUCUUGAGAUUCUUGCUAAAUCUCUUCGAGUAGAAGAGGAAAUUCGCAUGCAAGAAAAGAAGGAUAGUCAAAUCCUUGAAGAGAACAAAGAUUCUACUUCAAAAGUGCAUGUGAUUGAAGAGAGACAAACUGAAAAGUCUCAAGGAAGCAAGAAGGGCCAACAACCCAAGAAUCAGUCCAAGAAAAGAAAGAAUGGACAAUGCUUCUAUUGUAAGAAAGAGGGACACUACAAGUCCGAGUGCAAGAUUCUUCAAAACAAGAAGAAGAAACAAGAGUCUUCCCAAACCACAAGCAAAAAUCUUGUAGCAAUGAUAUCUGAAAUCAAUAUGAUUGAAGAUGAUUUUGCUUGGUGGGUUGAUUCUGGAGCUACGCGACACGUGUGCAACAAUAGAACGUUCUUCAAAUCCAUGAAACCGGUGGAUGAAAACACCGUUGUUUACAUGGAAAAUUCUGCUACAAUUCCGGUUCAAAGCAUUGGAGAAGUAGAAUUAAAAUUUACUUCCGGGAAUGUUGUAACCUUGACAAAUGUGUUUUAUGUACCGGAAGUUAGGAAGAACUUGGUGUCGGUUGGGCUGUUAAAUAAAUUUGGCUUUAGACUUGUGUUUGAGUCUGACAAAUUUAUUUUGUCUAAAGGUGGUAUGUUUGUAGGCAAGGGUUAUCUUUGCAAUGGGAUGUUUAAGUUGAAUGUACUUGCUAUUAGAAAUAAUAAGAGUGAUAUUAUUUCUGCGUACUUGGUUGAGUCUUCUUUUGAAUUGUGGCAUAAUAGGAUUGGUCAUGUUAAUUACAAAAGAAUGCAUGAAAUGAUGAGACUUGAUUUGCUACCAUAUUGUGAUAAGAUUGAAGGAAAAUGCAAAACAUGCAUGCUAACGAAAAUCACAAGAAAUUCGUUUCCUAAAGUUGAAAGAUCAUCUAAAAUCUUGGAUCUCAUUCAUAGUGAUGUAUGUGAUUUGCAUGGUACUCCUACUUUGGGUGGUAAAAAGUACUUUGUGACUUUUAUUGAUGAUUAUAGUAGAUACUGUCAUGUUUUCUUGUUACACUCAAAAGGUGAAACUUUGCAAAAAUUUAAGGCAUACAAAUCAGAAGUUGAACUUCAUUGUGAAUCCUUUAUCAAAUGUCUAAGGACAGAUAGAGGUGGGGAAUAUUAUGAUAUUACCUAUUUUGAGUCUGUUGGGAUAAAACAUGAGGUGACUGCUCCUUACACACCACAACAAAAUGGUGUAGCCGAAAGGAAAAAUCGUGUAUUGACAGAAAUGGUUAAUGCACUUUUGUCAAAAUCUGGUUUAAGUCAAGGAUUUUGGGGUGAAGCCUUGUUAACGGCUUGUCAUAUCCUAAAUAGAGUUCCUAAUAAAAGGAGUUCUAUAACCCCUUAUGAAUUUUGGAAUAAAAGGAAGCCCAACCUAAACUAUUUGAAAGUUUGGGGUUGUAGAGCUGUUGUAAAACUCCCAGAAUCUCAAAAAAGGAAAUUGGGAGAAAGAGGUGUGGAGUGUAUAUUCUUAGGAUAUGCACAAAAUAGCAAAGCAUAUAGAUUCAUGGUAAUUGAACCUAAUGAUUCAAUUUCGGUUAAUACCAUAAUUGAGUCUAGAGAUGCUAUUUUUGAAGAGAAUAGGUUCACCUCUAUAAAAGAUGUUAUUCCAAAAUCAAGUGAAUUGACAAAAGAUGGUGUAUAUGAAACCAUUGAAUUGAGAAGGAGCAAAAGAGCUAGAAAGUCAAAAAACUUCGGUUCGGACUUUUAUAUGUAUCUAGUUGAAGGAACUAGAGAUACAGUGAGCAACCAAAUCUCAUAUUGCUUCAAUAUUGGGGCUGAUCCCAAGACCUAUGAAGAAGUAAUGAACUCACAAGAUGCUCCCUUUUGGAAGGAAGCUAUUAAUGAUGAGAUGGACUCAAUCAUGGGUAAUAAAACCUGGAAAUUAGUAGACUUACCACCUGGUUCAAAACCAAUUGGUUGUAAGUGGAUCUUCAAGAAGAAAAUGAAGAUCGACGGAACUAUUGAUAAGUUCAAGGCCAGGUUGGUUGCCAAAGGGUUCACACAAAAGUAUGGUGUGGACUAUUUUGACACAUAUUCACCAGUAGCUAGAAUUGCUACAAUUAGAGUGCUACUUGCUAUAGAUUCGAUCCAAAAUCUAGUCAUUCACCAAAUGGAUGUUAAAACAGCAUUCUUGAAUGGUGAUUUGGAUGAAGAAGUAUAUAUGGAGCAACCCGAAGGGUUUGUGAUGCCUGGUCAAGAGCAUAAGGUGUGUAAACUUGUAAAGUCUUUAUAUGGACUAAAACAAGCACCGAAGCAAUGGCAUCAGAAAUUUGACCAAGUUAUUCUUGCUAGUGGGUUCAAAAUAAAUGAAUCUGAUAAAUGUAUUUAUAGCAAGUUUGAUGAUGGCAAAGGUGUCAUAAUUUGUUUAUAUGUUGAUGACAUGUUGAUUUUUGGGACUGACUUGGAACAAGUUGAAGUCACAAAAACUUUGCUUUCAAGCAAAUUUGACAUGAAAGACAUGGGUGAGGCAGAUGUCAUUCUUGGUAUGAGAAUCUUCAAACAUGAUAACAAUAUAAUGUUGUCUCAAACACAUUAUAUUGAAAAGAUUCUUAACAAAUUCAAUCAAAGUGAUUGUAUUCCAGCCUCAACACCAUUGGAUCCCAAAAUAAAUUUUGUGAAAAAUGAGGGGGAUCCAAAAUCUCAAAUGGAAUAUGCCAAGGUUAUAGGGUGUUUAAUGUAUGCAAUGACUUGUACUAGACCUGAUAUUGCAUAUGCAGUUGGUAUAUUGAGCAGAUAUACAAGCAACCCUAGUAGGUUACAUUGGCAAGGUGUAACCAGAAUUUUAAAGUAUUUAAAGGCCACUAAGGACUAUGGUAUAUGUUAUACCGGUUAUCCUUCAGUUCUAGAAGGAUUUUCAGAUGCUAGUUGGAUCACCAAUAAAGAUGAUCACUCGUCGACAAGUGGUUGGAUCUUUAUGCUUGGUGGAGGUGCAAUUUCUUGGGGUUCUAAGAAACAGACUUGUAUCACCGAUUCAACAAUGGCAGCAGAGUUUGUAGCACUUGCUUCGGCCUGUAAAGAAGCUGAAUGGCUACGUAAUUUACUUUGUGAUAUACCAUUGUGGCCAACACCUUUGUCGCCUAUCUCAAUCCAUUGUGAUAGUGCAGCUACACUUGCUAAAGCUUAUAGUCAAGUGUAUAAUGGUAAAUCAAGACAUAUCGGUUUGAGACAUAGUUAUGUCAAAGAUUUGAUUACAAAUGGAGUCAUAUCAAUUGACUUUGUGAGAUCAAAUGAAAAUUUAAGUGAUCCUUUGACAAAAGGAUUAUCAAGAAAUUUGGUGUUAAAGACAUCAAGGGGGAUGGGUUUAAAGUCCAAAAUUCUUGAUCACUAAUGGUGGAACCUCAAUUCAACGCUAGAUACAACGUCUAGUCUUGAAUUCAAUGAGUGAAAGUACACCAUUCUAGUGGUUGGUGCACUAUGUGAAGUUUAGACAUCCCAAUGUUGAAUAGUGCAUGUUAUUCUCGCCAGUGCAAAUGUAAGGAUGAGUCAUUGGACUCUUAACGAAUCUUAAAAGUGCUAUCUAUGGCGGGGGCACUAAAAUGUCGCCUAUAUGAAUGUUGGUUUUCGGCAAACCACAAAGUUAAGGACUUUACUUUGUAAACAUUCAUGAAAGGAUAGUGAUACAAGGCCGUAAAAUGUAUCGUUGAAGAACUUAUGGUUGUGCAUUGCUCAGUGUGUGAUGUGUUUAUGAGGUUGGUCCAAUGUCCAAGUGGUUCAAAGCUUGUCUACCAUCUUGAAGGAUUGAUUUCAAAGAACCUUCACUAAGAUAGUGGUUCAAUCGAAAGACACCAUUAUUUAUGCAUAUGAGUGUCAGAUUACUUGGUGACCUUUUAGAAAUCCAUUUUCUAAUUUUGAAAAUGGCGGGGGAUUGUUGGAAACUUUUCAAAAUUUGUAUGAUGUACAUACAUGUAAUUAAUGUAUAUUCAUUAAUUUUUGGUACAUGUAUAGUAUUGUGAAUGAUUCUAAAAUGUACAUUCAUUUAUGAAUGUAUUCAUGUAUAUGGGAAUUAUUGAAUUAAAGGAUAGAUUCAUGUUUUGAUCUAAUGAUCAUGAGAUGCAUGAAUUAAAGUGCAUGAAUGUGUACACAAUACUUUGAAUCUAUUCAUACACAAUACUUUGAAUCUAUUCAUACAAGUGUUUAAUGAGGUCUUUUGUUUCCCAAACAAUCUUCCUAUAUAAAGAGGUCAAGUAGAGAGUGGUUUGCUGCAGAAAAUCACUUUCCUACUAUCCUUACUCUCUCAAAAGCACUCCUUAGUUCACAAAGGGUUUGUCUUGCUUUGUGCAAGAGUUUAAGACAAACAAAACUUCAUCUUAUCCUAAAGGAUAUUUGUCCAAGGUUAUUGCACUUUAUAUCGGACAAAUAAAGCCUAAAGGAAAGUGAUUUCUAUCACGAUUUGAAGCCAAUUCUUGUCACAAUAUUUGCCAAUUCUUUGCUUUUUUUUCCCAACAAUAUUGUUGGAAACUUUUCAAAAUUUGUAUGAUGUACAUACAUGAAAUUAAUGUAUAUUCAUUGAUUUUUGGUAUAUGUAUAGUAUUGUGAAUGUUCCUAAAAUGUACAUUCAUUUAUGAAUGUAUUCAUGUAUAUGGGAAUUAUUGAAUGAAAGGAUAGAUUCAUGUUUUGAUCUAAUGAUCAUGAGAUGCAUGAAUUAAAGUGCAUGAAUGUGUACACAAUACUUUGAAUCUGUUCAUACAAGUGUUUAAUGAGAUCUUUUGUUUCCCAAACAAUCAUCCUAUAUAAAGAGGUCAAGUAGAGAGUGGUUUGCUGCAGAAAAUCACUUUCCUACUAUCAUUACUCUCUCAAAAGCACUCCUUAGUUCACAAAGGGUUUGUCUUGCUUUGUGCAAGAGUUUAAGACAAACAAAACUUCAUCUUAUCCUAAAGGAUAUUUGUCCAAGGUUAUUGCACUUUAUAUCGGACAAAUAAAGCUUAAAAGAAAGUGAUUUCUAUCACGAUUUGAAGCCAAUUCUUGUCACAAUAUUUGCCAAAUUCUUUGCUUUUUACCCAACAAUCUUUAGGCUUUAUUUAUACUAUACAAUGGCCAUACCGAUGAAAGAUUUGGCAUCCAAUAUUGUCAAGCUCGAGAGGUUGAUGGAGGGAAUUUUCAUUCGUUGGCAAAACGUGUUCGUUUCCUUCUCACUGCACUCAAAGUGGUCUAUGUUUUGACCACACCAAAAUCAUUGAUCAAUCCCGAUGAAGAAACUCUUGAAGACAUCCGAAACCGUCAGAAAUGGGAGAACGACGAUGAAAUAUGCCGUGGUCACAUCCUCAAUACCAUGAGUGACAACCUGUUUCGAUGUCUACCAUUCAAUUGCUACCGCCAAGGAACUUUGGGAUCGAUUGGAGUCCAAGUACAUGCAAGAAGAUGCUACAAGUAAGAAGUUUCUUGUCUCGUCUUUUAUAAUUUAUAAAAUGGUUAGAUAAUAAGUCUGUUAUGGAGCAAUUUAGUGAGAUUGAAGGCUUCUGAAUCACUUCAACACACAAUCUACACAUGGAUGAAGCCAUUAUUGUUUGCUCUAUAAUAGAUAAGUUACCACCUUCUUGGAAAGAUUUCAAAAGAGACCUCAAACAUAAGAAAGAGGAUAUCUCUCUUGAGAUUCUUGCUAAAUCUCUUCGAGUAGAAGAGGAAAUUCGCAUGCAAGAAAAGGAUAGUCAAAUCCUUGAAGAGAACAAAGAUUCUACUUCAAAAGUGCAUGUGAUUGAAGAGAGGCAAACUGAAAAGUCUCAAGGAAGCAAGAAGGGCCAACAACCCAAGAAUCAAUCCAAGAAAAGAAAGAAGGGACAAUGCUUCUAUUGCAAGAAAGAGGGACACUACAAGUCCGAGUGCAAGAUUCUUCAAAACAAGAAAAAGAAGCAAGAGACUUCCCAAAACACAAGCAAAAAUCUUGUAGCAAUAAUAUCUGAAAUCAAUAUGAUUGAAGAUGAUUUUGCUUGGUGGGUUGAUUCUGGAGCUACGCGACAUGUGUGCAACAAUAGAACGUUCUUCAAGUCCAUGAAACCGGUGGAUGAAAGCACCGUUGUUUACAUGGGAAAUUCUGCUACAAUUCCGGUUCAAGGCAUUGGAGAAGUAGAAUUAAAAUUUACUUCCGAAAAUGUUGUAACCUUGACAAAUGUGUUUUAUGUACCGGAAGUUAGGAAGAACUUGGUGUCGGCUGGGCUGUUAAAUAAAUUUGGCUUUAGACUUGUGUUUGAGUCUGACAAAUUUAUUUUGUCUAAAGGUGGUAUGUUUGUAGGCAAGGGUUAUCUUUGCAAUGGGAUGUUUAAGUUGAAUGUACUUGCUAUUAGAAAUAAUAAGAGUGAUAUUAUUUCUGCGUAUUUGGUUGAGUCUUCUUUUGAAUUGUGGCAUAAUAGGAUUGGUCAUGUUAAUUACAAAAGAAUGCAUGAAAUGAUGAGACUUGAUUUGCUGCCAUAUUGUGAUAAGAUUGAAGGAAAAUGCAAUACAUGCAUGCUAACGAAAAUCACAAGAAAUUCGUUUUCUAAAGUUGAAAGAUCAUCUAAAAUCUUGGAUCUUAUUCAUAGUGAUGUAUGUGAUUUGCAUGGUACUCCUACUUUGGGUGGUAAAAAGUACUUUGUGACUUUUAUUGAUGAUUAUAGUAGAUACUGUCAUGUUUUCUUGUUAUACUCAAAAGGUGAAGCUUUACAAAAAUUUAAGGCAUACAAAUCAGAAGUUGAACUUCAUUGUGAAUCCUUUAUCAAAUGUCUAAGGACAGAUAGAGGUGGGGAAUAUUAUGAUAUUACCUAUUUUGAGUCUGUUGGGAUAAAACAUGAGGUGACUGCUCCUUACACACCACAACAAAAUGGUGUAGUCGAAAGGAAAAAUCGUGUAUUGACAGAAAUGGUUAAUGCACUUUUGUCAAAAUCUGAUUUAAGUCAAGGAUUUUGGGGUGAAGCCUUGUUAACGGCUUGUCAUAUCCUAAAUAGAGUUCCUAAUAAAAGGAGUUCUAUAACCCCUUAUGAAUUUUGGAAUAAAAGGAAGCCCAACCUAAACUAUUUGAAAGUUUGGGGUUGUAGAGCUAUUGUAAAACUCCCAGAAUCUCAAAAAAGGAAAUUGGGAGAAAGAGGUGUGGAGUGUAUAUUCUUAGGAUAUACACAAAAUAGCAAAGCAUAUAGGUUCAUGGUAAUUGAACCUAAUGAUUCAAUUUCGGUUAAUACCAUAAUUGAGUCUAGAGAUGCUAUUUUUGAAGAGAAUAGGUUCACCUCUAUAAAAGUUGUUAUUUCAAAAUCAAGUGAACUGGCAAAAGAUGGUGAAAAUGAAACCAUUGAAUUGAGAAGGUGCAAAAGAGCUAGAAAGUCAAAAGACUUCGGUUCGGACUUUUAUAUGUAUCUAGUUGAAGGAACUAGAGAUACAGUGAGCAACCAAAUCUCAUAUUGCUUCAAUAUUGAGGCUGAUCCCAAGACCUAUGAAGAAGCAAUGAACUCACAAGAUGCUCCCUUUUGGAAGGAAGCUAUUAAUGAUGAGAUGGACUCAAUCAUGGGUAAUAAAACCUGGAAAUUAGUAGACUUACCACCUGGUUCAAAACCAAUUGGUUGUAAGUGGAUCUUCAAGAAGAAAAUGAAGAUCGACGGAACUAUUGAUAAGUUCAACGCCAGGUUGGUUGCCAAAGGGUUCACACAAAAGUAUGGUGUGGACUAUUUUGACACAUAUUUACCAGUAGCUAGAAUUGCUACAAUUAGAGUGCUACUUGCUAUAGCUUCUAUUCAAAAUCUAGUCAUUCACCAAAUGGAUGUUAAAACAGCAUUCUUGAAUGGUGAUUUGGAUGAAGAAAUAUAUAUGGAGCAACCCGAAGGGUUUGUGAUACCUGGUCAAGAGCAUAAGGUGUGUAAACUUAUAAAGUCUUUAUAUGGACUAAAACAAGUACCGAAGCAAUGGCAUCAGAAAUUUGACCAAGUUAUUCUUGCUAGUGGGUUCAAAAUAAAUGAAUCUGAUAAUGUAUUUAUAGCAAGUUUGAUGAUGGCAAAGGUGUCAUAAUUUGUUUAUAUGUUGAUGACAUGUUGAUUUUUGGGACUGACUUGGAACAAGUUGAAGUCACAAAAACUUUGCUUUCAAGCAAAUUUGACAUGAAAGACAUGGGUGAGGCAGAUGUCAUUCUUGGUAUGAGAAUCUUCAAACAUGAUAACAAUAUAAUGUUGUCUCAAACACAUUAUAUUGAAAAGAUUCUUAACAAAUUCAAUCAAAGUGAUUGUAUUCCAGUCUCAACACCAUUGGAUCCCAAAAUAAAUUUUGUGAAAAAUGAGGGGGAUCCAAAAUCUCAAAUGGAAUAUGCCAAGGUUAUAGGGUGUUUAAUGUAUGCAAUGACUUGUACUAGACCUGAUAUUGCAUAUGCAGUUGGUAUAUUGAGCAGAUAUACAAGCAAUCCUGGUAGGUUACAUUGGCAAGGUGUAACCAGAAUUUUAAAGUAUUUAAAGGCCACUAAGGACUAUGGUAUAUGUUAUACCGGUUAUCCUUCAGUUUUAGAAGGAUUUUCAGAUGCUAGUUGGAUCACCAAUAAAGAUGAUCACUCGUCAACAAGUGGUUGGAUCUUUAUGCUUGGUGGUGGUGCAAUUUCUUGGGGUUCUAAGAAACAGACUUGUAUCACCGAUUCAACAAUGGCAGCAGAGUUUGUAGCACUUGCUUCGGCCUGUAAAGAAGCUGAAUGGCUACGUAAUUUGCUUUGUGAUAUACCAUUAUAGCCAACACCUUUGUCGCCUAUCUCAAUCCAUUGUGAUAGUGCAGCUACACUUGCUAAAGCAUAUAGUCAAGUGUAUAAUGGUAAAUCAAGACAUAUCGGUUUGAGACAUAAUUAUGUCAAAGAUUUGAUUACAAAUGGAGUCAUAUCAAUUGACUUUGUGAGAUCAAAUGAAAAUUUAAGUGAUCCUUUGACAAAAGGAUUAUCAAGAAAUUUGGUGUCAAAGACAUCAAGGGGGAUGGGUUUAAAGUCCAAAAUUCUUGAUCACUAAUAGUGGAACCUCAAUUCAAUGCUAGAUACAACGUCUGGUCCUGAAUUCAAUGAGUGAAAGUACAUCAUUCUAGUGGUUGGUGCACUAUAUUAAGUUUAGUCAUCCCAAUGUUGAAUAGUGCAUGUUAUUCUCGCCAGUGCAAAUGUAAGGAUGAGUCAUUGGACUCUUAACGAAUCUUAAAAGUGCUAUCUAUGGCGGGGGCACUAAGAUGUCGCCUAUAUGAAUGUUGGUUUUCGGCAAACCACAAAGUUAAGGACUUUACUUUGUAAACAUUCAUGAAAGGAUAGUGAUACAAGGCCGUAAAAUGUAUCGUUGAAGAACUUAUGGUUGUGCAUUGCUCAGUGUGUGAUGUGUUUAUGAGGUUGGUCCAAUGUCCAAGUGGUUCAAAGCUUGUCUACCAUCUUGAAGGAUUGAUUUCAAAGAACCUUCACUAAGAUAGUGGUUCAAUCGAAAGACACCAUUAUUUAUGCAUAUGAGUGUCAGAUUACUUGGUGACCUUUUAGAAAUCCAUUUUCUAAAUUUUGAAAAUGGCGGGGGAUUGUUGGAAACUUUUCAAAAUUUGUAUGAUGUACAUACAUGAAAUUAAUGUAUAUUCAUUGAUUUUUGGUAUAUGUAUAGUAUUGUGAAUGUUCCUAAAAUGUACAUUCAUUUAUGAAUGUAUUCAUGUAUAUGGGAAUUAUUGAAUGAAAGGAUAGAUUCAUGUUUUGAUCUAAUGAUCAUAAGAUGCAUGAAUUAAAGUGCAUGAAUGUGUACACAAUACUUUGAAUCUGUUCAUACAAGUGUUUAAUGAGAUCUUUUGUUUCCCAAACAAUCUUCCUAUAUAAAGAGGUCAAGUAGAGAGUGGUUUGCUGCAGAAAAUCACUUUCCUACUAUCCUUACUCUCUCAAAAGCACUCCUUAGUUCACAAAGGGUUUGUCUUGCUUUGUGCAAGAGUAUAAGACAAACAAAACUUCAUCUUAUCCUGAAGGAUAUUUGUCCAAGGUUAUUGCACUUUAUAUCGGACAAAUAAAGCCUAAAGGAAAGUGAUUUCUAUCACGAUUUGAAGCCAAUUCUUGUCACAAUAUUUGCCAAUUCUUUGCUUUUUACCCAACAAUCUUUAGGCUUUAUUUAUACUCUACAAUUCUGGUACCUUGAAAGAUUUGGCAUCCAAUAUUGUCAAGCUCGAGAGGUUUGAUGGAGGGAAUUUCAUUCGUUGGCAAAAACGUGUUCGUUUCCUUCUCACUGCAUUCGAAGUGGUCUAUGUUUUGACCACACCAAAACCAUUGAUCAAUCCCGAUGAAGAAACUCUUGAAGACAUCCGAAACCGUCAGAAAUGGGAGAACGACGAUGAAAUAUGUCGUGGUCACAUCCUCAAUACCAUGAGUGACAACCUGUUCGAUGUCUACCAUUCAAUUGCUACUGCCAAGGAACUUUGGGAUAGAUUGGAGUCCAAGUACAUGCAAGAAGAUGCUACAAGUAAGAAGUUUCUUGUCUCGUCUUUUAAUAAUUAUAAAAUGGUAGAUAAUAAAUCUGUUAUGGAGCAUUUUAGUGAGAUUGAAAGGCUUCUUAAUCACUUCACACAACACAAUCUACACAUGGAUAAAGCCAUUAUUGUUUGCUCUAUAAUAGAUAAGUUACCACCUUCUUGGAAAGAUUUCAAAAGAGACCUCAAACAUAAGAAAGAGGAUAUCUCUCUUGAGAUUCUUGCUAAAUCUCUUCGAGUAGAAGAGGAAACUCGCAUGCAAGAAAAGAAGGAUAGUCAAAUCCUUGAAGAGAACAAAAAUUCUACUUCAAAGGUGCAUGUGAUUGAAGAGAGACAAACUGAAAAGUCUCAAGGAAGCAAGAAGGGCCAACAACCCAAGAAUCAAUCCAAGAAAAGAAAGAAGGGACAAUGCUUCUAUUGCAAGAAAGAGGGACACUACAAGUUCGAGUGGAAGAUUCUUCAAAACAAGAAGAAGAAGCAAGACAAUACUAUACAUGUACCAAAAAUCAAUGAAUAUACAUUAAUUUCAUGUAUGUACAUCAUACAAAUUUUGAAAAGUUUCCAACAAUUCCCCGACACUUUCAAAAUUUAGAAAAUAGAUUUCAAAAAGGUCACCAAUUAAUCUGACACUCAUAUGCAUAAAUAAUGGUGUCUUUCGAUUGAACCACUAUCUUAGUGAAGGUUCUUUGAAAUCAAUCCUUCAAGAUGGUAGACAAGCUUUGAACCAUUUGGACAUUGGACCAACCUCAUAAACCCAUCACACACUGAGCAAUGCACAACCAUAAAUUCUUCAACGAUACAUUUUACGGCCUUGUAUCACUAUCCUUUCAUGAAUGUUUACAAAGUAAAGUCCUUAACUUUGUGGUUUGCCGAAAACCAAUAAUUCCCAUAUACAUGAAUACAUUCAUAAAUGAAUGUACAUUUUAGAAACAUUCACAAUACUAUACAUGUACCAAAAAUUAAUGAAUUUACAUUAAUUACAUGUAUGUACAUCAUACAAAUUUUGAAAAGUUUCCAACAAUCCCCCGCCAUUUUCAAAAUUAGAAAAUGAAUUUCUAAAAGGUCACCAAGUAAUCUGACACUCAUAUGCAUAAAUAAUGGUGUCUUUCGAUUGAACCACUAUUUUAGUGAAGGUUCUUUGAAAUCAAUCCUUCAAGAUGGUAGACAAGUUUUGAACCACUUGGACAUUGGACCAAUCUCAUAAACACAUCACACACUGAGCAUUUGUCCGAUAUAAAGUGCAAUACCUUGGACAAAUAUCCUUCAGGAUAAGAUGAAGUUUUGUUUGUCUUAUACUCUUGCACAAAGCAAGACAAACCCUUUGUGAACUAAGGAGUGCUUUUGAGAGAGUAAGGAUAGUAGGAAAGUGAUUUUCUGCAGCAAACCACUCUCUACUUGACCUCUUUAUAUAGGAAGAUUGUUUGGGAAACAAAAGAUCUCAUUAAACACUUGUAUGAACAGAUUCAAAGUAUUGUGUACACAUUCAUGCACUUUAAUUCAUGCAUCUCAUGAUCAUUAGAUCAAAACAUGAAUCUAUCCUUUCAUUCAAUAAUUCCCAUAUACAUGAAUACAUUCAUAAAUGAAUGUACAUUUUAGGAACAUUCACAAUACUAUACAUAUACCAAAAAUCAAUAAAUAUACAUUAAUUUCAUGUAUGUACAUCAUACAAAUUUUGAAAAGUUUCCAACAAUCCCCCGCCAUUUUCAAAAUUUAGAAAAUGGAUUUCUAAAAUGAAUGUAUUCAUGUAUAUGGGAAUUAUUGAAUGAAAGGAUAGAUUCAUGUUUUGAUCUAAUGAUCAUGAGAUGCAUGAAUUAAAGUGCAUGAAUGUGUACACAAUACUUUGAAUCUAUUCAUACACAAUACUUUGAAUCUGUUCAUACAAGUGUUUAAUGAAAUCCUUUGUUUCCCAAACAAUCAUCCUAUAUAAAGAGGUCAAGUAGAGAGUGGUUUGCUGCAGAAAAUCACUUUCCUACUAUCAUUACUCUCUCAAAAGCACUCCUUAGUUCACAAAGGGUUUGUCUUGCUUUGUGCAAGAGUUUAAGACAAACAAAACUUCAUCUUAUCCUAAAGGAUAUUUGUCCAAGGUUAUUGCACUUUAUAUCGGACAAAUAAAGCUUAAAAGAAAGUGAUUUCUAUCACGAUUUGAAGCCAAUUCUUGUCACAAUAUUUGCCAAUUCUUUGUUUUUUACCCAACAAUCUUUAGGCUUUAUUUAUACUCUACAAUGGCCGGUACCUUGAAAGAUUUGGCAUCCAAUAUUGUCAAGCUCGAGAGGUUUGAUGGAGGGAAUUUCAUUCGUUGGCAAAAACGUGUUCGUUUCCUUCUCACUGCACUCAAAGUGGUCUAUGUUUUGACCACACCAAAACCAUUGAUCAAUCCCGAUGAAGAAACUCUUGAAGACAUCCGAAACCGUCAGAAAUGGGAGAACGACGAUGAAAUAUGCCGUGGUCACAUCCUCAAUACCAUGAGUGACAACCUGUUCGAUGUCUACCAUUCAAUUGCUACCGCCAAGGAACUUUGGGAUCGAUUGGAGUCCAAGUACAUGCAAGAAGAUGCUACAAGUAAGAAGUUUCUUGUCUCGUCUUUUAAUAAUUAUAAAAUGGUAGAUAAUAAGUCUGUUAUGGAGCAAUUUAGUGAGAUUGAAAGGCUUCUUAAUCACUUCACACAACACAAUCUACACAUGGAUGAAGCCAUUAUUGUUUGCUCUAUAAUAGAUAAGUUACCACCUUCUUGGAAAGAUUUCAAAAGAGACCUCAAACAUAAGAAAGAGGAUAUCUCUCUUGAGAUUCUUGCUAAAUCUCUUCGAGUAGAAGAGGAAAUUCGCAUGCAAGAAAAGAAGGAUAGUCAAAUCCUUGAAGAGAACAAAGAUUCUACUUCAAAAGUGCAUGUGAUUGAAGAGAGGCAAACUGAAAAGUCUCAAGGAAGCAAGAAGGGCCAACAACCCAAGAAUCAAUCCAAGAAAAGAAAGAAGGGACAAUGCUUCUAUUGCAAGAAAGAGGGACACUACAAGUCCGAGUGCAAGAUUCUUCAAAACAAGAAGAAGAAGCAAGAGUCUUCCCAAAACACAAGCAAAAAUCUUGUAGCAAUGAUAUCUGAAAUCAAUAUGAUUGAAGAUGAUUUUGCUUGGUGGGUUGAUUCUGGAGCUACGCGACACGUGUGCAACAAUAGAACGUUCUUCAAGUCCAUGAAACCGGUGGAUGAAAGCACCGUUGUUUACAUGGGAAAUUCUGCUACAAUUCCGGUUCAAGGCAUUGGAGAAGUAGAAUUAAAAUUUACUUCCGGAAAUGUUGUAACCUUGACAAAUGUGUUUUAUGUACCGGAAGUUAGGAAGAACUUGGUGUCGGCUGGGCUGUUAAAUAAAUUUGGCUUUAGACUUGUGUUUGAGUCUGACAAAUUUAUUUUGUCUAAAGGUGGUAUGUUUGUAGGCAAGGGUUAUCUUUGCAAUGGGAUGUUUAAGUUGAAUGUACUUGCUAUUAGAAAUAAUAAGAGUGAUAUUAUUUCUGCGUAUUUGGUUGAGUCUUCUUUUGAAUUGUGGCAUAAUAGGAUUGGUCAUGUUAAUUACAAAAGAAUGCAUGAAAUGAUGAGACUUGAUUUGCUGCCAUAUUGUGAUAAGAUUGAAGGAAAAUGCAAUACAUGCAUGCUAACGAAAAUCACAAGAAAUUCGUUUCCUAAAGUUGAAAGAUCAUCUAAAAUCUUGGAUCUUAUUCAUAGUGAUGUAUGUGAUUUGCAUGGUACUCCUACUUUGGGUGGUAAAAAGUACUUUGUGACUUUUAUUGAUGAUUAUAGUAGAUACUGUCAUGUUUUCUUGUUACACUCAAAAGGUGAAGCUUUGCAAAAAUUUAAGGCAUACAAAUCAGAAGUUGAACUUCAUUGUGAAUCCUUUAUCAAAUGUCUAAGGACAGAUAGAGGUGGGGAAUAUUAUGAUAUUACCUAUUUUGAGUCUGUUGGGAUAAAACAUGAGGUGACUGCUCCUUACACACCACAACAAAAUGGUGUAGCCGAAAGGAAAAAUCGUGUAUUGACAGAAAUGGUUAAUGCACUUUUGUCAAAAUCUGGUUUAAGUCAAGGAUUUUGGGGUGAAGCCUUGUUAACGGCUUGUCAUAUCCUAAAUAGAGUUCCUAAUAAAAGGAGUUCUAUAACCCCUUAUGAAUUUUGGAAUAAAAGGAAGCCCAACCUAAACUAUUUGAAAGUUUGGGGUUGUAGAGCUGUUGUAAAACUCCCAGAACCUCAAAAAAGGAAAUUGGGAGAAAGAGGUGUGGAGUGUAUAUUCUUAGGAUAUGCACAAAAUAGCAAAGCAUAUAGGUUCAUGGUAAUUGAACCUAAUGAUUCAAUUUCGGUUAAUACCAUAAUUGAGUCUAGAGAUGCUAUUUUUGAAGAGAAUAGGUUCACCUCUAUAAAAGAUGUUAUUCCAAAAUCAAGUGAAUUGACAAAAGAUGGUGAAAAUGAAACCAUUGAAUUGAGAAGGAGCAAAAGAGCUAGAAAGUCAAAAGACUUCGGUUCGGACUUUUAUAUGUAUCUAGUUGAAGGAACUAGAGAUACAGUGAGCAACCAAAUCUCAUAUUGCUUCAAUAUUGAGGCUGAUCCCAAGACCUAUGAAGAAGCAAUGAACUCACAAGAUGCUCCCUUUUGGAAGGAAGCUAUUAAUGAUGAGAUGGACUCAAUCAUGGGUAAUAAAACCUGGAAAUUAGUAGACUUACCACCUGGUUCAAAACCAAUUGGUUGUAAGUGGAUCUUCAAGAAGAAAAUGAAGAUCGACGGAACUAUUGAUAAGUUCAAGGCCAGGUUGGUUGCCAAAGGGUUCACACAAAAGUAUGGUGUGGACUAUUUUGACACAUAUUCACCAGUAGCUAGAAUUGCUACAAUUAGAGUGCUACUUGCUAUAGCUUCUAUCCAAAAUCUAGUCAUUCACCAAAUGGAUGUUAAAACAGCAUUCUUGAAUGGUGAUUUGGAUGAAGAAGUAUAUAUGGAGCAACCCGAAGGGUUUGUGAUACCUGGUCAAGAGCAUAAGGUGUGUAAACUUGUAAAGUCUUUAUAUGGACUAAAACAAGCACCGAAGCAAUGGCAUCAGAAAUUUGACCAAGUUAUUCUUGCUAGUGGGUUCAAAAUAAAUGAAUCUGAUAAAUGUAUUUAUAGCAAGUUUGAUGAUGGCAAAGGUGUCAUAAUUUGUUUAUAUGUUGAUGACAUGUUGAUUUUUGGGACUGACUUGGAACAAGUUGAAGUCACAAAAACUUUGCUUUCAAGCAAAUUUGACAUGAAAGACAUGGGUGAGGCAGAUGUCAUUCUUGGUAUGAGAAUCUUCAAACAUGAUAACAAUAUAAUGUUGUCUCAAACACAUUAUAUUGAAAAGAUUCUUAACAAAUUCAAUCAAAGUGAUUGUAUUCCAGCCUCAACACCAUUGGAUCCCAAAAUAAAUUUUGUGAAAAAUGAGGGGGAUCCAAAAUCUCAAAUGGAAUAUGCCAAGGUUAUAGGGUGUUUAAUGUAUGCAAUGACUUGUACUAGACCUGAUAUUGCAUAUGCAGUUGGUAUAUUGAGCAGAUAUACAAGCAAUCCUAGUAGGUUACAUUGGCAAGGUGUAACCAGAAUUUUAAAGUAUUUAAAGGCCACUAAGGACUAUGGUAUAUGUUAUACCGGUUAUCCUUCAGUUUUAGAAGGAUUUUCAGAUGCUAGUUGGAUCACCAAUAAAGAUGAUCACUCGUCGACAAGUGGUUGGAUCUUUAUGCUUGGUGGAGGUGCAAUUUCUUGGGGUUCUAAGAAACAGACUUGUAUCACCGAUUCAACAAUGGCAGCAGAGUUUGUAGCACUUGCUUCGGCCUGUAAAGAAGCUGAAUGGCUACGUAAUUUACUUUGUGAUAUACCAUUGUGGCCAACACCUUUGUCGCCUAUCUCAAUCCAUUGUGAUAGUGCAGCUACACUUGCUAAAGCAUAUAGUCAAGUGUAUAAUGGUAAAUCAAGACAUAUCGGUUUGAGACAUAGUUAUGUCAAAGAUUUGAUUACAAAUGGAGUCAUAUCAAUUGACUUUGUGAGAUCAAAUGAAAAUUUAAGUGAUCCUUUGACAAAAGGAUUAUCAAGAAAUUUGGUGUCAAAGACAUCAAGGGGGAUGGGUUUAAAGUCCAAAAUUCUUGAUCACUAAUGGUGGAACCUCAAUUCAACGCUAGAUACAACGUCUGGUCCUGAAUUCAAUGAGUGAAAGUACAUCAUUCUAGUGGUUGGUGCACUAUGUGAAGUUUAGUCAUCCCAAUGUUGAAUAGUGCAUGUUAUUCUCGCCAGUGCAAAUGUAAGGAUGAGUCAUUGGACUCUUAACGAAUCUUAAAAGUGCUAUCUAUGGCGGGGGCACUAAGAUGUCGCCUAUAUGAAUGUUGGUUUUCGGCAAACCACAAAGUUAAGGACUUUACUUUGUAAACAUUCAUGAAAGGAUAGUGAUACAAGGCCGUAAAAUGUAUCGUUGAAGAACUUAUGGUUGUGCAUUGCUCAGUGUGUGAUGUGUUUAUGAGGUUGGUCCAAUGUCCAAGUGGUUCAAAGCUUGUCUACCAUCUUGAAGGAUUGAUUUCAAAGAACCUUCACUAAGAUAGUGGUUCAAUCGAAAGACACCAUUAUUUAUGCAUAUGAGUGUCAGAUUACUUGGUGACCUUUUAGAAAUCCAUUUUCUAAAUUUUGAAAAUGGCGGGGGAUUGUUGGAAACUUUUCAAAAUUUGUAUGAUGUACAUACAUGAAAUUAAUGUAUAUUCAUUGAUUUUUGGUAUAUGUAUAGUAUUGUGAAUGUUCCUAAAAUGUACAUUCAUUUAUGAAUGUAUUCAUGUAUAUGGGAAUUAUUGAAUGAAAGGAUAGAUUCAUGUUUUGAUCUAAUGAUCAUGAGAUGCAUGAAUUAAAGUGCAUGAAUGUGUACACAAUACUUUGAAUCUGUUCAUACAAGUGUUUAAUGAGAUCUUUUGUUUCCCAAACAAUCAUCCUAUAUAAAGAGGUCAAGUAGAGAGUGGUUUGCUGCAGAAAAUCACUUUCCUACUAUCAUUACUCUCUCAAAAGCACUCCUUAGUUCACAAAGGGUUUGUCUUGCUUUGUGCAAGAGUUUAAGACAAACAAAACUUCAUCUUAUCCUAAAGGAUAUUUGUCCAAGGUUAUUGCACUUUAUAUCGGACAAAUAAAGCUUAAAAGAAAGUGAUUUCUAUCACGAUUUGAAGCCAAUUCUUGUCACAAUAUUUGCCAAUGUGUACACAAUACUUUGAAUCUGUUCAUACAAGUGUUUAAUGAGAUCUUUUGUUUCCCAAACAAUCUUCCUAUAUAAAGAGGUCAAGUAGAGAGUGGUUUGCUGCAGAAAAUCACUUUCCUACUAUCCAUUACUCUCUCAAAAGCACUCCUUAGUUCACAAAGGGUUUGUCUUGCUUUGUGCAAGAGUUUAAGACAAACAAAACUUUAUCUUAUCCUGAAGGAUAUUUGUCCAAGGUAUUGCACUUUAUAUCGGACAAAUAAAGCCUAAAGGAAAGUAUAUGGGAAUUAUUGAAUGAAAGGAUAGAUUCAUGUUUUGAUCUAAUGAUCAUGAGAUGCAUGAAUUAAAGUGCAUGAAUGUGUACACAAUAAUUUGAAUAUGUUCAUACAAGUGUUUAAUGAGAUCUUUUGUUUCCCAAACAAUCUUCCUAUAUAAAGAGGUCAAGUAGAGAGUGGUUUGCUGUAGAAAAUCACUUUCCUACUAUCCUUACUCUCUCAAAAGCACUCCUUAGUUCACAAAGGGUUUGUCUUGCUUUGUGCAAGAGUAUAAGACAAACAAAACUUCAUCUUAUCCUGAAGGAUAUUUGUCCAAGGUAUUGCACUUUAUAUCGGACAAAUAAAGCCUAAAGGAAAGUAUAUGGGAAUUAUUGAAUGAAAGGAAGCAAAGAAUUGGCAAAUAUUGUGACAAGAAUUGGCUUCAAAUCGUGAUAGAAAUCACUUUCCUUUAGGCUUUAUUUGUCCGAUAUAAAGUGCAAUAACCUUGGACAAAUAUCCUUUAGGAUAAGAUGAAGUUUUGUUUGUCUUAAACUCUUGCACAAAGCAAGACAAACCCUUUGUGAACUAAGGAGUGCUUUUGAGAGAGUAAUGAUAGUAGGAAAGUGAUUUUCUGCAGCAAACCACUCUCUACUUGACCUCUUUAUAUAGGAAGAUUGUUUGGGAAACAAAGGAUCUCAUUAAACACUUGUAUGAACAGAUUCAAAGUAUUGUGUAUGAAUAGAUUCAAAGUAUUGUGUACACAUUCAUGCACUUUAAUUCAUGCAUCUCAUGAUCAUUAGAUCAAAACAUGAAUCUAUCCUUUCAUUCAAUAAUUCCCAUAUACAUGAAUACAUUCAUAUUUUGAAGCAGAGCAUCUUGAUAGGAGGGAUUACUAUGAAGCAUAUAACGGGUGAUAAGCAUGGUUCAAAGUCAUGGUCGCGGCUCGGACCGUUCCACAUCAGUCUCGGCAUAUCGGUCACGGUCACGGUCUCGGUGAGAUGCAAAUUUUGAAGUAUUUAAUAUUCUAAAAAUUAUAAACAAUAUUCAAAAAUAUGCUAAACAAAAAUAAUUAAAAAAUUAGUAAAAUAAAAUCUGUAAAAUAUAAAUUUGCAAGCUGACUCGGGCAGAUCCGGCCGAGACUAUCCGUAUCAGAGACUUCUCAAUCGAGUUCUCGACGAGUCAAAUAUCUCGGAAUCAUCUCGUCUUGGUAUCAUAUCGGAGGGGUCGUUUCACUAACGACUCGGCCGAGUCGUCUCGGUCUCAGCUGAGACUUUGAACCAUGCUUGUGGGUGAUAAGUGGUAUAGAUGGGUUGCCUGUGCUGAUGAUUAUCAUUCAUCGGAAUUAAUUGGAGAAUAUCUUCAAGAGAAGGCAGAUUUGAAGACUAUUGCUGAUAUUAAAGCAGAAGUGAAGCAAAUAACUUCACGGCUUAUUGACAAUCUUACCAAGGAAAUACAAGAUAACAGCAGGUCCCUCAGGGUUUGUGAGCGUAAAUACAAUGAAAGUAUUAUACUGUCAUUCGAUUUGAUGACUUGAAAGGAUGAGAUGGAUCGAUUCCAUAAUGAAGGUGUGUACUCAUUCCUCACAUCCAGAGAAUGAUAUCUUUAGUUGUUAAAUGAUUUGAUGCAGUGUUUUUUGCUUUCACUCUUUUCACAAGUGACAAUAUCUGCAUUGAUUUUCCCUCACUUCUUCCAUUUCACAUGAAUCAGAGAUAGAAAGAUGCUGGAUAGCAUGCCAAUCAGUUGAAAAGGUAUCUUCAGAGGAUGCAGCUAGAGGCAUGGAAACAAAAGCUGAUUGAGCGUAAGAAAGAAUUGGAGAAAUGGGAGGCUCAGAAUGAAAUAGAGAGGCAAAAACUUGAACUACAGAACAAAGUGGUACAUAUCUGAACAUACCAUUGAACGUAUGCAAUACUAGAAUAUGGAACUGCAAGCAGAAAAAGAGAGCAACAAUCAACAGAGGAAUAGCAUUCCAGCAGUUGAAAUAUAAACCACUCAAAUCAAAAGCUAAAAGAUUUCGCAACCUAAUGAAAUUGUUAGCCUUGUUUUGUUGUUUGAUAGAUGAAACUUGAUACUCCUGUACCCUUCAUCUUUUGAGUUAUUCAACAAGGAUAUAUGUUAUGUUCCAGUUGCUGAACAGUUUCUGUAGUUAAGCGGUUCCCAUAUCUAUGAACUUCUGUCAAAACUGGUAAUCAAUUUAGAAAACAGAUAUUUGUCUGCUGUGUCAUGAUAUGCGACUAAACUAGCUGGAAAAUGUGAAGAGAGCUGCACGUUUGUUCAAUAACUACUUGUAAAACUGAAAGAGUCUCCUAUAUGUUUUAGGUCAUUUGUAAUUCACACAAGCUGAAGUCCUUUGAGACGUGAUUGGACCAUUGUCUCCUCGAUUCUUGAUUUACUGACUAGCAAAUCAUUGGUAAAGCUGCUGCAGCAAGUCUAUAAUCUUAAAUUACCUGAGACAACUUCAUUUUAACACUUACACUUUUUAGUUGAAGUCUUCGUAGUAGAUGUUGUCAAAGAAUAAACAAGAUUUGUUCAUUCAGACUGAUUGACGAAUUUAAUCCUUUAAUAUGCCCCAAGCUUGCAUCAAAACUAUGUUAGACAAGUUUGCCUUAAUACAGUCGUAAAUUUCUCCUCUGAUGGAAUGCUGAUCUCAUAUUAAACUAAAGCACAUUAUAUGGUUGAUCAAAUACAACUCAAGUCUUGACAUUUAACUCAUUAUAAUCUCGCCUUGGAAUAGAUUAAGAAGAUAUUAAAUGCCUUUCACUUCCUUGUACCGGAUCAAAUCCUCAAUAUUCCACCUUCACUCCAAAAAGCCAACAGGAUCAAGUUCUUGGUGAGGGAUCAAUUGUGAUGUGACAACAGUCUUAAAAACAGAACCAGGUGGUGGAAGUUUACAUUGUUAGUUUGCAGAUGACGGAAAUGCUAUAAUCUGCUGGUCCUUGAAAGACUUCCCAUGUCUUUGGCUUUCUGGCGGAGAACAAAUUUUUGUAUUUUUCCUGUUGAAGUUUUUGGCAAUUCCCCAAAAACAACAGUUCGUGGAGCCAUAUAAUGUGGCAAAUGAUCACGGCAAUACUUGAUAAUUUCAUCUGCAUUUGCAUUACAAUCAUCCUUCAAUUUGACAAAUGCACAAGGUGUUUCACCCCAAUAAUCAUCUGGUCUUCCAACAACUGCAGCUUCCAGAACUGCGGGAUGGCUAUAAAUCACUGAUUCCACCUCAAUCGAGCUAAUAUUCUCCCCUCCUGAGAUGAUAAUGUCUUUGGAUCGAUCUUUUAAUUCUAUGUAUCCAUCAGGGUGUCUCACCCCCACGUCCCCACUUCGAAACCAUCCACCUUUAAAAGCAUCAGCUGUUGCUUUACUAUCCUUAAAGUAUCCAUUCAUGAUGGUGUUGCCUCUGAACAUCACCUCACCCCUUGUUUUUGUGUCCGGUGGUACGCUUUGCAUUGUUUCUGGAUCUUUGAUAUCGAGUUCUUCCAUGCCAAGGUGGUGCAACCCUUGACGAGCCUUGACCUUGGCCUUUGCAUCAGGUGGUAGUGAAUUCCACUCAGGUUUCCAAGUGCAAACUGUUCCAGGAUCCUAUGUUUCGGUCAAGCCAUAGGAAUGAGUAACAUUGAAUCCCAGCUCCUCCAUCUUAAAAAGUACAUGAGGAGGAGGGGGGCAGCGCCUGUCAUCACUAUCACUUUUCCUAGAAGCAGUCUCCGAUCAACAGACGGUGCAUUAAUUAUCAUAUUUAAUACUGUAGGUGCACCACCCAUGUGGCUCACUUGGUGCUUAGCUAUGCACUCAAAAAUCCCUUUUGCAGUUACAUUUCUUAGACAAACAUUUGUGCCGCCCUGUGCUGCAACAGCCCAAGUAAGGCACCAGCCAUUGCUAUGGAACAUCGGAACAGUCCACAAAUAAACAGGCAUGGAUGGCAUUUCGUUUAAAAGAGCAGCAGCCAGAGAAUUGAGGUAGGCUCCUCUGUGACUGUAGACAACACCUUUGGGGCUUGAUGUUGUACCUGAAGUGUAAUUCAAAGCAAUAGGAUCCCACUCAUCAUGUGGCCUUAUAACCUCAAAGUCUGGUCUUCCUGAUGCCAAGAAAGAUUCGUACUCUAAAUUGUCAUUAUUGAAAUACAUGUCACUAACCCUGGAAGAUGAGCUAGCUUGGUCGGGAAUCACAACUAAUUUAGGCGUCUUGCUGCUUGUCUUUAGUAGAAUUCCUAAUGCCCCUUUUGCAAUAUGAAGUAACUGAUAAUCAACAAAAAUGACUUUUGCACCUGAGUGUUUUAGCAAUGUCGACACCAUUGCUGAAUCAUGACGUAUAUUGAGAGUACAGAGAACUGCUCCUGCCAUUGGAACUCCAAAGUGCAGCUCGUAGAUUGCAGGAAUAUUUGGGGCGAGGACAGCGACCUACACAUGUAAUCAAAAGCUUAAAUACAAGGUAUCAGAAGAGACACAUCACAUCAGGUGGUUUAGACAAGAGAACACAGUCUUCUGUUGCAUAUGCACGCAAACUGUUUGACUUGUAAUCCAUGAAAUACAGGGAAAUCUAUGAAAGGAAAGAAAAGUUUUAAGGUUCUGAGGUAGUUCAUGUUUUCAGCUAUACUUGACGAGUUCUAGUGUGCUCUGUGUAUAACUUGACAAUAUUUUAGGGAGAAAUGUGGAGGAGUCCAUUCAAUAGGCCAUGGACAAGUUGGAUUCAAAGUUUCAAACUUUUCAUAAAGCUCAAGCCCUCAGGUCUAGCUAAUUCAGUGUACCUAUAUCUUAGGAAACUCAACCUUACUUUCAAAUUUAAGCAUGUGACAAGACUUGAUUUAGAAGAUCUUCUAGGCACUCAAUGUUCUAUAUCAAAACGUUUACUUUUAGCCUCAUCACAAACCAGCAGAAAUAUUUUCAGCCAGCAGAAGUAUUACUUCCAGCUCAUCAAGUCCUCUAUCAGAAGUAUCAUUAACCAGCAGAUGGAAUUUCUGGUAUACUUAUCAAGAAAGGAACCUCAUCAUUGUACCAUAACUGAACAGCAAGACAUAGCUAGACUGCAGGAUUCAAAGAACUUUGCCAAAACAUUCCAAUGGUUAAAGCACACAGAUAUUAGCACCAGAGAUGCUUUGAUAGGGUACAAUUUGUUAGUAAUUUUAUUAUUAAUUUUCCCUUUUAUCCCUGAUAAAUAUUGUGUUAAUUGCUGAUAUUUACUCAUAUUUGGUAUCUGGACUUAAUUUCAGGAAUGAAGCAGAAAACUACCAAAAAGGAGGGAUUUUAUGAAAAAUAUGGAGACUUCUAAGGGCUUCAAUUCUUGGGCCCUUGAAUUGGUGGGGACCACAAGCUAAUGAAAGGCAUUGAGUCAUUUGGGCUCUUCAAAGAAAGUUACGUAGAAAGACUUGGAACAAGAAGUACUUUGGAGGCUUUGUCCACAUGUGUGGGGACCACCUAGAUAGCCCUUAGUCAUCUUUCUUUUGUUGGUUAAAUAGGGAUAACGUAGAGAGCAGAUCCUCUGUCCAAUAUUUUGUGUCCAAUUUCCUGUCCAAUGUGAAACUACGUAGUUUCACUUAUUAUAUCUGCUGAUGUGACAACUAAAAAUAGGUGGCUGUUUGGCUGCCUUAUACUUUUUUUUCUUUUUUCUUUUUUGGGUUUCUUUUGUUUACACAACAAAUUCCCAUCUUUUUUAAAUAUUCUUUUGUAUUUGAAAUCUUUAAUACUUUGUUUUAAAAAAAUGAGAAUUGCAACAAAGUUAUGUAAACAAAGGAAACCCAAAAAAGAAGAAAGAAAAGAAGUAGAAGGCAGUCAAACAGCCACCUAUUUUUAGUUGUCACAUCAGCAGAUAUAAUAAGUGAAACUACGUAGUUUUACAUUGGACAGGAAAUUGGACACAAAAUAUUGGACAGAGGAUCUGCUCUAACGUAGGGGAGGAAAGGGACAUCUCUAGUUUUUAGUCUUUUAGGGUAGCUUUAGUUUUUCUUUCUUCUGACUGGCUUCUGACACACGCCAGGUGUUCGACAAAAUUCCCCAACGGGAAAAACAUCUUUUAUUCCUUGCUUUCUAGUAAAAAAACGCUAUGCCUUUGCAAUCCAUUAAUUCGUGUGAUGAUUUAAUUAUGCGGCGUGGCUAAGUCUUCCAUCUAGUCAAGGGUCAACUCGACGGCGCAGUCCCGAAAAUCUGUGAAAUCUAAUUAGUUUUCACGCGUUCCUUAAUUUAUUAAUAUUUGCACGUUGUCUGCUUGAAUUUUCAUGGGAUUAUUUUAUUAAUUGGAUGUCAAGGGCCCGAUGUUCAAUGUGAUUUAUUAAUCUCGUGCCAAUUUAGUCAAUUAAAUCCGUAAUUGUUUGAUUGAUUAAUAUUAGUGGCAACUGGUGUAUUUACACAUUAGGGGAACGUGCGAUCUAAUUUAAAUAACCCUCGUAGCGUGUUAUUGAUUAGGGCUAGGUUUUUCUGGUUAUUAAUGCAAUUGGAAAAUUAAUUCCUACGGUCGUAUCUAGGAGUACUUCUCUGGUUAGGGGUGAUCAAUGGUCGUACCUUGGUCAUCUAUAAAUUAAGGAAAAAUUGGUCAUUAGAGUUCAUCGAUGGCUAUAACUAGCCUAUUUAUAAAUUAAGUGAACCUCUCUUGCAUCAAUGAUCGGAUAAAUGGACUGUGCCUGAGUAGUUGUAUCCUUGGCUAGAAUUUAUUUAUUCUUGAUUUAAUUCCUGCUUUACUUGUGCUAGUUAUUUAUUUAUUCUUAGUUGAAUUGUUUAAUUGUUUUUUUAGUUUUACUCCAGUGAAAUCCCCCCUUACCAAUUGAAAUUUAAAAGAGACGAAUAUCUCCAGUCCCUGAGGAGACGACCCUACUUGCCACUGUCUACUAUUUAGUAAUCUUUGUCAACUAAUUGAUUCUGGUAUAUCGGAUUAAGCAAACUCUUCGGGAACAUGGUGAAUCAAGUAACCCAUUGCAUACCUAGAGUCCCUGCUCCAGUACCUAGGAUUAAUUAUUGGCUGCUUUUAGUGGUAGUUAGGUUCUAUAUUUAUUAUUGCACAGGUUCGGCACCUGUCAAUUUUUGGCGCCGUUGCCGGGGACUGGCGUUAUUAUUUGUUUCUUUUUAAAUUCAUUUUUUGUCCUAAUUUUCUGGUUUUCUUCUAGUGUAUGUCUCGAUCUUCUCGUACAAGUGAUUUGAUUUUUGACCCUGAGAUAGAGAAGACCGCGCGUAGAACGAGAAAGGAAACCAGACAGCUCAGAGAAGAGCACUCCAGUGCUACAUCUCAGAGACCCGAGUCAGAAGUUGAACCAACAGAUUCGUUUGGUAACACUUCGAGUGACUCUGACCAGGAGGAAGGCACCAUGGCUAAUGCACGAACAUUAAGGGAGUUGGCUGCUCCUGAUUUAACUCAACAGCCUUUAUGCAUUACUUUCCCGAGUUUGAGUGAUAACACUUCAUUUGAAUUGAAAUCAGGUCUAAUUCAUCUUUUACCUUCUUUUCAUGGCUUACCAGGUGAGGAGCCGUAUAAGCAUCUGCAGGAGUUUGAUGUCGUGUGCAAUAGUAUGAAACCCCCGGGAAUCACAGAAGAGCAGAUAAAAAUGAGGGCGUUCCCCUUCUCCUUGAAAGAUUCUGCGAAGGACUGGCUGUACUACCUGUCACCAGGUAGCAUCACCACGUGGGACCAAUUGAAGAAAAAAAUUUUGGAUAAAUAUUUUCCUGCGUCCAAGGCUGCAAGUCUAAGGAAAGAAAUUUGUGGGAUCAAGCAGCAUCCAGGGGAGUCAAUCUAUGAGUAUUGGGAACGGUUCAAGAACUUGUUGCACAGGUGCCCCCAACACCAAAUAAGUGAGCAGUUGAUCAUACAGUAUUUUUAUGAGGGGCUCCUUUUCAGAGACAGGAGCAUAAUUGAUGCUGCAAGUGGAGGGGCGCUGGUGAACAAAACCCCUCAGGAAGCACGGGAGCUAAUAGAGGGGAUGGCAGAAAAUUCACAACAAUUUGGUACGAGAAAGGAUAUUCCAAUACGCAGGGUGAAUGAGGUAGAGACACCCUCUAUGCAGCAGCAGCAAACUGAGUUGACCGCGUUUGUUAGGCAACUGGCUAUGAGAAAUGCAUCACAAGCCAGGGUAUGCGGGAUUUGCACUGGUAUAGGUCACUCUGCAGACAUGUGCCCAAUGAUUCAGGAAGAAACUGUGGAGCAAGUGAACAUGGCUGGUUACGCGCCCGCGCCAAGGAAUCAAUAUGACCCAUAUUCGAACACCUACAAUCCUGGUUGGAGGGACCACCCCAACCUCAGUUAUGGAGGGAACAGGCAGUCCAAUUUCGUACCAAAUAAACAACCAGGGUACCAGCAGCAAUACCAACCCCGACCACCUCCGCCCCCAAGCUCUGGUCCAUCUUUGGAGGAGAUGAUGAAACAGAUGAUGGCAACCAUUACACAAAAUCAGCAAAGGACGGAAGCAACCAUUACGCAAAAUCAGCAAAGGACGGACUCCGAAAUGCAGGCAAUAAGAAAUCAAAUAAGUCAAAUGGCCACAAAAAUCAACCGUUUGGAGUCCCAAGUAAAUGGAAGAUUGCCAUCCCAACCUGAACUGAACCUGAAGAACGUAAGUGCAAUGACUUUAAGGAGCGGGAAGGAAAUUCAGGGGCCUGAACCUAUGAUCCCUAAGGAUAAGGAUGAGGAAAAGAUUGAAAAUGAACUUGAGAGGGAGGACAGCAAUGGUGCAGAUCUAAAGGUACUUCCAGACCCAAUAAUUACAGUUAAAACUAAUCCCCCUCCAUUUCCUUGCAGGUUGGAAAAAUCGAAGAAGCAGGACAAGGAGAAAGAGAUCCUGGAGGUGUUUCGCAAGGUAGAGAUCAAUAUCCCCCUACUAGACGCCAUCAAGCAAGUGCCGAAGUAUACAAAAUUUCUGAGGGACCUAUGUGUCAAUCGAAGGAGGCUGAGGGGAGAUGAAAGAGUCAUUGUUGGGGAGAAUGUGUCAGCAGUUCUCCAAAAAAAGCUACCACCAAAGUGUGGGGAUCCAGGUAGGUUUACUGUCCCAUGCAAGAUAGGUAAUACUCUGAUUAGAAAUACCUUGCUGGACUUAGGAGCAUCGAUCAACGUAAUGCCAAAAUCUAUGUAUGCUUCUCUGAAUCUCGGUCCAUUAAAAGAAACCGAGAUAAUAAUUCAAUUUGUUGACAGAACAAAUGCAUACCCUGAUGGGUUGGUCGAGGAUGUGCUGGUUAAAGUUAAUGAAUUGAUAUUCCCGGCUGACUUUUAUGUACUUGACAUGGAUGAUGAUAAUUCCCCUGACCCCUCACCUUUGCUACUAGGUAGACCCUUUUUGAGCACAGCACAGACAAAAAUUGACGUUAAUAAGGGUACAUUGUCCAUGGAAUUUGAUGGAGAACUAGUCCACUUUAAUAUUUUCGAUACAAUAGAACAUCCUGUUAACUCUCACCCUGUGUUUGCUAUUCAUGCUAUUAAUCCCUCUGUGCAAGAAUUUUCUGAGUUUGCUUGUAGGGAUAAAUUCAAACUUAUUGAGAACAAGUAUAAGGGGAUGAAAGCACUGUAUGAGGUGAAAAGGAGUAGAAAACUCAGAAAGGAGGUUGCCCUUAAAGGCUAUUUGGAUCCUGGAGGAGGGCUACCCAUUUCCAGGAAAAUUGAGUUACACCCAGAUUGAAGAGUGGUGUUCAAUGUCUAGCCAAAGACGUUAAAGAAAGGCGCUUUUGGGAGGCAACCCAAAUAUUGAUUUUAUUGUUUUUAGUGUUUCAUUUCUUUCACUUUGUCGUUUCCUCGUUGGGUAGUAUCAGUAUUAAUAUUGCCUUCACUGCAAUCAGGAAGUGAGAUCUUGGCGUGCCCACGCGGUGUUGGUGUCUCCUGAGAUCAGAGGACGAAGGCCAAUCUUGGCGUGCCCACGCGGUGUUUGUGCCUCCUGAGAUCAGAGGACGAAGACCAAUCUUGGCGUGCCCACGCGGUGUUUGUGUCUCCUGAGCUCCGUCUGCAGCCCGCAAGUGGCCAGCUCGUGGCCAAGGCCCGCGCGCCGCCUGCCGCUACCACCAGCGCGCCGCGCCUGCACCAGCUCGCUCCACCUCAGCCACCACCUCACGAGCUCGCCAAGCUCCGCGCGCAGCCCAGUCGCCCUCGCGCGCGGCCCUCUCAAUCAGCUUCACCUGCGCACGCAUCUCCUCCACUGCCGCUGCUGUCCAGCGCCACCACUGCCCUCACGCGCCUCUCUCCCUCUCUCUCCAGAGGACUACGCCCUCGCUGCCCCCUCUUCGCUGCGACGCCAGGCCGCGCGCCAUCUCCUCCUCCUCGCAGACAGCCGCGCGUCACCACCUGUCCCAAUUGACAGGUGGAGGUAUUGUACACCCUUCUCCUAUUAGUAUCAAUUACUGGAAUUUGUGGUUGGAUAGAAGGGGGUGUUGAUUUGGGUAAUUUCUAUGGUAAUUUUAGACAGAUUUGGGCUUCAUUGACUACUAGGGAAUUUUGUGGCGCUAUAUAUAUAUUUUUUAGUCGAUUACUUCUGUUGCUGGAUUUGCUAGCUCUUUGGGUUAAUUGCUGAUUUUAGUAACCUUUUUGGGGUAAUAGACUGUCCAUUUAGGGACAGUGACGCCGGUUUUAGGUCCACGUGUGUUUGAUUCAUAUAUUUGGUGUCCAAUUGUGGGUGAAUUGCUGCGAUUGCUGGUUAAAUUUGGGGGCGCCCGUGACGCUUAUAUCUGCUUAUUGGGGGCGCCCGUGACGCUUAUAUUUGCUUAUUGGGGGCGCCCGUGACGCUUAUAUUUGCUACUCGGUUGGUUUGAUUUGUCUGUUGGUCACCAUGGUGAAGCCUCGAUCUUCUUCUAAGUCUAGGACCCCUAGGACCCCUCAACCCCCUCCACCCCAGCAUUCCAUUCCCGCCUCUGACCCCUCGCACGAUCCUUCCUCCUCUGGGAGGCGGGCUCGUCUUGGGCGACAAAGAGGCGUCCAUAUCUCUGACCCUGCACAUUUUGGGGGUCAUUUGGACUUCACCAGGGCAGCCGACAAGCGGCGCUAUGAAGCGGCUUGUGAACGACGGAUUAUUCCUUAUUGUUAUCGGGACGCCGCCACCUUGGGCCUUCUAAAUAUUAGCGUCCCCUUCCACGAUUUGAUUGAGGCCAUAGGGUGGCUCCCCUAUUCUCGUAUUACUGACCUCCCAGCCUUUGUUGAGUUAGUUAGGGAAUUCUAUGCCACAUUUGAAUUCAACCUUCCCACUGGUUACACAGUUUCCACCCCUGAUGUCAUCCGUUUCCGUUUAAUGGGUCAGGAGUUCCACCUUUCCAUAACUGACUUCAACCUUGCCCUUGGUUUCAUUGAUCAUGCCUAUGCUGAGUCUAGGGAGUAUGCCGAGAGUGCCUGUGACUAUGUCCAGCCGUUUUUCUCCCGCUAUCGCUUUAUUUGGGAUGAGAUGUCCGUAGACAGGGAUAACUAUGACCCUCGUCUAUCUAAGGGUUCUUAUCUGAAGGACCCGGCCUCUCGCUAUAUCCACCAUUUUUUGGCUUACAGUUUCUCGAGUAGGCGAGAUAGUUCGGGCAUUCUGUCUAAGCCUGAAUUUUUCUUUAUAUGGUGCAUGCAUAACAAUAUUAAGGUUAACAUUGGGUGUUGGCUCGCUUCUCAGUUCAAGUCCAUUUUGCCUAAAAAGAAGCGCCCCUUGAUUCUUGGGUCUUACAUUAUUCACUUGGCUAUUAAUUUGCAUGUACUUGAUAUUUCUAACCAUAACUUGCAUAUAGCCUGUCAAAUGGAGCCUUUGGAUAUCCCGUGCUUAGAGAAAAUGGGCUUAGUUCGGGAGGGCGCCAAUGGUUGGGAGGUAGUUCCCCCGGGUCCGCUACGCCCUCCCCCUCGGUCAUCUUUUGCCCGAGCUUCCACUGAGGGCGGCAAGCCUGGCCCAUCGUCCUCCGCUCCACCCCCUCCCGGCCCAAUGACCGAAGAAUGGCACCAUCUCCGAAACACGGUUGAGCGGCUUGAGAUGCGGUAGAAACACAUGGACGUUAACGUGCACAAUAUGGCGCAGAAUCUAGCGGCUUUUAUGCAGCAAGUCGGGUUCCCUCCUCAGUUUCCGCCUAACCCUCCCUUGUCUUGACGACUUCAGAGAAGUACCGUUGCCCCGCCCCUUUUUCUGCUAUUGUAUUUUCACAUUGAGGGCAAUGUGUGACUUAAGUGUGGGGGGGUCAGUUUGGGUGCUAGUUAUUCCCAGUUCUCGUUUCUUUAUUAUUUUUCCUCUUGUUUUCUGUUUAGGUGUUGUUCCUUUAUCCCUUUUGGGUGUCUUUCCCUUGCUUCUAUCUUGGUGAAUAUUUUUGGCAGCUCACUUUUUCUUGUUAGUUGUGGUUUGUACUAUGAGUUGAGUUACAGUGGCAAGUAAGAGCAUGUUGUCUUGGUGAAUAUUUUGAGUUUAACGACUUGGUGCAAUUUAUGGCUGACUUGUUUAGGCAAUAUAAAUAUUUUGCUGGCAUUGUUGUGUAGAUUGGUCUCCUGUUUACCUUAGUUCUCCAUAUUUGGGACAUGACGCAGGCUAUGAUCAGUAAUUACUUGAUAUUUUGGUGUUUAUUGGUGAAUAACGUAUGGCUAUACUCCGCUAGUGUCGCCACCCAGUAACCGGGAGUUUUCACCACAAGUGUCGGCUCUCGCGUCAAAAAGUGGCGAUAUCUAUGAGUAAGUGGUCCUGGAGCUGUGAAAAGUUGAGUAACUGGGCUCUUUCAUCUAAAAAUGUCAGAGUUCAUGUCAAAAGACUUGAAUAGCUUGGGACUUAGCCUUAUUCGUGCAAUAAAAAAAAAUAGAAGAAAACGGAAAAGAAAAAAAAAAGAAAGAAAGACAAAAUCAGAUGUGGACAAUGUGUGAGUUUAUGAUCAUAUUGGCCUGCCGAUCCUUGGUUCGUAAUGUUGAGAUUUCGGUUGCCAGUUGACUUAAUUACUGACUGUUGCUAGUUAAUAUUUGGAUUCCCUAAGCGAAUUAGCUAUGAAUUGGACAGGUCUAUGAACUUAGGAGUUAACCGGGAGAGAUAUGUCUUGACACUUAGUCACUAGAUCUUGAUUUUGGGUAUAAGCACAGCUGGCUAUGAUAAUGUGAAAGCUAGCCAUUGUUGAGUUGAAUUUUCCCCAUGCUUGAGGGCAAGCAUGAUUCAGGUGUGAGGGGAAUUGAUAGGGUACAAUUUGUUAAUAAUUUUAUUAUUAAUUUUCCCUUUUAUCCCUGAUAAAUAUUGUGUUAAUUACUGAUAUUUACUCAUAUUUGGUAUCUGGACUUAAUUUCAGGAAUGAAGCAAAAAAUUACCAAAAAGGAGGGACUUUAUGGAAAAUAUGGAGACUUCUAAGGGGUUCAAUUCUUGGGCCCUUGAAUUGGUGGGGACCACAAGCUAGUGAAAGGCAUUGAGUCAUUUGGGCUCUUCAAAGAAAGUUACGUAAAAAGACUUGGAACAAGAAGUACUUUGGAGGCUUUGUCCACAUGUGUGGGGACCACCUAGAUAGCCCUUAGUCAUCUUUCUUUUGUUGGUUAAAUAGGGAUAACGUAGGGGAGGAAAGGGACAUCUCUAGUUUUUAGUCUUUUAGGGUAGCUUUAGUUUUUCCUUCUUCUGACUGGCCUCUGACACACGCCAGGUGUUCGACAAAAUUUCCCAACGAGAAAAACAUCUUUUAUUCCUUGCUUUCUAGUAAAAAACGCUAUGCCUUUGCAAUCCAUUAAUUCGUGUGAUGAUUUAAUUAUGCGGCGUGGCUAAGUCUUCCAUCUAGUCAAGGGUCAACUCGACGGCGCAGUCCCGAAAAUCUGUGAGAUCUAAUUAGUUUUCACGCGUUUCUUAAUUUAUUAAUAUUUGCACGUUGUCUGCUUGAAUUUUCAUGGGAUUAUUUUAUUAAUUGGAUGUCAAGGGCCCGAUGUUCAAUGUAAUUUAUUAAUCUCGUGCCAAUUUAGUCAAUUAAAUCCGUAAUUGUUUGAUUGAUUAAUAUUAGUGGCAACUGGUGUGUUUACACAUUAGGGGAACGUGCGAUCUAAUUUAAAUAACCCUCGUAGCGUGUUAUUGAUUAGGGCUAGGUUUUUCUGGUUAUUAAUGCAAUUGGAAAAUUAAUUCCUACGGUCGUAUCUAGGAGUACUUCUCUGGUUAGGGGUGAUCAAUGGUCGUACCUUGGUCAUCUAUAAAUUAAGGAAAAAUUGGUCAUUAGAGUUCAUCGAUGGCUAUAACUAGCCUAUUUAUAAAUUAAGUGAACCUCUCUUGCAUCAAUGAUCGGAUAAAUGGACUGUGCCUGAGUAGUUGUAUCCUUGGCUAGAAUUUAUUUAUUCUUGAUUUAAUUCCUGCUUUACUUGUGCUAGUUAUUUAUUUAUUCUUAGUUGAAUUGUUUAAUUGUUUUUUUAGUUUUACUCCAGUGAAAUCCCCCCUUACCAAUUGAAAUUUAAAAGAGACGAAUAUCUCCAGUCCCUGAGGAGACGACCCUACUUGCCACUGUCUACUAUUUAGUAAUCUUUGUCAACUAAUUGAUUCUGGUAUAUCGGAUUAAGCAAACUCUUCGGGAACAUGGUGAAUCAAGUAACCCAUUGCAUACCUAGAGUCCCUGCUCCAGUACCUAGGAUUAAUUAUUGGCUGCUUUUAGUGGUAGUUAGGUUCUAUAUUUAUUAUUGCACAGGUUCGGCACCUGUCAUGCUUGAAGCUACAUUCAAACUUGAAAAAGCACCUGAAAUUCAGAUAUCAAGAUUAGACCUAUUCAAAUACAAAAGGUCAACAUUUUUGUAGCGUACUUGCUAGGAAAGUAGUGUUCGACAAACUCUGUCGUAAAUGGCUGCUGAGAAACCAAAAUUGACCCUCAAAUGCACAAUUCCAUAAGUUAGCAAUUUCAUAGUGAUAUCUUUACUAUAAUGCUCCAGACACUCAAAAGCUUCUUGAUAGGUUAGCAUGUCUUUUACAGGUUUCAAGUAAUCUGGUUCCAUUAGGUGCCAAAUUCCCCUUCCCCCACCAUAUCCAUGCGACCUUUCUUUUUUUUUUUUUAACAAAAUAAAAAAGAAAAAGGUUGAAAGAAUUUAGAGUUGGGUAACAGCAAUAAAUUGCAUAAUUAAACCUCCGACUACUACAAAGUCACUGAAUUGAGGCAUGAAAAUGACCCACCAAAAAAAUAUAUAUAAGGGGCAGUUGGUCCCUUGUCGGCUCAUUGAAAUGGAAUCAAUCUAUAGUAAUGAUGUCAAUGCAUGUCUAUUCAACAACCCGUGCAAUGAUUGAUAGAGACAAAAAAUACCCAGAUGAUAUCAUUCCAAACAAAGGCAGAAAUCAUUUUUAACAUUCCAACUAGCUCCCAACAACCAAGUAAUCAGAAGAAAAUUACAAUCCCAAAAAAAAAAAAAGAUUCAAUCGUGAUAAUUAACCAACAACAGAACAAAUUGAAGGACUUUUAAUUACAGAACAAAUUGAAGCAUAGAAAUUAAAGAAAACAAAACGAACUGGACAAGAAGAAAAUGCAGGUAAAUUGUGAAUAACAAAGAAAGCCCAGAAAAUUCAAGGAUUAAAUGGGAACUUACAACAUCAUGACGGGAGAUUCCGAGGGAGUGAAGAGCAGAAGCGAGUCUGGCGCAUCUGUCACGAGUUUCUGCCCAAGUGAACUUUAAAUCGCCAUGCACUACUGAAAUCCUGUCUCUGUAUACAAUUGCCGAACGCUCCAAGAAAUUUAUGGGCGUCAGAGGUACAUAAUUUGCUGAGCAUUUGACAGUACCCUCCAUUGAUGAUUCUAUCCUUUUAUCUGAAAAUCCAAAAGAGCGCUUCUACUAUCAACGGGAAAGUAGAUAAGAGAGGUUGUUUUCCGGUUGAAACUUGGGCGAUGGAUUGUGCAGUAUCGUUGAAGUCUGCUACAAAUAAAUGGACCUUUCCUUGCGUGGGGUGUGAAUUUACCGAAUGAGGCCUUUGUUGACUCAGCUUCAUUGUUUGUCAGCAGAUUUAUUUGCUUUUUCACAUGAUUAAUUUCUAGUUUUAUCUGUGUUUUUGCCUUUUUGGCCUAUUGGUGAGACUGCGUGCGGGUCUCUGCCUAUCUUUGUAUAACCUACUCUAUCCUAAUCUAGGGGAAGGGGAGCCUAAGGAAGCAGUUGUAGAGGCUAGUGGAUAUACAGACCCAACUAGACCAAGGGAGUACUAUGGCACAACCUUUAGAUUUUUUUCGCUGUUGAUGAGGUUUGAACCCUCACCAACAGCCCAAAGAGGGACUGAAGUCCCUCCCUGGUGGCCACUGAGCCAUUGGCCCAGUGGUUGUGCGGGUCUCUUUUUUUUUUUUCAGAAACGAUAGAUUAAUUUAUUUCUACGAAUAGAGAAAAUACAAUAUAUGAGCAAGGGCUCAAGUUCUGGUUUACAAAGGUGUACUGAGACACCGAGGAUGAACGAACUCCUCAUCAAAAUAGAUGUGCGUUGCUUGCUUACUCAGUUCAUAACUGAGUGUAUUAGUACUAACAUUACUAGGCAGGCAAACAAAUGAGCAUGUCCUAAACAUUAAGCUGAGAUAAGUGAUGCACUCGAGAUGGCCUGCUAUAAGAAAGUUGCUUGGACUUUGGCAGCGUAUCAUCUUUAAAAUGUGGUUGCAUGAAAUAUGAACCUGUAUGUUUUGCAAGUCCCGUUCCUUUAGCUUACACAGAGCCAGUUGUAUCGCCACCAAGUUGUCCAGCACAGACGAUCCAGUACUUCUUUCUCUGAGCAUCCACCCUACCCCAAGCUGGUUGUGCGGGUCUCUGCCUAUCGAUCAUUUGGAUUUUGCUCCCGCAGAUUGGCAGCAAUAGUGAUGGUGCACUGACAAUGACCAAACCAUCAGAAGAGCCGUGUUUGAACAGUGUAUCACUUAAACUCGAGCUAAUUUAAAAUGUUUGAGUUUGAACUCGUCAAUCAAGCUUUUAAAACUUGAACUCAAAGCUCAAAUUUUGACAAAUUGAGUUCAAUUGGAUUUAAGUAAUAUGAAGUGAUACUUUAUACACUUUUAAAUAAAAAAAAAAAAAAAAGAUAGAUGCUUUACAUAGCAGUAAAUAUAAGAAUACAAGUUAAGAUGUAUUGUUAUACUUGAACAAGUAUUGAGUUCGAUUAUUCUUAAUGAACUUUUGAAUCUCACAUAUAGAGUUUGAACUUCUCAAACUAUUCGAUCUGCUUGAAAUCGAGCUUAAAUUUUGACCAAAAACUCGCGAAUAGUUAGAUUAAACUUGGCUACGUAGGUGCAUUUGUGCUGGCGAUUUGGUUUAUUGUGACAAUAAUUGAGACCCAAGAAGGAGGAGAUAAAGUGAUUUGACUUGAACGAUCAUCUUAGAGUAUUUCCUACACUACCUUGACACGCUUUUGUUUAGGGUGCAAAACCUAUUGACAUUCUGUCAUUAAAAACUGGUACGUUGUUUAUUGAUACGUAGAAGGAAGUGGAUGAUAAAGCCUGAAGCAUUCCCUUUGCGCAAAACUAUACGGUCAACAAAUUUGUAUACUAAAGCUGAGAUGUAAUUGUAUUUUGUGUGUGAUUUUAUUCCCUACACGGGAACAACUGCACUUGCAUAAUACUAACUGAUAGUUUUAACAAUAAAUGCCCAUCGAAAAAAAUCGUGUGCAAACCAAAUCCUCUUAGGUGAUUUGGCCACAAAGCAAUAAACAAAUAUGUAAUUCUGACAAUAGGUUAAGAAUUCAAACCCUUUUAAAAUGGUAGUGGGACUCUUUAAUUUAGAAGUUAGUUUCUGUCCCUACCUCCUAUAGUCCACUUGAGUAUUCUCUUAAUAUAAAAUAGCUUAACGAUAAGAGUAGGAAUAGAGUUAGAUAUUAGCGAUUGAAAUGAAAAAAAGGUGUAACACGACUACCCAAUUAAUUGAUAUCCCUCACAAGAAGAAAAUUCAGCUUCCACAGGCCUUGUAGGACAAUUCAUAGGUAAAUAUUAUUUGAACCAUAGAUUAUUAAUGAAAUUUAGUAGAGUGCUCGUAUGAAUUCAAGAACAUUAUUCUUCAAGCAUUAGACUUCCGGUGUGCAAAGAUUACAAAAUAAGUGAAUAUAAGGCGAUAUAAGGCAAGGAACAAUAUUCCUUAAUUUGAAUAUAACAUUAGAUAGUAUACAUGUUCUUCCUCUUUCAUAUUUUAGAAAGGGAAACAACCAAAUUGUUGAUGGACGAGUCCUUGAUCUUUCCAUGAUAUUGUGAGAUUUUGGCGGAGAAUUUGCUGAACAAAUUGUUGAUAAUAGCAUCCCCAAAAUGAGCUUGAAUAAGGGGUUCAUAAAUAGCUCUCAAGUUCCUAGAAGACCUUCUAGGCACUGAAAAUGUUCUAUAUCAAAACGCUUGCUUCCCGAGAUGCUUCCAAGAUACUAUGAAACUUGAAAAAACACCUGGAAUUCAGAUAUCAAGAUUCAAGAUUAGACCUAUUUGUAGCGUAAGUUUUCACAAACUCUGGCGUAAAUGGUCACCGAGAAACCAAAAUUGACCACAAAUGCACAAUUCCAUAGGGUUAGCAAUUUCGGGAAUGGGGCAGCUACAAUUAGCAAUAGGUGCGGCUGUUUUACUUUUUUAAUGAUUUAGUGUACACUUACAUAAUUUUGAUGUAUUUCAUGAUUUGAUGUACAUUUAUGUAACUUUUUAUUGUGCUAGUAAUAGUUCACGUACUUUGCAUGUAAUUAUAUUAACCUAAAUAUAAACAUAACAUCUCUUAUAUAUAAACUUUUUUUUUGUGAAAUUUGAUUGUUUACAUGAUAAUAGAAUAUUUUCUAUUUUCUAUUUCUUUAAUCAAUUAUUGUUACAAAGACUAUGUAAAUACGAACUCUUUGAUCCAUUGAUUUUUGAAUUUAUUUUGAGCUUUUUGGUAAUUUAUGGAUUCAACAAUUCUUAAUAUGGUUAUGUUGUGUACUCACAAUAUUUUUACCAUUAAAUCAUAAUAAUAUUUUUUAAUUUUGUACAAAAGAUGUUGUUAAACCGGAAAUGCAUGUAUACAUGUCAAGCGUGAGCCUAGUAAAUAAAAUUUGUAAUUAUUAGCAAAGUAAGGACUAAAAUUGUAAAAUCAAUUUCUGGAAGUGUAUCAGAGUAAAUAAAUUGGCUUGUUAGAUUUUGUCAUUCUAAUUAUUUUCACCAAACUCAUCCCUUCUUUUACCCUUGGAAAGUUCAUUUACCAGCCAGAAUCUAGAUCCGCCUUUUUUUCACUUAAAAAUAAAACCCAUAGUUAAGUUUCUAAUGAAAUCAACAAAUUUAAAAAAUGAAAAAAAUUUGUAUCAAUAUUUUGAAUGCUAUUUGCCAUAACAUUUUGAAUGUUAUUUUUCCUUGGUAAGACAAACAAAAUGGAAUUGUACAAUUAGAAUGAAUUAAUUAUUUAAGAAUAAAAUAUAUGAGCUAUGCUUAUGCCCAACCUCGCAUGAACAUUUAAUUACUCUGCUUUAUAUCUUUUAGCUCAACUUUUCAAUUUUUUCUUUUGUGAAUUUGAAUUGAAUAAUGUGAGGUGCAUUAUUGAAUUUGGAUUGUUUACAUUUUUUUUCUAAGUAUUAUUGAGUUUAGUAAAGAAUGUAAAUGAUUUAUACUGCUUAAUUAUCUUAGACUGUGUAAUUUAAUUGCCAAUGGACAUUCAAUUGAUAGAAAUAAUUGGAUCCUUUUACGUGUUCUUUCUUUCAAUAUUUCUUCACACUAAUAAAAAGCCCAUAAUUAUACAUCUGUCUUGUGAUAUUCAUAGCAAGAUUCUCCAAAUGAGUAUGGACUCUUUUCUUCUUAUAUAUUUCUCUUUUGCUUCAAGAGCAUCUAUUUUUUUGAUACAAAUAUUUUUUACAAUCUUAAAUUAUAGCUAAUGCAAUCGGUCACACUAUUUCGAAUAAGAAAUUAUUUUGGCUAAGAAACUUUAACACACAUAAGGAUUGGAGAUGAAGUGUAAGGGUCACUAAAUAGUUUUAAUAUGGAGUUUUUCAUUUUAAUUACCCUUUUUAUUGAGAUUUAGUUAUUUGGAAUGUUUCAUAUUUUUAAUUACUACUACAAUUAUAAUGCAAUAAUUCUAAUUGAAAGAUAGAGAUAAUAUGGGCACAACAAAACUAAGAUCAAAAAGUGCAUGCAACUUACAAUGCCAAGACUUUUUAAUAUAGUAAAAAAUAGAUGAUAUAAAAUACAUCAAAGUUGUGUGAAUGUACAUCAAAUCAUUAAAAAAAAAAAAAAGUAAAACAACCGCACUAACCGCACCUAUUGCUAACCAUAGCUACCCCAAACCCUGCAAUUUCAUAGUGACAUCUUAAAUUGAAGCGGAUCACUAAGCAAUACAGACUGGAAGAUAUGCACCUAAUGCAACGCAUAUCAACUAUUAGCAAUGUAACAAGGAGAAAAUUGGAUUCUUUGCUUAUUAUAGAUGCUAUAAUGCUCCAAACACUCAAAAGCUUCGUGAUAGAUAGGUCAGUGUGUUUUUUACAGGUUUCAAGUAAUGUGGUUGCAUUAGGUGCCAAAUCCCUCUUCCCCCACUAUAUCUAUGUGACCUUUUGUUUCACAAAAUAAAAGAGUUAUACGAAUUUAGAGUUGAGUAGCAGCAAUAAAUUGCAUAAUUAUACCUCCAACUGCUAGAAGUUACUGAAUUGGUCCCUUGUGGGCUCAUUGAAAUGUCAAUCCAUGGCUAUUCAACAACUUUGUGGAAUGACCCAUUGAGACAAAAAUGCCCAGACGACAUCGUUCCAAACGAAGGUAGAAAUCAUUUUUAACAUUCCAACUAGUUUCGCAAUACUUACCAAAAAAAAAAAAUCAGCAAAUUAAAAAGGAUAAUUUCAGAAACCUGACAAUUUCACUCAGUGCCCUCAAACUUUAAAAAAUCUCAUUUGGCUCUCUUGUUUUAAGCGUUUUGUAACAUUUGAAAUCCAUUUCAAAAUAUAAUAUUAAAAAACUCAUUUUGAGAGAGAGAGAGAGAGUACAAUUUCAUUCCAAAUUUGUCCUUUCUUGCGAUUUUUUAAUUGUCAUAACACACCAAAUUUGUUGCUUAUCUUUUGUAAAUUGAUUGAUGUAGUUCUUUAAUGAAAAUCUAAGAGUUGGUAACAAGAUCAAAAAAACUCUUUAAUAAUUUUUGUAUCAUUUGUUCGGACAAAAAAUGUUAAAUUACUUAAAAUUAUGAGUCAUUUACACUACUCUUAAAAAUAACUUGCAAUAAUUCAUAACCAGGAGAAUACCUUUUGCACUAACUUAAAAAUAAUACAAACAAUUAUAUAUAUAAAUUUUAGCAUGUUGUAUCUUUUUAGUUGUCAAACCAUCGAUUUGGACGUCUAAAUUAAAAAAAUAAAAAAAAUGUGUAAAUGAUUUAUAUAUUAGCUCAAAACACAUAUAUUUGAAGUAGAGAAAACGUCAUUUGCAUUUGGAUUGCGAUUUUCUUAAAAAAAUUUCGUUACUUGUUUCUCUUUGUCCAUGAUACUAAUUGAUAAAUGCUUCACAUUUUUCCAGUCUCAGCUCUGUUAGCUUGGAGUUCUGCUUUCAACUAUAAAGUACUACUCUUUGGAAUUGUCAGAGCACUACUCUUUCUAUUUUUUUUUCAGCAAUAUUAUAAGUAACUAGUUUUGUACCCGUUCGUUGAACGGGAAUCAUUGAAAAAUAAUAAACUUUAGUCAAUUUAUAAAAAUAUCGAUAUAAAAUACAUAUUUAAUGUAUAAUCUAUUAUAACUUGUCUUAAAUAUAAUACUAUGUGCGCAUUGUAAUGUAAAGUAUUCUUAUAAUAUAAAUUUGAAUAUCUAAUUCAGUGAAUAAUAAUUUAAAAAUAGAAAAAAUAACAUUCAACAAUACCAUAACAUUCAAAAACUUGAAAAUAAAUAAAAAGUGCAGUAAAUAGUAUCAAAUAAUAUUCUAAUAUUCAGAAACUUGUUUUUGUUUUUUUUCUGUUUGAACAUUCUCCUCGAUUUGUCCGUGCAAAUCAGCAUUUAUUGAUUUUCUAUUAUUAAUGCAUGAUAGCAAAGUAGGAUAACUAAGUAUAAAAAAAAUAAAUGAUUUAUCGCAUUCAAGUUUGUGUAUAACAAUACGUAAAGAUUAUAUUUAAGUAAAUGGCCAGAGUCUUUUAAUUAAAUAAUGAAUUUGCAGAUAUAUCUAAUAGAGAUAUUUAUAUCGCAUUACUUUCUAGUACCUUUUGUUUUUUGUUGUUUUUUCUGAAGGCAAAUUAACAAACAUCGUAGUAUAUGAUCACCAAAAUCAAUUAACAAACAUGUUAGAAAAAAUCCUACAAAAAUAACGAUGAAAGCACUUGUUUAAAUUCUAUGUAUUCAUACAAAACAAAUAGAAAAUAAAACAAAAAAAAUAAAAUUCAAGAUAUGUUACUAAGCUCUUACAAUUGAAGAUCAACAUGCCUUUUUAAUAUAUAUAUAUAUAUAUAUAUAUAUAUAUAUAUAUAUAUAUAUAUAUAUAUAUAUAUAUAUAUUGAAAGAAGAUGUACCUGAUAAUCAAGAGAAGUGGAAACCCAAAAUCGAUACUUUAAUAUGCCAACCGUUUGCACUGGAAAUACCUAACCAUGAAUUUGAUGCUUGAAAUCAAUAUAUUAUAGGCUAUAUGUAGUGUAGGCAUAGGAAAUAAAAAUUGAUAAGAAUACAAAGAGAUAUUGAUAAGAACAUUAAAAGUAUGUUUAUCUUAAUUUAAGUUGCUUAAAGUACGUAACUUUGGGUAGGAAAUAAGAAUCGUAUAAUAUUAAGAAUUCUUAUAGGAAAUAAAACCAUAAUCAUCCAAAUAACUUUGGGUAGGAAAUAAGACCUUAUGUGACCCGUACUAUGCACGUAUAUAAACCUGUAUGUAAUAAAUUUACAAAUGCAUUAUCAAGAUAGGUUUUACCGACUUUAAAAGACCACCUCCACUAUAUCGAGUCCUUUAAGUGCAUGAACUCCUAUGAUGUGGGUCCACACACGAAAUACUUCCCACCAUCUAGGCAGAGAUGCAUUGUGAUUAAGGAAUUAUUAGCAAAAAUAUAUUAAAAAAAAGGACGGACGGAGGACACUAUAGACGGAGGCCUUUCUCUUGGAUUGGAGGACACUACGGACGGAGGGUCGGGUAGGGGCCUUCGGGGUGCAAAAACUUCAACAAAUAUCUAAUGUUUUAUCUCAUCUUUCUUUAGCUAUGAUAAUGAGAUUUUAUUUCUUUGGUUGAUGACGCUCCAUUUUUUUUUAUGGACUUUUCCAGAAUUUUUCAAUCAGAUAAAGUGCCAUUUCUCUUUGUACAUCAAUUAUACAUGGGGACUGUUAGUCUUGUAAAAAUUUUCUUGGGCUAACUUUCUUUAAUUUUCAUGUCUAGAUUGUUUGUAUGUUGUUCUAUAUAUAGGUAUAUUAUCUUAAAAUAAAAAGGAUCUAUGAUGAAGCUGUUAAAAAAAAAAAGAAUAGGAUACUAUAAAAAAAUAUAUUAUCAUUUAUUCCUAUAUAUCUAAUAGAGGAGAUUUAUGUCUCUUUUAUUUAUAUCGCAUUACUUUCCAGUUCCUUUUUUGGGUAGGAAAUAAGAAUCAUAUAAUAUUAAGAAUUUUUAUAGGAAAUAAGAAUUGAUAUAUAUCCAAUCAAAAAAGGAGCAAGCCACGUAGGAAACUACUUGCCGUCUCGUUAAGCCACGUAGAAAAGAGAAAAUAUGAAGGGAUAAGUAUGAGGAUACGACUUUAUUAUAUAUAUAUAUAUAUAUAUGAUUGGUCCGCGCAGCGGACUGAAGUGGUCGAUGUGUGAAUGCAAGGCCUUGCUUGGAUUGCUUGUUUCAGUCGGAAAAUAUUGUCGUUUUCCGUGAUCACAUUUCUCUAUCACCUUUUUCCUUCAUAUAUAUCAAAUCGCUAUAGUAAUUUUUCCAUGAAAAAUGAUAGAAAAUGCAAUCCAAACAUAACCUAAGAUUAUGCUGAUCUUUACGGGUCCCACAUGUUGUAUGUUUUAUAUUGUACUAGUAGUAUUCCAAAUGGGUUUUAGAACGUUCUCAAAAUAAAUCGAUCAAUUUGAUUGGGAUCAAAACGUGUGGGGUAAGGUUUUUUAUUUUUACAUAAUUAUUCAGAUAAAACCAACCCAGGCAGACCCAAUUAUCUUUGUAACUUACAAAAAACUUUGAUCAACUUUCAAAUAUAUUAUACACUCUUGACAUUUAAAAAAAGGGAUAAUUUCGCAAGCCUUCCCUGAGGUUUUUAAAAAUUACAGAGAGCUCUCUCUAGGUUUUAAAAAUUACAUAUACCUCCCCUAUUUUUAUUUUUUAGUAAUGAUAUAGGUUCAACAAUAUGGAUUUUCUCACAAAAUUUCUAAAUUGCCCUUUAAACUAAGAAAAAUAUAGUAUACUCAAUUAUUUUCUUCAACACUUUGUACAAAUCAAUAAACCUAGUUUUUAGCAAUCAUUCAAGUAUAAGUUUUAAAACUAAAUAGCAGUCCAAAAGAUCCCAAAUUACAUGUAUAGUAUCAAUACUUGCUACCUAAAAAAAACACACACAUAUACCCCAUUGACAACCAAUUUUAUAUCCCAGAAUUAAAUAUCAAUGCUCAAAUACCUUUUCAAUACAAAUUAAUCUCACUUAGAACUGCUAUUACAACCCUUCUAUGGCCUUAAAAAUAUUAAUAUCUCAAAUAUAUAAAAUAAAUUCUACGUCCACAAUAAAAUCAUAACAAAAAAUUUCUAAUCAAAUGAAAGAAAUCCUUAUGUAAUUAUUGACAUUUUAUAAAAAAAAUUUUAACAAUAAACAAAAUAUGAUAAAUUCAACAUCUUUAAUUCUUUUUCCUAAUUUCAAUCAUCAAUUUCAUUAUUUAUUUUUCUAUCACUACAACUCUCUUCAUUUCCUUCUAAUUUGACAUAUAAUCUACUCCUUCUGUUGAUUUUAAAAUUUCAAUUUGCUAAUAUCCACAAAAUUGAAGAUAAUAAAAAGAAGUUAUAUUAACUAAAAAAGAGAUGAGUGAAAAUAGACAAGAGACAGAAAAAUAAUUUUUUUUUGAGUUUUGUAAAUUUAUUGCCUUAAAUUUAAAAUUUUCAACCAAGUAGAGGGCAUUAUAGGUAUUUUACUAUACCAAGGGAGGUAAGUGUAAUUUUUUAAACCUGAGAGGAACCGAGUGAAAUUGUGACAGGUGCCGAACCUGUGCAAUAAUAAUAAAUAAAUCCUAACUACCACCUGAAACAGUCAGUAAUCAAUUCCAGUACUGGAGCAGGGACUCUAGGUGUGCAAUGGGUUACUUGAUUCACCCUGUUCCCGAAGAGUUUGCUUAAUCCGAUAUACCUGAAUUAAUUAUUUAACUGAAUUUCCUAACUAGUAGACAGUGGUAAGCAGGGUCGUCUCCUCAGGGACUGGAGAGAUAUUUGUUUCUUUUCAAAUCAAGAUUAAUGGGGGGUUUUGGUAUCAAAAACCAACUGAACAAAUUAAAUGCAGAAAAUAAUUAAUUAAAAGAAAUAACUAAGAGAAACUCUAGUCAAGGGUAUACUUCAGAAAUGGUUCAUGCACUGAUCAUUGAUGCAAAAAUAAUCCCAACAUUUAUUAAUAGAUUGGUUAUAGUUGUCAUGCACGCGAUAAACAACCAACCCUUCCUUAAUUUAUCGAUAGCUAAGGUACGACCGUUAGCUAUUUCCCUAACCCAAAAACAAUCCUAGGUACGACCGUAGAAUUUAAUUUCUGGUUUGCAUGAAACCUUAGAAAGACCCAAUCCUAACUAACAAACACGCUACGAGGGUUUGUUUAAGUUAGAUCAUAUAUUCCCCUGAUAUAAACCCAAUUACACCAGUCGCUACUGAGAUAGAGAUAACGAACAAUUACGGAUUCAAUUACCCCUAUUUAGCAAAAUAGCCUAUAUGAAUAAUUAAUUAUUACGCACUAACCAAUCAUACACAAGGCUAUGACAAUUAAAAGCAGGAAACAUAUGAAUACCAAUAAAUGGAGGAAACAAUUAAAAUAAAUUCGAUUUCACAGUAAUUGUUGAACCAAGUCUUCAGUUGUCCCCUUGACUAGAAUUGAGAGGUUAGUCCUCCAUUAAUGGAGAACAACCAUGCGAAAAAGCCAAGAAAAGCAAACUAAAACUAUGCUAAAAACCUAAACUAAAACUAUUGAUUGAUAAACCUCUCGUACGUUUCUCCCUUUUUGAAGCCAAAAGGAAGUCUAAUGCUAUCUCUAGUGGUCCCCACACCAAAUUCAAAGUCUUGUACGUUUCUUUUCCUAGAGUCCAAAUGACUCAUGCUUCUUAUCCGUGGUCCCCGCACAUGUGGACAAAACCUCCAAAGUACUUGUUGUUCCAAGUCUCUCUACGUUGCUUUCUUUGAAAAGCCCAAAUGACUAAAUGCUUUGCACUAGCUUGUGGUCCCCACCAAUUCAAGGACCCAAAGGUUGAAGUCCUUAGAAGUCUGCAUUUUUCCAUACAAGUCCCUCCUUUUUGGUAAUUUUCUGCUUCAAUCCCUGAAAUUGGGUCCAAUACCAAAUAUAAGUAAAUAUUAAUAAUUAAAACAAUAUUUGGCAAGAAUAAAAGGGGAAAUUAACAAUAAAAUACCCAACAAUUUACACCCUAUCAAUUCCCCCCACACCUGAAUCAUGCUUGCCCUCAAGCAUGGGAACAGCAAUUGAACACCAAAAUUUGACAAUGGCUACUGCUCCAACUACCGUAUUGCCAAGAUGCCCAAGAAAAAUAAAUAUCAAGUAUCACAGGUCAAUAUCCAAGAAAAAUCAACCCGGUUAGCCUCUGAACCACCAACUUCUCCAAUUUAAAGCAAACUAAUCUAAGAAAAAGGAAUGGUUGCUCACAUUUAUCAGCAAAUGGUCCAACUAUUAACCAAAAUCUCGACAUUAAGAUCACAAACCGGCAAGCUGAUUUAUUCACAUACUAACACAAUCUUACUUCACUUCUUUUUUUUUUUUUGUUUUUUGUUUUUUGAAUAGCAAAGACUUAGUCUAUAGCCCUUAGAGUUUUUUGACGCGAACUCCAAUAUUUGACAGAUGGAGGAGCCCGGUUACUCAGCUCUAAUUGCUACGGGACCACGCACUCAUAGCAACUACUACCUUUUGACGCGAAAAUCAACACUUUAGGUGAAGAUUCCCGGUUAUUCAGUAGUAAUCACUAGCGGAGUACAGUCAACUCUUAUUUAUAACCAUAUAGCACAAUAACUAAAAAUAACACAAAAAUAACAACAGCCAGCCUCAAAUUUCCAAACAUGGAGAACUAAAAUUAAUAAUUGGACCAAUUCACAAGAAAAAUGCCAACAAUCAUUCCCUAUGCCUAGAAAAGUUAACUAAAAAUUAGAAAAGUCAAGCAAUUAUUGAUAUUCACCAAAAAGAUGUUCCUGAAUUCAACCACAUCAACUCGAUACCUUUUAUUAAUAAACUUGGCAACAUCAGAAUCAGAGACAACAAUCCAACAUCAAAACUUGGUAUUCAUAUGAAGACUGACCAUUAGAAAAAAGAAAAGAAAAGAAAAUAAACGAAAGAUGGACAAAAACAAACAAAAAAAAAUAAAGAUAAACAAAAAACUCUAGAAACUAAAAACAAAAUUACUAGCACCACAAUGAUUCCCCCCCACACCUAAUUCACACAUUGCCCUCAAUGUGAUAAUGUAAAAGUAGAAGGAAGGAGAGGGGCAACGGUACUUCCCUGAAGUCAUCAAAACAGGGGCAGUUCAGGUGGAAAUUGUGGAUCAAGACUUGCAUGGUGACGUCAAUAUGGGUCAUCCGAGUCUCUAGUCUCUCAACUCGCGUCUGGAGCUGGUGCCAUUCGUGGCUUUACCAUGAACUCUAAAUAUCACUCUAAACAACAAGAGACUACCAUUGCCAACAAAUAAUGGAAGCCAAAAAUUCAAAGCAAUAACAAUUUUUAAAGCCAUCCCAAUGAACAAAAUGCACAAUUCAAUCUCCCAUAGAUUAAACCAGACCCCAACACUUAUAGCAAAUGCAAUCAAUAAGUACUCAUGGACCCCAUGUAGUCAAAUUCAGAAUUAAGGCCGUCCAAAGUGCAACAACUGCUCCAAAUACCCCAAGCAAGUCAAUUAAAGGCAACCGACUUCAAUAAGCAAAUGCAAACGGCACAUUCAUAUCCCAAUUCAACGAAUAAAUGCAGGAAAGUAGCCACAAUACUAGAGCACAGCUCCCAAUAAUGCAACAGAACAGCAACUCGAACAAACUAGGAACUGUGCUAGUGUCGUACUAAAUCAACAACUUUCAGCAAUUAGACACAAUCGGACACAAUAUCGCGACAACUAUCGCCAAUUGGACAGAUGAUUGCACACUCAAUCCAACCAAAAGUUCUAGCAACAGCCGUUCAGAAUUGAAGCAACAAAUUAAUCCCAAGAACUCGAAUUUUCAAACAAGCAAGCAUCUCCAAAUAUAAGCAACAACUAUAGUGAGAAGACCCCACCAGUACCACUGGUGGGCACACAAGGAAGAAUUAAAUCAAAUAUGAUCGAUCGAUAGCAGGAGCACCCAAAUUCAAUCAACAACAAGUAAUUCAGACAAACAAAAGCAAAAGAGAAACACAAAAAGGGGCCAGAUAUCGAUCAAACAAAAGCCAUUGCCCACCAUGAAUAAAGAAUACACUAAAAAGCAACAGAUACUGGUAAACCACAGAGGGAAAAAGGGACCGGACACCGUUGUUGGCAGCGAGACCGAGCGCUUGGGGCAGCACGGCAGCGUUUAGGGCAGGCCGUGGGAGGAAGGAAAAGUCACGCGAUGGAGCAAGAGGCUGCUGCAGAGGUGGGAGCGAGCUGGGAGGUCGCGGCGCGCAGCUGGUCAGCGGUGUGCAGCUGUGCGAGGCGCGGGAGCUAGCAGUGACGUGCGCUGGUCAGCUAAGGAGGAGAUGGGCGGCGCUCGACUGUCGCGUGGCUGCGACUUCUGGCUGGAGCUACUGGCGGCGCGCGAGCUUUGUGGAUGGACGCGAGAGGAUCUGGGGUGGUCGAGCGCAGGUGGAGUGAGGUGGAGCUCGAGUGGGUAGCCGCUGUUGGAUGGCGGCUAGUCAGCAGCUGCCGCGGGCUGGAGAUGGCGAUAGAAGCUGCUGGAGUGGGGGCGAGCUGGCGGUGCGCUGGUCUCGGUCGCGCGAUGCUGCCGCGCGGGAGGAAGAGGAGUGCGGCAGCGAUGGCGACUGGGCAGUGGCGCUCUGGGCCGCGGCUUGGGCCAGGCGAGCUUGUGGCGGCGAGGAAGUUGGAGCUGAUGUGGUGGUGGAGAUCGAUGAUUUGGGUGGGAUGGCCGGCGGCCGAAAGAAGAAAAGAAGGAAAAGGGAAAUAGGGAAGAAGAAAGAAAGAAAAGAAGAAGAAAGAAUUUUCUUCUUUUUUUUUUUUUUUGGAAUAAUUUUUUGUUCUAAAUUGAAUUGAGAUUGGAAAAUUCGAUUUUUGAAUACCAAAACUGAAAAUGAAAAAGGAAAUUACUUUUAUAAAAUUUUUUUUUUUUUUCAAAGAACCUCUAGCUUAGGCGUGGGCACGUCUAACUGCUAUAGAGUCCGCAGAUCCUGAACGAAAAUUUCUUUCCCUCAGGCGUGACCACCUGGCGUGGGCACGUCUAACUGCUAUAGAGUUCGCAGAACCUGAACGAAAAUUUCUUCCCCUCAAGCGUGACCACCUGACGAGGGCACGUCUAACUAUUAGCUUCCUGCCACAAAAGCAACAAAUCACUAAAUGCAACUAACACUUAACAAAAAUUCCAAAAAGCAUAAGAAAACUAAAAUAAAGAGUCUUGGGUUGCCUCCCAAGCAGCGCCUUUCUUUAAUGUCUUUGGCUAGACAUUGCCAUAUUUAUUCACGGAGGAUAAAAUCUUGUGGCUCGUUUCAGUGCUUCAUCCUCUAUAUAAUCCUGAUAGCCCUCGUAAAUAGAGUAAUUCUUGAGCACACGAGCUACGGGCUUCCAUGGACUAGUAAAUGGCGCCAAACAAGUCAACGAUAAUUUGCAUUCUCCACUCUCUCCUCCAUCACACGCCUUUAUCGGUUCAAGAUAUUUGACCAUCGUAACUCUUAACUUAUUCCUGUCAUGAAACUCAAAAUCGUCUGGUAUGAUAAAAUCAAUCUCACUAACAGGAAUUAAAGAAUAUGAGUCAGGAAAAUAUUGAUCAAGAAAUGGAGGAGAUGUCACCGCAUUUGGAGAUUGUUCACUGGAUUCAUUCACUUGAACCAUUUGAUGUUGGGGUCUCAUGUCUUGCACUUCAACUUCCUUUUCAACUGCAUUUUUAGAUCCUUCUUCUUGAGAUUCUCGCAGCACCAUGUCAUUCGUCAGGAUAAUUGCACUCUCAUCUUCCUCAUGGUCGAUAAUAGUUUGUGAGGGCAAUUCUUCACUUUGAGAAACCAAUCGAUUUAUUCUGGAUGUCAAAAGACAUAGUUGAUCUGCCAGAUAAUUCAUUGCAUCCUUCAUCAUCUCAUUCCUCAUUUGUGUCUCCUGUUGGAAUUGGUAUGUAUUAGUAGUUAUUGGUUCAACUAUCUCUUCAAGAGACAUACCUGACAUAGAUGACGAUUCUUGAGACUCAUACUGCUGAAAAUUCAUUGGCCCCGUUGUAUAAUUAUAAUUGGAGUUAUCCCACCCUCCUUGAUCAUACCCGUAUGGAUUAGGGUUAUACCACGUUUGAGACCAGGGUGAAAAAUCUCCAUAAUUAUUGAGUGGGACACUCAGAUUAUCUUGAUAUUCGGGGCACAUACUGGUUGAAUGAUCCCUGGCAUAACAAAUUUUACAGGUUGCAGCAGCCAUUCUUUUUCUAAUAGAGUUUACUGCCUCUGCACGUGCAAACUUAGAAAAAAAACUAGUCUCAUCGCCUUCCCCGGAAACAAAAUUUCACCAAAAUACGGAGUGUUAGAAGCCAUAAACUAUAUAAAAAAAAAUAAGAGAAAAAUAAAUAAUAAAAAAAAUGAACUCAAAAAGAAACAAAUUAAUCUGGCACCAGUCCCCGGCAACGGCGCCAAAAAUUGACAGGUGCCGAACCUGUGCAAUAAUAAUAAAUAAAUCCUAACUACCACCUGAAACAGUCAGUAAUCAAUUCCAGUACUGGAGCAGGGACUCUAGGUGUGCAAUGGGUUACUUGAUUCACCCUGUUCCCGAAGAGUUUGCUUAAUCCGAUAUACCUGAAUUAAUUAUUUAACUGAAUUUCCUAACUAGUAGACAGUGGUAAGCAGGGUCGUCUCCUCAGGGACUGGAGAGAUAUUUGUUUCUUUUCAAAUCAAGAUUAAUGGGGGGUUUUGGUAUCAAAAACCAACUGAACAAAUUAAAUGCAGAAAAUAAUUAAUUAAAAGAAAUAACUAAGAGAAACUCUAGUCAAGGGUAUACUUCAGAAAUGGUUCAUGCACUGAUCAUUGAUGCAAAAAUAAUCCCAACAUUUAUUAAUAGAUUGGUUAUAGUUGUCAUGCACGCGAUAAACAACCAACCCUUCCUUAAUUUAUCGAUAGCUAAGGUACGACCGUUAGCUAUUUCCCUAACCCAAAAACAAUCCUAGGUACGACCGUAGAAUUUAAUUUCUGGUUUGCAUGAAACCUUAGAAAGACCCAAUCCUAACUAACAAACACGCUACGAGGGUUUGUUUAAGUUAGAUCAUAUAUUCCCCUGAUAUAAACCCAAUUACACCAGUCGCUACUGAGAUAGAGAUAACGAACAAUUACGGAUUCAAUUACCCCUAUUUAGCAAAAUAGCCUAUAUGAAUAAUUAAUUAUUACGCACUAACCAAUCAUACACAAGGCUAUGACAAUUAAAAGCAGGAAACAUAUGAAUACCAAUAAAUGGAGGAAACAAUUAAAAUAAAUUCGAUUUCACAGUAAUUGUUGAACCAAGUCUUCAGUUGUCCCCUUGACUAGAAUUGAGAGGUUAGUCCUCCAUUAAUGGAGAACAACCAUGCGAAAAAGCCAAGAAAAGCAAACUAAAACUAUGCUAAAAACCUAAACUAAAACUAUUGAUUGAUAAACCUCUCGUACGUUUCUCCCUUUUUGAAGCCAAAAGGAAGUCUAAUGCUAUCUCUAGUGGUCCCCACACCAAAUUCAAAGUCUUGUACGUUUCUUUUCCUAGAGUCCAAAUGACUCAUGCUUCUUAUCCGUGGUCCCCGCACAUGUGGACAAAACCUCCAAAGUACUUGUUGUUCCAAGUCUCCCUACGUUGCUUUCUUUGAAAAGCCCAAAUGACUAAAUGCUUUGCACUAGCUUGUGGUCCCCACCAAUUCAAGGACCCAAAGGUUGAAGUCCUUAGAAGUCUGCAUUUUUUCAUACAAGUCCCUCCUUUUUGGUAAUUUUCUGCUUCAAUCCCUGAAAUUGGGUCCAAUACCAAAUAUAAGUAAAUAUUAAUAAUUAAAACAAUAUUUGGCAAGGAUAAAAGGGGAAAUUAACAAUAAAAUACCCAACAAUUUACACCCUAUCAAAUUGUCAAAAACCUCAAGGGAGGUUUCUGAAAUUAUCCAUAAAAACAUAACAUGAGCAAUGGAAAGAGGGAGUAGAAGUUUUAAUAAUUCAAUGAUUAUUAUCUAUUUCAAAAAAUAAAAGUUCAAUUAAUUUGAGAUCACGAGCUUGAUUAUUGAGACGCUAAGGAGACUAUAACUGUGCGUCUCUAUUUUGAACCAAGAUGCGAAAUAGCUAACCUUAAAAGAAGAGGUGUGUUUCUGUUUAGUGAUGAUAAAAUAAAUUCAAGUGGGCAAAGUGCACCUUAUCCCUAAUUACAUUGGAGAUUAGUGCUAACUGACCCUUUGCUUUAUUUCAAUUUGAUUGCGAGGAGACAAAAGCAAUUUCUUAUCACUCUUGGAUGGAUAUUAUGAACGUGUUUAGAUGGUAGAUUAUUUGAAAUAAUUUUUUAAAAAAGAGUACGAUGGUAUUCUUUUAAAUAUAUAUAACAUAAAAAAUAAUAUAUUAUUUGUAACGUGUGUGAGAUCUAUUAGUGCCCGCGCAAACAUUCAAUCAGAGAAUCAGAGAAUCAGAGAACAUGAAGGCCCCAGCAACAAAGGCAUUUCAAGUGAAAAUGCCAACAAGCCACAGCCCUCAAAAGUGGUUUGGAGAAAUUUCAAGCUUUUGGGUCCCACAUAUUUUGUCACAAUCUUGUGAUUAUCAUUCAAAAACGCAUGGCCACCUGAAAAACGAAGGGAGUAUUUUAAUUGAGUCAAGUCCAUAUUACUUGCCAUUUGUUAAUUGGUGUGUAUUUAUAUCAUUAGCUGUUAGUAAUUGUUCUUUUGUACAAAAUUUUCCCUCUAGUGAUUAAUCCUUUUUGUUCAUUAUAAAAAUUCAAUAGGACUAUUUUGCACUAUUGAGUUUGUGGGGGGAAAUAAUCAGUGAUGAUUUUGCAGUAAUCUAUUAUGAAAGUAAAAAAACCUUUCAAAAGUUUUUAAUGUUGAAAAGAACUACGUGUUUUAAUUUUAAAAUAACAAAAUGCAAUACAAGGUACCAAAAUUCUAUGGAGAAAUCAUCAUUAUAUUUAAGUAUACAUGCAAAACUGGUGGAAAUUAAAAUAAUACUCCCUCGGCUUCAAAUUAUUUGUCUCAUUUCAGGAUUCAAAUUUUUUAAAGAAUAGUAAGUAAUUUGACGGUGAUUUUAGUGGAUUUGUUUUCAAAAUUAUCCUCGAAAAUUCAAAAUUUUAAACUUGGAUUUAGUGCCAAAUAUUGAUUAAUGUGAAAAUAACAUUGAAAAAAGAAAGAGAUUAAAAGUAAAUUUGAGUUUAAUAAAAUAAUAAAUAUUUUAAGACAUUUUAAAAUAAAAAAGUAAAUCGGGAAGGAGUGAAAAAAAUAAAACGAAUAAGAGAGAAACUACAAGACGAUGAGUUAGACGUUAAGCCAAUUUGCUCUCUUACUGCAUUGUGAUAAGGAGGAAUCAGAGAGCCAAUAAGAAAUGUGACCGAAGAGUCAAGUUGCAGGCUGGCUCACACAUGCAAUUGUCGGCAACUUCCUUUGAUAACAGGACAGCUUUUAUGUGUCUUUAGAGUGGCGCUGUGGUCCAUUGUGUCUUUAGAGUCUAAAGCUGUGUCUUUAGAGUGUGCAGUGGAGCCCGGCAUAUUGCAAAGGCGGACAAUUUUCAAAGUCGACUUGCAAAUUUCAUUCCCUAUGAUAGCUGCUGAAGUUGAACCUUUCAUUCCACUUCAAAUUAUUUGUUUCAUUUCAAGAUUAAAUUUUUUUUAAAAUAUUAAAUAACUUGACGGUGAUGUUAGUGAAUUUGUUUCUAAAAUUAUCUUCAAAAAUUCAAAAUUUUAAACUUAAAUUUAGUGCCAAAUAUUGAUUAAUGUGGAAAUAGCAUUGAAAAAAGGUGAUUAAAAGUAAAUUUGAGUUUAAUAAAAUAAUAAAUAUUUUAAGACAUUUUAAAAUAAAAAAGUAAAUCGGGAAGGAGUAAAAAAAAAAUAAAACGAAUAAAAGAGAAACUACAAGAUGAUGAGUUAGACGAUAAUUAAGCCAGUAAGAAGCAGAUGACGAGUUAGACCUGCUUUAUUCCACCCACUGUUUUAGCUGCAAGUUGCAGGUUGGCCAUAUGCUGCAGAUGCGACAAUUUGUCGGCAAGAAGGUGUGGCUACGAAUUGUCGGCAACUUUCAGGAAGUCAGGGUAAAGCGGUAAAAGAAAAGUUCGUUGGUGACGUCUUUGGAGUGUAGCUUUGCAGAGUGAAGCCGGGGGGCAAAUUGCAAAAAGUGGAAAAUUUUGGAAGUGCAAAAAGUUGUGUGGAAAAAUUUUCAUUCCCGCAAGUUUUAGCCUCCACAGAUUUUGCUGCCCUUAGUUGCCAAAGUUGAACCAUAUCCUUCCUUGUCUCAUCGCAGAAAGCAUCCCCCCGUCACCAUUGCAGAACACUUUCAUCCUAAUUCCAAUCCCAAGCGAGAAAAAAUGGCUGAUGCUGCUGUUAGUGCUACCAUUCAGGUUGCGUUGCAGGCGGUUGUUUCCCUUGCCGCUGAUCAUGUUAAUCUGGCUCGUGAAUUCCCAGAGGAGCUGAAGAAACUCAACGAUUCUGCUGAAAUGAUCGGAGGCUUCUUGGCUGGUGCCGACGAGCAAAUGCAUAGCCCAGUGGUGCAAAUUUGGCUCGAGCAGCUGGAAGAAGAGGUUUUCAAAGCCGACAAUGUGCUGGACGAGCUCAACUAUGAAAAUCUUCGUCGGAAGGUGAAGUAUCAAAAUCAACUCACGAAAAAGAAGGUAUUCUUCUGCUUUUCAUUCUUUAAUAAAAUUGGUUUUCGUUGGAGGUUGGGUUCAAUGAUCAGGGAGAUCAACAUGAACCUUCAAAGGAUCCAUCGGGAUGCAGAAGGUUUGGGACUGGCCUACAAGCACCAAGUUGAAGAAGCAUUCCCUACUAUAGCACCUGGAGCCACAACAAGCCGACAGACCGACUCUACCAUUGAUCGAAGAGAUGUCCUUGGAAGAGAUAAGGAUGAAUCAGAAAUAGUUAAGAAGUUGUUGGCCGAAUCUGAAAGUGAUCGUAUUUCAGUUAUUUCCAUAACUGGCCCGCCAGGAUUAGGCAAAACAACUCUAGCUAAAGCCGUUUUCAACACUCCACAAUUUGACAAUCAUUUUAACAAAAAAAUUUGGGUUUGUGUGGCUGAAGAAGUAGAUAAAAUCGAGAAGGUCUUCAAAAUGAUUCUAGAAUCGUCAACAGGAAAAAAGGCUGAAGUGGAUAAUAGGCAAGUAAUAGUUCAAGGAAUUGAAAAUGAACUUAAGGAAAAAAGAUAUUUGCUUGUUCUCGACGAUUUGUGGAAUGAUCAAGAAGGAUUGUUGGAUGACUUUUUCACCACAUUGAAGGCACUCAAACCGAAGAAAGGGAGCUGGUGUCUGGUUACCACUCGUCUGCAAGAAGUGGCAAUUGUUCUGUCUAGACAUCCGCAGAUCAAUUUUACUCGCCAUGAGCUGGGAAAGCUAUGCGAUAAUGAUUGCUGGUCCAUCAUUAAUAAAUGGGUAAAUGUAGGGGAAGAAGUACCAAAAGACAAAAAGGAGCGAGUUUUAAGAAGAUGUGAUGGUCUACCUCUGGCAGCAAAGUUAAUUGGAGGAUUGUUAUCUAAAAAGAGAAAAGAGGAGUGGCUAUCUAUUUUGGAGGAGAGCCUCUUGAAUCAAGGUCAGGGUGGGAUCGAGCAAAUAGUUAAGGUGAGUUUUGAUCAUCUGUCACCUGCACCGGUUAAGAAAUGCUUCGCAUAUUGCUCAAUUUUUGAUCAAGAUACUGAAUUGGAACAAGAUCGACUAGUUGAGCUUUGGAUGGCUGAAGGCUUUCUUCAACCGGAUUCCCAAAAUCAAACGAUGGAGGGAAUGGGAUAUGAGUAUUUCAGAAUUUUGCUGCAAACUUCCUUAUUGGAAGAAGUAAGAGAUUGGAGGAGAACAAGGUAUAAAAUGCAUGAUCUUGUGCAUGAUUUUGCAAAAUCAAUUUUGAAUCGUAACAGCAGCAAUCAGGACCGUUACCUUGCGGCAUCUGAAAGAAUGGUAGAAAACAUGAACGAAAAAAAAUCAGCAUCACUUCGCACAUUAUUUCUGGAGGGUGGCAUAGCUGAUGAAAUGUUAUCAAAGUUCAAAUACUUGCACGUCCUAAAAUUGUUUGGAGCAGAUGCCAAAAAGCUGCCGAAAUCCGUUGGCAAACUAAUACAUUUACACUUACUUGACAUUUCACGUUCUUGUAUUACAACUUUGCCAGAAUCUCUUUGCAAACUUUACUGUUUGCAAACACUGAGAAUUGGCAAGCUUGAAGAAGGUUUUCCAAAGGAGAUGAGCAAUUUGAUUAGCAUGAGACAUCUUCACUAUUUUCAUGAUGAUACAAGACGCAAAAUCCAAAUGCCAUCCGGGAUUGGACGAUGGACUUGUCUUCAAACAUUAGAGUUCUUUAAUAUAGGUCGUCAAGAGGAAGGUCGUGGUAUCCAAGAGCUUGGAACCUUGGAAGAUCUUAAAGGCUCCUUGGAGAUCAGAAAUCUUGAAUUAGUAAAUGGCAAAGAUGAUGCUGAACUGGCAAACCUAUCUAAAAAGCCAAAUCUGCAUCGGUUGGUAUUUGAGUGGGGCAAUAGGGAUCGGGAAAGUAAUAAAUGCGAUGAAAAUGUGUUGGAAGGCCUCCAACCUCACCCAAAUUUAAAAGAGUUAC
rnacentral:lncRNA from 1 species